rnacentral:lncRNA from 1 species
GAGUGAGUCUUUAUUGAGUUUCAGAACUUUCCUCUCUGAUUUUCUGAUUAUUUUCUCAAUUGGGCUUAUUUCUUACCAAUUUCCUUUGAGAUUUAUGCAUGUGUGUUUGUUAAUGCUCUGUUUCUUCGUUUUUACAGGAAAUGGAAUUGCUCUCUUCCUCUUCUUGGCAACCAUGUAUGCCCUCUCUCUCUCUCAAAUUCUUUCAUUAGGGGUCUAAGGUGAUGCCUUUUUGCCUAAAAUAUCAUUUUGUUAAAUGGCUUAUGAUAUUUUGAUUCUCUGCACAUUCUGCGUAGUUCAAAAAGCAAAAUCUCUCUCUCUCUCUCUCUCUCUCUCUCUCUCUCUCUUUUCCUUUUUGUGGCUAAAGAUCAUGUCUUUUGUGUCAUAAAUUUGUUUUUGUUACAUGGGGUUCUGUAUAUCUUUUGGAUAAUCAAAAAGCUUGAAUGUUUACUAGGUUUCUUUAAAUUUCUUUGAAUUCUACCUUGUGAUUUUGGUUUAGAAAUGUGUAGAAUUACAUUUAUGAGGAUCAUAAGGAAGAGAAGCACAUAUCAGUUCUUAGGCAUUCCAUACGUAAUGACUAUGCUUAACUGCCUACUCCCACUUGGAAUGCUGCUUUGCCUCUCUCUCUCUCUCUCUCUCCCCCCCUUCUGCUGUGUAUUGCCUAAUUAGUUAUUUACAUUUGUUUAUUUGUCUCUGUAAAGCUUUCAUGCUUGGAUUUUAAAUGUAUGAUUCAAUUAGAAACCUUUAUAAUGUUGAUGUUAUAGAACAUUCAACAGAUAUAUAUUCAACAUUAGGUAGCUCUGGCAAAAUCAUAUAGACUAAGAUUUGGUAAUAUAUGGAGGUGAGAGUGAAUCUGCCUUGCUUGCCAUGAUAUAGGCUUGCAAUGAUGGCUUUCUCUUUGUAGUACUACAUUCUACUCUUACAUGCUAACAUCAGAAAGCAGACUAAGAUAGAUCCAAACCCAAUUUUAUUAAUUAAAGUUAACGGAAAGAAAAUGAUUUAUGCAUGCCUUUGUUUAUUUGUCACUUGAUUUUGGUUUAGGUUGACCAUAGCUAAAACAUCCAAGACUUGCCUAACACCUAAUUUGACGAAGACCGUAUCCUUUUUAGCCUUUAGGUGUGUGUUUGCUAGCUAGAUGGGUGGUGGGUGAGUCUUGGAUGUUAUCUUGGAUGUCUUGAUUAUUUUGGUGGGCGAGUCUUGGAUGUUUUGGUUCUGUCUUCUUCAACUCUUAUAUCUUCCCUUUUUCUGAAUUUUCUUUAUUUCUUAUCCUUUAAACUUUGUAUUUUUUUUUAAAUAUAUAUAUUUUUUGGUGAUGCAGAUAGAUGAACAUGUUCAAGGGGAAAUCAUGAACCACAGAUCACUGCAUCUGAAUAUUGUUUGAUUCCAAGAGGUCAGUGAUCGUAAACUUUUUCAUUUUGUAUUUUAAGAAUGAAUUUGGCAAGUUGUGUUUGAAUUUUGUAUAAGUAUCUGCUGAGGGUGGGUGGAUGAAGACAGAACACACUAAAUUUGGCCUCUGGUGUGCUUAAACUGGUACGGGGGAUGGUUAGAACUUUGAGCGCGGAAUGCAGUAGGACUAAAAGGAAAUGCCCUACCCACCGGGGCAAUCCACCACUUGCAGAAUUGUUGUCAAAAUAACUCUGCUAAAAAUAUGAUCUAUACUUCCUGCACUUUGUUUUACUGUGAAGUUGAAAUAGUCUUUAGAGUGGCUUAUUUGUGAUAAUCGAUAAAUAGGUUUGUGUUUAAGACUUGAGAGUAGUGCGGUGUCUUUCUUGCUGGUUCUGCUCACACCACCUCAUCUAGCCAUUGUGAUGGAGUACACGGCUGGGUGAGAACUCUUCGAGAGAAUAUGCAGUGCUAGCAGAUUUAGUGAGGAUGAGAUAAAGUAGUUUCAAAUGCAGAGAAAAUUUCAUUGGAAAUGAUUUUAGUGUAGAGUCUCAAAUAUGGGAUCUCUGAAUGUCCCCUGAAAUGGAAUCCAUCUCGAUUUUCGUCUAGUUUCAGAUAGGGAAAGUUAGGUCUGAAGCAUUUUUACAUAAAUAGUCAGUCAUAAUAUAACUAAAACUUACAUACUUUUUCAAUUUAAUUGUUGUUUUGCAUCAGGCAAGGUUUUUCAUCCAGCAGUUGAUAUCAAGAGUUAGUUGCUGUCAUUUGAUGGUAUGUAAAUCCUAUAAAUUCGGAUUAAAAUUAAAGCAACUAUAGAACAAAAACCUCAAGAAAUCAACGCGAGUUUACCUGUAUUUGAUCAUUUGUGGGAAAAUCAACACAUCGCCGUCGGAAAACUCAGUUCCUUCGCGUCCUUCAAUUACUGUCAACAACGUCUAUCAAAAACCAAGAAAAAAGUGAGUAAUGGAGUCGGCUCAACACCAGAACUCAGUAGCUCCAGGAAAUAAGAAACGGUAAGAAAAAGCAAUCAGAAACCCCGACGAAUUGAGCUGGAAAAUGGACCUUAAAGGUGAUGUCGUUCUUGCGAGCUUUGAGAGCAGAUGCGAAGAUUUUAGGGAGUGGAUCGGACUCAUAGCCUUUGAUGCGCCAUGGCCAGGCCUCGAGGGUCUUGUAGCAGAGGAAAACGUGGCGAUAGUAUGACAGUGUAUCGUCAUCAGUGUCUUCAUCAGACUCAUAUGACACAGUAGUGUCUUCAUCAGACUCAUAUGACAUAGUCUCAUAGUUGUCCCAAUUAGUACGAUCAUCGGACAAAUCCCAUUUUACAAUAUCCACUCCAGUUUUGUUCACCUUAAUAAUUGUAUUAUCUAGUCCAUAAAAUUGUGCUUGUACAAGAACCAUGUCGCCGCCUUUCAAAUUGAGCUUCUUGUUUUGAAAGAUUUCCCAACCAAAGAUAAUAUUCAUGGGAAGCAGUUACGGUGGCCUCAAUUGGCCAGAUACGAAAAUUAGUUUGCUGGGUACGAUUAACAACAUCAAUGGUUAGAAACCCACUAGAGUCGGAGUUGUCCGAAGAAUAAACGAUGCCCAAAGCCAACCCUCCUAUAUAAUCAAUACAUGGCGGCACUUUAAAUUUGACAGUUUCAUCCUCUCUCGCGACAUAGGCUAACCGCUUCGGAAUAUCAUUUCUAGAGAGAAAAAUUCCACCAAAUGCAUUUUUCUACAACAUGGGGUGCAAAGUUAGUAAAAGCAACAAUACAAAAAGCAGAGAGAGAGAGAGAGAGAGAGAGAGAGAGAGAGAGAGAGAGAGAGAGAGAGAGAGAGAGAGAGAGUACCAUACCGUUUGGAGGUUCUCCUUAAAAGUAUCAGUGAGACUGGUACACCCUUCCAUAUAAAUUGAAUCCAUGUAGUCCAAUGAGUUCUCCAAGUUUGGAAUAUCUUUGAGUUUGCGGCAGUCUUUCAGUUGCAAGUGUUUCAUUUUCGACAUCUCUGAAAAGUCGGACACUAUUUCCAGUGCUGUGCAGUAAUUCGCUUCCAAUACACAUAAACUGUUGGGCAAAUCUGGGAUUGCCUGAAGGUUUGUGCAAUGAUUUAGACAUAAACUCCAAAGCUGAGAAAGACCACUGAGAAUGGGUAGCCUAUUAAAACCAUUCCCACCUAGAUCUAAAAUUUUUAAAGAAGAUAGACUCCCAAUUAUUUCGAGAAGGGCACCAUCUGUUAUAUUGCAGUCGCUGAGAUGUAAUUCCUCAAUCAUCUUCAGUUGUGCUAAAAAAUGGUAACCCCCACACAAACCCUUACAGUCUCUGAUGGUCAAGUACCGGAGAUGUGGGAGUUUUGAAAAGUUUGGUAAUUCAGUCAGGUUACGGCAGUGUACAAGAACGAGAAACUUCAACUUCUUAGGUAACUGUUACUCAAAAAGAGAAAACAAUAAUAAAAAUCCAAAUAAAUAAAAGAGAGAAUGCAUGACGAUGACUGAUGUUGAUAUUUACAAGGACAUUGAUAGUUAUAUUGUACCAAGUCUGAAUCCUCCCAAACUCGUACGAUCUUGCUGGACCACAGUUCCAUAUAAACUAGGUUUCGUUGAUCAAAAUCUGCUGGUAUGGCUUCAAGAGGAAAUCCAAUCCAAUACAAUAAUCUUAACUCCUUGGAAAGAUGUUUGUAGCUUCCAGUCAGCUUUACAUUUCCCAGCCAGAGAAUUCUCAGUCGCCACAUCUUGUUAAAUGCUUCCGUACUGAAGCUUUGCUCGUCAUCAGAAUGUUCUGGCAAAAAUAAUUCUAGUCCUUCAACUGCUUCUGUUCCCUGUUAGAGAUAUAAAAAAAAAACAAGAAAAGGAUAAUAUUCACACGAAGCAGAGUUGUGAAUCGGAUGAAUGAACUACUAAAAAGGUAGGGCAUACAACAUAAUUAUUUAUUUUCUCUUUCAAAUUACCCAGUGGAUGAAAGCCUUUUCUUUUCUUCUUUUUCUUCGAAUAUACUAUGUAUGUCAUACACUAUAUAUAUACAGGAUAUGCUUAUAUACUUCUCUUUUUUCAUAUGUACUUAACAUCUCUUUUAUUGCAAAAGUACUUACAGAUUCGUUCCAUAGCACACUUUUUGCAUCUUCCAUAUGCCACAAUCGACUACGUUUUCCCAGUUCCACAGGAGAUUCUGCCCGCACAAUUUCUCUUCCCAUAUCUCGAAUCAAAUCAUGCAUCCUCAAUGCUCCCCCUUUAUCAAUAUAUAAGAGACAUCGAUCACAAAGUGUGGUAAUUUCUGCUUCUACAGAAAAAUGACUACAACCAUCCAAUAUUGUCGUGACCACACUUAUAGACACUCCAAUAAAGAAAUUAGAUAUGUCAAGGAACACACCCUUCACAUGAUCGUCACGUAACCCAUCGUAGCUUAAUUUAAGUGUUUGAUGAAUUUUUCCAUCUGGAAUAUUUCUUAAUUUAUUCAAUGUACUUUUCCAUAUGCUUUUACUCUUUUUCGUAGCCAACAAACGGCCAACAACUUCAAGAGCUAGGGGCAAUCCUCCACAAUAAUCAACAACAUCUCUUGCGAGUUCAAUAUAUUCUUCAUCGGGACAAUCAUUUCCAAAGGCAUGCCAACUAAGAAGCUUAAGAGCUUCAUCAUCAGUCAUUCCUUGUGCUUUAUACCUUUUAUCCACCUUUUGUAUAUUCAGCACUUGUUCAUCUCUUGUCGUUAUAAUAAUCCUACUCCCUGGACCAAACGAGUCAUGUGCUAUUGCCAAUUUAUCUAAUUGGUCCGCAUCAUCUAUGUCAUCAACCACGACAAGUACCUUCAUGCUUCCAAGUCUUUUCUCUAUCUCCUUGGUUCCUUCAGCAACAUUGCUUACCUUAAUGUCAGGCCGUUUCAAAAUAUCUCCAAGAAGUUGUUCUUGCAGACUAACCAUAUUUUUCUUGUUACUCCUCACCUCUUCAAGGUAACAUUGACUACUGAAACUAUGACCAUAUUUGCUACAAAUGGCUUUGGCAAGUGUUGUUUUACCUAUACCGCCUGUACCCCAAAUUCCAAUUAUUUGAACAUCAGGUGAACCUCCAACGUCUAAGUAUUCAGUGCUGAAUUCUUGCACGCGAAAAGCUAUUCCAACUGAGUGCUUGGCUUUUAAGUCUACGGGUUUCAAUAUUCCCUUGAUGUCCCCAGUAAUUUUCUCGAUAAACACUCCUUCACGCCUACAAGUAGAAAUUCCAAAUUACGAGAGCCAUACUAAAUGCCUUAAUCAUCAUGCCUUUAUAUUUACAUAUUGAAACAGAUUGGAAUAAAUUGUGAUUUACUGAGCUCAAUUCAACCACGUAUUUAAUCUUCGAUUAUAACGUGAAUAACCAAUUGGACUACUACACAAUUGUAGCUUUCAGUUAUAUAAUUAAGAAUCCAUUACAAUUGGUAUUUUAAUUUGAUAAAGUGUGGAGCAUUUGUCCUUCACACACCUAUAAAAAACAAUCACUUCCUUAAUUUUGACGGAAAUUCUUAUGCAAAUGCUCUACAACAAUAACAACAACAAAGCCUUUUCCCACUAAGUGGGGUCGAUAAAUAAAUGAUGCAAAUGCUCUACCUUUUAUAAAAUUCAUAUGCCAAUUCUAAUAAAUUUUUAUGCAGUGACCAAAAUUACAGUUCUAUCAUAGUUCACGGACCAACGAUCCAAUUUUUCUUAUAACUUAUAAAAUCAGAUUCAAUGCCUUAAUUAUAAUAUCUUAAUUUUGGUUGAUUAGUGAAAUAUGGCGAUAUGAAAUUUGAAGUAAACAAAAAAGUAUACCCGUCGGCCGUGGUUUUGAGGUUCCAGCCGGCCAAAUCUGCAGAAGCCUUAAGAUCCUCUCUCCACUGCUUGACCACAUUUGGAUCUUCAUCCUUUUCAUGCUUCUGAAAUGCUUCCCCAAAACUAUCUUUCUGUUUCCUGACUUGAGAAGGGUCAACGUCGUAGAAUAUUGGACACACUAUUUUCCCCUCUUGAUUUUUUAGGCACCUCAUGAUCUUCGACAGCUCCCUCAGGCACCAUCGGGACUCGGCGUACCUCUUUGAGAAGACGAUGACGGCGAUUCUCGACCCUUCGAUUUCUUGGUCAAGUUCCCUCUGUAUGUUUUCCCCCCUUCUGAGCUGUGUGUCUAUAAAUGUGUUAAUUCCGGCAUUGCGUAAUGCAAUGAAGAGGUGGUCUGUGAAGGUAUUGCGGGUGUCUUCACCUCUAAAGCUCAGGAACACCUCGUACUUCCAGCGGUUUGAGCUCCGCGAGGAAGACGAAGAGGCGGCAGCGGCGGCUCCAUGGUCGGAGCUGCUGGCAUCCAUUGCAGCCUGUAGAAGUGCAGCUUGACUUUCAAAUAACCAAAGUCAAUCUUUCCCAAGCUUCCCGAGUGUAGGCGACCCUAUUAAAUUUUUUGCAUAGGGCAAUGAUGUCACUGCCGUGUCGAUAACGCGUGAGUGGUAUUCCUCCCACAAUUUAAUUUGUAUAAAUGUUACCAUCAAAUUUUAAAAAAAUAAAUCGUAUAACUGCUUUACGAUGCAAUUUCCUUUCUUUUGUAGUUUUAAGGGUGGUGCGCAGGUAGGUUCAACUGCGGCUGCUGGUGGACGUCACGACAGCGUUAUAAGAAUCUUCGGUGAAAACAGGUCCACAAACACCACAUCUAUUAUCUCGACACCAUGUGCACAUACAUUACAUGGGAGCCAGUCAACGCCUCUUGCACUCCGGAAGCCCAUGGUUUGUGAUUCACAAGGACAUCAUCAACAAAGCUGUCCACAUCCGACUCUUUCAAGCCCCUUUGAUUGAGAAACAAAAACAACCACAGAAUCACAAAGUUAAAAAUCCCCAAAUACUUAUCGCUAACACGCCCAUUUAGGGCUGGUUUGGUAUUGCUGUGCUUUGAAAAAAAGCUGCUGUAAGAAUAAGCGGCUGUGCUGUGAGAAUAAGCGGCUGUGAAAUAAAACCAGUAGAGUGUUUGGUAAACUUUUUUGUGAAAGUGCUUUUGGAAAAAAAAAGCAGGAUGAUAGUGUGUCUUUUUAUUAAAAGAGCACCGUAGCUCUGUGUGCUUUGAAAAAACUGGUUUUUUUUUCAAAGCAGCAAAUAGCAGCUUCAGCUUUUCCUUUGAUUUUCAGCUUAUUCUCACAGCAGCUUCCAAAAUAAGCUCUUUUUUUUUUUUCAGUUUACCAAACACAAAAAUGACCAUCAGUUUUUUUUCACAGUGGCUUUUUUUAAAAUCACCUCAAUCCCAAACGGGGCCUUAGUAAUCACAAAUACUUAUCGAAAACUAGACAACAACCUUCACUAAGUUUUUGUGCUGCACUUUCGACAUCAUUGCCACUUCCCUCGCAAACCGCUCUUCUCUCUUGGCAAUCUGCUCUGGGGUUUCUCCUCUAUGAACAUUUUUUACAGCAACUUUUUGACUCUUAUAUCUAGAACAAACAAACGCAACCACCAAACAGAUUAAGAACACAACAGAACAGAACAUCAUCGUUGUAACUCGACACGAAAAACACAUAUUCGGCAUCAUAAACACCAUAAUUGCAGAACACCAAAUCAAGUUUUGAUCUUUGAUUAGUUCUGCAAAAACCCAACUCAAAUUUGCAUUUAUAUUUAACAAGAUCUAAGGCAUCAUAUUAAAUUGCUAAACUUGAGAGACCAGAAAUUCAGAAUUUAAGACAAACAAAAGAUGUUUUGGAUCGAUCAGCCACUUGGCAUCCAAAUCGAAAUCCCCAACUGAAUAAACCCCAUUACCAGAUCCCAUAAUUUUCUCUCUCUAAAAUUCAACAAGAACAAAACAAGAACAACAUACACUGACUAAUUAACCAAAACAAAGGGUACCCUUUAUUUGUAGGACCACAUUUGAAGUAAAGAUGAAAGCUUUGGUCUGGAUAAAAAUGGAAAAAAUUAAUAAAAUCAGCAGACUUCGUAUGAUUGGAGAGGGAGAAAGAUGAAGACUUUCUAUAAUAAAAGGACUUGCUUGGUACUGUAGGUUUCAGAAAACAGACCCAUCCCCGGAAUCACGGUUGAGGAUCCUACAAAGAAUUUAGCACAAGAUUGUUUGCCCUCCCACUUCCGGUGCCCUCUCAUGUCCUUCUGUUUUGUGUGGUCACGAUUAAGCCAUAUCAAUAUUUUAUAUUGUUUUUUUUAUAGAGAUAAUAAGAUAAAAAUAAAUAGUAAUAUAAAAUAUUGAUGUAGCUUAACCGUGACCAUACAAACAGAAGGGUACAUGAGGGCACUAGAAGUGAGAGGGCAGACAAUCCUUGUCCAAAAAUAAAAUCCCAGAGGCACCCACCAACAACCCUACAAUAUAAAAAGGAGGUGGAUUUUCUGCUCUCUCAUUUCCAUACUCUUCCCAUUCCCUUCUGUUUGUGUUAUCACGGUUAGGCCACGUUAACAUUUUAUAUUCAUAUUAUUUUUUAUUUUAUUAUUUUUAUAAAAAAAAUAAUAUAAAAUGUUGAUGUGACUUAAUCGUGACCACACAUCACAGAGGAGAUGAGGAAAGUAUGAAAAUAUGAGGCAAGACAAUCCGCCUCCAUAUAAAAAUGGUCACUGAUGAGAGCUCUAUCAGUGGGAGUGGAUUAGAUUUAUUAUUGGGAAUUGGGGAGAGAGAGGAAUCAGUAGAAGAGCAAGCAGAUAGAGUUGAGCAAGGCAGAGGAGGAUGAAACUGAGAGGAGGUGGAGAUUUGGGAACUUGGUGGCGGCGAUGGUGGCGGUGGGCGGGUGGGAAGUGAGUUCAGUUGAGAUUAAUUUAUUGGCCUUCUCCGCGAGUGGAAUGUUAUUGUCUUGUCUUCUAGAUCCAAAGAUAAACUAGUCUCUGUCAGAGAAUAGUGUGUUUCCUUUGUUUUUCUUCCUUUCUACCUCAUUUUCCCUUAUUUAUACUAGCAAGAAUAAAAAUUUAUAAUAAGAGAAAAUGUAAAUUGAUUUCUAAAUUUUUUUUCUUUAUGAUAUUCAAAUGAUUUUGCCUUGCUGAAUGAGACUGUUCAUAUCUUUGACUACUAGUUCUGAAUAAAUAUUUCUUUAACUAAAAGUUUACAAGGCAACUGAAAUGAUUACUUAGUUAUAAGACUUUGGAAAAAAAAUUACAAGUAUUUUGUGUGCAAUUUACUAUAUUAUGCAUAACUUUUAAUAUAUUAAUUUAUUUAAGUUAAUUUGGUCUUUUAACUUUUAUUUGGUUGAUUAAAAGAGUUUUGUUGAUAGGUAGUUUAGAUUAUAAUAAAAUAAAAUAAUUACUAAAUAAAUAGUUUUUUUAAUAAUAUGAUAUUAUGUACAUUAAGUGGUGGAGGGAGUGAGUUAAGCUUCACAAUGAGAUAGUCAUAAUAAUUUGUUCAAAUUUAUCUUAAUGAUAAUCGAACUUAAGACUUCUUAUGUAUGAGAGAUUUUUCAAUUUACUAGAAACACAUUGUAAAAAUACAAUUGGUUGGAAACUUAAAAAAUACAAUUUCAAACUAUUUUAUUAUGACACUUGGUGUAUCAAGUCAUGUUUAGUGUUCACACCACACUGAAAAUUUUCUCCUCACUUACAAGUCAAAAGGAAUACUAUUAAAUCGUAAUAUAAGUGACUACUAAAUAACUAAUUUAUAUAUUUGAUUUUUAAAAGUUUAGGGGAAAGGAAAGCUAAUCCAUCAAGGCCAAGGCAUAUAACAAGUAUCCUCGAGAACUUACACAAGGGGUCUUAGUCCUUUUUUUGUUUUUACAGAUCUUGCACAAAAAAUGGUUGCUUACAAUGGAACUCAAACAUAGACCUUGCAACUCAACCAAUCCUCAGUGGAAAAUACACAUGUAUUUGAGCAAUCUUUUAAUUAAUUUAAACUAAAUUAUCGAGUCAAAACUCCAUGCAAUAAACAUAUUGUUUUAAUUAAAUUAUUCAUAUACAAUAAUAAAAUGUCUAUUUAUAUCAUAGAUUCUAAGAUUUGAUAAAGAGAAUAUUUCCAAGAUGUGCAUAGACAUAAAACACAUACACACUACUCUAACUAAAUUAAUCAAGAACAAUUCUGCAAGAAAAUGGAAGAUAUGUGACUUUUAUUUAUUUCCUAGAUUCUAAGAAGGAUAAGAAAAUGUUGUCGGAGAAAAAGAAAGGUAAACGGGCGAUAAGAAGACGAAUACAACACAAUGAUACAAUUGGGGCUUCGAGAAAGUGCCCUUUUGGUAUCCACUAAGGCCAAAAACCCAUCACAAUAAUUGAAUUACCAAUGUCUUAUUAGAAAGUAAAACACAUUAUUUUGGCGAUUUUGAAACUUGAAUGACAAAUAUGACAUAGACAAUAAGGAUGUGUGACUCAGAUACCAGGUUGGAGGAAAAUGGACUGAAGUACAAAGGUUAAGGCAAGGAGAUAUGUGAGAGGUAUUACAUGAGUUAAUUAUCAAAUUAUUAUGACAUAUUUUAUCGCGUUUUUUAUGAGAGAUUUUUUAGUGUGCUGAAAACACAGCUCGAUACAUCAAGUGUCAUCACAUAACUGAUUGGAUACUUGAAAAAAAUAAAAUUCAACUUGUAUGAUGACACUUGAUUUAUCGGGUUGUAUUCCGGCACACUAAAAAGUUGUCAUCUCCUAGUUCAGAUAUACUGCUCUUUAUUUUAAACACAUCUUUGUACUCAUUAAAAGACAAAAAGACAAGCAAAUAUUUUGGUCCCAGUAUGCAAGAACCAUACAAUAUACUUAGAAAUAUCAAGCAUCCCGUUGGAAAUCAACUGUAAGGCAAAUAUUAUCAACGAAACAAAAGAAGGAAUUGCACAAUUCAUUUGGUGAUUAGGCGAACUAACAACAAAAAAAAUAUAAAAAAUAACGAGUCAAUAAUUUAAACACUGAACUAAAUGAUCCUUACGAAGAUGUGGGUUGUUGAAGAGUUAGAUCAUCACUUUCCUUAACUACACCAAACAACAUACUCCAAAUGGCUUUUGCAAUCAUUGUUUUACCUAUACCGCCCAUACUUCAAAUUCCAAUUAUUUGAACAUCAGGUGAACCUCCAACAUCCAAGUAUUUAGUACUGAAUUCUUGCACGCAAAAAGUUGUUCCAACUGAGUGCUUGGUUUCUUUUAAGUCUGUAGUUUUCAGUAGUCUCCUAAUGUCUCCAACAAUUUUCUCGAUAAACAAUCAUUGAUGUCUCGCGGUUAAAAUUCAAAAUUAUACAAAAGUAAGAUUCAUCAUGCAACUGCAAGAUUUAUAUCAACUAAAGGCUUUUGAUUCAAAAUGGUCCCUGAGAUUUGCAUCAUCCAUAAGUUUGGUCCCUGAGAUUUAAAAUUAAUAGAAGUAGUCCCUGCGAUUGUCCACCAUCCAUGAUUUUAGUCCUUCCGCUAAAGUUUUUGGCCAGAAGUUGGGCAAUUUUCAAAGCUUCGUAACUCAAUCGUUUUUUAACCAAAUUCGACCCAUAAUAUAUCAAAAUGAAGAUAGGAAAGUGUAGAAUAAGAUUAUAUCUAUUUGGAAGCCCAAUCAAUGGAAAACUGGAAAACUUGCCGGAAACUCGCCGAAAACUGGGUAAAUUUUAAACAUUCAUAACUUCUUCAAUACUCAACGAAAUCAAGUGAUUCAAAAACAAAAACCAUACUUCUCAACAAGAAGAAGAGAAUGGUACCUUUUUAAAUGGCUAACUCGCCUUGGUUUGGCCGGAAAACGGCUCGAAAGUGGCUGUUGAAAAACGAGUUAGCAACUUUCGAGCCGUUUUCCGGCCAAACCAAGGCUUUUUAGCCGUUAAAAAAGGUACCAUUCUCUUCUUCUCGUCGAGAAGUAUGAUUUUUGUUUUUGAAUCACUUAAUUUUAUUGAAGACGUUAUGAACGUUUAAAGUUUAUCCAGUUUCCGGCGAGUUUUCCAGUUUUUCCUCGGACCAGUCAAUUUUGAGGCUAUUUUCCGACCAUCGUCGGCAACCAUUGGGCUUCCAAAUAGAUAUAAUCUUAUUCUAUACUUUCCUAUUUUCAUUUUGAUAUAUUACGGGUCGAAUUUGGUUAAGAAACGAUUGAGUUACGAAGCUUUGAAAAUUGCCCAAACUUCCGGCCAAAAGCUUCAACGGAAGGACCAAAAUCAUGGAUGGUGGACAAUCUUAGGGACAACUUCUAUUGAUUUUAAACCUCAGGGACCAAACUUAUGGAUGAUGCAAAUCUUAGGGACCAUUUUGAAUAAAAAACCUCAACUAAAUGCCUCAUUCAUCAUGAUUAGAUAUUUUGGUAGCGAAAACGUUUUGAAUAAGUUAGAUUUGAUCGAGAUGACUAGUUAAGUUCAAUUUAGCCGUGUUUCUGAAAUGCAUUGUAACCGUAUUAGUUAAGCUCAGUUAGAUUGCUCAUGAACUAUAAGAAGGCGUUUGUUUGCCCUCACUAAACCGUAUUAUAGCUUUUAGUCAUACAAUUAGAAAUCCAUUAGAAUUAGUAUAUGGGUUUGACAUACGGAGGAUUCGUCCUUCACGCAUUACCAAAAGCUCCAAAGUUUUUUCCUAUAAACGUAUAAAAUCAAAGUCUGAUCAUAAUCUCCUUAUUUUUGGUGAAUUAGUGAGUCUUAGAAGCUAAUACAAGACAUUGGAAUUAAAUUUAGAGGAAAAAUUAAAAUACCUGUCCGCUGUGGUUUUAAGAUUCCGGCCACACAAAUCUGCAGAAGCCUUAAGAUCCUUCUCCACUGCUCGACCUCAUCUGGAUCUUCAUCCCUUUCAUGCUAACAAAGUUAAAAGAAUAAGGUAAAGUGAGACACCUAAUAAAAGUUUAGGUGGUAAAGUGAACAAAUGAGCAUAUAGAGUGAAGUAAAAUUUUGUCUACAUAAGUGUCAUAGAAAUGCCUUUAAUAUUUUUUACAUAUAGAAAAUAAAUAGGGUUAAUUACAUCGAUGUUCCCUGAAUUUGUCAUUUAUCUUCAUUUUCAUUCUUAAACAUUUUAUUUGUUUUAUAUGAUCUUCAAGCUCGCUAUUGCAUGACUUUUUUUUUUAUAUCCUUUUCGUCAACUUCAUCUAUUUUUCUAUUAAGUAGAGAUGAUAAAUUUAAAAUUCAUCCCACAACCUAAAAAAUGGGAAAAAGGAGGUGGAUGUACAAAAUUCUUGCUAUGCCCUCUAUAUUUAACAGAAAAAUAAAAAUAAAUUGGUCAAAAAUAGAUUUUGUUAGAUUAGUCACUAACGGGGUUCAAACUCACACCGUCAUGCAAGAUCUUAACUCAUUUCCACCACUAUAGUAAAGGGCCACUUGCAACCAAAAAAUAAAUUGAAUUAAUGGAUAUAAUUGAAUCACCACAUGAGAGAGUUUGAGAACCACAAUAAGAAAAAAAAAAAAGAAAAACUAUUCUAGAACGAAAGUAAAAUUCUUGACAACAAUGUUGUAUAUUUGAAAAAUAGUUCAAGCAGAUUAAGAUGUUAGCACAGAGUCAUUUAUCUCGUUUAUUGAACAAACAACGAGGACAUCAAUGCCGUUUUUUCUCUUUUGAAAUUCCUAAACAACAAAAUUGAGAUUUCUUUCACAAAAAUUACCAUAAAUUUUGACAAAAUUGACGGUCGAAUUAUAAAUCCAGCAGGCAAAUCGAAAACAAUCACAGGAGCUUAGAACACACCACAUCAACAUUUAGCAAGCAGUCUCAUAGGAAAUCCCAAUCAAGAUAAAACUAUUCAACAAUUUAUUACAUUUCGUUCAUAUAAGAGCAUGGUUAGGAGGAUUAUUUAAUUGACGUUAUAACAUCUUUCUACAAAGAAAAAAAUGAAAAAGAAAAUAGGGCCUCGGCACCCGUGGCAAAACCCAACAUGGAUUAGAGUACGUUUCAGCCUGACCUUCUGUAAAAGCUAUAGGCCACAGCCACUGUUGCCACUGCUCCAACCACGGCAGCAGCUGCGAGAACAUCGCUUUGCUCCCAGUUCCCAAUCAAGCUUGACAGCUUCCGUAAGGCAUCCUUUGUGGCACACGACUCUGUGGUUUCUUUCGACUUCAUUUCCUCACUUCCACCGUUCUCCUCCAAACUUACUUCUUUGCAGCAUGUAAAUCCAUCACUAUUAGCACCCUGGCAACAGCUUGAAAAGUUCUCAUUAUUCUCAAUAUGAUUGCCCUUUUCUUGGUGAAUCUGAUUGCUAUUUUCAUGUGGCUUCUCCUUGAUUUUCUUAUUUUCUUCUCCAUUUGGAAGUUCCCGGUCAUUAAUUUGUUCAGCUUCAUCAGAAAAUGCUCCCAUUUGGCCUCUGUAAGGAAUGAAAUUGAAUUUCGUGUUCAGCUAUUUAAAGAUUCAACUCUUAAGUUUCUUCAAUGCAGUUACAUCCAAUUUAGAAACAUAUACAGAGUAAUACUGUUGUAUCCAAUUCUUUUGUGCUUUCUCCACAGAAGUUCCUCGAUGUUAUUGUAACUCUAUAUCAAUAAAUCUAUCAUACAAGACUAGACAUAACCAUCAAUUGAAAAAUAUGACAACACAAGCUUCCGUCCAGUGAAAUUUUCAUCCAAAGACAAUAGGCAAAACCGAAAAUCUACAAACCUCCAAAGUCGUUCUAUAAUCUCUCCCUUCCCAAUAUGCUCAUCAAGCAAUUCCGGCACAUCAUCAGGAGUGACGUAGCCAUACCUGCAAUUAAUAAUACAUAAUAUUCAAAUUUCAUCGAUCCCAAUACGACAAAAUUUUAGAUUGUUAUGAUCCGAAUAUUACCAAUGGCCUGUUAUGCUUCCAUCUGAACCUGGGCUGUAGAUAAUCAAGUUUCCAUUGUGGCCUCCAGUGUGAAAGCAAGCAGCAACAAAUAUCUGAUUCGUCAAUCCUCGUAGCUCAGCCUCCUCUUUGAACUUAUUAAUGAGAACACAUGCACUAUCACGAUUCCAUUCCUCUCGACUACCAUGUGCACAUACAAAUACAUAGGAGCCAGUCAACGACUCUUGCACUCCGGAAGCCCAUGGUUUGUGAUUCACAAGGACAUCAUCAACAAAGCUGCCCACAUCCGACUCUUUCAAGCCCCUUUGACAACAAACAAAAACAACCUCAUAAUCACAAAAAGGGAUUUACAGGCAAGGAAUUAGUCGUAAACUGAGCCAUUAAAUUCAAAGGAAAACUAAUGAAAAGAGCUUGAAAACUUUGAGUUUUAACGAUAAGGACAAAAUAAAGGGUAAAGUGAAUAGUACCAGGAUUGACUUUUUAGUGCAAAAAUGUGGUUUUUCGUUAAAGUGAAAAGUACCAAGAGCUUUUCGUUAAGGUUCCCUAAAUUCAAUUUCUACAACUAAUUUCAGAAGCUAACACACAUCUAAUCAUCUAUUUAGGUCAGUGGAUUCAUGUUGGUUAUGGAAUGGGCCCUCCAUUAUGAAUUAAUUACGGUUUGCCAUUGUGUGUGUUAGUGUGGGCCGUGCUUAACAGCUGGGUUGGGCUGCUGCAUUUGGGCCCAGGGUGCAGCUCUCACGGGUUUUGGGCUGGGUUUCACCGAAAUAUCAAAUGACUCUUUUGCCCCCUUCAGUCCUAAUCCGACGGCCACCAUUUGCGGCGUUUGUGGUCUGCAAUUCGGUGGGGGGGGGAGGUGGGGUUAGCUUGCUUUCAAUCUCGUCAAGGAGUUCGUGCAGAGAGGCAGGGGAUGACAUCAAGUUUAGGGUGUGCACAGUGAGAGAGAAGAGGGUAGGAGCUAGAGAGAGGGGGGUGGGUUCUGUCCGCGGACGUAGGUUGCAGAGAGACAGAGAUGGGGAAAAGUAUGGGGGUGGGGUUGAGGGGAACGUGUACACAGAGAGAGUGAGGAAGGGACAUAGGAGCUAGAGGUAUGGGAAAGGAGUCGAGGAGUUGAGGAGUCGAGGGGUUGAGGGGUUGAGGGGUUGAUUUGUCAGGGGCUGCUGCAUCCUUCCUAUUCAAAAGGUAACAAAUAAUUUUCAAUUCAUUCUUUACCCUUGAAUGUGGAUUUACUGUUCGGGGUUGAGGAGGACAUCAUAUAUCUUCCCUUUUUCUGAAUUUUAGUUCUGUCUUCUUCGACUCUUAUAUCUUCCCUUUUUCUGAAUUUUCUUUAUUUCUCAUCCUUUAAACUUUGUAUUUUUUUUAAAUAUUUAUUUUUUUGGUGAUGCAGAUAGAUGAACAUGUUCAAAGGGGAAUCAUGAACCACAGAUCACUGCAUCCGAAUAUAGUUUGAUUCAAAGAGGUCAGUGAUCAUAAACUAUUUUCAUUUUGUAUUUUAAGAAUGAAUUUGGCAAGUUUUGUUUGAAUUUUGUAUAAGUAUCUGCUGAGGGUGGGUGGAUGAAGACAGAACAAACUAAAUUUGGCCUCUGGUGUGCUUAAACUGGUACGGGGGAGGGUUAGAACUUUGAGCCCAUGAUGCAGUAGGACUAGAGAAAUGCGGCAAUCCACCACUUGCAGAAUUAUUGUCAAAAUAACUCUGCUAAAAAUAUGAGCUAUGCUUCCUGCACUUUGUUUUUACUGUGAAGUGGAAAUAGUCUUUAGCGUGGCUUAUUUGUGAUAAUUGAUAAAGAGGUUAGUGUUUAAGACUUGAGAGUAGUGCGGUGUCUUUCUCGCUGGUUCUGAUGAUGGAGUACACGGCUGGGUGAGAACUCUUCGAGGGAAUAUGAGGAUGAGAUAAAGUAGUUUCAAAUACAGGGAAAAUUUCAUUGGAAAUGAUUUUAGUUUAGUUUCAGCUAGGGAAAGUUAGGUCUGAAGCAUUUUUACAUAAACAGUCGGUCAUAAUAUAACUAAAACUUACAUACUUUUUCGAUUUAAUUGUUGUUUUGCAUCAGGCAAAGUUUUUCUUCCAGCAGUUGAUAUCAGGAGUUAGUUGCUGUCAUUUGAUGGUAUGUAAUGUGGCACUUUUCUGCUAAUGCGUUGUAUACUGUUAUUUAUUUCUCUUUUGAUAUUGGAAGUGUUGGUUGUAGUAAGGAAAUAAUUCGUUUCAAUAGUAUACGACUUCGGUUUAAUAGUAUAUGACUCAGUUUUUGAAUAGCACUCAGGUGGUAUUACGACUUAGUUUUCUAAAUGCCAAUAACAGCUCUAGAUUUUGUCUCAAGUCAAGUAUUCUUACUAAUGUAGCAUUUUGUUGGCACAUCAGUAUGUUUUGAUUGUUUCUCUGCUUGAAUAGAGAAUUGUUAACGUCCGGGUGGGAACGUGGGUCAGCUCAUGUUUUAGUCUCUCCGUCGUAAGCAAUUUUACAUGGUACUCUUCAAUGUAGCUAUAGGUAAGACAACACUCUCAGUAUUCCAUAAUCAAACCACCAUUUGAACUUUUUUUCAUCCACCAAGUUAAGCUUUUAUGUGCCAUCUUGAAUAGUUAUAAGUUAUUGCUUCAGAUUACUCCAGUGCGACAUUGUUGUUCUCUUCCUUACCUCUCAAGCUUGCUUAAUAUACCAAUUCUUAUUACUGUUGUAUUGUUAAGAAAUACUCAAUUGCGGAUUCAGUUCAUCGUUUUGAAUCGGAUAAAAAUUAACCACUCAGUGGUUAAUUAUCUAAAUGGGCGGUAGGUCUCGGGUUCGAGACUUGUGAGCAGUCUCUCCAUAAAUGGGGGUAAGGCUAGCCGACAUUCACCUCUCCCAGACCCUGCGUAAAGCGGGAGCCUUGUGCACUGGGUACGACCUUUUUAGUGGUUAAUUAUCUAAAUCCUAUAAAUUCGGAUAAAAAUUAAAGCAACUACAGAACAAAAACCUCAAGAAAUCAACGCAAAUUUACCUGUAUUUGAUCAUUUUUGGGCAAAUCAACACAUCGCCGUCGCAAAACUCAGUUCCUUCGCAUCCUUCAAUUACUGUCAACGUCGUCUAUCAAAUACCAAGAAAAAAUGUGAGUAAUGGAGUCAACUCAGCUCAACACCAGAACUCAGUAGCUCCAGGAAAUAAGAAUGGUAAGAAAAAGCAAUCAGAAACGUCGACGAAUUGAGCUGGAAAAUGGACCUUAAUGGUGAAGUCGUUCUCGCGAGCUUUGAGAGCGGAUGCGAAGAACUUAGGGAGUGGAUCGGACUCAGGGCCUUCGAUGCGCCACGGCCAGGCCUCCAGGGUCUUGUAGCAAAGGAAAACGUGGUGAUAGCUCAACAGUGUAUCGUCGUCAGUGUCUUCAUCAGACUCAUAUGACUUGGUCUUAUAGUUGUCCCAAAUAGUAAGAGCAUCAGACAAAUCCCAUUUUACAAUAUCCACUCCUGUUUUGUUCAGCUUAAUUAUAUUAUCUCCUCCAUAAAAUCUUGCUUUUACAAGAACUAUGUCGCCACCUUUCAAAUUGAGCUUCUUGUUUGAAAGAUUUCCCAACCAAAGAUAAUAUUCAUGGGAAGCAGUUAUGGCGGCCUUAAUUGUCCAGAUGCUAAAAUGAGUUCGUUGGGUACGAUUAACAACAUCAAUGCAUAGAUCCCCAGUAGAGUUGGAGUUGUCUGAAGAAUAAAUGAUGCCCAAAGCCAACCCUCCUAUAUAAUCAAUACUUGGCGGCACUUCAAAUUUGACAGUUUUAUCCUCUCCCGCGACAUAGGCUAACCAGUUAGGAAUAUCAUUUCCAGAGAGAAAAAUUCCACCAAAUGCAUUUUUCUACAACAUGGGGUGCAAAGUCAGUAUAAGCAACAAUACAAAAAGCAGAGAGAGAGAGAGAGAGUACCAUACCGUUCGGAGGUUCUCCUUAAAAGUAUCAGUGAGACUGGUACACCCUUCCAUUUUAAUGUAAAUUAUCGAACCCAUGUAGUCCAACGAGUUCUUAAAUUUUGGAAUAUCUUGAGUUUGCGGCAGUCUUUCAGUAACAAUAUCCUCAUUUUCGACAUCUCUGAAAUGUCGGACAUUAUUUCCAGUGCAGUGCAGUAAUUCGCUUGCAGUAAAAGCAAACUGUUCGGCAAAUCUGGGAUUUCCUGAAGGUUUGUGCAAUGAUCGAGAAUUAAUACCAGAAGCUGAGAAAGGCCACUGAGAAUGGGUAGCCUAUUAAAACCAUUCCCACCUAGACCUAAAAAUGUUAAAGAAGAUAGACUCCCAAUUAUUUCGAGAACGGCACCAUCUGUUAUAUUGCAGUCACUGAGAUCUAAUACGUCAAUCAUCUUCAGUUGUGCUAAAAAAUGGUAACCCCCACACAAACCCUUACAGCCACUGAGCUCCAAUUUAUUGAGAUGUGGGAGUUUUGAAAAGUCUGGUAAUUCAGUCAGGUGAUGACAGUCGUUAAGAAGGAGAUACUUCAACUUCUUAGGCAACUGUUACUCAAAAAGAGAAAACAAUAAUAAAAAUUCAAAUAAAUAAAAGAGAGAAUGCAUGAUGAUGACUGAUGUUGAUAUUUACAAGGACAUUGAUAAUUAUAUCGUACCAGGUCCGAAUCCUCCCAAACUCGUACGAUCUUGCUGUUGCUCAGGUUUAAAUAAACUAGGUUUCGUUGAUCAAAAUCUGCUGGUAUGGCUUCAAGAGGAAAUCCAAUCCAAUCCAACGCUCUUAACUCCUUGGAAAGAUGUUUGUAGCUUCCAGUCAGCUUUACAUUAGCCAGGUCGAGAAAUUUCAGACGCCACAUCUUCUUAAACGCUUUCGUACUGAAGCUUUGCUCGUCAUCAGAAUGUUCUGGCAAAAAUAAGUGUAGUCCUUCAACUGCUUCUGUUCCCUGUUAGAGAUCCAAAAUAAAAAAGGAUAAUAUUCACACGAAGCAUAGCUGUGAAUUGGAUGAAUGAACUACUAGAAAGGUAGGGCAUACAACAUAAUUAUGUAUUCUCUCUUUCAAUUUACAAUGGAUGAAAGCCUUUUUUCUUAAAAUACACUAUGUACAACAUACAUUAUAUAUAUGCGGAUAUGCGUAUAUACUUCUCUUUAUUUACAUGUACUUAACAUAACAUCUUUUCAUUGCAAAAGUACUUACAGAUUCGUUCCUUAGCACGCUUUUUGCAUCUUCACUAUGCCACAAAUGACUACGUUUUCCCAAUUUCACAGGAGAUUCUGCCCGCACAAUUUCUCUUCCCAUAUCUCGAAUCAAAUCAUGCAUCCUCAAUCUUUUCCUUUCAUCAAUAUAUAGGAGACAUCGAUCGCAGAGUGUGGUAAUUUCUGCUUCUACAGAAAAACGACUACAACCAUCCAAUACUGGAGUGGCCACACUUAUAUGCACUCCAAUAAAGAAAUUAGAUAUGUCUAGGAACACACCCUUCUCAUGAUCAUCACGUAGUCCAUCGUAGCUUAAUUUAAGCGUUUCAUGAAUUUUUCCGUCUGGAAUAUUUCUCAAUUUAUCCAAUGUACUUUCCCAUAUGGUUUUACUCUUUUUCUUAGCCAACAAACGACCAACAACUUUCAGAGCUAGGGGCAAUCCUCCACAAUAAUCAACAAUAUCUCUUGCCAAUUCAAUAUAUUCUUUAUCGGGAUAAUCAUUUCCAAAGGCAUGCCAACUAAGGAGCUCAAAAGCUUCUUUCUCUGUCAUUGCUUGUGCCUUAUAUUUUUUAUCCACCUUUUGUAUAUUCAGCACAUGUUCAUCUCUUGUUGUUAUAAUAAUUCUACUCCCUGGACCAAACGAUUCAUGUUCUAUUGCCAAUUCAUCUAAUUGGUCUGCAUCAUCUAUGUCAUCAACCACGACAAGUACCUUCAUGCUUCCAAGUCUUUUCUUGAUCUCUUUGGUCCCUUCGGCAACACUGCUUACCUUAAUGUCAGGCUGUUUUAAAAUAUCUCGAAGAAGUUGUUCUUGCAAACUAACCAUCGCUUUCUUUUUACUCCUCACAUCUUCAAGGUAACAUUGACGACUAAAACUAUGCUGAUAAUUGCUACAAACGGCUCUGGCAAGCAUUGUUUUACCUAUACCGCCCAUACCACAAAUUCCAAUUAUUCGAACAUCAGGUGAACCUCCAACGUCUAAGUAUUUAGUACAAAAUUCUUGCAAGCGAAAAGCCAUUCCAACUAAGUGCUUGGCUUCUUUAAAGUCUGUGGUUUUCAGUAGUCCUUUGACGUCCCCAACAAUUUUCUCGAUAAACACCCCUUCACACCUACGAGUAGAAAUUCCAAAUUACGAGAGCCAUACUAAAUGCCUUAUUCAUAAUGACUAGAUAUUUACAUAUUGAAACAUAUUUGAAUAAACUGGAUUAAUUGAGCUCAAUUCAACCACGUAUCCAAUCUUUGAUUAUAAUGUGAAUACAUUAGAUCAUUGGUGAUUUGACUAUUAUGCAAUUGUAGCUUUCAGUAAUAUAAUUAAGAAUCCAUUACAAUUGGUAUUUUAAAUUGAUAAAGUGUGGAGCAUUUGUCCUUCACACACCCAUAAAAAACAAAGCACGUACCCUGCGCUUCACUUCCUUAAUUUCCACGGAAAUUAUUAUGCAAAUGCUCUACCUUUUAUAAAAUUCAUAUACCAAUUGUAAUAAAUUUUUAUGUAGGGACCAAAAUUACAGUUCUAUUAUAGUUCAGAGAUCAACGAUCCAAUUUUUCUUAUGACAUAUAAAAUCAGAUUCAAUGCCUUAAUUAUAAUAUCUUAAUUUUGGUUGAUUAGUGAAAUAUGGUGAUAUGAAAUUUGAAGUAAACAAAAAAGUAUACCCGUCGGCCGUGGUUUUGAGGUUCCAGCCGGCCAAAUCUGCAGAAGCCUUAAGAUCCUCUCUCCACUGCUUGACCUCAUUUGGAUCUUCAUCCUUUUCAUGCUUCUGAAAUGCUUCCCCAAAACUAUCUUUCUGUUUCCUGACUUGAGAAGGGUCAACGUCGUAGAAUAUUGGACACACUAUCUUCCCCUCUUGAUCUUUUAGGCACCUCAUGAUCUUCGACAGCUCCCUCAGGCACCACCGGGACUCCGCGUACCUCUUCGAGAAGACGAUGACAGCGAUCCUCGACCCUUCGAUUUCUUGGUCAAGUUCACUCUGUAUGUCUUCCCCCCUUCUGAGCUGUUUGUCUAUAAACGUGUUAAUUCCGGCAUUGCGUAACGCAAUGAAGAGGUGGUCUGUGAAGGUGUUGCGGGUAUCUUCGCCUCUAAAGCUCAGGAACACCUCGUACUUCCAGCGGUUUGAGCUCUGCGAGGAAGACGAAGAGGCGGCAGAGCCAGCUCCUUGGGCGGAGCUGCUGGUAUCCAUUGCAGACCGUAGAAGUGCAGCUUGGCUUUCAAAUAACCAAAGUCAAGUCUUUACCCAGUGUCGGUGGCCGUUUUAGAUAUUUUGCAUGGGCCAAUAAUGUCACUGCUGUGUCGAUAACGCGCUCCCACAGUUUAAUUUGUAUAAAUGCUUUACGAUGCAAUUUCCUUUCUUUUGUAGUCUUUUGAGAAUCUGCCGCCCAACUUUGACCGGUUGACGAUCUUAUUGUAUUAUAAGAUGUGCAUUUUGAUUAUCAUCAUUUAAUGUGAUGUAUGUUCAUCAAAUUAUUUAUUAUUAUUAGAUGAGUUUAAAUUUUAAGAUUUGUACUUAUGCACUACCCACCCGAAUCUCGAAAUUCAAACACAUUUAACGAUGAUAAAUAGAAUGAUAAACAUAUAUCAUACUAAAUAAUGGUGAGCAAAAAUGCUCCCGUAUUUUAAGGGUGGUGCGCAGCACGUUCCAACUGUUGGAGUCAGUAGUAUCAACGGGAAGAGACCUCAUCUCCAACAACCCAUCUUAACAAAAAAUGCAGAAAAUUAAACUCCAACAGGCUAACUAAAUGACUCUUUAUUUUGUGAACGGUAACUAACUAAAUUUAACCAGGAGACAUUCGUAGCUUACGUCAAAAGGAUCAAUGUUGUAAUAUAAGUAAUUUACUUGCUCAAAAUAAGGAUCAAUUUAGCUACGAAAGCAGGGAGAUGAUCGAGCUCACGAUAGCAGAUUUUUUUAUCCUAUCGUCUUGCAAGGGAAACAAGCUACCAAUUGCUUGCAUCAUCUGAAGCCAUCCAACUAAUGGUUGAAUUUCUCAGUCAAGACUAUGCUCAAGGCAUCAGUGUGCAGGCCAGACUCGACAGCAUAGCCACACUACACAACCUCUCGCGCUGCCAUCAGAUUAUUCCGUCUCUGGUCUCUUCGGGCGUAGUGUUUUCAAUGCUAAAACUGCGGCAUGGAAGCUGUUUCUUUUUGAGACUGUUCCAAUUAUGGUUCGAGAAACAAGCAGUCAAGGAAUAAGUUGAUGGGGUGAGUACAACGGCAUUGAGACUGUUCCAAUUAUGCAGGAAGUUGAUGCAGAAGGAGAAAAAGUUGACGGGGUAAGUACAACGGCAUUGAGACUGGUAGAGGAGAAGCUUGCAAAGAUCAGCAGUGGACGAUAAUCUCGACCAAACUCUGAGCUUUGCCAAGCAGAUUAAGAUGUUGGAACAGCCGUUCAUCUUGUUUAUUGAACAAACGAGGAGGACAACAAUGCAGAAUCAACGCUUGAAUUCAAAGUCCCAACAGGCAAAUCGAAAAUAAUCACAAGAGCUUAGAAAAUACCACACCAACAUUUGGCAAGCAGUCUCACAACAAAUCCCACUAUCAAGAUAAAACCAUUCAACGGUGUGUUGGAACAACAGAUUUCAGUUGUGUAAGCAAUCAACAUAAAGGAACAGUGAAUACUUUUGUAACUAUAUAUGGAUUAGCUUCGGGAAUUCAUCAAACCCUCCGAAAAAGAACGUAUAGUGUAGCUACCAUAUUCUCCUUUCAUAUAAGAGCUUAUUUAAUUGACGUUAUAACACCUUUCUACAAAGAAAAAAAAGAAGAAAAUAGGGCCUCUACACCCAUGGCAAAACCCGACAUGGAUUAGAGUACGUUUCAGCCUGACCUUCUGUAAAAGCUAUAGGCCACAGCCACUGUUGCCACAGCUCCAACCACGGCAGCAGCUGCGAGAACAUCGCUUUGCUCCCAGUUCCCGAUCAAGCUUGACAGCUUCCCUAAGGCAUCCUUCCUGGCACACGACUCUCUGGUUUCUUUCACCUUCUUUUCCUCACUUCCAUUGUUCUGCUCUAAACUUACUUCUUUGCAGCAUGUAAAUCCAUUACUAUUAGCACCCUGGCAACAGCCUGAAAAGUUCUCAUUAUUCUGAAUCUGAUUGCCGUUUUCUUAGGGCUUCUCCUCCAUUUUCUUACUUUCUCCUCCAUUUGGAAGCUUCUGGUCAUUAAUUUUUUCAGCUUCAUCCGAAGAUGCUCCCAUUUGGCCCCUGUAAGGAAUGAAAUUGAAUUUCGAGUUCAGCCAUUUAAAGAUUCAACUCUAUGUUUCAUCAAUAGCAAUCGAGUAAGGACAUGUAUGAUCAAGCUUAAUAAACAAUUUGACAACAGUACCUACUUGACCCCGUCCCCCCUUCCCCAAAACCACCUUUGGUUUGGUUCUAUAAAAAAAAAAAAAUUGUUUGAUUUGGUUCACACGAGUUGUUUGAUUUGGUUCCUCAAUGUUAAUGUAACUCCAUAUCAAUAAUCUAUCUUCCAACACUAUAAGUAAUCAGCAAUAGGAAAAUAUGACAACAGAAGCUUCAGUUCCAGUGAACUUUUCAUCAGCAGACGGUUGGCAAAACCGAAAACACACAAUCCUCCAAAGUCGUUCUAUGAUCUCUCCCUUCCCAAUAUGCUGAUCAAGCAAUUCCGGCACAUCCUUAGGAGUGACGUAGCCAUACCUGCAAUUAUUAAUACCAUAAUAUUCAAAUUCCUUCAUCUAUCCCAAUACAAUAAAUUUUACAUUGUUAUGAUCCGGAUAUUACCAAUGGCCUGUUAUGCUUCCAUCUGAACCUGGGCUGUAGACAAUCAAGUUUCCAGCACACUUGUGGUCUCCAAUGUGAGAGCAAGCAGUAACAAAUACCUGAUUUGUCAAUCCUCGCAGCUCAGCCUCCUCUUUGAACUUAUCAAUGAGAAUAGGUCCACAAACUCCACAUUUUUAUCUCGACUUCCAUGUAGACCUGUAAACGGGUUAGGUUUAUUGGGUUUGGGUCGGGUUGAACCCGACCCGUUAAGUUAACGGGUCACCCGAACCCGACCCGUUAAGCUAACGGGUCACCCGAACCCGACCCGUUAAGCUAACGGGUCACCCGUUUCACCCGUUAACACCCGUUAACAAUUAUUAUUAUUUUUUUUUUGCAUAAAGUUUAUUUUUUGUUAUUAAAACUUUACUAAAAUUACUAAAAUAUCCUCAACUAACGGGUGCUAACGGGUGUUAACGGGUCUAACGGGUUGACCCAAAGUGACCCGUUAUUUAACGGGUGUUAACGGGUUCACCCGUUAGCGACCCGACCCGUUAAGCAUCCACCCAAAUACAAAUAUUAACGGGUUGGGUCGGGUUAACGGGUUGGGUCCAAAAUGCCAGGCCUACUUCCAUGUGCACAUACAAAUACAUGGGAGCCAGUCAACGCCUCUUGCACUACGGAAGCCCAUGGUUUGUCGUUCACAAGGACAUCAAUUGGUUAGAAACCAAGCCAUGUUACCGGCACACAGCCUCAGAGUAAACAAGGAAAAUUUCAAGGUAUCAACACUAAAACUAGUCCAAAACACACUAAAUUAGCUCAAUUCGAGACUUCGUAAAUUGAAAUGGGAAAAUCAUAAACUCUAUCUCUAGUUAGCAAUCAUCGAAAUCUCCUAGUCAAAUAAAGCAAAUCUGAAGAAUCAAAACACCACUCACUGGUUAAUUAUCUAAAUCCUAUAAAUUUCGGUUAAAAUUAAGCAACUACAGAACAAAAACAUCUUUACCUGUAUUUGAUCAUUUGUGGGAAAAUCAACACUUCGCCGUCGGAAAACUCAGUUCCUUCGCGUCCUUUAAUUACUGUCGGGUCUAUCAAAAACCAAGAAAAAAGUGAGUAAUGGAGUCAACUCAGCUCAACACCAGAACUCAGUAGCUCCAGUAAAUAAGAAACGGCAAGAAAAGCGAAACGCCGACGAGUUGAACUGCAAAACGGACCUUAACGGCGAUGUCGUUCUUGCGAGCUUUGAGAGCGGAGGCGAAGAACUUAGGGAGCAGAACGGACUCAGAGCCUUCGACGCACGACGGCCAGGCCUCGGGGGUCUUGUAGCAGAGUAAGACGUGGCGGUCGUACGCGUUGACAGUGCCAGCAAGUUUUUCCUUGCACAUCUCCAAUCUCUUGAAACCGAACCUCUCGUCUUCGGUGGCUGGAACGGCGACGUCGAGGUCAUCGGAGACCAUUGCUAGGGCUCGGAGAGGAGGGAGGGGUUUACCAGGGGUUGAAGUUGAAAACGAUGAGAGGGAAAAGAUGAGAGAGAAAGAGCGUUGUUGUUUGGUUGUUGUGUUGAUAUAACGAGGAGGCUGAGAAGGGAACCGCGGUGUCGGUGUGGGUGUAGGUGCGUGCGCAACACAUACGGCGCACGAUGGGGUUUCUGAAGAUCGGAGUCGGGACGCGUGGGAUUGGGCACGUGGGGUUUGAUUUGUAGUUCAUGUAUAUACCUCUUUUUUGAGAAUAAAGAUUUUUUUUGGAUCCUCUUUGUAGGGAUUUUAUAGUUUGUGUAUCGUAUUCAUUCAUUGUAAAUCAGACGGUUAGAAAUUACUUUAAAUCUAUAAAUUUAAAAUUAAACACAAAUAAUAUUUAAAGAAAAUUGACUGCAUAAUUAAUACGAUAAACGAACACAAUUAAAAAAUUCUCAGAAUCCUCGUAAAAAGAAUCCGAACUCUUUUGAUGUCUCCGAUCAUAUCGGACGGAAGCUAAAAGAUAAUUCGUGCACGCAAAAAUGGAAGGUCCUACAAACGGAGGAGGACCACUCUCUAUUCCCGGGAAGUGGGGUACAAGCGCGUAUGUAUAUAUCACCCAAUGGGGCACCAAUAUGUUGUACUAGCAGGGAACUGAAUGAGGUGAAAUUGGAAAAUCCCUUAAACUUGGUGAUGUGGCGACCUGUGAUUCGGCCUUCACAUUCUGUCAAGAAACAGGCCGGUCACUUUGUUGAUUAAGUCAAGCAGUCAGCCUUAGCCCGACGUGGACAAGUUCUGGAAGUCUUGUUUCGCUCAUUUAUUUAUUUCUUGUCAAUGACGUGUAAUAUUUGAUUUCAUUUGUUUUUUUGGUGGACUAAUAUUAAAUAUACUUUUGUCAAUGAAUUAAUGAUACAAUUUAGAACGGUGAUAUUCACACAUUUUGCACAUAUUCUUCAAUUUGAUAGUUGAAAAUUGAGAAGAAUGUGUGUGAAAUGUAAAAAGAACGUGUAAAUAGCAUAUCCCUACAAUUUAAUAUAAAGGAAUGUAGAUUUCAAACAACGAUUGUUUUUUAAGGUAACGCUUUUGUUCUUGAUUUUUCAUGUUUGAGCUUGAAAUGAACCGCUUUCAUAAUCUAUUGUAUUACUUUGUGUUCAGUUGAAUAAAGUAUCUUUUUCCAACGAAAAAUAAACGGAAUGGCAUUUAAAUAAGGAGUGUAGAGAGUGUAUGCGUAAGGAAAGAGGCAUGCAAAAUUCAUUUCAGCUCAUACAUCUUUGUGUUGCUUAUGUUGGUCUUUCAAUUAAUUAUGUUGAGAGUGAGGAAAUAAAUUGUACUUAGCAGUGUCAAAUUACAACCCUAAUCGAAAAACGUCUUGUUCGCCGGACCUACUCGACUGCUCCGAACAAUGUAAGGCCGAAAGGCGGACGAUACAUAAUCGGGUUUUUUCGAAGUAGGCAUUCAUAAACAUCAAGGAAGCAUACUUGGUAGAAAAUGAAAGAUCCUCAACUUCAUUCCUCAAAUUUUCAAUGCAAUUGAAUUUCCUCAAAUCUAAGGAACUACCAGAUUGUAAUGCUUGCAAUGGAAGGGAACCAUUGUGUACAUGUAGCAUCCACAUGAAUCAGUUGGAGGCUUGUUGGAGUUUUUAACGGAAUGACCAAAAUGAUGGAUGGUAGACAAUCUCAAGGACCACUUUUGAUUAUUUACCCUUCUAUUGAAUUUGCAAAGGGGAAGAAGUUUUAAAUCCAUUACAAAAGAGAUAAUUGCAGCAUGAUUGAUAACAUGCUCAUCACGUGAUUGGGUUCCUAAAAUUCCCAGGUUGUUGCAGGCUUCCUCGUCCUUGUAGAAUAUUUUGUUCAACAAUUCCAGAGAAAAACAAUUAUUCGAUUCGUUUCAGGUAACAGAUGAGUAGCUUAAUUCAAAACUUGUUUUCGUUCUAGAAGUUUAGAUUAUACAAGUGAAUGGUCAAUAUGAUAUACUCGAUAAAAUUACAUGUCUCCUUUUAAAUUUAAAGUUCAUUAUUUUGAAGUGAUUUUUGGAAUUUAAUUUUUCAAUUUAUUUGAUUGAGAGGUGAGGAAUUGGAGAUAAUUAAUUAUGUUUGGGGGUUAACUGGUAUCCUCUAGAAUAUGUUUUUUUUUUUAAUGAGGAAUCCUCUAGAAAAUGUUUAACUUUAUUUUAAAUUUUCAUGUGGUUUUGGCUUCAAUGAGGCAAUGGCAUAUGUGUAAAUAAACAAAAGUUUAAUUCUAACCUAAGGGGGCUGACGGAAGUCAGGGGCAUGGAUGGAAAAGGAGUUUCUUACUUUGCACGUGGGGCUUUAUUGUUUGGGUUAUUCCUCCUAGCUUUUGUCAUUUUCAUUAAAAUUUAAAUCUUUUUAUUAAGUAAAAUUAUUAAAUAGUUUUUUUAUUAAGAAAUUGUUAUUAGGAUUCUAAAAAUCUCAUUUAGCAUUCUAAAUUUUUUAUAAUUAGAAAAAAAAAUACACUUAUAAGAAGUGUAAAUGAGAUUUUUGAAAUGCUAAUAACAAUUCGAUUUUAUUAAUAAAAAGUUUGAAGAAGGCCUUUUCAUUAAAAUUCCCCCAAAAAAAAAGGAGUAUGCUUCUUCCUAAAACGCUUCUUUAGGCCAUAUAAACAAACAGUGAGACGUAAAAACAUGCCCCAACCUCAAAUAUUUCUCUCACAAACAAGGAGAGAAUUUUCAGUGUGACCGGUACACAAGGUGGUACACCACGUAUCACUAAACAAAUAAUAGGAUAUGUGUGCUAAAAAGUUAAUAACUUAAAAAAUAAAAUUUCCCACUAUUCUUAUUAAAACACGUGAUGUAUCACUUAUAUUCCCGUCACAACUAAAAAUUUCCCUACAAACAGAGAGACGUAAAAACAUGCUGCCAUGGGCUUCAGAGAGGAAAAAAGAUCAGGAAAAAAAAUGACCUGAUUGGGUAAGACUUGUACACAAGUUUGUAGUAAAUGUCUACGUACCUUCCUUACAAGUCUGUCUCUUUACUGUGCUUUCCUUCAAUUCACUGUUGUUUCUUCAUCGUCAAAGCUUUCAAUAUUAAGAUCAAACCUUAAUGUUUUGCAGACCUCAUCAGAUGAGUGAUCUCUUAACUCUGUACCAUUGUGGGUGUCGUCAUCAAACUCAUAUGGUAUAGUCUAAUAGUCUGCCUCAUCAGUAUCAUCAUCUCACUCUAAUGGUACACGCUCAUAGUUCACAUUUUUUAUUUCUGAAGGUAAACAAUGUUCCCAUCCUACAAAAUUCACUCCUGUUUUCUUCACCUUACGAACCUUGUCCCCCCUUUUCAGAUUGAGCUUCCUGUUUGAAAGACUUCCCAGCCAAAGAUAAUCUUCAUGGGAAUCAGUUAUGGUGGCAUCCAUUCACCAGAUGGAAAAAUAAGUUCUCUGGGUAACCACAUCGAGGCAUAGAGACCCACUACACUGGGAUGGUCCGAAGAAUAAACGAUGCACACAGCCAACCCUCCUAUAUAAUCAAAACUUGGCGGCACUUCAAAUUUGACAUUUUCUUCCUCUCUCACGACAUAGGUUAACGAUUAAGGAAUAACAUUUCAAGAGCGACAAAUUUCACCAAAUACAUCCCCCACCUUCCAUUUCUACAACACGGCGUGCAAAGUUUGUAUAAGCAAACAAUACGAGAAGGGCAGAGCGAGAGAGAGAGAGAGAGAGAGAGAGAGAGAGAGAGAGAGAGAGAGAGAGAGUAUCAUGCAACAAAACAUAAAAACUCAUCUGGGAGAAUUAUGACUCUUGUGAAUUGGUAGUAUUAUCGAUGCAUAUGUUAUAUGAUCUUCAAACUCGCUAUAGCGUGACUUUUUUUUUUUGUAUCUUUUUCAUCAACUUCAUUUGUUUUUUUUUUUUUUCAAGUAGAGCUGAUAAACUUAAAAUUUAUCCACAACCUAAAAAAUGGAAGAAAAAAAAAGAGGUGGAUGUACAAAAUCCUUGCUAUGCCCUCUAUAUUCAACAGAACAAUAAAUUGAGUUAACGGAUAUAAUUGAAGUACCAUAUUUGAUUGUGUUUGAGAACCAUAAUAAGGAAAAAAAAAAACUACUCUAGAAUGAAGGUAAAACUCGUGACAACAAUGGUGUACAUCUAAAAAAUAGUUCAAGCAGAUUAAGAUGUUAGCGCAUAGACAAAUAUCUCGUUUAUUGAACAAACGAUGAGGAUAACAAUGCCGUUUUCUCUCUUUCGAAAUUCAUAAACAACAAAAUUGAGAUUUGUUACACAAAAAUUACCAUAAAUUUUGACAGAAUUGGCGGUUGAAAUAUAAGUCCAGCAUCCAAAUCGAAAACAAUCAUAGGAGCUUAGAAAAUACCACAUCAACCUUUAGCAAGUAGUCUCAUAAGAAAUCCCAAUCAAGAUAAAACCAUUCAACAGUUUAUUAGACUUCUCCUUUCAUAUAAGAGCAUGGUUCGGAGGAUAAUUUAAUUGACCUCAUAACAUCUUUCUACAAAGAAAAAAUGAAAAAGAAAAUAGGGCCUCGACACCUGUGGCAAAACCCGACAUGGAUUAGAGUACUUUUCUGCCUAACCUUCUAUAAAAGCAAUAGGCCACAACUACUAUUGCCACUGCUCCAAUCAAGCUUGACAGCUUCCGUAAGGCAUCCUUCCUGGCACACGACUCCCUGGUUUCUUUCGGCUUUUUUUCCUCACUUCCACCGUUCUCCUCCAAACUUACUUCUUCGCAACAUGUAAAUCCAUCACUAUUAGCACCCUGGCAACAACCUGAAAAGUUCUCAUUAUUCUCAAUUUGAUUGCCCUUUUCUUGGUGAAUCUGAUUGCCAUUUUCUUGUGGCUUCUCCUCAAUUUUCUUAUUUUCUUCUCCAUUUGGAAGCUCCCGGUCAUUGAUUUCUUCAGCUUCAUCAGAAGAUGCUCCCAUUUGGCCCCUGUAACAAAUGAAAUUGAAUUUCGUGUUCAACUAUUUAAAGAUUCAACUCUAAGUUUCGUCAAUAUCAAUUGAGUAAGAACAUGUAUGAUCAAGCUUAAUAAACAAAUCACAACCACAUUACAAAUAAAAACAUAUACAGGGUAAUGCAGUUAUAUCCAAUUCUUUUGUGCUUUCUCCACAAAAGUUCCUCCAUGUUAAUGUAACUCUAUAUCAAUUAAUCUAUCAUACAAGACUAGACAUAAUCAGCAAUUGAAAACUACGACAACACAAGCUUCCGUCCAGUGAAAAUUUCAUCCAAAGAUAGGCAAAACCAAAAACGUACAAACCUCCACAGUCGUUUUAUAAUCUUUCCCUUCCCAAUAUGCUCAUCAAGCAAUUCCGGCACAUCAUCAGGAGUGACGUCGCCAUACCUGCAAUUAAUAAUACAUUUUAUUCAAAUUCCAUUGAUCCCAAUACAACAAAAUUUUAAAUUGUUAUGAUCCGAAUAUUACCAAUGGCCUGUUAUGCUUCCAUCUGAACCUGAGCUAUAGAUAAUCAUGUUUCCAUUGUGGCCUCCAGUGUGAAAGCAAGCAGCAACAAAUACCUGAUUCGUCAAUCCUCGCAGCUCAACCUCCUCUUUGAACUUAUAAAUGAGAACACGUGCACUAUCAUGAUUCCAUUCCUCUCGACUACCUUGUGCACAUACAAAUACAUGGGAGCCAGUCAACGGCUCUUGCACUCUGGAAGCCCAUGGCUUGUCAUUCACAAGGACAUCAUCAACAAAGUUGUCCACAUCCGACUCUUUCAAACCCCUUUGAUCAAGAAACAAAAACAAUCCCAAAAUCACAAAAAGGAAUUUACAGGAAACAAUAACCUAACACUCUUUAAUUCCUUAUAAGGCAAGGAAUUAGUCUUAAAUUGAGUCAUUAAAUUAAAUUUCUAGUACUAAUUUCAGAAGAUAACACAUAUCUAAUUAUCUACUUAGUUCAUGACAUUUAGCACAAUUUCGUAAUCAAAAGAGAAGUCGAAACAGAAAUUACUUCAGUCAAAACUAGGAAAAUAAAUUGCACUGCUCAUCUUGGUUAUGGAAUGGGCCCUUGAUUAUGAAUUAAUUACGGUUUGCCAUUGUGUGCGCUAGUGUGGGCCGUGCUUAACAACUGGGUUGGGCUGCUGCAUUUGGGCACAGGGUGCAGCUCUCAAGCGUUUUGGGCUGGGUUUCACCGAAAGAUCCAAUAACUAUUUUGCCCCCUUCAGUCCUAAUCCAACGGCCACCAUUUUGGGCGUUUGUGUUCUGCAAUUCAGUGGUUGGGGGUUGGGGGUUGUGGUGGGGGGGGGGCGUCAGGAUCUCUUCAAGGAGAUCGUGCAGAGAGGCAGCGAGAUGUUUCGGUUCUGUCUUCUUCGACUCUUAUAUCGUCCCUUUUUUCUGAAUUUUCUUUAUUUCUUAUCCUUUAAACUUUGUAUUUUUUUUUUUGGUGAUGCAGAUAGAUGAACAUGUUCAAAGGGAAAUCAUGAACCACAGAUCACUGCAUCCGAAUGGACCGAAUAUCGUUUGAUUCGAAGAGGUCAGUGAUCAUAAACUAUUUUAUAAACUAUUUUCAUUUUGUUUUUUAAGAAUGAAUUCGGCAAGUUCUGUUUGAAUUUUGUAUAAGUAUCUGCUGAUGGUGGGUGGAUGAAGACAGAACAUGCUAAAUUUGGCCUUUGGUGUGCUCAAACUGGUACGGGGGAUGGUUAAAACUUUGAGCCUGGGAUGCAGUAGGACUAACAGAAAUCCACCACUUGCAGAAUUGUUGUCAAAAUAACUCUGCUAAAAAUAUGAGCUAUACUUCUUGCACUUUGUUUUUACUGUGAAGUGGAAAUAGUCUUUAGAGUGGCUUAUUUGUGAUAAUUGAUAAAGAGGUUUGUGUUUAAGACUUGAGAGUAGUGCGGUGUCUUUCUCGCUGGUUCUGCUCACACCACCUCAUCUAGCCAUUGUGAUGGAGUACACGGCUGGGUGAGAACUCUUCGAGAGAGUAUGCAGUGCUGGCAGAUUUAGUGAGGAUGAGAUAAAGUAGUUUCAAAUGCACAGAAAAUUUCAUUGGAAUUGAUUUUAGUGUAGAGUCUCAAAUAUGGGAUCUCUAAAUGUCCCCUGAAAUGGAAUCCAUCUCGAUUUUUGCUUAGUUUCAGAUAGGGAAGGUUAUGUCUGAAGCAUUUUUACAUAAACAAUCAGUCAUAAUAUAACAAAAACGAACUUACUUUUUCGAUAUAAUUGUUGUUUUGCAUCAGGCAAGGUUUUUUCCUCCAGCAAUUGAUAUCAGGAAUUAGUUGCUGGCUUUUGAUGGUAUGUAAUGUGGCACUUUUCUGCUAAUCGUAUACUGUUAUUUCUCUUUUGAUAUUGGAAGUGUUGGUUGUAGUAAGGAAAUAAUUCGUUUCAAUAGUUUACGACUUAGUUUUAAUAGUAUAUGACUCAGUUUUUGAAUAGCACUCGGGUGGUUUUUGAAUAACAGUAUUACGACUUAGUUUUCUAAAUGCCAAUAACAGCUCUAGAUUUUGUCUCAAGUGGAGUAUUCUUACUAAUGUAGCAUUUUGUUGGCGCAUCAGUAUGUUUUGAUUGUUUCUCUGCUUGAACAGAGAAUUGUUAACGUCCAGGUGGGAACGUGGGUUGGCUCAUGUUUUAAUCUCUCCGUUGUAAGCAAUUUUACAUGGUAUUCUUCAAUGUAGCUAUAGGUAAGACAACAGUCUCAGUAUUCCAUAAUCUAACCACCAUUUGAACUUUUUUCAUCCACCAAGCUAAGCUUUUAUGUGCCAUCUUGAAUGGUUAUUAUAAGUUAUUGCUUCAGAUUACUCCAGUGCGACAUUAUUGUUCUCUUCCUUACCUCUCAAGCUUGCUUAAUGUCCUUAUUCUUAUUACUGUUGUAUUGUUAAGAAAUACUCAAAUGCGGUUUCAGUUCAUCAUUAUGAAUCAGAUUAAAAUUAACCACUCACUGGUUAAUUAUCUAAAUCCUAUAAAUUCAGAUUAAAAUUAAAGCAACUACAGAACAAAAACCUCAAGAAAUCAACACGAAUUUACCUGUAUUUGAUCAUUUGUGGGAAAAUCAACACAUCGCCAUUGGAAAACUCAGUUCCUUCGCGUCCUUCAAUUACUGUCAGCAACGUCUAUCAAAAACCAAGAAAAAAGUGAGUAACGGAGUCAAUUCAGCUCAACACCAUAACUUAGUAGCUCCAGGAACUAAGACACGGUAAGAAAAAAUAAUCGGAAAUGCUGACGAAUUGAGCUGGAAAAGGGACCUUAACGGUGAUGUCGUUCUUGCGAGCUUUGAGAGCGGAUGCAAAGAACUUAGGGAGUGGAUCGGACUCAGAGCCUUUGAUGCGCCAUGGCCAAGCCUCGGGGGUCUUGUAGCAGAGGAAAACUUGGCGAUUGCUCAACUGCGUAUCGUCCUUAGUGUCUUCAUCAGACUCAUAUGACAUAGUCUCAUAGUCGUACCAAUUAGUACGACCAUCAGACAAAUCCCAUUUUACAAUAUCCACUCCUGUUUUGUUCACCUUAAUAAUUGUAUUAUCUAGUCCAGAAAAUUCUGCUUUUACAAGAACCAUGUCACCGCUUUUCAGAUUGAGCUUCUUGUUUGAAAGAUUUCCCAACCAAAGAUAAUAUUCAUGGGAAGCAGUUACGGUGGCCUUCAUUGCCCAGACGCGAAAGUUAGUUCGCUGGGUACGAUUAACAACACCAAUGGUUAGAAUCCCAGUACAGUCAGAGUUGUCCGAAGAAUAAACGAUGCCCAAAGCCAACCCUCCUAUAUAAUCAAUACUUGGCGGCACUUCGAAUUUGACAGUUUCAUCCUCUCUUGCGACAUAGGCUAACCAGUUAGGAAUAUCAUUUCCAAAGAGAAAAAUUCCACCAAAUGCAUUUUUCUACACCAUGGGGUGCAAAGUUAGUAUAAGCAACAAUACGAGAGAGAGAGAGAGAGAGAGAGAGAGAAAGAGAGAGAGAGUACCGUUUUGGAGGUUCUCCUUAAAAGUAUCAGUGAGACUGGUACACCCUUCCAUGUGAAUUGAUUCCAUGUAGUCCAAUGAGUUCUCCAAGUUUGGAAUAUCUUUGAGUUUGCGGCAGUCUUUCAGUUCCAAUUUCCUCAUUUUCGACAUCUCUGAAAAGUCGGACGUUAUUUCCAGUGCAGUGCAGUAAUUCGCUUCCAGUAGAAGCAAACUGUUCGGCAAAUCUGGGAUUGCCUCAAGGUUUGUGCAAUGAUUUAGAUGUAAUUCCUGAAGCUGAGAAAGGCCAUUGAGAUUGGGCAGCCUAUUAAAACCAUUCCCAUAUAGAACUAAAUAUUUUAAAGAAGAUAGACUCCCAAUUAUUUCGAGAAGGGCACCAUCUGUUAUAUUGCAGUCGCUGAGACCUAAUGCCUCAAUCAUCUUCAGUUGUAGUAAAAAAUGGUAACCCCUACACAAACCCUUACAGCCACUGAGGUUCAAUUCCUCGAGAUGUGGGAGUUUUGAAAAGUCUAGUAAUUCAGUCAGGUUAUGGCAGUCUUUAAGAAUGAGACACUUCAACAUCUUAGGCAACUUCUUAGGCAACUGUUACUCAAAAAGUGAAAACAAUAAUAAAAAUAUAAAUAAAUAAAAGAGAGAAUGCAUGCCGAUGACCGAUGUUGAUAUUUACAAGGACAUUGAUAAUUAUAUCGUACCAGGUCUGAAUCAUCCCAAACUCGUACAAGCUUGCUAUUUCUCAGGUCAAUAAAAACUAGGUUUCGUUGAUCAAAAUCUGCUGGUAUGGCUUCAAGGGGAAAUCCAUCCCAAACCAACAAUCUUAACUCCUUGGAAAGAUGUUUGUAGCUUCCAGUCAGCUUUACAAUUUCCAGCCGGAUAAAUUUCAGACGCCGCAUCUUCUUAAACGCUUCUGUACUGAAGCUUUCCUCGUCAUCAGAAUCUUCUGGCAACCUUAAGUUUAGUCCUUCAACUGCUUCUGUUCCCUGUUAGAGAUAUAAAAAAAAAAAAUGAUAAUAUUCACACGAAGCAGAGCCGUGAAUUGGAUGAAUGAGCUACUAGAAUGGUAGGGCAUACAACAUAAUUAAUUAUGUAUUUUCUCUUUCAAUUUACAGUGGAUGAAAGCCUUUUCUUCUUUUUCUUCAAAUAUAGGCAUACAUUAUAUAUAUGCGGAUAUGUGUAUACACUUCUCUUUCUUUACAUGUACUUAACAUAACAUCUUUUUAUUGCAAAAGUACUUACUGAUUCGUUCAUGAGCACGUUUUUUGCAUCUUCACUAUGCCACAAUCGGCUACGUUUUCCCAAUUCCACAAGAGAUUCUGCCCGCACAAUUUCUCUUCCCAUAUCUCGAAUCAAAUCAUGCAUCCUCAAGUAUCCCUCUUCAUCAAUAUAUAAGAGACAUCGUUCGUAAAGUGUGAUAAUUUCUGCUUCUACAGAAAAACUACUACAACCAUCCAAUAUUGCCGUGACAAAAAUUUUACUCCAUCCAAUAAAGAAACAAGAUAUGUCAAGGAAUACACCCUUCACAUGAUCAUCACGUAGCCCAUCGUAACUUAAUUUAAGCGUUUCAUGAAUUUUUCCAUCUGGAAUAUUUCUCAAUUUAUCCAAUGUACUUUUCCAUAUGCUUUUACUCUUUUUUGUAGCCAACAACUUCAAGAGCUAGGGGCAAUCCUCCACAAUAAUCAAUAACAUCUCUUGCGAGCUCAAUAUAUUCUUUAUCUGGACAAUCAUUUCCAAAGGCAUGCCAACUAAGAAGCUUAAGAGCUUCGUCAUCAGUCAUUCCUUGUGCUUUAUAUCUUUUAUCCACCUUUUGUAUAUUCAGCACUUGUUCAUCUCUUGUCGUUAUAAUAACUCUGCUCCCUGGACCAAACGAGUCAUGUGCUAUUGCCAAUUUAUCUAAUUGGUCCGCAUCAUCUAUGUCAUCAACCACGACAAGUACCUUCAUGCUUCCAAGUCUUUUCUCUAUCUCCUUGGUUCCUUCGGCAACACUGCUUACCUUAAUGUCAAGCCGUUUCAAAAUAUCUCGAAGAAGUUGUUCUUGGAGACUAACCAUAUUUUUCUUGUUACUCCUCACCUCUUCAAGGUAACAUUGACUGCUGAAACUGUGACUAUAUUUGCUACAAAUCUCUUUGGCAAACGUUGUUUUACCUAUACCGCCUGUACCCCAAAUUCCAAUUAUUUGAACAUCAGGUGAACCUCCAACGUCUAAGUAUUUAGUGUUGAAUUCUUUCACGCGAAGAGCUAUUCCAACUGAGUGCUUGGCAUUUUUGAAGUCUCUGGGGGUCAAUCGUCCCUUGAUGUCCCCAAUAAUUUUCUCAAUAAACACUCCUUCGCGCCUACAAGUAGAAAUUCCAAAUUACAAGAGCCAUACUAAUGCCUUAUUCAUCAUGACUAUAUAUUUACAUAUUGAAACAGGUUUGAAUAAAUUGUGAUUUACUGAGCUCAAUUCAACAACGUAUUUAAUCUUCAAUUAUAAUGUGAAUAGAUUAGAUCAUUGGUCAUUGGACUAUUACACCAUUGUAGCUUUCAGUUAUAUAAUUAAGAAUCCAUUACAAUUGGUAUUUUAAUUUGAUAAAGUGUGGAGCAUUUGUUCUUCACACACCCAUAAAAAACGAAGCAUUGUACCCUGCAUUUCACUUCCUUAGUUUUGACGGCAAUUCAUAUGCAAAUGCUCUACCAUUUAUAAAAUUCAUAUACCAAUUCUAAUAAAUUUUUAUGCAGUGACCAAAAUUACAAUUCUAUCAUAGUUCAGGGACCAAUGAUCCAAUUUUUCUUCUAACAUAUAAAAUCAUAUUCAAUGCCUUAAUUAUAAUUUCUUAAUUUUGGUUAAUUAGUGAAAUAACUCCGCCUGUGUAAGUUUAUCUUACAUUGCCGGUCCCAAGCCCGGGUAAAGGAGGAGGGGGGAGGGCGUCAGGUAGUCGACAGUCGGCACUACACAGUUACGUCGAAUCCUUAUGAAAAUGAAUCCAUAACGAAAUCGCGCUAAAGCUAGGGCGUCACCCGUAAGUGGCGCGCUGUGUGGCCCGAGCACAGUGAUAAGUGAGCAAGGGUCGCUGUAUCUCCAUAGGCACCCGGAUGCAGUGUUAAAUGAGCAAGGGGGCCAUAGAAACUUCUUUUUGAACGACUCCACUCAAAGUUGUUUAGGAGCAUAUGCUCCUAUCAACUUUACACGGGACACACAAAAGAAGUACUUUGAUUCCAUUGGACGGGGGAGGGUGAAGAAGCUAGGACAGAAGGGUAGAGUUCAAGAGAGUAGAAUGCGUUUAGGAACGUGGAAUAUAGGAACCUUAACGGGAAAAUCUAUGGAAGUAGUGGAAGUUAUGGUAAGGAGAAGGAUAAAUAUUAUGUGCCUAUAAGAAACUAAGUGGGUUGGUCUUAAGGCAAAGGAUCUAGAAAACUCAGGGUUUAAACUUUGGUACUCGGGCACAAAUAGAACGAGAAACGGUGUUGGCAUCAUCGUGGACAAGACCUUGACACAAGAUGUUGUAGAUGUCAAGAGGGUAGGAGAUAGAAUUAUGGCAAUCAAGAUUGUAAUAGGACAAGAACUCAUCAAUGUGAUUAGUGCGUACGCACCUCAAGUAGGGUUGGAUGCGAGUUCGAAGGAGAAAUUUUGGGAAGACCUUGGAGACUUGGUGCAAGGAAUUGCCCAGACAGAGAAGUUAUUUAUAGGAGGAGAUUUAAAUGGACACGUGGGCAGGGAGACAGGCAACUAUGGAGGUUUUCAUGGUGGCCAUGGUUUUGGGGAGAGAAACGAGGAUGGGAAAGCUAUCUUGGAUUUUGCAAUGGCAUAUGAUCUCUUCUUAGCCAACACCUUCUUUAAGAAAAGAGAAGAACAUGUGAUCACCUACAAGAGUGGGUUGUCAAAAACACAAAUAGAUUUUCUUCUAAUUUGGAAAGGGGAUCGUAUAACUUGUAAGGAUUGCAAAGUUAUACCGGGAGAGAGCUUGGCUAAUCAACAUCGCUUGUUGGUGAUAGAUGUACAUAUCAAAAGAGUGAGAAAAAAGAACAAGACUUGGAAGUGCCCAAGGACUAGAUGGUGAAAUCUAAAAGGAGAAAAACAAGUCAUUUUCAAAGAGAAAGUAAUCACCCAGUGUGGGUGGGAUAGAGAGGGGGAAGUUAGCCAAAGGUGGGAUUCCAUGGCUAGUUGUAUACGAAAAGUAGCAAAAGAGGUAUUAGGAGAGUCCAAGGGCUUUGCUCCACACCAAAAGGAAUCUUGGUGGUGGACUGAGGAGGUACAAACAAAGGUGAAGGCUAAGAAAGAAUGUUGUAAAGCCCUAUACAAGGACAUGACCGAUGAAAAUGGUGAAAGGUAUAGAAGAGCGAAGCAAGAGGCGAAGAAAGCUGUGAGAGAAGCUAAGUUAGCGGCUUAUGACGAUAUGUAUAAGCGACUAGCAAAAGAAUGAGAGUUGGAUAUUUAUAAACUAGCUAGAGCAAGGGAAAAGAAGACAAGGGACCUAAACCAAGUGAGGUGCAUCAAGGAUGAGGAUGGAAAGGUUCUUGCUACAGAGAACGCGGUCAAAGACAGAUGGAGAGGUUAUUUUCAUAAUCUUUUCAAUGAAGGACAUGAAAUGAGUACUUCUUUAGGGGAGUUGAGUAACUCAGAAGAGUGUAGAAACUACUCAUUUUAUCGUCGAAUCAGGAAGGAAGAAGUGGUUGUAGCUUUGAAGAAGAUGAAGCAUCGAAAAGCAGUGGGCCCAGACGAUAUACCGAUCGAAGUGUGGAAAGUCUUGGGAGAGACAGGUAUAGCAUGGCUCACUGACCUUUUCAAUAGGAUUUUGAAAAUGAAGAAGAUGCCAAAUGAGUGGCGAAAUAGCACUUUGGUGCCUAUCUACAAGAAUAAGGGCGACGUACAAAACUGCAUGAACUAUAGGGGUAUUAAGCUAAUGAGUCAUACAAUGAAGCUCUGGGAGAGAGUCAUUGAGCAUAGAUUGAGGCAAGAGACACGGGUUUCGGACAACCAAUUCGGGUUCAUGCCAGGGCGCUCAACCAUGGAGGCAAUCUAUCUCUUACGAAUAUUGAUGGAAAGAUAUAGAGAUGGGAAAAAUGAUUUACAUAUGGUCUUUAUAGAUUUGGAAAAAGCGUAUGAUAGGGUCCCAAGAGACAUUCUUUGGAGGAUUUUAGAGAAGAAAGGAGUACGAGUAGCAUAUAUCCAAGCUAUAAAGGAUAUGUAUGAAGGAGCAAAGACUGCCGUAAGAACUUAUGAAGGACAAACCGAAAGCUUCCCCAUAACUGUAGGAUUACAUCAAGGCUCAUCCUUAAGUCCUUACCUUUUUGCGUUGGUAAUGGAUGAGUUAAUAGGACAUAUUCAAGAUGAUCUUCCUUGGUGUAUGCUUUUCGCAGAUGAUAUAGUGUUGAUAGAUGAAACUCAGGAAGGGGUAAAUACGAAGCUUAACCUUUGGAGAGAAGUGUUGGAAUCUAAAGGUCUUCGCCUAAGCCGAUCAAAGACAGAAUAUAUGGAAUGCAAGUUCAGUGCAAAUGGAGGCCAAAAUGAGUUAGGGGUGAGGAUCGGAGAUCAGGAAAUGCCAAAGAGCGAUCGUUUUUUCUACUUAGGAUCUAUCUUGCAAAAGAACGGAGAAUUAGAUGGAGAUCUCAACCAUAGAAUACAAGCUGGAUGGAUGAAGUGGAAGAGUGCAUCCGGCGUGUUGUGUGACCGCCGUAUGCCACUGAAGCUCAAGGGAAAAUUUUAUAGGACGACAAUAAGGCCGGCGAUGCUGUAUAGCACAGAAUGUUGGGCGGUGAAGCAUCAACACGUACAUAAAAUGGGUGUAGCGGAGAUGAGGAUGCUUCGUUGGAUGUGUGGGCACACGAGAAAGGAUAAGAUUAUGAAUAAGGAUAUCCGAGGUAAAGUAGGAGUAGCCGAAAUUGUAGAAAAGUUGAGAGAAAAUCGGUUACGGUGGUUUGGACAUGUGCAAAGAAGGCCUACUGACGCUCCGGUUAGAAGAUGGGACUACGGGACAGAGGUUCAAGGCCGAAGGGGUAGAGGAAGACCUAGGAAAACUUUGGAAGAGACUCUAAGAAAAGACUUAGAGUAUUUGGAUUUAACAGAUGACAUGACACAGGACCGAGCACAAUGGCGUUCUAAGAUUCAUAUAGCCGACCCCACUCAGUGAAGAAGGCUUUGGUGUCUUUAACACAAUACGUUGGAAAUGAAGCAAAGCUUAUGUAUUGAUAUCUCCGAUAAGUUACAAAUAUGUACAUAUACAUGAGUCAAAAUAAACAAACAAGAGGGAGCCUUCACAAAGGUUGCUUAGGAGAAGUCUCAGCAGUCGGUAGAGCCCCAGAAAGAGAAGGCACCGGAGGGGGAUCAUUCGGAGCCUCAGUACUGGACAGAACCCUAGAAGGAAGAGGCAUCGGAGGUUGAUCAUUUGGAGCUUCAUUAUGCAGUACAGCCCCAGAAGACGAAGGCAAUAAAUGCCUUUGGAACAAACCCACAAACCGCUGAUGAUCAAGUAAAACUUGACCAUCAGAUUCCUUCAUCUGGUCAAGCUUCCUCUUCAUGUUUAUAACAUAGUUAUGUGCGAGCCGGUGCAACUGUUUAUUCUCAUGCUUGAGCCCGCUAAUCUCCUGUUUGAGACUCAUCACUUCAGCCGCCAAUGAUUCAACUUGGCGGGUUCGAGCAAAUAGGCGUUGGGCCAUAUUAGACACAGAACCUGCACACUGAACACUCAGAGCCAGAGAAUCCUUAACAACCAAUUCAACAGACCGUUUGGAAAGUAGUCUGUUAUCUUUGGGAGUGAGAAGGUUCCUGGCCACCACCGCAGCGGUCAUAUCAUUCUUCAUCACAGAAUCCCCAACGGUAAGAGGACCAGUAGGGGAUAAGAAGGAUGGGCGCCAUAUGUUGUCUGGAGAAGGUGUGGCUGCCUCUUCAACAAGGUUCAAGUCAAAACGACGGUCGGAGGGGCCAGACAUUUUCAAAGGUGUUGAAGAGAGAAAAGGUCAGACAAAUCAAGAUCUUAGAAGUGCAAGAAGGGAGCUUCUACUGGUGAAGAUUCAGGUGUGCUUUGAAACUUAAUGCCAGCCUCUAUAAAAAUCUGCACUUGACGGAGCUUCAGAAAUCAAAGAGGCAUCUGCCCAGAAAUCGAAGAGGCGUUUGCUUUCUCAAAAGUUGGGCUGCUCAGAGACCACGAGGGCCGAUUUCAGAAAUCGAAGAGGCGUUUGCUUUCUCAAAAGCUGGGCUGCUCAAAGACCACGAAGGCUGAUCUCAGAAAUCGAAGAGGCGCUUGCUUUCUCAAAAGAUGGGCUGCUCAGAGACCACAAGGGCCGAUCUCAGAAAUCGAAGAGGCACCUGUUUUUUUUUUUUUCAGCCUUGUCAGCAUCUGUCACAUGCACACUCAGCUUUGCUGAAAUUACGGGCAUUCUGGUGAAGUAGAAAGCACGUGAAUCUUAUUGUUCAAUCAUCCACUUUUCACACGCACCAUCAGCUCAUGGGUACCACAGAUAACUUUGCCAAAGAUCUCUGACAAAGUUUAGACACGUGAAGCUUGCAGCUCCCACUACAUCGCUAUGACCAAGAAGGGUAAAAUAAUAGCAAAGAAACAACACUAACAAAGUUUAGACACAGAAAUUUUGAAGGUCUAGCUAUCAUAUUAUUACCCACAAGGGUAAAGGAACAACAUCACGGCUGGAUAAUUGGAAAGUCCCUGUGUGUCAACCUCUGUGCUCCAUGGCAAGGUAGACUAGCAAACAUGCCCUACCUUUACUCACAUUCGAGAAAACACUCCAAACAAGAUUGCUUGCUCCAAAAUCGAAGAGGCACCGUCCUCCGAAUCUUGAGAGCCAGACUCCCAACAUGAUUACUUUCUCAAAAAUCGAAGAGACACCGCUCUCCGAAUCUCGAGAGCCAGACUCCCAGCAGGAUUGCUCUCUCAAAAAUCGAAGAGGCACCGUUCUCCGAAUCUCGAGAGACAGAUCCCCGACAGGAUUGCUUGUUCGAAAACUGAAGAGGCAUCACUUUCUCAACUUCGAGAGCCAGAUCUCCUUGGAUAAAGCUUGUCUGUAAUCUUCACACGCAACAUCAGCUUUCCAGAUACCACAGACCACUUUUUCAAAGUGCUCUGACACACGUGAAGCUGGCAGCUCCCACUACCGUGCUAUGACCAAGCAGGGUAAAGGAAUAGCAUUACUACUUGUUGUUAGGGAGACUCCUAUAUAUGUCGACCUCCAUCUUCAACGGACAGGCAGACCUGCAAAAAUGCUCAACCAUUCCUCAUAUCUGAGAGGGCACUCCCAACGAAGCCUCUCGAAAUACUCAGCUUUCUUUCCCCCCCCCCCCCCGAUAAUACCUUUGCAAACAAGCUACACCAGAGCAAGAAUAUCUCAUAUCAUCAGGGUUAAAAGCAAGAGUAUCCUAUAUCAUGCUAUUUCCCUGUCUUUUCCUUUGGCCUUGUUCUUACCUGCAAGACAAGGAGAACAUCUACCUAUGAGACAGAUAAGGCAAGUGAAGACGAUACCACACUUCGGUACUUAGAAGUUUCGUGAUUACGAUAUCAUUCUCCCACAAUAUUUCCUUAUGUCAUUUGUACUAAAUCAUUCAUUUGUACCCACUAAAGGAGAGCUUGAACCUAUGUACUUGUGUAAACCCUUCACAAUUAAUGCGAACUCAUCUACUCCAUAGACGUAGCCAAUCUGGGUAAACCACGUACAUCUUAUGUUUGCUUUCCUGUCUCUAUCCAUUUACAUACUUAUCCACCAUAAUGACCAGAGCAAUAAGUUAAUACUUUCUGUUGUACCAAAGUCCUCACUGAUUUUUUGCAUCAACAAGCCUUAAGUCCUUACCCUUUUGCGUCGCAAAUGAUAUAAGGUUGAUAGAUGAAACUCAUGAGGGGUAAAUGCGAAGCUUAACCUUUGGAGAGAAGUGGUGGAAUCUAAAGGUCUUCGCCUAAGCCGAUCAAAGACAGCAUAUAUGGAGUGCAAGUUCAGUGCAAAUGGAGACCAAAAUGAGUUAGGGGCGAGGAUCGGAGAUCAGGUAAUACCAAAGAGCGACCGUUUUCGCUACCUAGGAUCUAUCUUGCAAAAGAACGGAGAAUUAGAUGGAGAUCUCAAUCAUAGAAUACAAGCUGGAUGGAGAGGUGGUCUGUGAAGGUAGUGCGUGUCGUCACCUCUAAAGCUCAAAAACACCUCGUUCUUCCAGCGGUUUGAGCGGCACGGGCAAGACGAAGAGGCUGCGAUGGCGGUUCCAUGGACAGAGCUGAUGGUAUCUAUCGAUAAUUGGUACUAGCGUUGGGAGACUAGAGGGAGUGCAGCAGGCUGUGCGGCUUGGCUUUCAGAUAGCCAAAGCUCAGUCAAAUGUCAUCGCCUAAGUAUUAUAGAGAAACAAAAUGCGUGGAGCGAUAUGAAUAUACAUGUACAUGGCAUUGCAUAAGUUUACUACAAAAUAUGGUAACACCCUAAUUUUUAUGGACAUAGUACUAUCAGUAUUUGUGACUAUCUGCAUUGCAACUAUCCAAUAUUGCCAUGACAAUAGUUAUAUCCCAUCCAAUAAAGAAAUUAGAUAUGUCAAGGAACACACCCUUCACAUGAUCGGUACUUAACCCAUCGUAGCUUAAUUUAAGCGAUUCAUGAAUUUUUUUCAUGUGAAAUAUUUUAUUCAAUGUACUUUCCCAUAUGCUUCUACUUUUUUUCGUAGCCAACAAAUGGCCAACAACUUUCUGAGCUAGGGGCAAUCCUCCACAAUAAAGAACAACAUCUUCUGUGAUGUUGAGGUCGUUGCUGUCAACGAUCCCUUCAUCACCACCCGACUACAUGGUAAGUAAUUUACAUGGGUUUCCGCCUGUGACUGAAAACAGGUUCUCAGCUGAGUAGAUAGAAGUAUGCAGGGUUGCCAGGGCAUACAAUUCAUUAGUUGUGGGAUAUGUAUAUAUCUCGUCACGUCCCAUGCAGACACAUACCAACAUUUCAGGAUCGGGUGGAUUGAGUCUUAAAAUUGAAAAUUAGUUUAUAUGACAAAUUGAAAAAAAAAAGAAAAAAAAAAGUAAGCAAGCUCAUAUGACAUUUAAAAAAAAAAAUUCUUGUUCUCAAUUGUAGAACAUAGCUCUAACCACUUAUUGCACAAACACAUAAACCAUGACGAUGAUACGUUUGUUAGUUCUCAGUUUUUAUUUUGGACUUGGAAGUUGUGGGCACGGUGUUGCUGUUAGGAACGGAUUCAACUCUGAUGUACCUCUAACUAAUGCAUUGGUGACCGGUUCUGUCAAAACCGCUGCCAGCUUGUUCCGGUUGCAGAGAAAAAUGUGAUUUCUUGUUGCUCCAUGAUUGCUCUUUCACACUUAACAGGCAAGAACACUUACAUCUAUGAUAGGUGAAGAGAGAAAUUUCCUUGAAAUGAGGUGGUUUAUAGAACACUCAAGGCUCAAGCCAACCCCUAAGAUAUGUCUCUAAUUAAUGAUGUGUAAGACAUACUUACAUGUAAAUUUCUCUAAUGUCACUGAUCAAAUUGGAAAUUAUUAAUUUAUAUUUGUUAAGAUGAUAAGUUACUUAAAAAAAAUAAAAAAAGGACUCGUGACAUUGCUUCUCUAGAAAGUGCUUAAGCUAGAAGUGCUUCUAUUAUAACCACAUUGAAAUUUUUAUUAGAAACUCAAGUACAUUCUAAAAAACCACUUAAGGAUGCUUUUCGAAAAUAAAAAAAAGGCGUAUGCUUCUCCAUGAACCGCUUCUUUGAGCCAUAUGAACAAUUUAAACAAACCCCUAACUAGCGAGCAUGGCCUAGCCCAACCCCCAAUAUUACUCUUAGAAGCAACGAAAUUGAGAUGUAAAAACAUGUUUUCAUGGUCUUUAUAGAGGAAAAAGAUAGGGUAAAAUGACCUAAAUGGGUAAGAUUUAUAAACAAGUUGAUUCAUGCUUCAUAAUUGCAUCAGUUCCUUUGCAGUUUGUAGUAAAUGUCUACGUACCUUCCUUACAAGUCUCUUUACUGCGCUUUCCUUCAAUUCACUGUUGUUUUGUCAUCGUCAAAGCUUUCAAUAUUAAGAUCAAACCUUAAUAUUUUGCAGACCUCAUCAGAUGAGUGGCCUCUUUAACUCUGUACCAUCGUCAGUGUCGUCAUCAAACUCAUAUGGUAUAAUCUGAUAGUCUUCCUCAUCAGUAUCAUCAUCUCACGCUGUCACGCCCCGAUCCCCACAUACGUCCAGGAUCGACACUUGACGUCAUCAAAUAACCACAUAUCUAACAUACCCCGCCUCCAAGAUAUGUACAAAGCACAACUCGAGAAUCGAAUCGCAUAGAAGUAUUUCGUAUACUUUAUGGCUGCAUCUAACCUCUUCGUUAGACUGCCUACAUACCCUCAUUAGGGAUCAAGCCAUUCGUAGUUCGUCAUUCAUUACACCUCGACAUUUAUCACAAUACGUUCAAAUCGAAAAGCAUAGCAUUCCUCAAUCAAUUAUUAGAACUUAACAAGCAUGAAUUACUAGAUUCAUGGUUACAUAACAAAUCCACAUGACAUUCAAGGUUUCCAUUCCAUCCAUCAUAUAAAUCACUAUGUUUUCAACGUGAUAUCUCCAUCCACAACAUGUAACUUAUCCAAUAACCAACGAAGCACAAUAUUAUUCUUAAGCCACAUUGAUCACUAAAUAAUCAUAAUAAUAACAAUCAUAUUCAACAUCAUUCCACAAUUCCCGUCAAUUAAUCCCUUCAUGAAUCAAGGAUGCAUGAUCUUAGCAUUUAACUACGUUAAUCAAUCAAUGAGAUAACAUACCAUUUCACCAAUUCAAUUAGAGAACUCUAUAUAAUUCCCUACUUGGGUUAUGAGUAAUAACAUGGUAAUUCUAAUUUAUAUUCACAAGGUCUAUGGAUAAUUCCCAUUUGCUCGAAUCUAGGGUUCUAGACUAACCUUUUGGAACGUGCAAGAGUAAGGAUUUCGGACCACUCAACGGAAUUCAACCACAUCGGGUUCCAGACCACUCAACGGAACCAAAAUAUCAAUCGGUUUCUCGUAAUCUAUCCAGACCUGUUGCAUGUAAAAUCAGUGCCUACAUCAUGGAAAUGGUGCAUUGGGUAAUUCAGAACUUGGAUAAGUUGUGAAACUCAGGUGAACGACAAUAAUACAAAGUGUGAUAAUAGUGAUAAAACCAACCAUCAAUCACAGUUUAUAAACUUUGAAUAUGAAUCAUUCAUAAGAAAUUAAUACCAAACCUUCGCAAACUCUGAAGGAGUCACCCAAACAUCCAACGGUUCGUCUGAAACAAUCACAACAUCUCAUAACCAUAUUCUCAUACAACACCAUGAAAAGUAGGGUUAGAGCGACAUAGUUCGGCCGAAGCCUAUACCUUUGAAGCUAUCUCAAUCCAAACUCAAUGAAACCCAAGGUGAAUACAAUUCCGGAACUUCACUCAACGGAAUCGCGGAGUAGAAGGGAUUCUGGACCAUCUCUCAUGGAAUCCAAGUGGAUACGAUUCCGGAACAUCACUCAACGGAAUCGCGGAAGGCCAACAACCAUAAUGUACAACGGCUCAAAGAAAUGAGACAAGCACAAGCUACUAAAUUUACAAAAGCUUAACCAAGGGAAAUAAGGCACAUAUGCUAAAUUUAAAACGAAUCAACGAAGAGGGAAAAGAAACAAUAUCGAAGCAACAUAUCCCCAAUCACAACGGGUUCACAGUCCACCACUAGUCUUCACAUUUCAUCACAUCAAGCCAACCAUACAAAGCAAACCAUGUUUCUAAUAUGCACGUCAAAUCCCACAUCAUAAACUAUAACGAUGGCACUUUAUAGAAAACAUAAUCAUAAAACCGUCUCAUACCCUCUCAGGAUAAUAAUUAUGAAAAUAGAGUAAUCACCUGUAACAUAUAUUAAAGUCACUCACCCUUUUUUUUUUAUGUACAUAUACAUGAGUCAAAAUAAACACACAAGAGGGAGCCUUCACAAAGGUUGCUUAGGAGAAGUCUCAGCAGUCGGUAGAGCCCCAGAAAGAGAAGGCACCGGAGGGGGAUCAUUUGGAGCCUCAGUACUGGACAGAACCCUAGAAGGAGGAGGCAUCAGAGGUUGAUCAUUUGGAGCUUCAUUACGCGGUACAGCCCCAGAUGACGAAGGCAAUAAAUGCCUUUGGAACAAACCCACAAAUCUCUGAUGAUCAAGUAAAACCUGACCAUCAGUUUCCUUCAUCUGGUCAAGCUUCCUCUUCAUGUUUGUAGCAUAGUCAUGUGCGAGCCGGUGCAACUGUUUAUUCUCCUGUUUGAGACCUCUAAUCUCCUGUUUGAGACUCAUCACUUCAGCCGCCAAUGAUUCAACUUGGCGGGUUCGAGCAAAUAGGCGUUGGGCCAUAUUAGACACAGAACCUGCACACUGAACACUGAGAGCCAGCGAAUCCUUAACAGCUAACUCAUCAGACCGUUUGGAAAGUAGUCUGUUAUCUUUGGGAGUGAGAAGGUUCCUGGCCACCACCGCAGCGGUCAUAUCAUUCUUCAUCACGGAAUCCCCAACGGUAAGAGGACCAGUAAGGGAGACGAAGGAUGGGCGCCAUAUGUUGUCUGGAGAAGGCGGGGCUGCCUCUUCAACAAGGUUCAAGUCAAAACGACGGUCGGAGGGGCCAGACAUUUUCAAAGGUGUUGAAGAGAGAAGAGGUCGGACAAAUCAAGAUCUUAGAAGUGCAAGAAUGAAGCUUCUACUGGUGGAGAUUCAAGUGUGCUUUGGAACGUAAUGCCAGCCCCUAUAAAAAUCUGCACUCGACGGAGCUUCAGAAAUCGAAGAGGCGCCUGCUCAGAAAUCGAAGAGGCGUUUGCUUUCUCAAAAGCUGGGCUGCUUAGAGAUCACGAGGGUUGAUCUCAGAAAUCGAAGAGGCGUUUGCUUUCUCAAAAGUUGGGCUGCUCAAAGACCACGAAGGCUAAUCUCAGAAAUCGAAGAGGCGCUCGCUUUCUCAAAAGCUGGGCUCCCCAGAGACCACGAGGGCCGAUCUCAGAAAUCGAAGAGGCACCUACUUUUCCAGCCUUGUCAGCACCUGUCACACGCACACUCAGCUUUGCGGAAAUUAUGGGCAUUCUGUCGAAGACUUCUGGGGAAGUAGAAAACACAUGAAUCUUACUGUUCAAUCACCCACUUCCCACACGCAACAAUAGCUCAUGGGUACCACAGAAAACUUUGCCAAAGUUCUCUGCCAAAGUUGAGCACGUGAAGCUUGCAGGUCCCCACUACAUCGCUCUGACCAAGAAGGGUAAAAGAAUAGCAAAGAAAUAGCACUAACAAAGUUUAGACCUAUAAAUUUUGAAGGUCUAGCUACCAUAUUAUUACCCACAAGGGUAAAGGAACAGUACCACUGCUGGAUAAUUGGAAAGUCCCUGUGUGUCAACCUCUGUGCUUCGUGGCAAGGUAGACUAGCAAAACAUGCCCAACCUUUACUCACAUUCGAGAAAACACUCCCAAUAAGAUUGCUUGCUCCAAAAGCCAGACUCCCAACAUGACUACUUUCUUAAAAAUCGAAGAGAGGGUAAAGGAACAGUACCAUUGCUGGAUAAUUGGAAAGUCCCUGUGUGUCAACCUCUGUGCUUCGUGGCAAGGUAGACUAGCAAACAUGCCCAACCUUUACUCACAUUCGAGAAAACACUCCCAACAAGAUUGCUUGCUCCAAAAUCGAAGAGGCACCGCCCUCCGAAUCUCGAGAGCCAGACUCCCAACAUGAUUACUUUCUCAAAAAUCGAAGAGACACUGCUCCCCGAAUCUUCGAGAGCCAGACCCCCAGCAUGAUUGCUUUCUCAAAAAUCGACGAGGCAUCGUUCUUCGAAUCAAUCGAAAAGGCGCUCGCUUUCUCAAAAGCUGGGCUGCUCAGAGACCACGAGGCUCGAUCUCAGAAAUCGAAGAGGCACCUACUUUUCUAGCCUUGUCAGCACCUGUCACACGCACACUCAGCUUUGCAGAAAUUAUGGGCAUUCUGUCGAAGACUUCUGGUGAAGUAGAAAGCACAUGAAUCUUACUGUUCAAUCACCCACUUCCCACACGCAACAAUAGCUCAUGGGUACCACAGAUAACUUUGCCAAAGUUCUCUGCCAAAGUUGAGCACGUGAAGCUUGCAGCUCCCACUAAAUCGCUCUGACCAAGAAAGGUAAAAGAAUAGCAAAGAAACAGCACUAACAAAGUUUAGACACAUAAAUUUUGAAGGUCUAGCUACCAUAUUAUUACCCACAAGGGUAAAGGAACAGUACCACUGCUGGAUAAUUGGAAAGUCCCUGUGUGUCAACCUCUGUGCUUCGUGGCAAGGUAGACUAGCAAACAUGCCCAACCUUUACUCACAUUCGAGAAAAACACUCCCAACAAGAUUGCUUGCUCCAAAAUCGAAGAGGCACCGUCCUCCGAAUCUCGAGAGCCAGACUCCCAACAUGACUACUUUCUCAAAAUCGAAGAGAGGGUAAAGGAACAGUACCAUUGCUGGAUAAUUGGAAAGUCCCUGUGUGUCAACCUUUGUGCUUCGUGGCAAGGUAGACUAGCAAACAUGCCCAACCUUUACUCACAUUCGAGACAACACUCCCAAUAAGAUUGCUUGCUCCAAAAUCGAAGAGGCACCGCCCUUCGAAUCUCGAGAGCCAGACUCCCAACAUGAUUACUUCCUCAAAAAUCGAAGAGACACUGCUCUCCGAAUCUCGAGAGCCAGACCCCCAGCAUGAUUGCUUUCUCAAAAAUCGAAGAGGCAUCGUUCUCCGAAUCUCGAGAGCCAGAUACCACAGACCACUUUUUCAAAGUGCUCUGACAGAGUUAAAACAUGUGAAACUGGCAGCUCCCACUACCGUGAUAUGACCAAGCAGGGUAAAGGAAUAGCAUUACUACUUGUUAGGGAGACUCCUAUAUAUGUCGACCUCCAUCCCCAACGAACAGGCAGACCUGCAAAAAUGCUCAACCCUUCAUCAUAUAUGAGAGGGCACUCCCAACGAAACCUUUCGAAAUAUUCAGCUUUCUUUCCCCCCGAUAAUACCUCUGCAAACAAGCUAUACUAGAGCAAGAAUAUCUCAUAUCAUCAGGGUUAAAAGCAAGAGUAUCCCAUAUCAUGCUUUUUCCCUGUCUUUUCCUUUGGCCUUGUUUUUACCUGCAAGACAAGGAGAAAGAGAGCAAUCAGUCAGCACUUGGAAUCAAGCUUCCAGCCAGGAACUGACUGCCUGGAACCGCUUACCUGAUUACUUACCUGGCAUUGCUCUCGAGUACUCAUCUUCAACAUCUUAUGUUUCCAGGGAAGAUUCCGCAUCUGCUUGAGGAACAGAUAGGGCAAGUGCGAAGGAUACAAGGAAGCAUGUGGAGACAAGCGUAACAGCACACGUGCCGAUACAUCCAUUACUCUGUCAAAAGCAAAAGUAUCCCAUAUCAGCAGGGUGGAACGUACUCUAGAUUUGAUGGACUUGUUUUGACCCUCAAAUUCUUCAGUCGGCCUUAUACUCUGGAGGAAACCAGAAAACCCUCCAGCUCAGUUCAAGAAUAAGCCUGUGGAAAGUUACUUCUUCAAAAGCAAAAGUAUCUCAUAUCAUCUCUUCUCAUUUUUCUUCUCUUUAUCCUUCAUGCUGCUGAAAGAUGGGGAGAAGGUGAACAAUCAGUUGGAGCUUUGAUUGCUUACCUUGUCUGUCACCUCUUUCAGCAGACCCCCUAGCUCGGCGACUUGGGGGACUCCUACUACAUGGUUUGUAUCGCGCUUGACCAAGCCUGAAACUACAAGUAAGCUUCAAGUGAAAUUGAUACAUUACCUUGUGCAUCUCCACCAGUUAAAGAUACCACCCCUGGAUGGAGGAAGAGUACUUCCAGAGAAGAUGCCACAUCUACCUAUGAGACAGAUAAGGCAAGUCAAGACGACACCACACUCCGAUACUUAGAAGUUUCGUGAUUACGAGAUCAUUCUCCCACAAUAUUUCCUAAUGUCAUUUGUACUAAAUCAUUCACUUGUACUCACUAAAGGAGAGCUUGAACCUAUGUACUUGUGUAAACCCUUCACAAUUAAUGAGAACUUUUCUAUUCCGUGGACGUAGCCAAUCUGGGUGAACCACGUACAUCUUGUGUUUGCUUUCCUAUCUCUAUCCAUUUAUAUACUUAUCCACACUAAUGACCGGAGCAAUCUAGCGAAGAUCACAAAAAGCGACCGUUUUCGCUACCUAGGAUCUAUCUUGCAAGAGAACGGAGAAUUAGAUGGAGAUCUCAACCAUAGAAUACGAGCUGGAUGGAUGAAGUGUAAGAAUGCAUCCGGCGUGUUGUGUGUGACCGUCGUAGGCCACUGAAGCUCAAGGGAAAAUUUUAUAGGACGGCAAUAAGGCCAGCGAUGUUGUAUGGCACAGAAUGUUGGGCGGUGAAGCAUCAACACGUACACAAAAUGGGGUGUAGCGGAGAUGAGGAUGCUUCGUGGGAUGUGUGGGCACACGAGAAAGGAUAAGAUUGGGAAUGAGGAUAUCCGAGGUAAAGUAGGAGUAGCCGAAAUUGUAGGAAAGAUGAGAGAAAAUCGGCUCCGGUGAUUUGGACAUGUGCAAAGAAGGCCGAAUGACGCUCCGGUUCGAAGAUGUGACUACGGGACAGAGGUUCAGGGCCGAAGGGGUAGAGAAAGACCUAGGAAAUCUUUGGAAGAGACUCUAAGAAAAGACUUAGAGUACUUGGAUCUAACGGAGGAUAUGACACAAAACCGAGCGCAAUGGCGUUCUAGGAUUCAUAUAGCCGACCCCACUUAGUGGGAAAAGGCUUUGUUGUUGUUGUUGUUGAACCAUACAUAUUAUUUCUCAUCCAUGAAAUCAACAUUUUAACGUUCUAUUCCUAUGCUUGUAACCUUCAUUCUCCAUCCUUUAAUAAACCAACCCAAAGUUAAUGGUUUUUCAACUUAAAACACCACCUCUUCACUCAUGCCACUACCCCUUUUGACAUGUAUAUGCGGCAAUAUAUAUAUAUAUAUAUUAAUUAAGAGAAACUAGAUCGUUUACUAAUAACUUGAAUAUAACUACUAGUAAACAAUCUAAACUCUUAAACCCCAACUAAACACACUCAAAUAAGCACAAGAUUAACAAGGAUGUCAUUUCAACUAUAAUUCCCUUCUAGGUCUAGAUGCUUGGUAACGAAAGAAGUAUCUCAUAAAUCUAAUGUCACAUAUCGGAAAAUUCGACUUUUUCCAAAAAUUCUCAAAUUUUACAAGAAUGAAGGUCUCAACAAGUAGAGUAAAUUUUAUAUUUGUGGCCAAGUCCAAUUUGACCGGGAAGGCUCUCAAAUUGGCUCGUAUCCAUCGAAAACCCUAAGGUGGGUGUUCUUCAAUUCGGCUUCCUUGGUGUUCCAAUGCCCCUACAACUAAUUGGGUCUUGUUCUUGGGUCCAAGAGAAGUUGAUCAAGGGUGAUGUGAAUGGUGAUACUCUCCAGAAUGACAAUUCGUCGUCGAGAACCCCCGGGUUCUCCUAUGGAGUUCUACAUGAAAUAGACCUUAAAAACCCUUGAUAUUUGGUGGAGGUGGAAGGAGGAAUGUAGUUGAGCAGGUUGCAGGUGAAGGAGAUAAGAAAAUCAGUUGAGAAAUGGUAGAAAUUUGCAUGAAGUUGGCCGGAUCAAAACCAUUUUUUUUUUUGUGGUGCACGGGUUCACCAAAUGGGGGGGACUCCUUUCCCUCCUUUUCUUUCUUCACUCGCCACUCCCGUGGCUUUAUCUUUUUUUUUUUUUUUUAAGCAACACAACUUCAAACUUCCGUAAUUAUACCGUUAUAAUCCGGACUCGCAAAUGGUUUUCGCCUAUGCUUUCGUGACUUCAAGACCUAUUCGAAAACGUUACUUGUGACCUCGAAAGGUCAACGAGUAAAUAAUAAUUCCAAACUUCACUCUUCGUAACUAGAUUAAUUGAAAUCUAAUUUCAAAUAAAUUAAUAUAAAUUCUCAAAAAGUAAUAUAAAUCUCAAUAAUACAAUUACGUAGAUUAUAACAGUGAAAUCCAGAAACGGGAUUUCACACACCCUUAUGGUACGCGCUCAUAGUUCACUUUUUUUAUUUCUGAAGGUAAACAAUGUUCCCAUCCUACAGAAUUUACUCCUGUUUUCUUCACCUUAAAUUGAUGAUCAUCCUCUGUUCCAAAAAAUUCUGCAUGCACACGAACCUUGUCGCCACUUUUCAGAUUGAGCUUCCUGUUUGAAAGACUUCCCAGCCAAAGAUAAUCUUCAUGGGAGCCAGUUAUGGUGGCAUCCAUUCACCAGAUGGAAAAAUAAGUUCGCUGGGAAGGAUUAACCACAUCAAUCCAUAAAGACCCACUACACUGCGAUGGUCCAAAGAAUAAACGAUGCACACAGCCAACCCUCCUAUAUAAUCAAUACUUGGCGGCACAUCAAAUUUGACAUUUUCAUCCUCUGUCACGACAUAGGUUAACCAUUAAGGAAUAACAUUUCAAGAGCGACCGAUUCCUCCAAAUACAUCCCCCACGUUCCAUUUCUACAACGCGGCGUGCAAAGUUUGUAUAAGCAACAAUACGAGAAGGGCACAGAGAGAGAGAGAGAGAUCGAGGCUAUCAUGCAACAAAAUAUAAAACUCAUCUAGGACAAUUAUGACUAUUGUGAAUUGGUAAUAUUAUCGAUGGAUAUGUUAUAUGAUCUUCAAACUCGCUAUAGCAUGAUUUUUUUUUUUUGUAUCCUUUUCGUCAACUUCAUCUGUUUUUCUAUUAAGUAGAGAUGAUAAACUUAAAAUUCAUCCCACAACCUAAAAAAUGGAAAAAAGAAAAAAGAAAAAAAGGAGGUGGAUGUACAAAAUCCUUGCUAUGCCCUCUAUAUUUAACAAAAAAAUAAAUUGAGUUAACGGAUAUAAUUGAAGUACCACAUGAGAUUGAGUUUGAGAACCACAAUAAGAAAAUAAGAAAAACUAUUCUAGAAUGAAGGUAAAAUUCGUGACAACAAUGCCGUAUAUCUAAAAAAUAGUUCAUGCAUAUUUAGAUGUUAACACAUAGUCAUUUAUCUCGUUUAUUGAACAAACAACGAGGACAACAAUGUUGUUUUCUCUCUUUUGAAAUUCAUAAACAAAAUUGAGAUUUCUUGGUGACUCCUCUGUCCCUCAGGACCAACAAGGGGUAAUACAGGAAUAUUCACCUGUUGUCCAUUGACUAUGCCUUUUGGCCUGAUCUUAGGCCCCGACUCACUCUCCGUGGACAAACCUUGCGAAGGAACCUUUAGGUUUUCGGGGCAUCGGAUUUUCACCAAUGUUUGCGUUACUCAUGCCGACAUUCUCGCUUCCGCUCCGUCCACGUCUAAUUGCCAUUUUGUUUGGGCUUCUCCUUUCUGUUCUUACCGUCUCUUCCAUUUGGAAGCUUCUGGUCAUUAAUUUUUUUAGCUUCAUUAGAAGAUGCUCCCAUUUGGCCCCUGUAAGGAAUGAAAUUGAAUUUCGUGUUCAGCUAUUUAAAGAUUCAACUCUAAGUUUUGUCAAUAGCAAUUAAGUAAGAACAGGUAUGAUCAAGCUUAUAAACAAAUCACAACAACAUUACAAAUCAGAAACAUGUACAAGGUAAUGCAGUUAUAUCCAAUUCUUUUGUGCUUUCUCCACAAAAGUUCCUCCACAUUAACGUAACUCUAUAUCAAUUAAUCUAUCAUACAAGACUAGAAAUAAUCGGCAAUUGAAAAAUAAGACAACACGAGCUUCCGUCCAGUAAAAUUUUCAUCCAAAGACAGUAGGCAAAACCAAAAACGUACAAACCUUCAAUGCCGUUGUAUAAUCUCUCCCUUCCCAAUAUGCUCAUCAAGCAAUUCCGGCACAUUACCAGGAGUGGCGAAGGGAUACCUGCAAUUAAUAAUACAUAAUAUUCAUACUCCUUCAUCGAUCCCAAUACGAUAAAUUUUAAAUUGUUAUGAUCCAGAUAUUACCAAUGAUCUGUUAUGCUUCCAUCUGAACCUAGGUUGUAGAUAUCCAAGUUUCCAGCAUACUUGUGGCCUCCAAUGUGAAAGCAAGCAGUAACGAAUACCUGAUCCGUCAAUCCUCGCAGCUCAGCCUCCUGUUUGAACUUAUCAAUGAGAGUACGUGCAUGAUAACGAUCCCAUUUAUCUUGACUCAUACGUGCGCAUAUAAAUACAUAGGGGCCAGUCAGCGGCUCUUGCACUCCAGAAGCCCAUGGUUUGUGAUUCAUAAGGACAUCAUCAACAAAGCUGUCCACAUCCGACUCUUUCAAGCCCCUUUGAUCAACAAACAAAAACAACCUCAAAAUCACAAGAAAGGAUUUACAGGCAAGCAAUUAGUCGUAAACGGAGCCAUUAAAUUCAAUUUCUACAACUAAUUUCAGAAGCUAACACAUAUCUAAUUAUCCAUUUAGGUCAGUAAAUUCAUGUUGGUUAUGGAAUGGGCCCUCGAUUAUGAAUUAAUUACGGUUUGCCAUUGUGUGUGCUAGUGUGGCCCAUGCUUAACAGCUGGGUUGGGCUGCUGCAUUUAGGUGUGUGUUUGCUAGCUGGCUGGCUGGUGGGUGAGUCUUAGAUACAAACCCAAUCUUAUUAAUUAAAUUUGGCCUUUGGUGUGCUCAAACUGCUAUGGGGGAUGGUUAGAAUUUUGAGCCCGGGAUGCAGUAGGACCAAGAGCAAUCCACCACUUGCAGAAUUGUUGUCAAAGUAACUCUGCUAAAAAUAUGAGCUAUACUUCCUGCACUAUGCUUUUACUGUGAAGUGGAAAUAGUCUUUAGAGAGGCUUAUUUGGGAUAAUUGAUAAAGAGGUUUGUGUUUAAGACUUGAGAGUAGUGCGGUGUCUUUCUUGCUGGUUCUGCUCACACCACCUCAUCUAGCCAUUGUGAUGGAGUACACGGCUGGGUGAGAACACUUGGAGAGAAUAUGCAGUGCUGGCAGAUUUAGUGAGGAUGAGAUAAAGUAGUUUCCAACGCAGAGAAAAUUUCAUUGGAAAUGAUUUUAGUGUAGAGUCUCAAAUAUGGGAUCUCUGAAUGUCCCCUGAAAUGGAAUCCAUCUCAAUUUUCGUUUAGUUUCAGAUAGGGAAAGUUAGGUCUGAAGCAUUUUUACAUAAAUAGUCAGUCAUAAUAUAACUAAAACUUACUUUUUCGAUUUAAUUGUUGUUUUGCAUCAAGCAAGGUUUUUCUUCCAGCAAUUAUAUCAGGAGUUAGCUACUGUCAUUUAAUGGUAUGUAAUGUGGCACUUUUUUGCUAAUGCGUUGUAUACUGUUAUUUCUUUCUCUUUUGAUAUUGGAAGUGUUGGUUGUAUUAAUGAAAUAAUUCGUUUCAAUAGUAUAUGACUUAGUUUUAAUAGUAUUAUUCAGUUUUCUAAUAGCACUCGGGUGGGAACGUGGGUCGGCUCAUGUUUUAGUCUCUCCAUCGUAAGCAAUUUUACAUGGCAUUCUUCAAUGUGGCUAUAGGUAAGACAACACUCUCAGUAUUCCAUAAUCAAACCACCAUUUGAACUUUUUUCGUCCACCAAGUUAAGCUUUUAUGUGCCAUCUUGAAUAGUUAUAAGUUAUUGAUUCAGAUUGCUCCAGUGAGACAUUGUUGUUCUAUUGCUUACCUCUCAAGCUUGCUUAAUAUACUUAUUCUUAUUACUGUUGUAUUGUUAAGAAAUACUCAACUGCGAUUUCAGUUCAUUGUUAUGAAUCAGAUUCAAAUUAACCACUCACUAGUUAAUUAUCUAAAUCCUAUAAAUUUGGAUUAAAAUUAAAGCAACUCCAGAACAAAAACCUCAAGAAAUCGAUGCGAAUUUACCUGUAUUUGAUCAUUUGUGGGAAAAUCAACACAUCGCCGUCGGAAAACUCAGUUCCUUCAUGUCCUUCAAUUACAGUCAUCGACGUCUAUCAAAAAACCAAGAAAAAAAGUAAGUAACGGAGUCAGCUCAGCUCAACACCAGAACUCAGUAGCUCCAGGAAAUAAGAAACGUCAGAAACACCAACGAAUUGGGUUGGAAAACGGACCUUAAAGGUGAUGUCGUUCUUGCGAGCUUUGAGAGCGGAAGUGAAGAACUUAGGGAGUGGAUCGGACUUAGAGCCGUUGAUGCACCACGGCCAGGCCUCGGGGGUCUUGUAGCAGAAGAAAACGUGGCGAAUGUCCAACUGUGUAUCGUCAUCAGUGUCUUCAUCAGACAAAUCCCAUUUUACCAUAUCCACUCCUGUUUUGUUCUCCUUAAUUCUAUUAUCUCCUCCAUAAAAUUCCGCUUUUAGAAGAACCAUGUCACCGCCUUUCAGAUUGAGCUUCUUGUUUGAAAGAUUUCCCAACCAAAGAUAAUAUUCAUGGGAAGCAGUUACGGUGGCCUUCAUUGGCCAGAUGCGAAACUUAGUUCGCUGGGUACAAUUAACAACAUCAAUGCAUAGAGACCCGGUAGAGUCGGAGUUGUCUAAAGAAUAAACGAUGCCCAAAGCCAACCCUCCUAUAUAAUCAAUACUUGGCGGCACUUGAAAUUUGACAGUUUUAUCCUCUCCCGUGACAUAGGCUAACCAGUUAGGAAUAUCAUUUCCGGAGAGAAAAAUUCCACCAAAUGCAUUUCUCUACAACAUGGGGUGCAAAGUCAGUAUAAGCAACAAUACAGAGAGAGAGAGAGAGAGAGAGAGAGAGAGAGAGAGAGAUACCCUUCGGAGGUUCUCCUUAAAAGUAUCAGUGAGACUGGUACACCCUUCCAUAAGAAUUGAAUACAUGUGGUCCAAUGAGUUCUCCAAGUUUGGAAUAUCUUUGAGUUUGCGGCAGUUCGGCAAAUCUGACAUUGUUUUACCUAUAUUGCCCAUACCCCUAAUUCCAAUUAUUUGAACAUCAGGUGAACGUCCAACAUCUAAGUAUUCAGUACUGACGUCUAAGUAUUCAGUACUGAAGUUCUGCACACGAGAAGUCAUUCCAUCUGAGUGCUUGGCUUCUUUUAAGUCUGCAGUUUUCAAUAGUUCCUUGAUGUUCCCAACAAUUUUCUCGAUAAACACUCCUUCACGCCUACGAGUAGGAAUUCCAAAUUACGUGAGCCAUACUAAAUGCCUUAUUCAUAAUGACUAGAUAUUUACAUAUUGAAACAGAUUUGAAUAAACUGGAUUAAUUGAGCUCAAUUCAACCACGUAUCUAAUCUUCGAUUAUAAUGUAAAUACAUCAGAUCAUUGGUCAUCGGACUAUUACACAAUUGUAGCCUUCAGAUUUAUAAUUAAGAAUCCAUAACAAUUGGUAUUUUAAUUUGAUAAAGUGGAGCAUUUGUCCUUCACACACCCAUAAAAAACAAAGCACGACCCUACAUUUCACUUCCUUAAUUUCAAUGAAAAUUCUUAUGAAAAUGCUCUACCUUUUAUAAAAUUCAUAUACCAAUUAUAAUAAAUUUUUAUGUAGGGACCAAAAUUACAGUUCUAUCAUUGUUCAGGAUCAACGAUCCAAUUUUUCUUCUAACAUAUAAACUCAGAUCCAAUGCCUUAAUUAUAAAAUCUUAAUUUUGGUUGAUUAGUGAAAUAUGGUGAUACGAAAUUUGAAGUAAACAAAAAAGUAUACCCGUCGGCCGUGGUUUUGAGGUUCCAGCCAACCAAAUCUGCAGAAGCCUUAAGAUCCUCUCUCCACUGCUUGACCUCGUUUGGAUCUUCAUCCCAUUCAUGCUUCUGAAAUGCUUUCCCAAAACUAUCAUUCUGUUUCCUGACUUGAGAAGGGUCAACGUCGUAGAAUAUUGGACAUACUAUUUUCCCCUCUUGAUCUUUUAGGCACCUCAUGAUCUUCGACAGCUCCCUCAGGCACCAUCGGGACUCCGCGUACCUCUUCGAGAAGAUGAUGACGGCGAUUCUCGACCCUUCGAUUUCUUGGUCAAGUUCACUCUGUAUGUUUCCCCCCCUUGUGAGCUGGUAGUCUAUGGAAGUGUUGAUUCCGGCAUUGCGUAACGCAAUGAAGAGGUGGUCUGUGAAGGUAGUGCGCGUGUCGUCGCCUCUAAAGCUCAGGAACACCUCGUACUUCCACCGGUUUGAGCUCUGCGAGGAAGACGAAGAGGCUGCAACGCCGGCUCCAUGGGCGGAGCUGCUGGUAUCCAUUGUAGCCUGUAGAAGUGCAGCUUGGCUUUCAAAUAACCAAAGUCAAGUCUUUCCCAAGAUUCCCCGGUGUAGGCAGCCCUUUUAAAUUUUUUUGCAUGGGUCAAUGAUGUCACUGCCGUGUCGAUAACGUGUGAGUGCUAUUCCUCCGACAAUUUAAUUUGUAUAAAUGUCACCAUCAAAUUUUAAUAAAAAUUGUAUAACUGCUACGAUGCAAUUUCCUUUCUUCUGUAGUUUUUUUGAGAAAUCUGCUGCCCAAUUUUGACCAGUUGACGUGCGCAGGUCAAUCCAACUGUCCCUGCUGGUGGACGGAAGAAUCUUUGUUAGAGUAGGAAUUCCAAAUUACGCUUUAUUCAUAAUGACUAGAUAUUUACAUAUUGAAACAGAUUUGAAUAAAUUGGAUUAAUUGAGCUCAAUUCAACCAUGUAUCUAAUCUUCGAUUAUAAUGUGAAUACAUCAGAUCAUUGGUCAUCGGACUAUUACACAAUUGUAGCCUUCAGAUUUAUAAUUAAGAAUCCAUAACAAUUGGUAUUUUAAUUUGAUAAAGUGGAGCAUUUGUCCUUCACACACCCAUAAAAAACAAAACACGUACCCUACGUUUCACUUCCUUAAUUUCGAUGAAAAUUCUUAUGAUGUGACUGCCGUGUUGAUGAAAAUUCUUAUGAUGUGACUGUCGUGUCGAUAACGCGCGAGUGCUAUUCCUCCCACAAUUUAAUUUGUAUAAAUGUCACCAUCAAAUUUUAAUAAAAAAUUGUAUAUAACUGCUACGAUGCAAUUUCCUUUCUUUUGUGAGAAAUCUGCUGCCCAAUUUUGGCCAGUUGACGUGCGCAGGUCAAUCCAACUGUCCCUGCUGGUGUACGGAAGAAUCUUUGUCGGAGUAGGAAUUCCAAAUUACGUGAGCCAUACUAAAUGCUUUAUUCAUAAUGACUAGAUAUUUACAUAUUGAAACAGAUUUGAAUAAAUUGGAUUAAUUGAGCUCAAUUCAACCAUGUAUCUAAUCUUCGAUUAUAAUGUGAAUACAUCAGAUCAUUGGUCAUCGGACUAUUACACAAUUGUAGCCUUCAGAUUUAUAAUUAAGAAUCCAUAACAAUUGGUAUUUUAAUUUGAUAAAGUGGAGCAUUUGUCCUUCACACACCCAUAAAAAACAAAGCACGUACCCUACGUUUCACUUCCUUAAUUUCGAUGAAAAUUCUUAUGAUGUGACUGCCGUGUCGAUGAAAAUUCUUAUGAUGUGACUACCGUGUCGAUAAAGCGCGAGUGCUAUUCCUCCCACAAUUUAAUUUGUAUAAAUGUCACCAUCAAAUUUUAAUAAAAAUUGUAUAACUGCUACGAUGCAAUUUCCUUUCUUUUGUGAGAAAUCUGCUGCCCAAUUUUGGCCAGUUGACGUGCGCAGGUCAAUCCAACUGUCCCUGCUGGUGGACGGAAGAAUCUUUGUCGGAGUAGGAAUUCCAAAUUACGUGAGCCAUACUAAAUGCUUUAUUCAUAAUGACUAGAUAUUUACAUAUUGAAACAGAUUUGAAUAAAUUGGAUUAAUUGAGCUCAAUUCAACCACGUAUCUAAUAUUCGAUUAUAAUGUGAAUACAUCAGAUCAUUGGUCAUCGGACUAUUACACAAUUGUAGCCUUCAGAUUUAUAAUUAAGAAUCCAUAACAAUUGGUAUUUUAAUUUGAUAAAGUGGAGCAUUUGUCCUUCACACACCCAUAAAAAACAAAGCACGUAUCCUACGUUUCACUUCCUUAAUUUCGAUGAAAAUUCUUAUGAUGUGACUGCCGUGUCGAUAACGCGCGAGUGCUAUUCCUCCCACAAUUUAAUUUGUAUAAAUGUCACCAUCAAAUUUUAAUAAAAAUUGUAUAACUGCUACGAUGCAAUUUCCUUUCUUUUGUGAGAAAUCUGCUGCCCAAUUUUGGCCAGUUGACGUGCGCAGGUCAAUCCAACUGUCCCUGCUGGUGGACGGAAGAAUCUUCGUUGGAGUAUCAAUGGGAAGAGACCUCAUCUCCAACAACCUAUCUUAACAAAAGAUGCAGAAAAUUAAACGCCAAGAGGCUACUUUCUUUAUUUUGUGAACAGUAACGAACUAGAAGGAUCAGUGUCGUAAAAUAAGUAAUUUACUUGCCCAAAAUAAGAAUCAAUUUAGCUACGAAACCAAGGAGAUGAUUGAGCUCAAGAUAGCAGCUUUUAUCCUAUCGUCUUGCAAGGAAAACAAGCUACGAAUUGCUUGCAUCAUCCGAAGCUAUCCAACCAAUGGUUGAAUUUCUCAGUCAAGACUAUGCUGAAGGCAUCAGUGUGCAGGCCAGACUCGAUAGCAUAGCCACACUAAACCUCUCGCGCUGCCAUCAGAUUAUUUUGUCUCAGGUCUCUUCGGGCGUAGUGUUCUCAGUAAUAAUCCAAGGCUUGGAAAAAUCAAGCCAACCGGUUGAGAAGGCAAUUGUGCUACUUGACGACAUUGUUUCUUCAUCGAAGACUGCGCUCAAGGAAACUGCAGGUACGUGCAGCACAAUCUGGGUGCUGGUUGAGACAAUCGAAGGGGGAUCGAUGAAAUGCAAGGAGCACGCAGCGAGUAUACUCCUGCUUAUAUGCAAGAGGUGCAGAGAGAACUACAGAGGACUGAUACUGAGAGGAGGAGCAAUGCCCGGACUGCUUCAGCUGAGUGGAUGGGACGCGCACGGCUAACACUGCGGCAUGGAAGUUGCUGUUUCUUUUGACUGUUCCAAUUAUGGUUCGAGAAACAAGCAAUCAAGGAAUAAGUUGACGGUGUGAGUACAACGGCAUUGAGACCGUUCCAAUUAUGCAGGAAAUUGAUGCAGAAGGAGAAAAAGUUGACAGGGUGAGUACAACGGCAUUGAGGCUGGUGGAGGACAUGCUUGCAGAGAUCAGCAGUGGACGAUGAUCUCGACCAAAUUCUGAGCUUUACCAAGAAGAUUAAAAUGUUGGAACAGCCGUUUAUCUCGUUUAUUGAACAAACGAUGAGGACAACAAUGCCGUCUAGCCUCUUUCAAAAUUUAGACUUCUUUCUCAUAAAAAUUGACAGAAUCUACGGUUGAAUUAAAGUCCAACAGGCAAAUUGAAAACAAUCACAAGAGCUUAGAAAAUACCACACCAACAUUUGGCCAGCAGUCUCACAACAAAUCCCACUGUCAAGAUAAAACCAUUCAACAGUGUAUUGGAACAACAAAUUUCAGUUGUGUAAGCAAUCAACAUAAAGGAACACUGAAUACUUUUGUAACUAUAUAUGGAUUAGCUUCGGGAAUUCAUCAAACCCUCCAAAAAAGAACGUAUAGUGUAGCUACCAUAUUCUCCUUUCAUAUAAGAGCUUAUUUAAUUAAUGUUAUAACACCUUUCUACCAAGAAAAAAAAGAAGAAAAUACGGCCUCUACACCCGUGGCAAAACCCGACAUGGAUUAGAGUACGUUUCAGCCUAACCUUCUGUAAAAGCUAUAGGCCACAGCCACUGUUACCACUGCUCCAACCACGGCAGCAGCUGCGAGAACAUCGCUUUGCUCCCAGUUCCCGAUCAAGCUUGACAGCUUCCCUAGGGAAUCCUUCCUGGCACAAGACUCUCUGGUUUCUUUCACCUUCUUUUCCUCACUUCCAUCGUUCUGCUCUAAACUUACUUCUUUGCAGCAUGUAAAUCCUUUACUAUUUGCACCCUGGCAACAGCCUGAAAGGUUCUCAUUAUUCUGAAUCUGAUUGCCGUUUUCUUGGGGCUUCUCCUCGAUUUUCUUUCUCCUCCAUUUGGAAGCUUCUGGUCAUUAAUUUUUUCAGCUUCAUCCGAAGAUGCUCCCAUUUUGCCCCUGUAAGGAAUGAAAUUGAAUUUCAAGUUCAGCCAUAUAAAGAUUCAACUCUAUGUUUCAUCAAUAGCAAUCGAGUAAGGACAUGUAUGAUCAAGCUUAAUAAACAAUUUGACAACAGUGCCUACUUGACCCCGGCCCCCCUUCCCCAAAACCACCUUUGGUUUGGUUUAUCUAUAAAAACAAAAAAAGUAGUUUGAUUUGGUUCACACGAGUUGUUUGAUUUGGUCCCUCAAUGUUAAUGUAACUCCAUAUCAAUAAUCUAUCAUACAACACUAUAAGUAAUCAGCAAUAGGAAAAUAUGACAACAGAAGCUUCAGUUCCAGUGAACUUUUCAUCAGCAGACAGUAGGCAAACCUGAAAACACACAAACCUCCAAAGUCGUUCUAUGAUCUAUCCCUUCCCAAUAUGCUGAUCAAGCAAUUCCGGCACAUCCUCAGUAGUGACGUAGCCAUACCUGCAAUUAUUAAUACCAUAAUAUUCAAAUUCCUUCAUCUAUCCCAAUACAAUAAAUUUUAAAUUGUUAUGAUCCGGAUAUUACCAAUGGCCUGUUAUGCUUCCAUCUGAACGUGGGCUGUAGACAAUCAAGUUUCCAGCAUACUUGUGGUCUCCAAUGUGAGAGCAAGCAGUAACAAAUACCUGAUUUGUUAAUCGUCGCAGCUCAGCCUCCUCUUUGAACUUAUCAAUGAGGACAGGUCGACAAACUCCACAUCUUUUAUCUCGACUACCAUGUGCACAUACAAAUACAUGGGAGCCAGUCAACGCCUCUUGCACUCCGGAAGCCCAUGGUUUGUCAUUCACAAGGACAUCAUCAACAAAGCUUUCCACAUCCGACUCUUUCAGGCCCCUUUGAUCAAGAAACAACAAACACCUCAGAAUCACAAAAGGAAUUUACAGGAAACAAUAACCUAACACUCUUUAAUUCCUUGUAAGGCAAGGGAUUAGUCGUAAACUGAGCCAUUAAAUUCAAUUUCUAGAACUAAUUUCAGAAGCUAACACAUAUCUAAUUAUCUAUUUAGUUCAGUAAACUCAGCACAAUCUCGUAAUCAAAAUAGAAGUUGAAACAGAAAUAAAACACUAAAUGCGGUCACAACUUGCAUUCAAUCAAUUUCCAUGAAAAUCACGAGAAAUUUUUCUUUGUGCCGGGAACAUGGCCCGAUACACAAAGUGUAAUAAUACAAUUGGUUGGAAACCACGCCGUGUUACCGGCACCCAACCUCUGAGUAAACAAGGAAAAUUUCAAGGUAUCAACACCAAAACUAGUCCAAAACACACUAAAUUAGCUCAAUUCGAGACUUCGUAAAUUGAAAUCGGAAAAUCAUAAACUCUAUCUCUAGUUAGCAAUCAUUGAAAUCUCCAAGUCAAAUAAAGCAAAUCUGAAGAAUCAAACACCACUCACUGGUUAAUUAUCUAAAUCCUAUAAAUUUCGGUUAAAAUUAAGCAACUACAGAGCAAAAAUCUCAAGAAAUGAACGUGAAUUCACCUGUAUUUGAUCAUUUGUGGGAAAAUCAACACAUCACCGUCGGAAAACUCAGUUCCUUCGCGUCCUUCAAUUACUGUCAGCAAAGUCUAUCAAAAACCAAGAAACAAAGUGAGUAACGGAGUCAACUCAGCUCAACACCAGAACUCAGUAGCUCCAGGAAAUAAGAAACGGUAAGAAAAAGCGAUCAGCAACGCCGACGAAUUGAGCUGAAAAACGGACCUUAACGGCGAAGUCGUUCUUGCGAGCUUUGAGAGCGGAGGCGAAGAACUUAGGUAGCAGAGGAAGACGUGGCGGUCGUAGGCGUUGACGGUACCGGCAAGUUUUUCCUUGAACAUCUCCUAUCUCUUGAAACCGAAUUUCUCGUCUUCGGCGGCGGUGACGGCGGCAGAGAGGUCGUCGGAGGCCAUUGCCAGGGCUCGGAGAGGAGGAAUGAGGGGUUUAGCGGGGGUUGAAGUUGAAAACGAUGAGAGCGAAAAGAUGAGAGAGAAAGAACAUUGUUGUUUGGAGUUGGUGUGGGUGUAGGUGCGCAAUGCGCAUACGGCGCACGAUAGGGUUUCUGAGGCGAUCUGCAGCCAUAGGACUCGUUGUAGUUCUCUAGCCCUCCAAAAUUCUUCAAGAUAUUAAUAUUUUAAUAAACAAUACAGGAUCAUAUUUGUCUCCGUCUCCAACCGAGGGUCAGAGGGCUAGAGGGCUCGUUUUAGCCUUUUCACAAAAAAUCAUCUCCAACCGAGGGCCAAAGAGCAAUAGGGCCAAACAUAAUUUAUUAUUUAAAAACUACAACUUAAAUAGACAUAAAAAGGUUUUAUGUUUUUAAAUAUUUUUAAAAAUGUUGUUUAAGUUUCAUGUUGUAUAAUUUUUAUGUUGGUUAAUGUUAUUUAAUGUUGUUUCAUAUUGUUUAAUGUUGUUUCAUGUUACUUAAUUUAAUUUAAUGUUGUAUAAUGGCUUAGGAAGUUAUAGGAAAAAAAAUAGAAUUUAAAAAAAAUAUGAAACAAAUUUUGUGAAAUAGAAGUUAUAGGAAAAAUGGAAUUUAAAAAAAUAUGAAACAAAUUUUGUGAAAUAGAAGUUAUAGGAAAAAAAUGGAAUUUUAAAAAAAAAUAUGAAACAAAUUUUGUGAAAUAGAAGUUAUAAGAAAAAAAUGGAAUUUAAAAAAAAUAUGAAACAAAUUUUGUGAAAUAGAAGUUAUAAGAAAAAAAUGGAAUUUAAAAAAAAUAUGAAACAAAUUUUGUGAAAUAGAAGUUAUAGGAAAAAAAUAUGAAAUAUAUUUUGUGAAAUAGAAGUUAUAGGAAAAAAUAGAAGUUAUAUGAAUGUAAAAAAAUAAUAAUAAUAAAAUUGUAAAAAAAAAAAAUCAAAUGCAACGGCUACUAGCCGUUGCAUUUGAAUUUUUUCUUAAGAAAUCAUGUCGGUUAUAACCGACAGAAAUACAUGCUAUUAUUUAAUAUAAUGUAUUACUAUCGGUUAUACAUGCUAUUAUUUAGUAUAAAUGUAUUAAUGUCGGGCUGGCUAGCUGCAUGCAGCCCUCCAGCCCUCUCCGAUUUCAUGGGACCCUUCCAGAUUCCAGAGCUCUCUGGCCUAGCCCUCUGUUGGAGACGAUUUUCGGGCUAUUUUCGACUCUCUGACCCUCUGGAUCCUUCGGUUGGAGAUGGCCUGAAGGUCAGAGUGGGGACGUGUGGGGUUUGAUUUGUAGUUCAUGUAUUUACCCCUUUUGAUAUCUCUGAUCAUAUUGGACGGAAGCUAAAAGAUAAUUCAUGCACGCAAAAAUGGAAGGCCCUACAAACGGAGGAGGACAAUGUCUGCACGGAAAAUCAUCCUCUCUGAAUUUCUUUCUCCUAAUCUAACAAGUUCGGGAUCUGAAUCGUUAAAAUUUGAUCCAACAAUUAAGGUUAUUAUAACUUUUAAAGUGGACUUCUGUUUGUAGUCGUUGAAUCAAAUUUUAACGGUCUGGAUCCCCGAACUUGAUGGAUUAGAAAGAAGAGAUCCUUUCCUAUCUGCACCCAGGAAGUGGGUACAAGCGCGUGGGAUUUAAUUUUGUGAUUCAUUGCUGCCUGAGGAUUUUUUGGCGGUAGGUUGGAGGGAACCGACUGAGAGCAAAAUUGUAAAAUCCCCUAAACUCGGUGACGUGGCAACCUGUAAUUCUGAAAGGGUUCCGGAUCCUUUCGUUCUAAUAUAUCAAGUUCGGUGAUCAAGACCAUUGAAAUUUAAUCAAACAACUACAAAGAGGGACUCGCUUUAAAAGUUAUAAUGACUUUAACCGUUAGAUUAAAUUUCAAUGAUUAGAUUAAGAAAAAAAAAGAUCCGAAGAUAGAUCUAUUUUCAUGUAAUUCGGCCUUUACAUUCUGUCAAGAAACAGGCCGGUCACUUCGUUGAUUAAGUCAAGCCGUAAGCCUUGGUCCAACGUGGACAACUUCUAGAUGUCUUGUUUCUUUCAUUAAUUUAUUUCUUGAGAAUGACUUUUAAUAUUUGAUUUAAUUUUUUUGGUUAAUUAUUGAAUUUAAUUUGUCAAUGGCUCAAUUUUGGGGUGGGAUCAAAAAACCGAAAACCAAACUGAACCGAAACCGAAAAAAUCGAACCGAACGAAAAAACCGAACCGAAUUGAAAAAACCAAACCGAACCGAACUCUUUUGGUUCGGUUCGGUUUUGGUGGUCUAGAAAUCGAACCAAACCGAACAGAACCGAAAUAAUUAAAUUAAUAUUUUUUUAAUUUUAUUUCUUUAAUUAUUUGAUUUUAUUAUAUUAGAAUAUGAUACUUCAUACUGCUGCUUUGGUAGGAUUUGUUUGCUUUCCAAUUCAAAUUGUCUUCUCAGCUUCUCCAUCUACAACAAAAAUUAGAACUUAUACCAUUACAUGCAAUAUUUCUAGUUUAUAUCAUUAAGUGCAACACAUAUAUAAGAACACAUAUCUCAACUGCACUGCAGUUGAUUAGGAAAAGCAAACAGCGUAUAAAAGUCUCAUGAGUUUAUUAAACACUACGAGAUCAAAAACAAAAUUCAAACUUUCUCACCUAUGGCCAAGUAUAGUAGCUUCCGCGGCCUAACAAUUUUGAAAAGUAUAUCAAUAUAUUCAAAAAUAUUGAUGAACACCUCUUCAAAAUUUGCUGGUGGUAGAAGCUGAACACAGAAUGUAGAAAUUAUAUUAUGUCACCACAUUUAUGGAUAAAAAAAAUUUGGAUCAUAAAGAUAAAGAAAAUAUCAAAAAUUGUUACCUAGACAAUAAUCAAAAUAAAUAGUAUAUUAUAGAAUGUUUAUCUUAUUGCUAGUGAAGAAUACAUGUGUGUGUGUGUGUGUGUGUGUGUGUGUAUAUAUAUAUAUAUAUAUAUAUAUAUAUAGAGAGAGAGAGAGAGAGAGAGAGAGAGAGAGAGAGAUUGAGAGAAAGAGAGAAAUGAAUAAGGUCGUACUCCAUCAUCAUCGUCUAAAAAGAAAUCUAUUUACAGUUAAACUUUAAACCCAAAAUAUUAAAAAAAACCUUUAUGUUAUAAUUCUAUUUGAACUUUAAAUGUUUAUUUUCAUUAUCUUUUAAGUCUAGCCGGAAUGUUUAUGUUAUGAUUGUGUUGGAUAUGUUAAAAUUUAAGAUUUCAAAUUUUUUCAUUUUUUGAAAAAAAAUCGAAACCGAACCGGAAAAAACCAAACCGAUUUGAACCGAACCCACCCCUAGCUCAAUUUGCCAAUUUGUCAAUGAUACAAUUUAGGAUGGUGCUAUUCACUCAACUAUUUUUACUUCUCGAGUAUCUUCUUUAAUUUAUUUGAUUUAACAGCUAAACAUUGAGAGGGGUGUGUGAAACGUAAAAUAGUUUUUUAAUAGCACACCCCUACAAUUUAAAUACAAAGGAGUGUAGAUUUCAAACAACGAUUGAAUUUUAAGAUGACGCAUUUUGUUGAUUUUUCACAUUUAAGUUUGAAAUGAGCCGUUUUCGUAAUCUAUUAUAUUUAUUCUUGUGAUGCGUGUUUCAGUUGAAAAAACUAUCGUUUUCCAAAAAAAAAUAAUAAUAAAGAAAUGUAGGGUAAGGAUAGCAUUUAAAUAUUUAUGUUGAGAGUAAGGAAAAGAUAGAGAUGUGUAAAAUUCAUUUCCAUUCAUACAUUUUCGUGUUGUUUAUGUUGGUCUUUCAAUUAUUUAUGUUGAGAGUAAGGGAAUAAUUUGUACUAGGCAGUGUCAAAUUACAACCCUAAUUGAAAAACAUCUUGUUCGCCUGACCUAUGAAGGCCUACAGUGGAUACCUAGGCAUCCAGAGACGAGGAAGGGCAUAGUAAGCGAUGAAAUGCUUCAGAGAGUUGAAAAAUAAGCGUGGAUCCAAAUAUUCCGAAAUAUUUGACUGUUUCGAGCAAUAUGUAGGCCAAAAGACGGACGAUACAUAAACAGAUUAUUCGAAGUAGGGAUUCAUAAACAUCAAGUAUACAUUCUGUUGGAUAGUGGCCAAAUUAGUGGCCAAGUGGCCAAAAGCAUAUAAUAAAAAAUGAAGGAAUAAUGAUGUGGGAACAUCAUUAUGACGAGACAAAUGAUUAUGUUUGUUGAAAAGAAAAAUGAAGGUCAUGAUGAUGUUUGUAAAGGAAUGAUUAUUCAUUUACUUUGGAUUUUUUAUUGGGUGCUUUUGUAUGGAUGAAGGUUGCAGCCGAAUGAGGCCUUUUGGUUAUAUUAAGGCAUUCGAUUAUGCCUUUGGUUGUGUGGUGGAGCAGCAUCAGAUGAGAGCCAUACCAAGGAGAGCGUUCGGCUCUCCUAUUUGAAACAGUGUUGCUCAUUUCCAUUUGUUAGUAAUCCCUCAAUCAAAGAUGUUGCUGCUACAUGUUGUGUAGCUUUUGGGAGAGAUGGUAUUUGAUGUGUGUCCAUCUUCUCCAAUUGUUCUUUGUGAGAGUGAGAGUUAUUAGGUGUAUGUGGGAUUUGGGUUUGAGAGUUAAAACUCUAUUUGUAAUCUCCUUUUGAUAUUAGUGGAAUUUCCUCGCCAUCUCGGAACUGGACGUAGGCUUACUCCGAAUCAGUAUAAAUCCUUGUGUCAUUUGUCGAAAUUGUCUUAUCAUAUUUUGCUGUUGUAGCUUAUUGGUUUCAUAUUUGAUACUUCCGCACAACAAGUGGUAUCAGAGCUCCGGAUUUCGACUUGGGGGCUUUGUACAUGUAUGUCUAUGAAACCUUCGAAUAUGUUGGUGAAAUAUGAUUGAAAAAUUCGACGGGAGGAAUGACUUUGGCAUUUGGUCAAUUGGAGAUACAAGUUUUGCUUGCAUUGUUGCGAAAUGCGUGGCAUUGAAGAAGGAUGGUAAGGGAUCAUGCUGCAAUCCCUGAGCUCGCAGAUUGGAGAAUAGUUCCGAAAACAUCAUAUUUGCUGCAAUGUUGUUGAAGUGUUGGUGUUCGAAGGUUGCAGGUGUAGUGUACUGUUUUGGUAGAUUAUCCGUUGGUCAUCGCUGCAUCGACAGUGUUUGUGGGCUGUUGUCGACAAGUUGAGUGGGAAGGAGAAAAAGUAGAAGCUGUUGAGAAUUGAAAAGAAAAUGUUGGUUCCUUUUCUUUCGGCAUUUGUUUUGGCAGAAGGACAUCAUGAUGACAAAUGAUGUUGUUGGCUGAAAAAAAAAAAAGGUUAAGUUUUCUUCUCUUUGGCAUUUUUUCAACGGUAGAGAAUUUUUUCUUCACUCCCAUUGGUUGCCUUUGGAGCAAGUUGAUGGAAACAUUGGAGGAGUUUGUGAGGGCCAAUUUGUUGAGUUCUGCAAUUUUGGAUAGUGAGGCACCACACUAUUUUGGAUACACCACAUGCAUUGCAGAACAUUUGUGUGGAACCCUCUUGUAGAAGGCAAGUUAUAUGCUUUCUAACUUUGUUUGGUCUAUGGACAUUGGUUGGAUUUGUUUGCCACUGAUAUUUGGUUUGUUGGUCUCUAGCAUCUGGAAUAUGCUUUGUUGAAGACUCAUGUUGAGGUAUGGUUUUGGAUCUCCUACUGAUUAUUUGAAUUUGAAAUAUUUGGUUAUCCUAUUGGUGCUCAUGUGAUGAUGGUAAACUUGAGUGAAGGGCAUAAUAUUGAUAUUCAUAGGAUCUGAAUUUGGGUGAAAGGUUUUGUAUGUGGUAUGUUAAACAUUGUUGCCAAAUUUUGUAAUCAGUUUUGACUUGGAGAAUGUGCCCUGCUAUGUGAAUGAAUCUAUUGGUGCAGUUUAAGACCAUGGUGUUUGUAAGCAGGUGGAGUUCGUUAUGUGUCCAACUUUGGUAUGGUGUGCUUGAUCUUUUGUCGGUGAUAUUAAAGAAUUUCAGUUCUUCGUUUGAAUCACCUUUGUUUUGAUCAAGGCACUUAUGGUUUGCAAAUCUGGAGAAGACGGUAGAGAAAUGGUCUACUUUUGUUGGCUCUGGUACAAUUUGAAUUGAGGUGGAGAUCAUUAUAGUACCGAAAAGUUAGGGGAAUUUGAUUUAGUUCCCGUUGUCUUUAGUUUGUACUUUGGGUGCUUAUGGUGAUUGUUGAUUCGAUUCUCUGUGAUGUUUUCGAAAUUUGGCAAAGGUGGAGAUUGUUGGAUAGUUGCCAAAUUAGUGAAAAAGUUGUCAAAAGCAUAUAAUAAAAAAUGAAGGACAUAAUGAUGUCGGAACAUCAUUAUGAGGAGACAAAUGAUUAUGUUUGUUGAAAAGAAAAAGAAAGGUCAUGAUGAUGUUUGUAAAGGAAUGAUUUACUUUGGAUUUUUUAUUGGGUGCUUUUGUAUGGAUGAAGGUUGCAGCCGAAUGAGCGAGAGAAGGUAGAGCCUUUUGGUUAUAUUAAGGCAUUCGAUUAUGCCUUUGGUUGUGUGGGGAAGCGGCAUCAGAUGAGAGCCAUACCAGGGAGAGCGUUCGGCUCUCUCAUUUGAAACAGUGCUGCUCUUUCCCAUUUGUUAGUAAUCCCUCAAUCAAAGAUGUUGCUGCUACAUGUUGUGUAGCUUUUGGGAGAGAUGAUAUUUGAUGUGUGUCCAUCUUCUCCAAUUGUUCUUUUUGAGAGUGAGAGCUAUUGGGUGUACGUGGGAUUUGAGUUUGAGAGUUAAAACUCUAUUUGUAAUCUCCUUUUAAUAUUAGUGGAAUUUCCUUGCCAUCUCAAAACUGGACGUAAGCUUACGCCAAACCAGAUCCUUGUGUCAUUUGUCGAAUUUGUCUUAUCAUAUUUUGCCGUUGUAGCUUAUUGGUUUCAUAUUCGACGCUUCUGCACAACACAUUCCUCAAAAUUUUCAAUGCAAUUGGAUUUCCUCAAAUCUCAGGAACUACCAGAUUGUAAUGCUUGCAAUGGAAAGGAACCAUUGUGUACAUGUAGUAACCACACGAAUCAGUUGGAGACUUGUUUUUCAUCAGAGGAAAACAAAAGGCUAAGAAUCAAAAGAAAUCAAUCUCUAAAUAAUUACCCGAAGGCUUCAAAUCAACGCCCGGCAUCUUCCCGUUCAUGGGUUCUUUCGGUGUAUCAGGAGUCUCCAAUAUGUAGUGCUUUGGCACCUGGGGUGGAGUUGUACAGCGAAUCAGUGCCCAAUUCACGCUUUGGAAAAACGGAUGUUGUUUAACUUCUGUUGCUCCCCGCCUAUACGCAAGACGAUGCUGUGGCUCCUUGACAAGUAAACCUCUGAUCAAGUCCCUGGCUGCAAAGCUGACAGAAGGCAACUCUGGAAAUCUUAAAGGCUGGCCAACCACAUUAAACAAAGUAGCCCGGUUUCCUUGCCCCUUGAAUGGAGUUCUUCCGAACAAAAGCUCGUAGAGAAAGAUCCCAAAGGUCCACCAAUCUACAGCGCUGCCAUGGCCUUCACCUUUAAUGAUUUCAGGCACCAAGUACUCGUGUGUUCCCACAAAGGACAUUGAUCUAGCACUUGUCGGUUCUGCAACGAGUUCAGGGAGAGGGCUCACUUGAUUGUAUACAUCAUUAUCAUUGUUCUUCACCUUGAUCUUUUUAUCUUUCUUGGGUUUGCCCUUGAAAAUGCGUGGACCAAAACAUGUGGGCGUAAUGCAAUCCGGCUGCAUUACACAAGUUGGCUGGAUGCACGCAGGCUGAACACAAUAUGCUGAUUUCUUUGUCUCCAAACUUAAGUUUGAAGAUCUUACCAGGGUGGGGGAAACGGCACAUCUUAAAGAAAGGUCGAAAUCUGAAAGCAUUAUAUGUCCAUCUUCCCUCACCAAAACAUUCUCUGGUUUGAGGUCUCUGUAAAUGAUCCCGAGCAUAUGCAAAUAUUCCAAGGCAAGAAGAACUUCAACCACAUAAAACCUGCAAAAACAAACGGGAGAUAAACACACGAGAAUUAUUAUCUUCAGCAUGUCCCCAGCACUGGCAAAUAAACGUGUGCAAAACACUUGAUGUCCUUCUAGUUUAUAGGUUUACUCCUGCCUUUUCUCUGCAGGCUAUUGAAAUAUGAUUCCUAUUGUAACCUAAACUGAAAUGUGUAUGUGCACUAAUCAAAAAGUAAACUGAAAGGAGAAGUAUGAAGGAAUAUCUAACCUAGCAGCAUGCUCCGAAAAAUGCUUCCCAGGUUGUUUUUGUCUGAGUGCAUGCAGAUCACCCCAGGGACAAAACUCCAUCACCAAACAAGAUACCUUCUCCGUCUCAAAGUGUGUAUACAAUGUUGGCAGGAAAGGAUGAUCCAGAGAUUGCAGUAUUUCCCUCUCUGUCUGAGCCCUAAGAAGUUUUUUCCUACUUGCCAGUAAUGCUUUAUCCAUAACCUUCAUGGCGAAAUAAGUUUUAGUGCCAAUCAGUUCAGCCAAAUAAACGCUGCCUAUAUCUCCACAUCCCAGUGUCCUCAACAACUUGAAAUGCUCCUUACCCAGUGUUCCAUCAUGAUGAGAUCGCGCAGCUUGCACCGCUUCCCAACUAAUAUCAUUUGCCUUGUGGGGCUUGUACAUGGCAUUGCUCAAACUACUGGAGCUGCUCUCAUCGCUAACAUCGCUGCCAGUGCUGCCUCUAUAGAUGCUGGUCGUCCUGCUCUCAAUAAGAUCACAGGAAUUAGUAACUUCACUGCUUUCAACAGACUUCUCCACACUGUUGAUACAUUCACUGACUUCUGUAUUGGUGAAACUCUGCUUGGCUUCACAAUAUAGAGAGGCAGAAUAUAAACUGUUCUGAGGGCUUGCACAGUGAGAAAUGAGGUGGCUAUUUGUCUGCCCGGCUACUCCUUUAUAAGGAACCAAACCGUGAUUUCUAGAUUCCAUAUAUCUACUCGAAUCACAAUCAUUAACCGGAUGCUUGACGCUUGAUUUUGCUUCCAGCACGGAAACCUUGUUCAGAUAAGAAGUUUUGGCUGAUUUGUUAAGAACAUCAUUUGGGCCUCCAUGCUCAAGUGUUCCUGUUAAGUUUGAUAUUUCUAUAUAUUCAUACUGCUGCAAUGGCAGCAUUGCUUUAUACAUUGGAUACGUACACGCAUGCAUUAAACUAAAUAUAAAUGAAGGUGGAGUCCUCGCUGCCCAUAGUGCAGAAACUGCCCAUAAAGCACAAACACAGAUGCACAGCCCACGUGGGCAGUUUAGCUGUCAAGGCAUGUGUUGAAACCAUGUGCAAUAUUCUUCUGACAGGUUUGCUCUUUAACAUUCCCCCUCAAGUUGGAAUGGAUGUUGAUUAUUCCUAACUUGUGGAGCAAAGUCGUAAAUUGAUGUAAGCUCAGUGGCUUUGUGAAGAUGUCAGCUGGUUGCUUCAUGGUUGAAAUAUGAGACGUCCUGAUCAUACCACUUUGAAUCCUUUCUCGUACAAGGUGGCAGUCAAUUUCUAUGUGUUUGGUUCUUUCGUGAAAGACCGGAUUCGAAGCGAUGUGAAGUGCUGCUUGAUUAUCGCAAUACAACUUGACUGGAUGUUUAUGUUUGAUGCCCAAGUCUUGUAAAACAUAUUUCAGCCAAGUGACUUCACAACAAGAUGCUGCCAUUGAGCGAUACUCCGCCUCCGCACUAGAACGUGACACAGUGUUUUGUUUCUUGCUUUUCCAGGAGAUUAAGGAUUCUCCAAGGAAUACACAAUAUCCGGUGGUAGAACGUCGUGUGUCACGACAUCUGGCCCAAUCUGCAUCACAAAAGGCAUUCAGUUGGAUUGGACUUCUUGCAGAGAGAGAAAAAUACCUUGCCCUGGUGUAUGCUUAAUGUAUCGUAAGACUCGGUGGGCUGCCUCCAAGUGUGGAGUUCGAGGCUUCUCCAUAAAUUGACUAAGAAUGUGGACAGCAUAGACCAAAUCAGGGCGCGUGAUUGUCAGGUAGAUUAGUCUCCCAAUAAGCCGUCGAUAAGAAGAAGGAUCAGUGAUGCAUUGUCCUUCGUCCUUUCUGAGUGAUAAGUUUUUGCUCCAUAGGAGAGGUGGCUACUUUUGCACCAAGGUAACCUGCAUCCUCAAGUAUUUCAAGGGCAUAUUUUCGCUGUGAGAGAGCGAUCCCCUUACUAGAGCGAGCAAUUUCGAUGCCCAAAAAAAUAUUUUAGUUGGCCAAGGUCUUUCAACUUGAAUUGCUUCGUAAGGAAAGACUUGAUAUCCUCAAUUGCUUGUAUGUUAUUUCCUGCCAGGAUAAUAUCGUCAACAUAUACAAGGAGAGCAGUGAAUUUACCAUCAUGGUUUCGGACGAACAAUGAAUAGUCUGCCUUGGAUUGUUGAUGAUAACCAGCUUUGCUAAGAGCACAAGAGAGUUUGAUAAACCAUUGACGAGAGGCUUGCUUAAGCCCAUACAAAGAUUUAUGAAGUUUACAAACUCGUGUUUCCCCCUUUCGUCCGAAACCAGGGGGCAAGGACAUGUAGACAUCUUCUUCAAGGUCACCAUGAAGGAAGGCAUUGUGAACAUCAAGUUGGUGAAGGUGCCAUUGUUGGACUGAGGCAACGGCAAGAAGUAGGCGGACUGUAGUCAGUUUUGCAACCGGAGCAAAAGUCUCACGAUAGUCUAAGCCUUCAAUUUGGCUAUAACCUUUGGCAACCAAGCGUGCUUUAUACCGCUCAACUGAUCCAUCGGAACGAAAUUUGAUUUUGUAGACCCACUUACAUCCAACCGGCUGCUUUCCAGGGGGGCAAUGGUUGAAGAGACCAUGUCCUAUUUGCAGCAAGGGCUGCCAGUUCUUCUUCCAUGGCUAAACGCCAUUGGGGGUCGCGUACGGCCUGUGAGAAUGAACUGGGUUCUAUGGCAGCUGAAAUGGAAGUGGUGAAAGCACGAUGGCGAGCAGAUAAGCGAUCAUAUGUGAGUACAUCAGACAAAGGAUAAGAAGUACCUACCACUGUGGUCAAUGCUGAGUGAGAUGAAGGGACGGACCGAGAAGGAAGGUUAAUGCCAACGUGAUAUUGUUGAAGAUAACCAGGUGCAUGAGUGAGGCGUUUAAGACGAGGUGGUGAAGGGGAUUGGUCGACUGAAGAGGAUGGAUCGACUGAAGUGGAUUGGUCUACUGAAUCUUGUUCUAGUGGAAGGGACGGAUGAAUGAUGGUGUCAUCACAGUCAAUAUCUUGAGUAUAUGGAAACACAACAGGUGAGACGGCAACGGAAGAAGAAAAAGGGAACACAUUUUCAUGAAAAAUAACAUCACGGGAAAUAAAAAUUUUACCCGUUUGAAGGUCGUAAACUCGAUAUCCUUUGGUGCCGUAUGGAUAGCCAAGAAAAAUACAACGUGUGGCUCUUGCAUCAAAUUUGGUUGGUCUAUGGUGGUGUGUGGAAGAGAAACAUAAACAACCAAACACUCGCAAAUGUGCAUAUGUUGGCUGUUUGUGAUGAAGGAUUUCAUAGGGUGAUUUUCCGUGAAGAAGAGGAGUGGGAGUCCUAUUAAUGAGAUAAGUGGCAGUUAGGAUUGCAUUACCCCAAAAUUUCUUGGGAAGAUGAGAUUGAAAAAGCAAGGCUCUAGCAACGUUAAGUAAGUGGCGGUGUUUACGCUCUGCUACCCCGUUUUGUUGGGGAGUAGAGACACAACUUGUUUGAUGUAGAAUGCCUUUAGAUGAAAAAAAAUGGGUCAUAAAAAAUUCUAGACCAUUAUCACUACGAAGAACCUUAACUCGUGUGGAAAAUUGUGUUUCAACAAGGUGGAUGAAUGUGAUGAGAUAUGAUCGUGCAUCUGAUUUGUGAUUCAUUAAAUAAACCCAUGUGCAUCGUGUGAAAUCAUCUACAAUGGUCAAGAAAUAUUGUGCCCCUGUGAUAGUGGGAACAUGGUAACCUCCCCAAAUGUCAACAUGAAUUAAUUCAAAAGGAGCUUUUGUUUUAAUAGAACUCAAAGGAAAAGGAGCACGUGUUUGUUUGGCUAAGGGGCAGAUCAAACAAUCAUCAAUGCUACAAAAAUUCAAAUUUUUAAUGCAAGGGGAGAUAGCCCGUAAGGUUUUGUUGGAAAGAUGGCCAAGGCGUUGAUGCCAAAGCUGAGAAGCAGAGAAAGAGUAACAACUGACACUGAAUUGCACCUGGUUUUCGUCACAUUAUCAAGGUAGUAGAGGCCUCCUUGUUCAGUUCUCGUCCCAAUCAUCUUCCCCGAUCGUUGGCCCUGAAGUAGACACUUUUUAUCAGUGAAGAUGACAAAGCAAGAUGAGGUAUUAGUGAUUUUGCUGACAGAAAUUAAAUUCAGUUUAAAUGAUGGAACACAAAGCACGUUGUAAAGGACGAGAUCGUUCGAGAGACGAACUGUGCCAAUAUGUGUGAUAUCGGCAAGUGCAUGAUUGGGUAGGUGCACUUGUCGAUUGUAUACCGGAACGCUUGUGGUCAUCAAACUUGGUGAGCAAACCAUGUGGUCUGUGGCGCCAGUAUCGAAAAUCCAGUUCCUUCCCUUAUUGAGAGGAGAAGCACAAAGAACUCUACCUGAUAAAUCAUUCAUAGUAGAGGUGGUACCGACAUGGUUAGAUGUGGAUUUAGACUGGCUCUUAUCAAGUAGUGCAAGCAGGUUGUGGUAUUGCUCGGGAGUGAGGCUGUAGGAUGAAGGAGAUGUUGCUGGAGGCGUUGGUUUGAUGUCAACGUGAUUAGCCUUGGAGUUGAACCCCUGCGAGUUGGAACCCCUGCGAUCUUGAUAAUCUCCCUUAUCGCUGUUGUCCUUUGCCUUUUUCAAUUUGCGGCAUUGGUCUAUGGUGUGACCUCUCCAAUUACAGUAGUCGCACUUGAGGUGUGCACACGACAGGUUUCUGAAGUAUGUCCGGUUGCAUCACAACGGCCACAUUUUAAAUGGGAAUUUCUAGGAGAAAAAUUCCUACCAGAGUUUCGCAUGUUGUCCCGCACGGCGAAAGCUGCGGCAUCAGUGAUUGAAGACCUUCCAGGAGCAUGUAUUGAGACUGCUCUCUGUUUCUCAUCUUGAAUAAUGAGUGAGAAAGCUUUGUUGACAGCAGGGAGAGGAUCCAUAAGUAAGAGUUGCCCACGAACUGCAGCGUAGGAUUCAUUGAGACCCAUGAGAAACUUCAUGGUUUUCUGACUUUGCUGAAACUGCAUCAAUUCUUUCGCAGCUCCACAAUGCACAGGUUGGGAGAGCGCACAAGGCAUCACGUUCAUCCCAAAAACUUUUCAGUUUGGUAUAAUAUGCACCAAUGUUCAAAUUUCCUUGAACACUUCCAUGUAUCUCUUGUUCGAUAUGGAAGAGAUGGACACUGUUUGUGUGAGAGAGAAGCGUUCCUUCAACUCAUUCCAAAUAUCAGCUGCAACAUUGUUGUAGAUGACACUUGCACCAAUAUCUUUUGAGACAGAGUUGAGCAGCCAAGAUUUCACGAGGUUGUUGCAACGAGUCCACUGUUGGUAUUCAAUUGUGGACGUCAACUUAGGCCUUUGAAUGGUUCCAUUGAUGAAUCCUUCCUUGUUCUUGGCAUUGAGGGCCAUGGUCAUGGCUCGGCUCCAAGUGGAGUAAUUUUCGUCAUUCAAUGGUUGGUUGUGUGACGAGAAUCGCUCCAGGCUGAUCGGAGUGAUGAAGAUAAAGAGGAUCGCUGGGAUCUUCGUAUUUGGUGUGUUUGCUGGAAGAGUCAGUUGCCAUGUUCACAGACAGUGUGCAGUGGCUGUGCUUUGCGGCUGUGCUUAAUGGCUGUGACAGGUAGAGCAGCGACGAUGGCUGUGUAGCGGUUUUGCGACGGCAAGGCAGCGAGUGUGCAGCUUGCAGUGCACUGGUUGCUGCAGUAGCAGAUGUCGCUGUUCACAGUAUAGCAGCGAAAGAGUGAAGGCAGAGCAGAGCAAAGGAUUACCUGCGCUCUGAUACCAUGUUAAGUUUGAUAUUUCUAUAUAUUCAUACUGCUGCAAUGGCAGCAUUGCUUUAUACAUUGGAUACGUACACGCAUGCAUUAAACUAAAUAUAAAUGAAGGUGGAGUCCUCGCUGCCCAUAGUGCAGAAACUGCCCAUAAAGCACAAACACAGAUGCACAGCCCACGUGGGCAGUUUAGCUGUCAAGGCAUGUGUUGAAACCAUGUGCAAUAUUCUUCUGACAGGUUUGCUCUUUAACAGUUCCUUUAUUCGAAUUGUGGUAGUGUUUCCCCAUAUGAAGAAACUCUUCCUGCUGCAUGUUAUGAUUAGUUGCCUUGUUGGGGUUCUUUUGAUUAUUUACAGAACCAUUUGAGUAGCUGUCUGUCUUCACCGAAUAAGUAUGCGCAGUCACGCAGGAUGGCGACGAAACCCCUUCGCUUCUUGAUUGUUUUGGAGAUGAGGGCUGAGAAGGACGAGGAGUCCCAGUUGUGGAAGGAGGGUUCUUGCCUACCUCAGGCGGUGCAGAAUAGCGAAAUUUCGGCAAAGAAUUAACCCCAUCAACCAGUGACCCCAUGGCUUUCACACAGGCACUGUCACUGCAAAAUUCAACUGAGCACUAUGAUAAUAUGAUAUGUAACAAUCUUACCACUAAAGGCAUUAAGUACAGAAUCAUCAACUUGAAUUGUCUUCCAAAAUUCAAAUUAACAAGGCAGAGCCGUCAAUUCGAAACACAGAAUCAACAAAAAAUCUGCAACAAUAUACAGUCAAAGAAAAUCCCAGAUGAACCGAAAUUCAAGAUACAAGCUUUAAUUCACAAUCUAAUUAAUGGCAGCGCGAAAGGGGAAAAAUAUAUCAAAAAAGGAUCAUUUGACAAAAUUUUCAACAAAAAUUUAUCUUUUUAUAAAACCCAGAAACCCAAAUUCUCCAGUGAUUGAACCCAAGUUCUAAUUUUGAUUCUUUUCAAAACCAAACACGACUUUCAUUUUCUUUUCGUUUCCCACAGUUUCUCGGCAACCAAACAACAGAACAACGCAAAAGAACCUCAAAGCAAAGAACCCAAUUAGCCAAAGAGAGCUUAGAAAAAUUACCUGAUCAGAGAAGAGAGAAAGCAGACGACAGCAAGCAACCUCGCAUGGCUGGUGGGCACAAUGAGAGAGAGAGAGAGAGAGGAGAGAGAGAGAGAGAGACCCAAAGAGCGAGAGCUCACAGAGAAAGUGAAACAACUUAGAGGGGGUCUCUGUUUCUGUUUUUCAUCUUUUGGAUUUCACUGAAGAGCUUCAGAUCCGAUCGAACAAGAAAUCCAGAGGAGGAUCAAGCAACAAGACAACAAACAAAGAAAAAAAUAUGAAUAAAUUUAUGAACUUUUAACUUCUGGGGAGAACAGAAAGUUGGAGUUUCUCUGGUUUUUCUCGUCGCGGUGUGGACUUGAGAGAAAAACGAAGCCAAAAUUCGCAAGCAAAGCGUAAAGCUUAAAAAGCCGUCUUUGUCUUUGGAUGUUUUUUUUUCCAAUGUAUUUUGUUCUCUGAGAAGAAAAUAUGGUGGAAAGAACGUCUCUUCGCUUUGUUCUUGUUGUGAAAAAAAAAAACUUUUUAACAUUUUAGUUGUAUCAUGGCUCAUGGCGCACGAGAGAUAUUUCAUUAUGUCGAAAACACGGUCUGAUGCGAUUAUAGUGUAUCAAACCGUGUUAUCUUAAAGUAUGUAGGAAACAUGAUUUGAUGCGCUAAGUGUCUUAAUAUAAUUUGUUGAAAAAAAUUCAUAUGAUAUAUAAUGUAUCAAAUCGUGUGCCCCUAAAAAUGUAUUACGAUAGUUGUUUUCAAUUUGUUCAUUGAGGUAUUUUGGCAAUUACAAUAAAAACAACCAGCGCAAGAAAUCUUUAGGGACCCGUAGCGUCAGUAAUUGAAAAAAAAAAUGCCUCUCUCUUGAGAAAUUUUGAAUGUACCCCUAACCAAUAGCCCGCUUUAAGAAUUCAAUCUUUAAAUGAAUGAAUUGGUAUUGUGAAUGUUAAGAAUUAUUAGCUGGUGAUCAGACUAGUGAUACAUUUUUUUUUUCUCAAUGUUUGAAUUCCCAGUACAAUAUAUUUUGUAGCACUCAAUCGAACCUACAUGGCAAGGAUGUAGAUUUUUCAAAUGUAUAUUUUUAAGAUAUGAGGAAUUUAAAUGAAGAAACCAAACCCAAAUCUUGUAGCACACCCUUAUUCUACAACUACAUACUCAAAUGCAAUGUCAUACGUAAUUGUACAAAUAUCAAACUCACUUUUUUUUAUUAAUUUUCAAUAGUUAUCAUACUUCGUCUUUCAAGUGUAACUUAUUUUUCGAGCUCCCAAUAACAACUCCAUUUACAUUUUAUAUGAGCAAUGUAAUUAUCGAUAUCACAUGACUCCUACAUUAUUUUCAAGGCAAUUAUGUCCAAUGACGAAUGUACAUUGAGACCAAAGUGGUUUUAGGAUCACCAAAAGUUCAGAAAAUACACAUGUGAAUGUCUUUCGAGAAAUGAUUGGUAUUGAUCCUUCUUGUGCCCAUUUGAUGUAAUGCAUGCCAGCAUAUCUUGAGAUGAUGCGUCGAUAUCACUCAUCAGACUGUUUCAGUGUAUGUCAUUAUCUAUUGACAUGUUUCUAUCUAAAAAAUUAACAUUAAAACCCUCAAUGAUCCUAAUCUUGAAUUCGCAUCUGAUUAUGUUAUCUGUUUUAUCCCAUAAGUAAGAGCAGAGGUCCUCAACAUUGUCAAAUUUUCAAGCAUUCUUUCCCCUCAAAUAUUAUUUUAUUUUCUCCCUAAAUUCCAAUAAUACAAUGCUAAUAAUAAUUUUUUAAUGGAAUCUAAUCCAAAGAGUGGAAAAUAUCCAACAUCUAGAAUGUAACUAGACAAUGUUUUGAUUGACCACAACACCAAAAUUCAGGGAGCAGAUAUAGGACUUAAUUUUCAUUUUUUUAAACAUUAUUUAGGUCCAAGAUAAUUAAAUUAAAUUAUAAUUAGUCGUAAUCACAUGGGGAUUAAGCAACCGCACAAAUCUCGUUAAUUCCUUUCGCGGGAACCAGGAGGGAGGCCUCACAUGCGCGCACGUGAACACCAGGACAAAGCACGUGGGCGGCUGUCAUGCCCGUCGCAUGAAUCUACGGUAGGCCCGCGGUGAAACUAAAAGAUAUGUUUAAUCUGGAAGGACAGGGCGCCCGUAUCAAAUGUUACGGAGCUUUGGGUAUGUGGGUCUACAAUCACAUAAAUUUUUCAACGUUGUCGAAAACACAGUCUGUUAUAUAAGGUAUCAUUGUAAAAGCAGUUAAUUUUUUUUUUUUUUCAAACUAUUUAUGUUAUUGGUGUACUAGUCUGUUUUCCGACAGACUGAAAAAUAUCUCCACAAUCACACUGGUGGUAUUUUGUAUUGUGGAUUGUAAGUGCAAAAAGAGUCUAAUAGCAACUUAUAUAAAAUGAAUAUCUCAAUUGUAAAAAUCAAUUCUACUACUCAAUGUUUCGUGAAAACCAAACUUACAUUUAACAUUGUGUAUUAGUUUAUCGGAACGCCCUAAUUGCGAUAAACACAAAUUUUAUAUGUCAUUUUUGUGAGUUAAAGCUCAAUCCUUUGUGUUAGCAUAGAUAAUAUCGAUGUUAAAAAAUAAGAAAGUCAUUCUCGUGAUGGUGACCAGAUACACGUAACAUGCUUUCCUAACAAUGUGGGUCCCAGCAAAGACCCAUUUCCUUAAAUUUUAAUUCCCAUCAGACAUCGGACGGUUCUAUAUUGCUUCUGGACAUUGAUGGAUGCUCUGCACCGUAAACUCUAUGCGGUGCAAAACACUUGGUUCUUGACACGUGUAAUUAUUAGAAGGGAAUUUAGACAGUAUCAUGACUAGUGGGGACCACCAUUACCAAUCACAUAACAUGGACAUACCUUGGGCAAAUCAUUUUCCAUUUUCUCCAUUAGACAGUGAGCAAUCUUUCAAUGUACCUGAAACAAAGUGACAUAAUAGUAAGUAACACGGAGGAUGUCAGGACCAGUUCCAGACUCAAAAACCUUAAGGCCCAGUUUGGUGGGAAAUGGAAUAGGUUGUGAUCAAUUAAAAUAAAUUUUGAGUUCAACAUGUUAUUUAUUAUGUUAAAUGUGAGAUAGACAAGACUGAACUGGGUUAUAAGUUCAGAAUAGAGUAGAUUAUCUAACUUAUCCUUAUAAAUAGGUUACAAGUCUUGUCUUAUAAGCCCCUACGAAUCUAAUCAUACCUCUGUUGUCUAAUCUCAUCCAUCACCCCAAACGGGCCCCUUCGUGACAUCACAACAUAUUGACUCAUGUGCAAAAUUCAUUGACCACACAUGUUCCAUAUACGAACAAGUAACUUUUUUCAGCUAGGCACUAACACUGUCAUUAUUCAACCAAGCACUUACACUGUCAUGUGGUUUUACGAAUCCAUUCAUAUUAUAACAUAUGUAACCAUAAAAAAUUUCAACAUGACCGUUGCUUUAUACUGUAGUUCUGUACUACACAUGAAUUAGUAACAUCACCAUGUAGAUGUCCUACCAAAAAAAACGAAAAAUCUCCAUACAACUACAAACGAGAAGCAUUAAACUAGACAUUCAUUUCCUUCUCUGAGCAUGGGCAAACUAGCAAGGAAUGUGAUGAGGAAACUAACAUUAGACAAGAUGUCAAGAUUGUUCUAACCAAUUUUCCAGGUACAAAUUUAAGACGUAUCUCGCCGUUGACAAAACGUCAAGCCUCUUCUCGCUCGGUUCAUACUUCCCUUUCCGGAGCCGGUACCGACGAGUUACGGCCGAGAUUGUGUAAGUUUGGCCUUCUAUUGUCACACCGUCCCCACAAUGUAGGUUCUGCAGCAUGGAAGGUGCAAUAAGAACACACACAAGGAAAAUCAAAAGAGAAGAAAAUAGCAAGUUUAGUAGCAAAUUCGACGUAUCAUACAUCCGUAGGGCCUGCUGCUCCUCCAUGAAUGAACAAAUAGAGUAAUAUAGACGAUAGAGUAAUACUGAACGCAUGACAGACAGAAACAAUCAGUUCGGAUGCACGUAUAGUUUGAGGGAAGGUUUCGGUGCAGUUUCCUGGUUUUCUGAAGUCGUGUAUAGGGUUGUCCUCUCCCCGCAUAAAUGUGAUGGAGACUGAACUGUGAGAGACGUUCAAAUCUCAUAGAUGGUGAUCAUUUGCCUAGCCAAAUAAAAAGGAUCAACUUCGAUCCCGUACAUGAAUCAUCUUCCAUGCCUGUACAUCUGAGAAUAAUAUAAAACGGCGUUUAGACACUUAAGAAACGAAAAUGGCACAACGCAAAGACUUUGAUCACCUUGUGAUUUCAUUCACCAUCGCUCGGUCAUUGUGUUCUUUAGGUGUGUGCAGUGAACACUGAAACUUGUUUCUUCUAAACCAUCGAAAAACUUGUGCUCUUAACUUCACGCUUAAUUAAGUUAGCCGCGAAUGUGAAUUACAUUGCUUAUCUUCAUUUCGACACAGUUUUGUCCAAGUAAUCUGUUGGAGCAUGUUUGGUAUUCUACUUGAAUCCAACUUUUUAAACUAAAAAAUAAUUUUCAAGUUUUAGACCUUAAAAACUUGUUUGAUAUGACUAUUUUCAAAAACUGAACUCAAGACUAACUAAAAAAUAUAGUCUAUUAUCUAAAAACACAAAAUGUGAGUUUUUAGAAUUUUUAAAUUUAAAUUCACUCCUUUCUUUUCUCUCGCUCCUCCCCUCUCACUCCAAAGCUAUCUCUCUCUUUUCUUCUUUCUCUCUCCCCCUUCUCUUUUUUUUUUUUUUACCAUUUUCGUCUCUCAUCCAAUCCGCUCUCUUCAUUCUCUCGAUUCUUUAUCUCACUCACUUUUCUCUCUAUCUCCUCCGAUCCUCUCACUUCUUUCUUUUUCCUCCAAUAAUCUCUUACUUUCUUUCCUCUUCUCUCAUCUUUCUCUCUUGACCCACUCUUUUUGGAUCUCUUUGUCCAGUUUAAGUUGUAAGAUUUAAAAAUUUUAAAUUGCAUUUCAAACAAGUUUUUUAGUCUUAAAGAAAAUUGUUUUCAAGAAAAAUUCUUAAGAAAUGUUUUGAGAAAUUAUAAAAAAUUUCAAAUAGGAUACCAAACAAGCCAUUAGUUUCUUACAGUUUCUGAAAGAUCCAAGUCGACUGAGUACACGGUCUAUGCUACGUUUUUACCCAAGCGAAACACUACUUCAGAAAUGUUUUCACACCAGAAGAAGCUGCCUGAUGCAUACAUGACAAGCUAUCGAUACACAUUUAAGCAAGGACGUCUCACAUCCUCGGUAUGGUUUGCAUUUCUCAACGGCGUAGUGAUGCUUACUAGACAAAAGAUAAAAGAAAAGGAAAAGUGGGACGCAUUGGGGUUCAAUCUCCUCCAAAAACUAUGAAGGGCUUCCUCUUUGUGACACUUCCCAAAGUCAUCGCCAACACCAAUAUAUCAGAACAAGUGCAUAUGGCCCCCUAGAGCAAAAUGGAGUUCAGUGACCAACUCUUUCAAGUUUCAAUACAUCGAUCACGCAGCUUCUACCAAAUUCACACUCAAAAAACUUCCUUAUACGGUCAAUUUGUACAUCUGUGACAUCCAAAUCGACGUCAUUCGUGCUCAAUCAUUGCAGUAAUCGAGCUUAAACAGCUCAUAAUACAGUUAUAUAAGAAGCAAGAGCAAAUGCAGCAGCAGCAGCACCUGCAUAAUCCCCACUCAACAGACAUUCACGGAUUCAGAAUUGAUCCCCAAAAUUAUUGGUGGGAUUCGAAGCUCUUUUGCCACAAGUCCCCAAUCUGUCUAGCAAAGGGAAACAUUUGUGCCUCUCAUUUUAAUAACUUCUUUUUAUAGGGAGCUGAUCCGUUACUUUUUUACACAACUUUUGACAUACAUUUUUUUGCGGCGCAUUCUAUAAGUAUAUUUUAACGAUCCGAACCAUCACUCAUAUAUUAUACUUGCAAAAAUUUAGACUAACCCGAACCCAUUAAGACAUUUGUUUGUACCAAAAGAAACCUAAGCCCUUAUUUCAAGGGUCAUAUGGCUUCAUUUGGAAGACAGUGAAAUGCUUUCUGAACAAAAACUAGCAAAUCAUGGAAAAAAUUGUAAGAACAUCUCCAAUGGGUUGUGUUGAUGCACAAAAUCAGCGAAGACUUUGGUACAACAGAAAGUGUCAGGUUUUAUGACCUUCGCUUGGUUGCUUCGGUCACUAGUGAGGAUAAGUACGUAAAUGAAUAGAGACAGAGAAGCAAACACAGGAUGUACGUGGUUCACCCAGAUUGGCUACGUCCACGGAGUAGAGGAGUUCUUAUUAGUAGUGAAGGGCUUACACAAGUACAAAGGAUCAAGCUCUCAAUUUAGUGAGUUCUUGUGAAUGAUUUAACACAAAUGGCAUUAGGCAAUAUUGUGGGGGAAUGACCCCUAUUUAUAGAAAAACUUGUAGCUUUGUCACAUUGACAUGUGUCAUGUUAUGAUUGGUUCUUGAUGUCGACACGUGCUGCGCUCUGAUUGGCUUCUAAUCUUGACACGUGUCGAGUAGUGAUUGGCCUCCUGGUCGGAGGGGAACUCUUCUGGGUCCUUGACAGUAUAGCGUUGGCCGGUGCUCGGUAGUUUCGGGAUUGGUCAAGUAUGGUACAAACAGUGCUCCCCUAAGUUCCCGAGUGAGGGAAACUCCUCGGUUGGGGACUUGCAAGAUCCAAUCCCUUGAGUAAUCACGAAACUUCUAAGUACCGAAGUGUGGUCUGAUCUUCAUCUGCCCUUCUCUGGAAGUACCUUUCCUCCAUCCGGGAAUGGUGUAUUUAGCUGAUGUUGACGCACAAGGUAAUGUAUCAAUUUCAUUUGAAGCUUAGUUGUAGUUUCGGGCUUAGUCAAGUGUGAUACAAACCCUAUAGUAGGAGUCCCCCAAGUCGCGCCGAGCUAGGAGAUCUGCCGAAAGAGGUGACAGACAAGGUAAGCAGUCAAACUUCCAAGUAAGCAACCCAGGAUCAGAGGUUUGACUUCGGCUUCCGGUUGAUUGUUCUCCUUCUCCUUGUCUCUCAUUCAACUGCCAGGAUAAGGAGAAGCAAAUGGAUAAGAGAUGAUAUGAGAUACUUUUGCUUUUGAAGAAGUAACUUUCCACAGGCUUAUUCUUGAACUGUGCUGGAGGGUUUUCUGGUGCCCUUCAGAGUAUAAGGCCGACUCAAAAAUUUGAGGGUCAAAACAAGUCCAUCAAAUCUAGAGUACGUUCGACCUUGAUGAUAUGGGAUACUUUUGCUGUUGACGGAAUAAUGAAUGUGGUAUGGAAAGGUGUCGUGCUGUAGUGAUCUGUUUCAGCUCACCGUUGAACCUUCUGCUUCAAUCUUUUGCAUGGCAGAAGUGGUGUGCAACCUUUGCAUUUAAAUGGUCCUUCAGAACAUUCCUUCAUAGUGACUCAUCCACGCUUGGCAGCUUCAGUGUAAAGAGCCAAUAUCUGAUCAACUGUCAUGAGGUAUUUGCCGGUGGAAUUCGUGACCUUGACAACAGUUGAGGAUGAGUACUCGAGAGCAAUGCUAAGUAAGCAACCAGGGAAAGGCUCCAGGCAGUCAGUUCCAAAUUGGAGGUUUGAUUUCAGGUUCCGACUGACUGCUCUCUUUCUCCUUGUCCUGCAGGUGUGGACAAGGACAAAGACAAAGACAGGGAGAAAGCAUGAUAUGGGAUACUCUUGCUUUCGACCCUGAUGAUAUGAGAUACUCUUGUUCUUGGUGUGGCUUAUUUGCUGAGGUAUUAUCGGGGGGAAAUAAAGCUGAGUAUAUUUCGAGAGGUUAUGUUGAGGGUGCCUUUUUCGAAUGCGAGAAAGGGUUGAGCAUUUUUGCAGGUUUGCCUGUCCGUUGAGGAGGGAGGUCAAUGUAUAUAGGGAUUUCCCAAUAACAAGUAGUAAUGUUAUUCCUUUACCCUUCUUGGUCACAGCAAUGUAGUGGGAGCUGCCAGCUUCACGUGUUUUUAAUUUUGUCAGAGCACUUUGAAAAAGUGGUAUGUGGUAUCUGGAAAGCUGAUAUUACGUGUGAAGAUUACAGACAAGCUUUAUCUAAGGAAAUCUGGCUCUCGAAGUUCUGAGAGUUGUGCCUCUUCGGUUUUCGAACAAGCAAUCCCGUCGAGGAUCUGACUCUCGAGAUUCGGAAAGCGGUGCUACUCCGGUUUUUGAGAAAGUAAUUAUGUUGGGAGUCUUUUCUCGAAUGUGAGUAAAGGUUGGACGUUCUUGCCAACCUGUCUUGCCGCAAAACACGGAGGUCGACACACAUAGGGACUUUCCAGUUGUCAAGCAGUGGUGCUGUUCCUUUACCCUUAUGGGUAAUAGUAGGGUAGCUGGAACUUCGAAAUUCUCGUGCCUAAACUUUGUCAGAGAUCUUUGACAAAGUUAUAUGUGGUACCCGAGGAGUUGAUGGUGCAUAUGGAGAGCGGUGAUUGAACAGUAAGAUUCACGUGCUUUCUACUUCACCAGAAAUCUUCGACAGAUUGCCCGUAAUUUCCGCAAAGCUGAUUGUGCAUGUGACAGGUGCUGACGAGGCUGAAAAAGCAAGUGCUUCUUCGAUUUCUGAGAUCGGCCCUCGUGGUCUCUGAGCAGCCCAGCUUUUGAGAAAGCAAACGCCUCUUCGAUUUCUGAGAUCGGCCCUCGUGGUCUCUGAGCAGCCCAGCUUUUGAGAAAGCAAACGCCUCUUCGAUUUCUGAAGCUCCGUCGAGUGCAGAUUUUUAUAGAGGCUGGCAUUAAGUUCCACAGCACACUUGAAUCUCUACCAGUAGAAGCUCAUUUCUUGCACUUCUAAGAUCUUGAUUUGUCUGACCUCUUCCUUCUUCAACACAUUUGAAAAUGUCUGGACCCUCCGACCGUCGUUUUGACUUGAACCUUGGAGAAGAGACAGCCACGCCUUCUCCAGACAACAUAUGGCGCCCAUCCUUCAUAUCCCCUACUGGUCCUCUUACCGUUGGGGAUUCUGUGAUGAAGAAUGAUAUGACCGCUGCAGUGGUGGCCAGGAACCUUCUCACUCCCAAAGAUAACAGACUACUUUCCAAACGGUCUGAUGAGUUGGCUGUUAAGGACUCUCUGGCUCUUAGUGUUCAGUGUGCAGGUUCUGUGUCUAAUAUGGCCCAACGCCUAUUUGCUAGAACCCGCCAAGUUGAAUCAUUGGCUGCUGAAGUGAUGAGUCUCAAACAGGAGAUUAGAGGGCUCAAGCAUGAGAAUAAGCAGUUGCACCGGCUCGCCCAUGACUAUGCUACAAACAUGAAGAGGAAGCUUGACCAGAUGAAGGAAUCUGAUGGUAAGGUUUUACUUGAUCAUCAGCGGUUUGUGGGUUUGUUCCAAAGGCAUUUAUUGCCUUCGUCCUCUGGGGCUGUACCUGGUAAUGAAGCUUCAAAUGAUGAACCUCCAAUGCCUCCUCCUUCUGGGGUUUUGUCAAGUACUGAGGCUCCGGAUAACCACCCUCCGGUGCUUUCUCUUUCUGGGGCUCUACCGACUGCUGAGACUUCCCCUAAGCAACCUUUGUGAAGGCUCCCUUUUGUUUGUUUAUUUUGACUCAUGUAUAUGUACAUAUUUGUGGCUUAUCGAAAAUAUUAAUAAAUAAGCUUUGCUUCAUUUCAACAUAUUGUGUUAAAUACACCAAAGCCUUCUUCAUAAAGUUCUUUGAAUUUUUGCUUUUGUUGAAACCUGUAUUGUUGAAGCUUUGUGAGUGAAGCAUGUAGUUUGAGGUAGUGUUCCCUUAAUUUCCCGAGUGAGGAAAACUUCUCGGUUGGAGACUUGAAAAAUCCAAGUCACUGAGUGGUUGUGAGACUGCCGAGUAUCAAGGUGCAGUAGCAUAUGGUGGGAGUCCCCCAAGUCUUCAGGCGAAGAGAGUUGCCGAAUGAGGUGUCUCUCGCGUGUUACUAAUUUGUCAAAGUAACGAAUCCUUGUUUCGAUGUCACACAUUCGUAUAUGCUUUAUCUAAAAAUAUUUCCAACUUUUGUGUGUUUGAUGCUGCAUGCUAUUGACUAGACAAGAUCAAGUGCAAUUAGUAGCUUUUCUCUCUUUUUCAUCUUUUCUUUGGUGGAAUUGCUUUUCGUUUCCACUAAUCAGCCUGAGUGGAUGCAAGAUAACACCUUUCUCUAUAGCUCAGAUUGCAAAGUCGUCUUCAUGAAAGUUUUUCCUUAUCUUGUGAACUACAACAUAUCCAAAUUUGAGAUCCAUCGGAGUAGUACAACUUCAGAAAUUCAAGUAUGAUGAGUAACUGUUCAUCAAUGUUCUGUUAAUCCGUCAGACUUGUUGUGAGCUUCGAAACUCCAUUUUCUCUUGUUCAGAUCAACAUACUUUCUUCAUCGAAGUUGUUCCUUAACUUGUGAACUACAACAUAUCCAAAUUUGAGGUCCCUCGGAGCAGUAUAACUCCAGAAAUCCAGGUAUGAUGAGUGACUGUUUAUCAUUUUGUCUGUCAACCCGUCAGAUUUGUUGUGAGCUUUGAAACUCUAUUUUCUCUUGCUCAGAUCAGCAUGCUUUCUUCAUUGAAGUUGUUCCUCAGCUUGUGAACUACACAACAUAUCCAAAUUUGAGAUCCCUCGGAGCAGUAUAACUCCAGAAAUCCAGGUAUGAUGAAUGACUGGUUAUUAUUUUUCUGUCAACCCGUCAGAUUUGUUGUGAGCUUCGAAACUCCAUUUUCUCUUGUUCAGAUCGGUAUGCUUUCUUCAUUGAAGUUGUUCCUCAUCGACUCUUUCAUAACAUAUCAAAAAUUCAGGAUGAACUAACGGUUAAAUAUUUCCAGAUCUUCGAAACAUCACAACAGCUUCGAAAUCUGCAAGAAGCCGACUAUCAUGUUUGGAGCUUCAACACUUUAAUUUCCGUCGCUCAAACAGAAAUGGUUCCUUCUUGAAAGUUGUUCAUAUGCUCAAGAACUAUAGGGUGUCCAAAAUUCAGCUCCAUUGGAGAAGAGCAGAGGUUGCAGAAAUUUGAUAGAUGAAAGGAGGCGGAAGAGGGAGAGAGAGAAAAAGUCUCUUGGGUUGGAUUUCUAUUUUGGGGCAGAUUCCAAUUUUUGUAGCACCUUCAUUAUUGAUGAAUUGCUUGUACUUUUGUCCAUUAUGAAACUUGGGACUUUGGCUUGUUGUUGGAUCUAUUAUAAUAUGUUUGGGAACAUAUAUAAGUGAAUAAAUAAGAAGGAAAAUUUUGGGCCCUUGUGGGUGUAAAACAAAAAAUGUUUAUGUUUACCCAAGUGUUUUUGUACAAGUUCAAGGGCAUCUUGGGUUUUGUGAACAAAAUUUGUUUAUUUGGAGCAAGGUUUUGUGUUGAAGCUUUGUAGGUGAAGCUUUGGUGUUGAAGCUUUCUAGGUGAAGCUUUGAUGGUGAAGCUUUGUAGAUGAAGCUUUGUAGAUGAAGCUUUCUAGGUGAAGCUUUGAUGGUGAAGCUUUGAUGGUGAAAGUAUGUAGAGGGAGCUUUCUAGGUGAAGCUUUUUUAGGUGAAGCUUUGUAGGUGAAGCUUUUUUAAGUGAAGCUUUUCGGGUGAAGUUUUUUUUUUUGGGUGAAGCUUUGUGGGUGAAGCUUUUUAGGUGAAGCUUUUGUGGGUGAAGCUUUGGAGGUGAAGCUUUUCGGGUGAAGCUUUUUGGGUGAAGCUUUUUAGGUGAAGCUUUGUGGGUGAAGCUUUGGAGGUGAAGCUUUUCGGGUGAAGCUUUUUGGAUGAAGCUGUUUUUUUUUUUUUUUUUUUUUUUUUUUUUUUUUUUUUUUUUUUUUGGCGCUUGACACGGUCUUCAUUUGCUUGUUUUGUAGUGACUGUGGAAGACGGAUUGCUUUCUGAUUGAGAAGGGUUCCGGCAUCGCUUGCUAUGAAUGUAAAAGAGUGAGGGCUGAGUUGGCUAAAUUACCUCUUUAUUGAAUUCAUUGCCAAAUGGCCUUCAUUACAUAGGAUGCCGAACGGCUAUAGCUCAACACUUGUACAUCGUGAGUCUAUUUGUAGUAGUACUUCAAGUGAUCAGCGUUCCAUGGAUGGCCAAGGGUCUUGCCAUCGGAGCUUCUAAGUGUGUAAGAGCCAGGGCGACUGAUGCCAAUGACUUCAUACGGUCCAUCCCAGUUUGGACUAAGUGUGCCUUCACUCGGGACUCUGUCGCAGAGUAAUCUUUUCUUUAAGACCCAGUCUCCUAUUUUGAAAGAACGAGGCUUGACCCUAGAGUCAUAAUAGUUGGAGAUGCGCUGCUUGUAGGCGACAUUCCUCAAGUGAGCUUGGUUUCUGUGUUCCUCGACUAAAUCCAAGUUGAGGGUGAGUUGUUUGUCAUUUUCACUUUGAAUGUAGUUCUGGACUCGGAAUGUUGCUUGCUCGAGCUCAACAGGGACAACCGCCUCUGUGCCAAAGGCAAGUGAGAAUGGAGUUUCUCCUGUUGAAGUCCGAUAUGAAGUGCGAUAUGACCAAAGAACUUGGGGUACAAAUUCUGGCCAACAGCCUUUAGCUUUGUCCAAGCUGGUUUUCAAAGUGCGCUUGAUUAUUUUGUUGAUGGCCUCAACUUGUCCAUUAGACUGGGGAUGAGCUGGAGAGGCAAAGCAUAAGUUGAUGUUGAACUUAGAGCAGAACAACCUGAACUUCUUGUUGUCAAACUGUCGCCCAUUGUCAGUGACUAUCGCAUUGGGAAUGCCGAAUCUACAAAGGAUGUUCUUCCACACGAAGUCUUCUAUCUUUGCCUCAGUAAUGGUUGCCAAGGGUUCUACUUCGGCCCACUUUGUGAAGUAGUCCACUGCAACGACUGCGUAACAGACUUUGCCCUUCCCUGCCGGCAUUGGGCCGAUCAAAUCAAGUCCCCACUGGGCGAAGGGCCAAGGGCUGAUCAUAGGAGUAAGAGGCUCUGGAGGGGAAUGAGGAAUAGCCGCAUAUCGUUGACAUUUGUCACAUGAGCGGGAUACUUUGAUGGCAUCCUGGUGGAGUGUUGGCCAGUAAUAUCCUUGGCGAAAAGUCUUGUGUGCUAGGGACCGAGAUCCAGCAUGAUCUCCACAGACUCCCUCAUGUAUUUCCCGAAGGACGAUUUCCGCCUCGGCAGGCGUAAGACACCUUAAGUAUGGCAGGCUAAAACCUCGCUUAUAGAGUUGAUCAUUGAUGAUCAGGUAGCGGGUAGACUUGUAUCGAAUUUGCUUAGCCUGGACUUUAUCAUUUGGGAGGGUGCCAUGAGCAAGGAAAUUAUAGAUCGGGGUGAUCCAACUAUCCCCCUGUUGUAAGUUGCAUACUUCUGCGGCCAUGGUGCUUGGUGUUGCCAACAGUUCGACAUGAAUUUUUCUUCCAAUCUUGUCUUCCACAGCCGAGGCGAGGCGAGCCAGGGCGUCUGCAUGACUGUUUGCCGCUCGAGGAACUUGGGUGAUCUGGUAGUGGAAGUGCUUGAGCAAAAGUUGUGUUUGCGCAAGAUAUGCUGCCAUGGAGCUGUCCUUAGCAUCAAAGUUGUUGGUAACCUGGUUGACCACCUAAUUGGGAGUCACUGAAAAUAUCAAUUUGUUUAACCCCGAGGUGUUUGGCCAAACGUAAUCCUGCUAGAAGGGCUUCAUACUCGGCCUCAUUAUUUGAUGCCUUGAAUUUGAAACGAAGAGCAUACUCCAUUGCUACUUUGUCGGGUGUAGUCAAGACUAGUCCCGCUCCACAGCCCUGUUGGUUGGAUGAGCCAUCAACAUACAGACUCCAUGCUGGGGUUGUUGGUUCUAUCUUCUGAGCUUCCGGGGUAAUGAAGCCACUGCUUCAGGUGUAGAAGCAAUGUCAACCGGAUAUGUGAAGUCGGCAAUGAAGUCUGCCACUGCUUGGCCCUUCUCAGCUGGCUUUGGUUGGUAGGAGAUGUCAAACUCACCCAACGCUAUUGCCCAUUUGAUCAUUCGCCCUGAAGUGUCAGGACUUUGGAGUAUCUGUCGAAGAGGAUAAUUGGUAAGCACGAUGAUGGAGUGCGCUUGGAAGUAAGGGCGGAGUUUUCGAGCAGACAUGACCAAUGCCAGAGCCAAUUUCUCAAUGUUAGAGUACCGUGUCUCCGCAUCUUGUAAGGCUUUGCUAGCGUAGUAGACAGGUCGCUCAAUAUUCCCAUCCUUUCGAAUGAGAACGGAACUUACGGCUGAAGCUGAUACCGAUAGGUAGAUAAUGAGAAUGUCUCCUACCUCGGGCUUGGAGAGUAGAGGGGCUUUACUCAUGUACUCCUUGAGGUUUUUGAAUGCCUCGGCACAUUCAUCAGUCCAUGUAAUGUACUUCCUACUUCCCUUAAGUGCUUUAAAAAAGGGAGCACAUUUGUCUGUGGCCUUAGAAAUGAACCUGGUUAAGGCUGCCACCUUGCCAGUAAGGCUCUGGAUGUCCUUUGAAGUUACCGGUUCCUUCAUGUCGAGGAUUGCUUUGAUCUUCUCGGGAUUAGCUUCAAUGCCUCGUUGGCUAAUCAUGAAACCUAAGAAUUUGCCAGAGCCUACGCCGAAGGCACAUUUGUUGGGGUUUAACCUCAUUCGAUACCUCUUCAAAAUAGUGAAAGUUUCAGAUAGGUUGGUGAUGUGUUGGUCAGCAUGUUUGCUCUUGACUAACAUAUCAUCAACGUAAACUUCCAUGCUCUUCCCAAUCUGCUCGGCGAACAUUGAGUUGACUAGUCUCUGAUAAGUCGCUCCUGCAUUCUUUAGGCCGAAAGGCAUGACUUUAUAGCAGUAUAGUCCUCUGUCGGUAGUGAAGGCUGUGUGUUCUUGAUCCGAAGGGUUCAUGAGGAUUUGGUUGUAUCCUGAGUAAGCAUCCAUGAAGCUCAGGAGUUCACACCCGGCCGUAGAGUCUAUAAGUCUGUCAAUAAGAGGAAGAGGGAAGCUAUCUUUCGGACACCCUUUGUUUAGGUCGGUGUAGUCAACACACAUUCUCCACAAGACCUUUUGAAGCAAAAGACUUUCUUUGGUCGGAUUUUUCCUUAACAAGGACCACAUUUGCUACCCAUGUCGGGUAAUUGACUUCGCGGACAAAGCCUAUGCCUUUGAGUUUUUCAACUUCUGCUUUCAUUGCCUCGUAUCGUUCAGCGUCAUAAGAUCUUCGCUUCUGUCUCACCGGCUUGAUCUUGGGGUCAAUACUCAAACGAUGACAGAUGACAUCGGGAGAGAUGCCUGGCAUGUCCUCGUAUGACCAGGCGAAGACUUCAGUGUUCUCUUUCAAAAAAGAUAUCAAUGCUAACCGAAGGGGUGGUGACAAUGUGGUGCCAAUCUUCACCAUGCGAUCUGGAUAAUCUCUUGAGAUAGGUACCUUCUCCAACUCUUCAGCAGGUUGGGCUUGCUGGGUGAAAGAGUCAUCUCGAGGAUCAUCGGGUUGAUUGUUGCUAUCAGGAAGAUCCAAGUUCGCUUCAUCUAGGCUGGUCUUUGUGACUUGGUCAUGUACAGACAGGGUUUCCUUGGGUCCGGGCAAGUGUUGUUGCUUAACUGAAGUGUUGUAACAUGAUCGUGCACUAAGCUGAUCUCCUCUGAUGUAGCCGUUGCCAUGGGGGGUUGGAAAUUUCAUCAACAGCAUAUGCGUGGAUACCAUAGCCUUGAGAUCAUUGAUGCCUGUGCGCCCAAAGAUGACAUUGUAUGCCGUUGGGCAGUCAACCACUAGGAAGUUAGUGGUAAUGGUAGCCGUGUAAGGGCCUGUACCAAUAGUAAAGGGUAAAUGUAUGCUCCCUAAGGGUUGCACGAUAUCACCGGAGAAGCUUAUCAGAGGAGAAAAUCGAGCGAUCGAGCAAGUGUUCAGCUACACUGAGUGCCCUGAAAGCUUCGGCAAACAUGAUAUUGACCGAAGCCCCUGUGUCUACGAGGAUUCGUCGAACAUCAAAGUUGGCUAUGUGAGCCUCCACGAUCAAUGGGUCGUUAUGAGGGUAGAUGAUGCCUCUUUCUUCCUCAGGGUAGAAACAUAUCGGAUCCCAGUUAGGUUUUUGAUACUUCCCUCCCCUGAUGUCUUCCACGUGAAACACUUGGUGACCAGGCCUCAGACUUCGUUCACUGUUUUUCAUGGCCCUAUUGGAAGAUUCAGAUAUGGGUGUGCCGCCGCUUAUGGAAUAUAUGACAUUCACCUGGCGUUGGUUACGGUUAUCCCUUUGAGGGUGAAGAAGGAAUUGAUCAAUUUUUCCUUCUCGUGCCAAAGCUUCAAUACGAUCACGGAGGAUGAUACAUUUCUCGCUAUCAUGGCCGUUAUGCUCAUGGUAGCAACAAAACAUGCCCGCGUUAUUCGGGGGCGUGUAAUCUGGGUGCCUCGGCUUUGGCUUUGGUAUCAGGUGAGCUAUGCUGGGGUAAAUGGCCGCGCAUGUGGCAUUCAAGGGCGUGUAUGUCUCAUACCUUGGGGUAGGGGGUAUCUUGACGCGGGUUUGACCCACUGCAUUGACUGCCUGGGGGCGAGCGUUAUUGUGGCGAUACCCUUGGUUAUCGGGAUAGUGUCCCUUACUCUUUUUUACUGAAAGGAGAGUGGUGAGGAUGGAAAUCCUUCCUCUUGCCUUGAAAUUGAUAUGUCUGUUGAUUCGGUGAAGCAUUAUGCAAGGCAUGGGGAGGUGCCACUGCUGUUUGGAAAGUCGAGGUCUUCUCAUUUAGGUGAGUCUGGCUUCCACCUCCCACUUGUUGAUAAAGGAUGGUUGUAGGGGGUUUCUCCUGAUAUGUCUUUGCCUCGGCGGAGGCAUGGUUAUAAGCCUGCGCCAUCACCUCAGAGUAAGUCUUCCAAGUAUUGGCAUUGAUCAUGUAUUUAAAGAAACAAUCACGUAGGCCUGCCGUGAAGGCUUUGAGGGCAGUCUUGUCGUCUGCCUCGGCACACCGGGAGUAUUCAUGGCUGAAGCGGCCAGCAUACAUACGUAAUGACUCGUCUGGCUUCUGGCGGAUAGUGUACAGGUCAUCUGCAGAGUGCAAGCGAUCGGUUUGGAAAAUGUGUUGGGAAACAAAUAGUUUCCUCAAUUCCUCAAAUGAGUCUACCGUCUCAGGUGUAAGACGACAAUACCAAUUUAGAGCUCCACUAGAGAGGGUGGAGGGGAAGAGAAGACAUCGCUCUUCGUCGGUGUGCAUCCGGUAUGCCAUGGUGGACUCAAAGAGGUUAAGGUGCUCAAUCGGGUCCUCUUUUCCAGUAUAAAGUUGCAAGCCAAGCUUUUGCUUUGUCUUUGCUUGAAGGGGGGUGUUGAGGAUCCUCCUUGUAAGAGGGCCAGGCCUGGGUUGGUUCCAGUCAGGUAUUUCAGCCUGACGUUCAGCCUUCAACUUGUUUACUUCCUCAAGAAGUUGUAGGACAAGGGGGUCCUGAGCGGAGUUAUGUGUCACUGGAGCUUUCUUUCGUAAAUCUCCAUCUCCUAUUGGAAUUAGGAAGGUUUGAUCAAGGGCAUGUGAUUUUUCCCUGGACUCGCUGUACUGGCUUCCAAGGUAUGUCUGUCGGAACACCUCUGAGUCCCCUGUACCCUCAUGUCUCUCUAGGACUUGUUGCCCCUUCCCCAAAUUGGUGGCCGGCUUGGGCAGUGGCAGGGGACCGAGUCUCUCAGAAAUCCUUGGGUCAUUAAUCUUUGAGCUUAUAUGGAUGGAAUUCUCUCGACGUUGCUUCAGGAAAUCCCGACAAUCGCGAAAGACGGCUUUCGAUCCUUCUGCCCCUUCAGCAAAGAGGUGUCUCCUUCCACUUCUCAUGGUUCGGGUCGAAGCAACUGGGUUAAGAGAAGCCUCAUGUUGAUUAUCAAGUCGAGGGGUAAUCUGUUCCCUAUCAGGGAUAUCUAUGUCGAAUGCAUGUGACCCUCCAUGUUGGAGGGCACCCAGUUGAUGGUUGACUUCCACGGGGGCAACAAGCUCGCGUGUCUGAGCUUGCCUAGCUUCGUGGAGUGUCUCGAAGAGCUUCUCAUAUUGCUCCUGGAGGACCUCAUUCCUCAUUGCUAUCUUGUUGUUCUGAGCUUCCAACUCAUCGACUUUAGCUUGAAGAAGAACUCGUUUUCCUUCCUUCUUUCGUUGUUUUCGCACUAUGUGCAAGGGGGGUGUCAUUCUGUGUGCUGUGGCUUCAUUCGCUUCCCAUGCUGGAGAGGGAUGCCUGAUCAAAAGAAAGUGUACGAAUGAUAGAAACCAGCUUGACACAGCUGAAGAGAGUAGGAAUCAGUGUCGUUUCCCACAGACGGCGCCAAAUGUUGAUGCACAAAAUCAGCGAAGACUUUGGUACAACAGAAAGUGUCAGGUUUUAUGACCUUCGCUUGGUUGCUUCGGUCACUAGUGAGGAUAAGUACGUAAAUGAAUAGAGACAGAGAAGCAAACACAGGAUGUACGUGGUUCACCCAGAUUGGCUACGUCCACGGAGUAGAGGAGUUCUUAUUAGUAGUGAAGGGCUUACACAAGUACAAAGGAUCAAGCUCUCAAUUUAGUGAGUUCUUGUGAAUGAUUUAACACAAAUGGCAUUAGGCAAUAUUGUGGGGGAAUGACCCCUAUUUAUAGAAAAACUUGUAGCUUUGUCACAUUGACAUGUGUCAUGUUAUGAUUGGUUCUUGAUGUCGACAAGUGCUGCGCUCUGAUUGGCUUCUAAUCUUGACACGUGUCGAGUAGUGAUUGGCCUCCUGGUCGGAGGGGAACUCUUCUGGGUCCUUGACAGUAUAGCGUUGGCCGGUGCUCGGUAGUUUCGGGAUUGGUCAAGUAUGGUACAAACAGGUUGGAUCCUAAAAAUCCCGCGGACUCAGAAAGUAAUAACAAAAAUGGCUAAUCUAAUAACGGAUUCCGUAAAAAAAAAAACAAAAAACGUUAAAAAAGAACUAAAGGCAGUCUCUAUGCCAUCUUACGAAAUAAAAUUCAGUGCGAGAAUGCAAAGAUCUGCACAAAUGUGCAGCCUGUUAAUGUCAAUUGCCAGGUCCCUUUAAUCUCAUAGUCCUGGUACAAAUAAAGGGCUUCAAUGAAAUAAAAAGAAUUCAACAGAAGAUUAUACGGAACGUCCUUGACACAAGGUUACCGGCCUCCAUUGCCGCCGGGGCAAAGUAUAGAAAGAGAGAAAUGAGACCAAGUGAGAAACUGGAAGCAGACGCCUGUAGACUUGAAGCCAAUAGCUACAGAGGUAGGUUCAUUUAGCUGCAGACUUCUUUUUUCAUCCUAAAGUACAACAGACCUUCUACCUCCCAUAUGGAUGAUAUCGGCCACUACCUGCACCGCCAUAUCCCCCUCCUCUACUACCGUAAAAGGAAACUCCACUACCACCUCCAUAGCCACCUCCGUAGCCACCUCCAAAACCUGCAUCAUAGCCACUCCCAUAACCACCACCACCAGCUGCCCCACCAGCACCUCCAUAUCCCCCAUAACUCUCACCAGCUCCACCAUAACCACCUCCCAUAUCAUAACCCCUGCUAUAGGCUCCUCCAUAACGGCUUGAAUAUCCUAUGGAAGAUUCUCCCCUAUAAGCCCCUAUACCGCCGCCACCACCGCCACCAUAUACUCCAUAUCCGCCAAAUUCACUGCCACCAUAUCCUCCAUAAGCACUGCCUCUACCACCAUAGGCAGCAGCUGACCUAUAACCACCAGCACCACCAUAACUGCCACCUCCAAAUCCACCAUAGCUUUCUCCAUACCCACCACCAUAUGCAGGUCUAGAAUCAUUAUAACGUUUUGAUGGUGGUGCAGGUUGGUUUGGCUUCUUUGGUUCUGCCUUUUUUAUCUCCACCUACAAGAAAUAACAGAUGAAUCUAAACUAUCAAGCUUCUUGAAUGCUCAUAGAUGCAUUUAGUACAUUACAUGGCCAAACCGUCUGAGUACAUGUAAACUAAUUUCGUGUACAUAUGUGAAUUCUACCUCAGUUUUGUUUGGUCAAGCGUAUUGUAUCAUGGUCUCCUUAUUCGUCACUUCGAAAGUGAAUAAAGCAAUAUGAACUUUAAGUAAUCUACAGGGACUACUAAACCAAGCAACAAUUUAGUGCAACCCAUUACAAAACCAUUCUUCCACAUUGAUCAGCGAAAGCAGAAAAUUAAAAAGAGGAUGCAUACAGCCACAUCAAUGCAUAGAGACCCACUACACGAUGCAUACAGCCAACCCACCUAUAUAAUCAAAACUUGGCGGCACUUCAAAUUUGAAAUUUUCUUCCUCUCUCACGACAUAGGUUAGCUAUUAAGGAAUAACAUUUCAAGAGCGACAAAUUCCACCAAAAACAUCCCCCACGUUCCAUUUCUACUGUGAAUUGGUAAUAUUAUCGAUGCAUAUGUUAUAUGAUCCUCAAACUCGCUGUAGCAUGACUAUUUAUUUAUUUAUUUAUUUAAUAUCCUUUACCUCAACUUCAUCUGUUUUUCUGUUGAGUAAAGAUAAAGGUCGUACCCAGUGCACAAGGCUCCCGCUUUACGCAGGGUCUGGGAGAGGUGAAUGUCGGCUAGCCUUACCCCCAUUUAUGGAGAGGCUGCUCCAAAGUCUCGAACCCGAGACCUACCGCUCAUGGGCGAAGGCACUUGCCAUCGCACCAAGUGCGACCUCUUUCUGUUGAGUAAAGAUGAUAAAUUUAAAAUUCAUCCCACAACCUAAGAAAUGGAAAAAAGAGAGGAGGUGAAUGUACAAAAUCCUUGCUAUGCCCUCUAUAUUUAAUAGAAAAAUAAAUUGAGUUAACGGAUAUAAUUGAAGUACCACAUGAGAUUGUGUUUGAGAACCACAAUAAGGAAAAAAAGAAAAACUAUCCUAGAAUGAAGGUAAAAUUCGUGUUCGUGACAACAAUGUCGUAUAUCUGAAAAAUAAUUCAAGUAGAUUAAGAUGUUAGUACACAAUCGUUUAUCUUGUUUAUUGAACAAACAACAAGGACAACAAUGUCGUUUUCUCUCUUUCGAAAUUCAUAAGCAACAAAAUUGAGAUUUUUAUUAAACAAUCACAUGAGCUUAGAAAAUACCACAUCAACAUUUUGCAAGCAGUCUCAUAAGAAAUCCCAAUCAAGAUAAAACCAUUCAACAGUUUAUUAGAUUUCUCCUUUCAUAUAAGAGCAUGGUUCGGAGGAUUAUUUAAUUGACGUUAUAACAUCUUUAUUCAAAGAAAAAAUGAAAAAGAAAAUAGGGCAUCCCUAAGGUAUAGGCCACAGCCACUGUUGCCACUGUUGCCACUGCUCCAACCACGGCAGCAGCUUAACAGCUCCCCUAUCAAGCUUAACAGCUUCCCUAAGGCAUCCUUCCUGGCAUCGUUCUCACUAUUCUCAAUCUGAUUGCCCUUUUCUUGUGGCUUAUCCUCGAUUUCAUCAACUUCAUCAGAAGAUGCUCCGAUUUGGCCCCUGUAAGGAAUGAAAUUGAAUUCCGUGUUCAGCUAUUUAAAUAUUCAACUCUUAAGUUUUGUCAAUAGCAAUUGAGUAAGAAUAGGUAUGAUCAAGCUUAAUAAACAAAUCACAACCACAUUACAAAUCAAAAACAUAUACAGGGUAAUGCAGUUAUAUCCAAUUCUUUUGUGCUUUCUCCACAAAAGUUCUUCCAUGUUAAUGUAACUCUAUAUCAAUUAAUCUAUCAUACAAGACUAUACAUAAUCAGCAAUUGAAAACUAUGACAACACAAGCUUCCGUCCAGUGAAAAUUUUAUCCAAAGAUAGGCAAAACCAAAAACGUACAAACCUCCACAGACGUUCUAUAAUCUUUCCCUUCCCAAUAUGCUCAUCAAGCAAUUCCGGCACAUCAUCAGGAGUGACGUCGCCAUACCUGCAAUUAAUAAUACAUAGUAUUCAAAUUCCAUCGAUCCCAAUACAACAAAAUUUUAAAUUGUUAUGAUCUGAAUAUUACCAAUGGCCCGUUAUGCUUCCAUUUGAACCUGGGCUAUAGAUAAUCAAAUUUCCAUCGUGGCCUCCAGUGUGAAAGCAAGCAUCAGUAAAUACCUGAUUCGUCAAUCCUCGUAGCUCAGCCUCCUCUUUAAACUUAUAAAUGAGAACACGUGCACUAUCACCAAUCCAUUCCUCUCGACUACCUUGUGCACAUACAAAUACAUGGGAGCCAGUCAACGACUCUUGCACUCCGGAAGCCCAUGGCUUGUCAUUCACAAGGACAUCAUCAACAAAGCUGUCCACAUUCGACUCUUUCAAGCCCCUUUGAUCAACAAACAAAAAUAUCAGAAUCACAAAAAAGGAUUUACAUGCAAGAAAAUUAGUCGUAAACUGAGCCAUUAAAUUCAAUUUCUAUAACUAAUUUCAGAAACUAACACAUAUCUAAUUAUCUAUUUGGUUCAGUAAAUUCAGCAUAAUCCCGUAACCAAAUGAGAAGUCGAAACAAAAAUUACUUUAGUCUGAGGUAGGAAAAUAAAUUGCGCUCAUGUUGGUUAUGGAAUGGGCCCUCGAUUAUGAAUUAACUACGGUUUGCCAUUGUGUGUGUUUGUGUGGGCGGUGCUUAACAGCUGGGUUGGGCUGCUGCAUUUGGGCCCAUGGUGCAGCUCUCACGCGUUUUGGGCUGGGUUUCACCGAAAGAUCAAAUGACUCUUUUGCCCUUUUCAGUCCUAAUCCAACGGCCACCAUUUGGGGCGUUUGUGUUCUGCAAUUCGGUUGCUUUCGAUCUCGUCAAGGAGAUCGAGCAGAGAGGCGGAGGGUGACAUCAAGUUUUGGGUUUGCACAUUGAGAGACAAGAGGGUUUAUGGGAAGGGUAGGAGCUAGAGAAAGGGGGGGUUCUGUUCGCUGACGUUGGUUGCGGAGAGAGAGAGAGAUGGGCAAAAGUAUGGGGGUAGGGUUGAGGGGAACGGGUACAGAGAGAAAGAGUGAGGAAGGGACAUAUGAGCUAGAGGUAUGGGUUGAUUUGUCAGGGUCGACCUGUAAACGGUCGGGUUAUUGGAUUUGGGUCGGGUUCAAUUUGACCCGUUAAGUUAACGGAUCAUCCGUUUCAUCGGUUAACACCCGUUAACAAUUAUUAUUAUUAUUUUUUUCAUAAAGUUUAUUUUUUAUUGUUAAGACUUUACUGAAAUUACUUAAACAUUCUCAACUAACGGGUGCUAAUGAGUCUAACGGGUUGACCCAAAGUGACCCGUUAUUUAACGGGUUGUUAACCAAUUCACCAGUUAACCCCGACCCAUUAAUUUUCCACCAAAAUACUAAUAUUAACUGAUCGGGUUAACAUGCCAGGUGCAAAAUGCCAGGUCUAGUCAGGGGCUGCUGCAUCCUUCCUAUUCACAAGGUAACAAAUAAUUUUCCAUUCAUUCUUUACUGUUGGUUGUGAAUUUACUGUUCGGGAAAGGAGGCUACAAAUGAUUUAUGCAUACCUUUGUAGCCUUUAGGUGUGUGUUUGCUAGCUAGCUGGGUCGUGGGUGAGUCUUGAUUGUUUUGGUUCUGUCAUCUUCGACUCUUAUGUCUUCCCUUUUUCUGAAUUUUCUUUAUUUCUCAUCCUUUAAACUUUGUAUUUUUUUUUUAUGUGUGAUGCAGAUAGAUGAACAUGUUCAAAGGGGAAUCAUGAACCACAGAUCACUGCAUCCGAAUAUCGUUUUGUUCCAAGAGGUCAGUGAUCAUAAACUAUUUUCAUUUUGUAUUUUAAGAAUGAAUUUGGCAAGUUCUGUUUGAAUUUUGUAUAAGUAUCUGCUGAGGGUGGGUGGAUGAAGACAGAACAUGCUAAAUUUGGCCUUUGGUGUGCUUAAACUGGUACGGGGGAUGGUUAGAACUUUGAGACCGGGAUGCAGUAGGACUAAGAGAAAUGCCCUACCCACCGGGGCAAUUGUUGUCAAAAUAACUCUGCUAAAAAUAUGAGCUUUCCGGCACUUUGUUUUUAGAGUGGCUUAUUUGGGAUAAUUGAUAAAGAGAUUUGUGUUUAAGACUUGAGAGUAGUGCGGUGUCUUUCUUGCUGGUUCUGCUCACACCACCUCAUCUAGAGAGUAGUGAGGUUUGUGAUGGAGUACACGGCUGGGUGAGAACUCUUCGAGAGAAUAUGCAGUGCUGGCAGAUUUAGUGAGGAUGAGAUAAAGUGGUUUCAAAUGCAGAGAACAUUUCAUUGGAAAUGAUUUUAGUGUAGAGUCUCAAAUAUGGGAUCUGUGAAUGUCCCCUGAAAUGGAAUCCAUCUCGAUUUUCGUUUAGUUUCAGAUAAGGAAAGUUAGGUCUGAAGCAUUUUGGAAUAUGAAUGGAAAUUAUGGAAUCCAUGUAGUCCAACGAGUUCUUGAAGUUUGGAAUAUCUUUGAGUUUGUGGCAGUCGUCCAGUCUCAAGAGUGUCAUUUUCGACAUCUCUGAAAAGUCGGGCAUUAUUUCCAGUGCAGUGCAGUGCAGUGCUUUGCUAUCAGUUCAAGCAAACUGUUUGGCAAAUCUAGGAUUGCCUGAAGGUUUGUGCAAUGAUUUAGCUUUAAAACCUGAAGCUGAGAAAGGCCACUGAGAAUGGGCAGCCUACUAAAACCAUUCCCACCUAGAUCUAAAAAUGUUAAAGAAGAUAGACUCCCAAUUAUUUCGAGAACGGCACCAUCUGUUAUAUUGCAGUCGUUGAGAUUUAAUCUCUUAAUCAUCUUCAGUUGUGCUAAAAAAUGGUAACUCCCACACAAACCCUUAGAGCCACUGAGGUCCAAUUCCUCGAGAUGUGGGAGUUUUGAAAAGUCUGGUAAUUCAGUCAGGUUAUGGCAGUCUCUAAGAAUGAGAUACUUCAACUUCUUAGGCAACUGUUACUCAAAAAGAGAAAACAAUAAUAAAAAUCCAAAUAAAUAAAAGAGAGAAUGCAUGACGAUGACUGAUGUUGAUAUUUACAAGGCAUUGAUAAUUAUAUCGUACCAAGUCAGAAUCCUCCCAAACUCGUAUGAUCUUGCUGUUCCACAGUUCCAUAUAAACUAGGUUUCGUUGAUCAAAAUCUGCUGGUAUGGCUUCAAGAGGAAAUCCGUUCGAACACAAAAAUCUUAACUCCUUGGAAAGAUGUUUGUAGCUUCCCGUCAGCUUUACAUUUUCCAGCAUGAGAAAUUUCAGACGCCACAUCUUCUUAAACACUUCCGUACUGAAGCUUCGCUCGUCAUCAGGAUGUUCUAGCAAAGCUAAUUGUAGUCCUUCAACUGCUUCUGUUCCCUGUUAGAGAUAUAAAAAAAAAAAAAACAAGAAAAGGAUAAUAUUUACACGAAGCAGAGCUGUGAAUUGGAUGAAUGAACUACUAGAAGGGUAGGAUACACAACAUAAUUAUGUAUUUUCUCUUUCAAUUUACAGUGGAUGAAAGCCUUUUCUUUCUUCUUUUUCUUCAAAUAUACUAUGUAUGGCAUACAUUAUAUAUAUGCGGAUAUACGUAUAUACUUCUCUUUCUUCACAUGUACUUAACAUAACAUCUUUUUAUUGCAAAAGUACUUACAGAUUCGUUUCUUAACACGUUUUUUGCAUCUUCACUAUGCCACAAUUGACUACGUUUUCCCAAUUCCGUAGGAGAUUUUGCCCGCACAAUUUCUCUUCCCAUAUCUCGAACCAAAUCAUGCAUCCUCAAAAUUUUGUCUUCAUCAAUAUAUAAGAGACCUCGAUUGCAGAGUGUGGUAAUUUCUGCUUCUACAGAAAAAUGACUACAACUAUCCAAUACUGGCAUGACUAUAUUUAUAUACCAUCCAAUAAAGACACAAGAUAUGUCAAGGAACACACCCUUCACAUGAUCAUCAAUUAGCCCAUCGUAUCUUAAUUUAAGCGUUUCAUUAAUUUCUCCUCCAUUUGGAAGCUUCUGGUCAUUAAUUUGUUCAGCUUCAUCAGAAGAUGCUCCCAUUUGGCCCCUACAAGGAAUGAAAUUGAAUUUCGUGUUCACCUAUUUAAAGAUUCAACUCUAAGUUUCGUCAAUAGCAAUUGAGUAAGAACAUGUAUGAUCAAGCUUAUAAACAAAUCACAACAUUACAAAUCAGAAACAUGUAUGGGGUAAUGUAGUUAUAUCCAAUUAUUUUGUGCUUUCUCCACAAAAGCUCCUCCAUGUUAAUGUAACUCUAUAUCAAUUAAUCUAUCAUACAAGACCAGACAUAAUCAGCAAUUAAAAAAUAUGACAACACAAGCUUUCGUCCAGUGAAAUUUUCAUCCAAAGACAGUAGGCAAAACCAAAAACAAACAAACCUCCAAUGUCGUUUUAUAAUAUCUCCCUUCCCAAUAUGCUAAUCAAACAAUUUCGGCACGUCAUCAAGAUUGACCAAGGGAUAACUGCAAUUAAUAAUACAUAAUAUUCAAUCUCCUUCAUCGAUCCCAAUACGAUAAAUUUUAAAUUGUUAUCAUCCGGAUAUUACCAUUGGAAUGAAUCUUUGCGGUAGAUAGUGGGAUUUCGAGCACAAAUGUGGCCUCCAAUGUGAAGGCAAGCAGUAACAAAUACCUCAUUCGUCAAUCCUCGCAACUCAGCCUCCUCUUUAAACUUAUCAAUGAGAACACGUGCAGGAUCACGAUUCCAUUCAUUUCGUGUCAUAUGUGCGAAUAUAAAUAGAUGGCGGCCAAUCAACGGCUCUUGCACUCCGGAAGCCCAUGGUUUGUGAUUCACAAGGACAUCAUCAACAAAGCUGUCCACAUCCGACUCUUUCAAGCCCCUUUGAUCAACAAACAAAAACAACCUCAGAAUCACAAUAAGGGAUUUAAAGGCAAUGAAUUAGUCGUAAACUGAGCCAUUCAAUUCAAUUUCUAGAACUAAUUUCAGAAGCUAAAACAUAUCUAAUUAUCUAUUUAGUUCAGUACAUUCAGCACAAUCUCGUAAUAAAAAAGAAUUUAAAACAGAAAUUACUUCAGUCUAAACUAGGAAAGUAAUUGCACUGCUCAUGUUGGUUAUGGAAUGGGGCCCUCGACAAUGGCGGAGCCACACAGAGGCCAGUGAUGGCCCAGGCCUACCCUGAUAAUUCAUUUAUGUAUGUACUCUCUGCAAGAUUUUACAAAAAUGAGCAUGCGGCUCAUUGGCUACUGGGAUUUUGCAAUUCCAAAAAGCCGCCUUCCAAGCGGUCUAGCAAUUUUUUUAGAUUUUUUUUUAAACUGAAAGGAAAAAAGGGUUCUUAUAAUUUGCCUUAUUUUUUACCAUAUUAAAACUAAGUCUUAUUUUUUAAUAUAUAAAAAAACAUACUCUCUUUUUUGGCUAGUUGAUAUAAAAAAAAGGUCUAUACACUAUAGAGCAAAAUCUAAUUUUAAGUCGUGAUUUUAAAUUUUUGUACAACUCUAAUGUGUUAAUUUUUUUUAUCAAGGCUUGUAAACAAGUUUUGUUUUUAUGAUAUAUUCAUUUCAAUACUAGGUUUUUCAUACAAAAUUUAAAGCUCCACCAUUCUUGUUUUAUUAAAAAUUUUCAUGCCAAUACAAAAAACAAAACCUUUAAUUUUUCUCCCAUUAAUUAUAUUUCAAAGGCUAAUCUUUCUAUGGCUUAAAGGCCCCUCCUAAUCUGGUUUUCUGGCUCCGCUACUGGCCCUCGAUUAUGAAUUAAUUACGGUUUGCCAUUGUGUGUUGGUGUGGGCCGUGCUUAAUAGUUGGGUUGGGGUGCUGUAGGCCCAGGGUGUAGCUCUCACGCGUUUUGGGCUGGGUUUCACCGAAAGAUCAAAUGACUCUUUUGCCCCCUUCAGUCCUAAUCCAACGGCCACCAUUUGGGGCGUUUGUGUUCUGCAAUUCGGUUGGGCGGGGGAGGGGGGAGAGAGGGGGGGUUAGGUUGCUUUCGAUCUAGUAAAGGAGAUCGUGCAGAGAGGCAGAGGGUGACAUCGAGUUUAGGGUUUGCACAGUGAGAGACAAGAGGGUUGAUGGGAAAGGUUGGGGGUGGACAGAGGGUUGAUGGGAAGGGUUGGGGGUGGACAGAGGGUUGAUGGGAAGGGUAGGAGCUAGAGAGGGGGGGGGGGUGGGGGUGAGGGUGGGUCCUCUCUCCACUGCUUGACGUCAUUUGGAUCUUCAUCCCUUUCAUGCUUCCCCAAAACUACCUUUCUGUUUCCUGACUUGAGAAGGGUCAACGUCGUAGAAUAUUGGACACACUAUUUUCCCCUCUUGUUCUUUUAGGCACCUCAUGAUUUUCGACAGCUCCCUCAGGCACCACCGGGACUCCGCGUACCCCUUCGAGAAGACGAGGAGGGCGAUUCUCGAUCCUUCGAUUUCUUGGUCAAGUUCACUCUGUAUGGUUUUCCCCCUUGUGAGCUGGUUAUCUAUAAAAGUGUUAAUUCCGGCAUUGCGUAAUGCAAUGAAGAGGUGGUUUGUAAAGGCGUUGCGGGUGUCUUCGCCUCUAAAGCUCAGGAACACCUCGUACUUCCAGCGGUUUGAGCCAGCUUCACUGGCGGAGCUGCUGGUAUCCAUUGCAGCCUGUAGAAGUGCAGCUUGGCGUUCAAAUAACCAACGUCAAGUCUUUCCCAAGAUUCCCAAGUGUUGGUGGCCCUUUUAAAUAUUUUGCAUGGGCCAAUGAUGUCGAUAACACGUGAGUGCUAUUCCCCCAAAGUUUAAUUUGUAUAAAUGUUACCAUCAAAUUUAAAUAUUUUACCAUGCAAUUUCCUCUUUUGUAGUUUUUUGAGAAAUCUGCCGCCCCCCCCCCCCCCACUUUGACCAGUUGACGAGAUUAUUGUAUUUUAAGGGUGGUGCGCAGGUCGGUCCAACUGUUGGAGUCACGCUAAAAUACGCAUUGGAAUUUGGAAGUUAGAAAGUAAAAAAAAUUAUAAUAUUCAGACGUGAAAUUUUAAAAGUGUUCACGAGAGAGAACAAAAAUGAAAAACAUUUACUCGAUUGGGUUAAGGCAUGGUCCAAUAGAACUUAUAGGCUUAAACACCGCAAGUAACCAAAUUGGACAUGGGUCUUAUGACCCAUCAGAGCACAUUAAAUUGUGAAAAUUGCACCUGCGCGUUAUUCACACGUUAGUGUAGUAACUUCAGAAAGAAUAAUACUUGAGUACUUAUUGAAAUUACCGACCCAAUGAAAUAAUUAAUAAAAAAGAACCAAUCCCAGUGACUACCCAAAUUACACGGCGUUAAAUCGUUAACCUUUUGGUUUCUAAAUUUACACGUGCCGCUCACUGAAAUGAUCAGAGUUUUGACUUUCAUUUCUUGAAAGCCAGCUGCACCAAUUGGUAAUCGAUGGAUACCAGCAGCUCCGCCCAUGGAACCGCCAUCGCAGCCUCUUCGUAUUCCCCGUGCCGCUCAAACCGCUGGAAGUCCAAGGUGUUCCUGAGCUUUAGAGGCAACGACACACGCACUAACUACACAGACAAUCUCUCCAUGCGUUACGCUAUGCCGGAAGCAACACGUUUAUAGACUACCAGCUCAGAAGGGGGGAUAAUAUACAGAGGGAACUUGACCGAAAAAUCGAAGGGUCCAGAAUCGCCAUCGUCGUCUUCUCCAAGGGGUACGCGGAGUCCCAGUGGUGCUUGAGGGAGCUGGCCAAGAUCAUGAGGUGCCGAGAAGAUCAAGAGGGCAAAAUAGUCUAUCCAAUGUUCUAUGUCGUUGUGAGGAAACAGAGUGGUGGUUUUGAGGAAGUUCGGAAGCAUGCAAGUGAUGAAAAUCCAAACGAACAAUCAGUGGAGAAAGGAUCUUAAGGCUUCUUUCCGGCGGACGGGUAUAAUUCCUUCUUUAACUCCUUCUUUACAAUUUUUUGAUGCUCAAAUUUACUCACUUAUAAUUCAAGGUUAGAAAUCCGGUCGUAUAUAGCUUAGUUAAUCACAUGGAUCAAUCUAAUUUACUCAAAUCUUCUUUGCUCAGAAAAUAUGAAUCUUGCAGUUGCAUGAUGAAUUUCACUUUUGUAUAAUUUUGAAAUUUAAUUGCCAGGCGUGAAGGGUUGUUUAUUGAGGAAAUUGCUAGGGACAUCAGAGGACUACUGAUAACAACAGACUUAAAACAAGCCAAGUGCCCAGUUGGAAUGGAUUUUCUUGUGCAAUAGUUGAGUACUGAAUGCUUAGAUGUUGGAGAUUUGCUUGAUGUUCAAAUAAAUGGAAUUUGGGGUUUGUGCAGUAUAGGUGAAACAAUACUUGCGAGAGCUAUCUGUAGCAAAUAUCAUCGUUGCUUUGGUGGUCAAUGUUUCCUUCAAAAGGUGAGGAGUAAAAAAGAAAAGUAUGGUUGCUCUGCAAGAACAACUUCUUCGAGGUGUUUUGAAACGGCUGGACAUUAAUGUGAGCGGUGUUGCCGAAGGAACCAAAGAGAGAGAGAAAAGAUUUGGAAGCAUGAAGGUGCUUGUCGUCGUUGAUGGCAUAGAUGAUGCUGACCAGUUAGAUGAAUUGGCGAUAAAACAGGAAUCGACUAUGUUUGUUAAGAUUCCAGCCACCCAAAUCUGCAGAAGCCUUAAGAUCCUUUCUCCACUGCUCGACCUCAUUUGGAUCUUCAUCCCUUUCAUGCUUCCAAAAUGCAUUUCCAAAAAUACCACUAUUUCCUCACUUGAGAAGGGUCGACGUCGUACAAUAUUGGAUAGACUACUUUCCCCUCUUGAUCUUCUUGGCACCUCAUGAUCUUGGCUAGCCUCUUUGAGAAGACAGACAACAGUAUUCCUCGACCCUUUGAUUUCUUGGUCAAGUUCACUCUGUGUGUUUUCCCCUCUUCUGAGCUGGUAGUCAAUGAGCUUGUGGAUUCCAGCAUUGUAUAAUGCAAUGGAGAGGUGGUCUGCGAAGGUAGUGUGUGUGUCGUCGCCUCUAAAGCUCAGGAACACCUCGUACUUCCAGUGGUUUGAGUGGCACAGGGAAGACGAAGAGGCUGCGACAUCGGUUACAUGGGCGGAGCUGAUGGUAUCCAUCGAUAAUUUGUACUAGUGUUGGGAGAAUAGAGGAGUGCAGCAGGCUAUGCGGCUUGGCUUUCAGAUAGCCAAAGUCAAGUCAAACUUCAUCUUCUAAGUAUUAUAGAGAAACAAAAUGCGUGGAUUUAUAUGAAUAUGCACGCGUAUGGCAUUGCAUAUAUUUAUUACAACAUAUGGUAACACUUAAUUUUUUAUGUGUGAAGUAAAAUAUAUGAAUUUCUUACAUUGCCUUGUUUGUUUGUUUAUACAUAUUGUGAAAUUUUUAUGGACUUAGUACUAUCAGUAUUUGUCAUUAUCUGCUAGACAACACAUGAUUAUGCGUGUCAAUCAACGCUUAGGUUAGACUGCAUAAUAUGAAUUUGACCAUAUCAUGAACUCAUAAAGGAGUGAGAAUGAGGAUCAACUAGCCCGCUUAGUUUAUUUGAUUCAUUAUAUUCAUGGAUUGGAUCACGAUCGAAUGUUAAGAUGAUACCCAUGCUUUUUCUGAUUCUACACAAGUUAGUAAUUCAAACGACUUCAAAAAGGAGUAUUUUAGUAAAUACGGGAAAAUCAAGAAUCAACAUGACGUAUACGUGGCUCCCCAUAUCGAAGAAAAAAGGGACAUUGCACGUACUUAUAAGUUAUUAAACUCACAAGCAACUGAACAAUCAGAGCCAGAUGUCAAUAACGAGUAAUGGGAUUGUAAUGCUUUCAAUAUUCAAAUCAAUUAACAAGCUCAUAAGAGGAGUUUAGGUUUAGGGUCCCUCAUCAGAUGAGUGAUGGCUGGUUUAGCUCUGUCUGCAACGUCAAUAGUGUCAUCAUCAGUGCAUGUCUUCAUCAGGCAGUAUUCAUGGUAUAGUUUGAUAUCGUCACCAGACUAAUAUGGCUGGUUUAGCUCUGUCUGCGACGUCAUUAGUUUCGAUUUCGCGGUCAAGUUCUGUCUUUAUAUUCACACCACCCCCCCCCCCAACUCCCUUUCUGAGCUGGUAGUCUAUAAACAUGUUGAUUCCGGCAUUGCGAAAUGCAAUAUCGAGGUGGUCUAGUGCGUGCGUCGUCACCUCUAAAGCUUAGGAACACUUCGUACUUCCAGCAGUUUGGGCACCACAAGGAAGACGAAGAGGCCGCUGCGGCAGCUAGGCGGAGUUGCUGGUAUCCAUGCAUGCAGCCUGAAGAAGUGCAGAUUGGCCUUCAAAUAAUCAAAGUCUUUUACCAAGAUUUCCCAGUGCGGGCGGCAUUUUAAAAUUUUUAACCCCAAUAAUUUACGAAUUUAAAUCGUUUAGUUACAGGCAGGGGCGGAUCCACAGUGGGGUCGUCGGGGUCGCACGACCCCUUGGAAAGCAUGGAAACAACCUUGAAGCUCCCAUACGCGACCUCUUGGAGCUGGGGUCGUCGGGGUCGGAGUCACACGCCAAGUGUUCGACAAAAAUCCUGAACGAAGCUCGGCACUGCAGGAAGAGGAAGAAGAAGAAGCAAGCUAUUACUAUGCCAUACGGAUAUGCUUGAGUUUGCAUCCAUUGAUGAAUUCUGCAAUACCACAUUUGAUCCGUCUUUUGUUUCCCUAAGCCGGAUGUUGGAUGCUAUGGCGCUUCUCAUUCCUCACCUUAAAUGCAAUUGUGUGCAGGUGAUGAAGAGACCUGGUUGUAAUUAUAAGACCGCUCGAGUUUGAGGAGGUGAAUCCUCAAGGAAAAGUAGAGGAUCACAAACAGAGUGGAAAGAAACAGAAACAGAAAAAGAGGAAUAAGAGUAACAAGAGUAAAAGCGGUAGUGACAGAAUUGUGACAAAGGUGAAGACUAAGCUCAAGAGUUGAUUAAUACAAAACUGUUUUCGGGUUUUUUUUUUCUUUCCAGUUCCAUUCUUUCCAUGGCGUAAGCGUCAUCAAUUUUCUACGUUUUGGAAGAUGAAAGAGUUAGAAGAGAAGACAGAUCGAGCGGGGAUGCUUAAUCUAUGCGUGCUGGUAGAAAUUCAAUUGCCAUAAUUUUUGUAUCUUUUAAUUCUUUUCUCUUCUCCUGUGUUGCAUGCAGUAGUUUGGUAGAAACUGUAUAUCAGCUAUGUAUUAAAGCCAUUUAACUUAUCCGACACUGCACCAAACGCCCGACUAAUGGAGUUAGUACUAUCCGACGACUAUUUAUCUUAUCCGACUGAAAUAGUCAGUACAGUCCGAAGUACCAAACGAGGUUAAAAAAAAAUUUCGCGCUGCGCGCGCUAUGACCCCACAAACAUUAUUUCCUGGAUCCGCCACUGGUUACAGGUAUGAAGUUCUGUAAUUAAUCUUUUAAAAUUCGUAGACCUUUCGAGGUCAUAAUAAUAAUGAUUUCAAAUAGAGCUCGGUCUCACAAACGGAUAGGCGAAAACCGUUCGUGAAACGGAAUUAUAAUGAGAGAGAUGUAAACGAUUAAAGUCAAGAACAUUUAAGCAAUUUUGAUCUUCAAAUCCCGAAGCCUCCAGCUUUGCUGGAGCAGGAAGGGUGGUGAUGAAGCCACGUGUGUGGCUGUGAUGGAAAGAAGAGAAGAGAAAGGCGAGAAAGGUGAAGGGGGACUGCCCAAUCAGAAAGAAGAGCAGGAGAGACAUGAGAGAAGUGUGAGGCACUCAACCCGGACCCCCGUUCCUUGACCCGUUCACACCGCGACCCGAACCGCAUCCCGGCUUUUAAAUACAGCGCUUUCUUUUCAAAAAAAAAAAAACCUCAUUGCACGAUAUACUUGACAACGCAUGAUAUACAGUAACUGGUAAUUCAAAUAAACUCCAACUUCCUUAGUAGUAACCAAAUUCGAUCUGGGUCUUACGAUGACCAAUCUCAAACAUCAAUUGUAAUGCUUUCAAUAUUCAAAUCAAUUAACAAACUCAUAAGAUGAGUUUAGGUUUAGGGUACCUCAUCGUUAGAUGAGUGAUGGCUGGCUUAACUCUGUCUGCAACGUCAACAAUCUCUUUCAUCAGUUUAUGUCUGAUAGUCCUCGUCAUCAGUAUCGUCGCCAUACUCAUACGGUACACGCUCAUAGUCCACGCCCUUAAACUCUAUAUAUGAAAGAUCAUAUUCUAGAAUUCCAUCAGACAAAUGACAUUCUGUGAUACCCACUCCAGUUUUCUUCACCUUAAUUUGAUGAUCAUCCUCUGCUCCUUUAAUUAAAGUCUGCUGUUACAAAAACCACGUUGCCGCCUUCGGAUUCAGCUUCUUGUUUGAAAGAUGUCCCAGCCAAAGAUGACAUUCAUGGGAGGCAGUUACGGUGGCCACAAUUGGCGAAAUGACAAAAUGAGUUCGCUGGGAAUGAUUAACAACAUGAAUGCAUAGAGACCCAGUACAGCCGGAGUGGUCCCCGGAAUAAACUAUGCACACAGCCAACCCUCUUAUAUUAACAGCAGUCCUUUGCCGCACUUCAAAUUUGAUAGUUUCAUCCUCAUUCACGACAUAGGUGAACCAGUAAGGAAUAUCCAUUCCAGAGAGAAAAAGCCCGCCUAAUGCUCUCGUAAUCCAGCCCUUGGACGAGUACAACACCAUUGAGGCUGGUGGAGGAGAUGCUUGCAGAGAUCAGCAGUGGACGAUGAUCUCGACCAAACUCUUGAGCUUUGGCAACAGCCUGAAAAGUUCUCAUUAUUCUCAAUCCAAUUGCCGUUUCCUUGGGGCAUCUCCUCGAUUUUCUUACUUUCUCCUCCAUUUGGAAGCUUCGGGUCAUUAAUUUUUUCAGCUUCAUCACAAGAUGCUCCGAUUUGGACCCUGUAAGGAAUGAAAUUGAAUUUCCUGUUCAGCUAUUUAAAGUUUCGUCAAUAGCAAUUGAGUAAGAACAAGUAUGUUCAAGCUUAAUAAACAAAUCACAACAACAUUACAAAUCAGAAACAUAUACAGGGUAAUGCAGUUAUAUCCAAGUCUUUUGUGCUUUCUCCACAAAAGUUCCUCCAUGUUAAUGUAACUCUAUAUCAAUAAAUCUAUCAUACAAGACUAUAAAUAAUCAGCAAUUGAAAAAUAUGACAACACAAGCUUCCAUCCGGUGAAUAUUUCAUCCAAAACAGUAAGCCAAACCAAAAAUGUACAAACCUCCAAAGUCGUUCUAUAAUCUCUCCCUUCCCAAUAUGCUGAUCAAAUUCUGGCACAUCAUCAGGAGUGACGUAGCCAUACCUUCAAUUAAUAAUACAUAAUAUUCAAACUCCUUCAUCAAUCGCAAUACGAAAAAAUUUUAAAUUGUUAUGAUCCGGAUAUUACCAAUAGCUUGUUGUACUUCCAUCUGAACCUGGGAUGUAGAUAAUCAAGUUUCCCAUUGUGGCCUCCAGUGUGAUAGCAAGCAGUAACAAAUACCUGAUUCGUCCAUCCUCGCAGCUCAGCCUCCUCUUCGAACUUAUCAAUGAGAACACGCGCACUAUCACGAUUCCAUUCUUCUCGACUACAAUGUGCACAUACAAAUACAUGGGAGCCAGUCAACGGAUCUUGCACUCGGGAAGCCCAUGGUUUGUGAUUCACAAGGACAUCAUCAACAAAGUUGUCCACAUCCGACUCUUUCAAGCCCCUUUGAUCAACAAACAAAAACAACCUCAGAAUCACACAAAAAGGGAUUUACAAGCAAGGAAUUAGUCAUAAACUGAGCCAUUAAAUUCAAUUUCUAGAACUAAUUUCAGAAGCUAACACGUAUCUAAUUAUCUAUUUAGUUCAGUAAAUUCAUGUUGGUUAUGGAAUGGGCGCUCGAUUAUGAAUUAAUUACGGUUUGCCAGUGGUGUGUGUGUUAGUGUGGGCCGUGCUUAACAGCAGGGUUGGGCUGCUGCAUUUGGGCCUCCGCUGACGUUGGUUGCAGAGAGAGAGAGAUGGGGAAAAGUAUGGGGGUGGGUUAUGUCCACUGCUGUGUAUUGCCUAAUUAGUUAUUUACAUUUGCUUAUUUAUCUCUGUAAAGCUUUCAUGCUUGGAUUUUAAAUGUAUGGUUCAAUUAGAAACCUUUAUAAUGUUGAUGUUAUAGAACAUUCCAACAGAUAUACAAGACUAUUGUGAAACAAUUCGUAUAAACCUCAAAUUACAAUGCUUAAAAACUAAAAAGUACCGAGUUAUGAAUAAGACUAUUGUGGUAUUUUGUUACCUUAAAAGCAGCUGCAUACGCUGCUUGUAAAAUUCGACAUGCCUUCGAAAGGUAGCUUGUUAUGGAUGAGUUCCCACAAUACAAUUACAAAACUGUAAGCAUCCACCUUAUGAUUGUAAUGCUUCUUUUCUCCGUGUCGUAAUGUAACUCUGCUGUAAAGCUGCCACCAAAUACAAAGGUGGAAAAUUAAUUUGCUGAUAUCAAACACACUCACAAGAACAUAUGAGAAAACAAAUUUUCAACCUUUGAAUGACCAAUUUAAAGUACCGUAUCUCAGGAGACAUCCACCGGUAUGUCCCAGUUUCAGCGGUCAUCAUCUCUGUCAAUGACUCUUCUCUUGCUAAGCCAAAGUCCGCAAGUUUGACUGUUUUUUGGUCGGCAGUCAAGAUCAAAUUCUCUGGGAAAAGGACAGGACAAAAGUUGUAGAUUGUUGGCGCCAGUUCGGCGUACUUAUACUCUCACGAAUAUAAUUACCGAGACCGAACCCAACACCGACGAUUUUUGAACUUCGAAGAAACUAGCAACCUUGUCUUCAAGCUUUAGAACCCAAAGGCUGAGAUGUGUUCCUUCCUCUGCCGCAAUUGCAAGAUCAAGAAGUCAGUAGCCCACCCGACACCACAUUAACGUAUUUUACUCCCCGGCCGAACUUAGUUGAUGAGUUGGCAUGCCCCGCACAUAAACGAAGGACGUAGUUAACUUAUAAAUUACUCGGCCUGCGCGCCACGUAGGCUUGGUAGUUUUUAGGGUCAACAUUUUGGCACGCCUGGUGGGACACAGUGCUAAAGAUACGAAGUUCAUGACCAUUGAAGCACGAUCAGUAAAAACAAAAACAAUCAUGGGUAAGUUAAUGACUAAUCUUCUACCUACAGUCCAAAGCCUAGGACAAGAUGGCUUGUCACAGGGACAUAAUCCUUCUGCUGCUGUAACACUUAAAGCCACAAGUACAACAUGCCGAAAAAAAGGAAUCAAUCUCUGCGGUCAGACUCGUGAUGCAGAAAUCCCCACCAAAAUGACAAAAUGCAUUUUUGUUGAAGGACUAGUGGAGGAUUGUGACGAUGAUGAUGAUGAGGUAUUUGAUCUAUCAUCUAAAUCUUUUCUUCGGUGACGAUUUGAAGAAUAAUCUCGGCAGUUUGAGAAAAUGUUCAGCUGAGAGGUAAAUGCAUACUUGAAGAGAUGCAUGAUAAUAGCGUUGUGCUCAAUAGAUUGUUCGAAGUUCUGGUUAAUAAAAUCCACGAAGUUGGACCCGCCGAUCGACUCAGGCAACCUCAUCUUCUAAAGAAUAAUCAUUUGCCAGCGAUAUAGAGCGAGACAUGAUCUGGUCGACUCAAAAUGAUUGACUUAGAAAAAAAAUGGCGAAUAAAGCAGCAAACUGGUCAGAAUUGACCAAGGAGCAGAAGUGGUGCCUGUUGACAUGGUCGAAGUCCAGAGAAUGAUUGAUUCAGCCUUAAAAAAAUGGCCAAAGUUUCCAAAAUUCAUUCACCCAUAUCCAGCCUUUGUAGAAAGGUUCGAAUAUCCUAAGGGAUUCAAGAUUCCAGACUUUAUCCUUUUCGCUGGAGAAUCAUCCUUGUCCUCGUUAGAACACGUGGCUCGAUUUACUGCUCAAUGUGGAGAUGUUAACAGUGAUUUCAUAAACUACGACUGUUCAAUUUCUCGUUAACUGGCACAACGUUCGCAUGGUACAUCAACCUCCUACCCAACUCUAUCCAAAGUUAGGAGGAAUUAGUCGAGAAAUUUCAUGAGCAAUUCUAUCGGCCAGGGAUGGAAAUGUCAGUUUCUUCUUUGGCCAAAAUGGCUAAAUCAUUUGAUGAGUCACUAAUGUAAUAUCUUACGAGGUUUAAAUCAGCCAGAAACUGGUGCUGAGUACCCUUCCUGAAGUCGAGUUUGUUAGGCUUGCCCUAAACUGCCUGGAUGUGGAGUAUAAAAAGAAAUUCUUAGGGGCAAACUUUCAAGAUAUGUACGAACUGGCUUAACAUGUUGAGCAAUAUGAUUAUUUGCUCCGAGAAGAGAAAAUCUCAAAAUCACCAGCCCCAGGGACAAUCUACAAAAACCCAACAAUAAGUUAUUUAUCGGCCGAAGGCGAAGAGUCCCAAUAUGCCAGUAGAUGCGGUUGAGAUAGUAAUUGACAAACCAUAAGUAUGCAAAACGUUAGCUCACACUAAUUCUAAAGAUGUCAAAACCCGCUUUGCCUCUGUGGAAUCCACUUUCAAAACGCCAAAGGUCUACACUUUAGACAUCACCAAGGCCGACGCCAUCUUCCAUUGGUUGUUACUUGCAAAAAUCAUCAAGCUUCAGCCAGGACAUAAUAUCCCCAAGGCCGAAGAUUUGAAAGGAAAGAUGUAUUGCAAAUACCAUAAUUCAAACAAGCAUACAACAAAUAAUUGUGUCGUAUUUCGCGACGCCAUCCAUAGCUGGAUUGACAAUGGCAAACUCAAGUUUCCUGAGAAACCUCCAAUGAUCGUUGAUGCCGAUCUUUUCCCCUUGGAGACAGUAAGCAUGGUAGAUGCUCAUCUACCCAAGGACAAGAGAAAAGGAAAAAUCGAAUUUAUCUCGAUGCAGUACGUCCCUAAGAAGAAUUCUCAGCUGCGAUUGAAAGUUGAUCUAUCUUCCGACGAGCCACCCAAAUACUUUUCGAACCCAACUUAUGCCGAGUCAAUGUCGGACUCCAGCACAAAGGAAACUGAUGGGCCGAUGGUUUUAUGUAGUAGAUGCAAAUUAAACGUCAUCAUAACUAAGCUGAAAAAAUAACCACUUCGGGAUGAAGCAUCGUAACUAGCGCCUGCAGUUGUGGAAACAUGUCAAAAGGUGCUUGGUGCAAACUAACGCCAGAAAGUUUUCAAUAAGCUUAGCCCUCAAACACAGAAUAAUAAGCCGUCUUGGGCCAAACGGCGACUUGAUUUCGACGGGCUAUUUUACAAUGAAGAUUAUUAUGCGUGCAAUUCUAGCUGCUCAAGUUCACCCACGAACCGGCAAACCUUCAAGCCACCUAAGCCACACAAACAACGUUGGUAUAGCUACAAAUCCCCUAGUGGUGCAUAUACCGCGUUGUCCAAAUCGUAGAAAUGCCAUCGCCAGAGAAUAUAUUGUAUGGCUCACCAACGAGCAACCCAGGCCACCCCAACUACUCAAUGGCAGCCGAAAGAAAUGGUAGGUAACGAAGAUGACCGACAAGCUCCAGCAAUCAUGACCGAGCUACUUCAAGGAAAAAAAGUAAUCGAUUGCAAUUUUGAAACCACAAUUGAAGAAUCUGAGAAGCAGAUCAAACUUUUUCUUCGGCCUAGGGAGAUGAAAGCUCACCUCAAGCACUUCUAGAAGGAAACCGAAAGCAAACUUCCUCUGCUAUCCCCACAAGAGCCAUUAAUUAAAGUCAAACAAAAUUGCCAUCUGCCGUUUUUCGGUGAAGCUUUGAAAUACGUGCGGGGGUUCCACAAGAAGCAUUAACUAAUGACUUUUACGACCUACCAAAGCAUGCCAAGAGUUUCUUGAUUUGGCGUUAACCUGCCCCAAUGCCGAACAGAUCAUCCAAAAGACCAUGGAUUUGGGAAUGAAGGCUAGGUUCCAACAUAUACGCGAGGUCCAAGUUCUUAGCUUUGAGGUGGAUCCAUAUACUGAUAUUGUCAAUCUUUCUUUCUCUCUCGAGGAUCUCCAAUAUUUGCAGUACCAUUUUGAAGUUUUCUUAGCUGUUUCCCUAUUCGGCCUUACGGCCGAUGAGGAGCACAUGGCGCGUUUAGAUGCUUACUUAGACACAAAAGACGCCCGCAUCGCAUAUCAGGAGCAGACUCACAAAGCUUUACAAGCGCAAGACCAAGUCCCAACGCAGAGCGAGCCAGUGGUCGAAAAGCUUUACAAACAUGCCACAUAAAUGUGUUUUCGCUGCAACCAAAGAUAGCCAAGUGAGUAGUGCCCAUGAGCAAGACACCUCGCCCAAAAAUCCAGAAGACGAUGAUCACAACCUGAUGGGCCCUUUAGUCUUCGACAACAUAGAAAUUAGCAUAGUCUAUGCCUUGUAGAAUUUUGGCCAACCACAUCCCAACCAAAUUUCCUGGACGGUGACAUAAUUGCCGAAGAGGCCACGUAAGUCGAUUUUGUGGCUACCGAAGAAAGUGAGCAAAUAAGCAAAGAAGAUAAACUUAAAGUAGCUAUCGCCGAACUGUUUCCCCGUUCUUUAUUCUUUAAUCUUCAUCAUUUGAAGCCGUUGUAUGUCACGGCACAUAUUGAAGGAUACCCGAUUUCCAAAAAUUUUGUCGACUGUGGAGCAACGGUCAACAUCAUGCCUGUCUCUAUCAUGAAAGCAUUACAUCGCUCUAGAGAUGAACUCAUUCCAUCAAGGGUAACUAUGAGCAGCUUUGUCGGUGACAAAUCUCAGACUAAGGGAGUGCUUCCUUUAGAGGUGAAUAUCGUAAGACAAAAUCACAUGAUGACAUUUUUUACAGCCGAUUCAAAGACCGAGUAUAAUGAUUUGCUUGGUUGUGAUUGGAUCCACCAAAAUGGUUGUAUCCUCUCAUCAUUAUAUCAAGUCCUCAUCUUUUGGGACGGUAAAUCGACUGUAGUUCAUCCGGCCGACAAUCAGCCCGUUCGAAGAUAAUAUGAUUCAAGCUCGCUAUUACAAUGAUCAUGUCGGCUAUAUCACCUUGCAAGGUUUCAACAAAGAAAGAUGGCCGACUCGGAUCUCAGUUCAGAAAGCCAUCGAGGUUGGCGUUAAGACUGUUCAGCAAGAUUCUGUAAGACUCAGGUUGGCUAACCUAAUUGACGAUCUUGAUGCCUAAUACCAAACAAGAUAGACAUCGGGCUGUGGUUUCAUCUAUCAUGGAACGCCUAUUAUCCCAUUGGUAUACUAUUUCCUAGCAAUCAAAUUCUGGCGUGAACUUAGUAGAGUUCCUCGCCGAAUGAGAUAAUGGUCCAGUCCUAUCACUUGAUAAAGUCCAAGCUACCCCAGCUGAGCUCGAGGACAGUGGACUUGAAGUCAAAGAUCCAUUAGACGAAAUAAAUGUUGGAACGGCCGAGGACCCUCGACCUUUAUUUAUUAGUUCUUUAUUGCCCCAACCUAUGAAAGCUGAGCUUUGUAAACUGCUCGAAGAAUUUAAAGCUUGUUUCACUUGGAGUUAUCAUGAGGUGCCUGGCCUGGAUUGAACACUCAUCGAGCACGAACGCAUCAAGGUUGGUUGUAAAUCUUUCCGCUAACCUCUCCUCCCUCCUCGAUGAUUCUCGACCGGAGUUCAGCUCGGCAUAAAAGAUGAACACGUUCGACUUUUCAAAGUUGGUUUUAUUCGGAUAGCUCAAUACGUCAAAUGGUUGGUGAAUAUUGUCCCAGUUUUAAAGAAAAGCAGUGCUCUACAUAUUUGCACUGAUUUUCAUAAUUUGAACUUGGCAACCCCUAAAGAUGAAUAUACAAUGCCAAUUUCAGACUUGUUAAUUGACGUUGUAACAAACCACGAGAUGUUAUCUUUCAUGGAUGGCCAUGAUGGUUACAAACAGAUUUUCAUUGUUGAGGCCGAUGUCCACAAAAUUGCUUUUCGUUGCCCCGGGGCACUCGGGACCUACGAAUGGGUCGUCAUGCCUUUCGGACUUAAGAAUGCCAAUGCUACAUAUCAACGCUCUAUGAAUACCAUUUUUCAUGACCUGAAUGGCAUAGUCGUUGAGGUAUAUAUAUCAACGAUGUUGUGGUUAAAUUGAAGCACCGCCGAACACAUUUAGAUGAUAUUCAGCAAGCUUUCCUUCGUAUGCGUCAACAUAACCUUAAAAUGAACCCCUUUGGUGUAUCGGCAUGCAACUUGUUGGGUUUCCUUGUACAUCAUCGUGGCAUUGAGGUAGAUGAGAAUAAAGCUCGAGCAAUCAUUGAUGCUCCACCCCCGACCACCAAGAAGUAAUUACAAUCCUUACUUGGCAAAAUCAAUUUCCUCCAUCGUUUCAUUUCUAACCCGGCGGGGAAAAUGAAGGCUUUUUCGACGCUCUUGAAACUUAAGGAUUCUAACAAAUUCAAAUGGCGCAAUGAACAUCAAGACGCUUUCACACAAAUCAAGGUCUCCUUUACUACCCCACCUAUCCUUAUGCCACCUCGGCGCGGUAAACCUCUUAAGUUGUAUAUCUCGGUUGCCGAGGAAUCCAUUGGUUGUCUUUUUGCGCAAGACAACGACACUAGGCAAGAGCAGGCCAUUUUUAUCUUAGCCGAAAUCUUAACUCAGUUGAGAUAAAUUAUACAAGCUCCCUUCUGUUACUCAAGUCAUCGCCCAGACAGAUGUUAUUCUUUACAUGCUCACUCAGCCGAUAGUAAAAGGCUGAAUUGGGAAAUGGACAAUGGCGUUGUCCGAAUUUAGUUUGCAGUACGUACCCCAAAAAGCUAUCAAAGGACAAGCGCUGGCCAAUUUCUUAGCUCAACAUCUUUCUCCAUACGGUUUUGGGGGCAACGACAUCAAAAUCCGCAUGGUGGAGACAUGAUAAUUAUUGAACGAUGUAUUUUAAUGGCUAUAGUACCUCGACCUCGGUCGGCGUUGGAAUCGUCAUAUAGUCCCCUGAUCACUACCGAUGGUAUUUUCUCUCAAGUUGGAUUUUGAUUGUACAAACAAUUAAGCCAAAUAUGAAGCCCUCGUCAUCGGCCUCAAUGUCCUUCACUACUUAAAGGCAGCCCGCGUGCUCGUCCUUAGCGAUUCAAAACUUGUGAUCAACCAACUCAAUGGGACUUUUCGUUGCAUAAGUUGUACUCUGGCGCCUUAUCAUAUAGUUGUCAACUAUUUAGCCGAAUCAUUUGCAGGCAUUCCGUUCAAGCACAUUUCACGAGUUGGAAAUACUAACGCAGACGAGUUGGCUCAAAUAGCCUCUGAAACACAACUCCUGGGGGGCGAACUGGACUGGGUCAUACCAGUGUUGCGACGUCGACACUUGGCCUUGGUUAAUCAACAAGUUCUCCAACACGACCACGUAAUCUGUACACGAGUUAUGUCUCUACCUUUGUUAUUGGAACGAAAGGAUCCUAUAGAUAUCUGCAUGGUCGAGACAUUACCAGACGACUGGAGAAGAUUAAUCAUGAAAUAUCUUGAUAAUCCCAGUGGCAAACACGACCGCAAGACAAGGGUACACCCCACAAAUUAAAUAAUGUACCAGAAUGAACUAUAUCGAAAAAGUAAAGAUGGUCUAUUGUUAUUGUGCCUCGGCCCAAAUGAUACCGCUCAAGCUAUUGCAGAGGUACACAAAGAAAUAUGCGGGGCUCAUCAAUCCGAACGCAAAACGCGUUGGUUACUCCGUCGACAUGGUUAUUUUUGGUCGAGUAUGUUAAAAGAUUGCAUUGAACAGGUGCAAGGUUGUGUACAAUGUCAAAUCUAUGGGCCCAUACAGAGGGUCUCGGUCGAAUUACUUCACUCAGUCACUAAGCCAUAGCCGUUCAAAGGAUGGGCCAUGGAUGUAAUUGGCAAGAUUACUCCGUCUUCUGAAUCGGCAAAACAUCCAUGGAUACUUGUAGCGACCGACUACUUCACCAAGUGGGUUGAAGCAAAAUCAUACGCCGAGUUAACAUCUAAAGAUGUUUACAAUUUUGUAGAAGAAAACAUUGUGACAAGAUUUGGUGUACCAGAAGCAAUUAUAAAGGACAACCCCAUGAUUUUUACGGCCGAUAGGUUUAAAGAAUACACAACACAUUUGAAAAUUUGGCUCGAGCAAUUCACGCCGUAUUACCCAUAGGCAAACGGACAGGCCGAAGCAAGUAAUAAAGUUCUCGGUAUCCUUAAGAAAAUGAUAAAAGAAAAGCCUGGUAUAUGGCAUUUGAAGUUAAACGAGGUAUUAUGGGUAUAUCGAACUUCAUUCCAAUCAACAACAACGACGACCCCAUAUGCGUUAACUUAUGGACACAAUGUGAUGCUACUAGUCGAACUAAGCAUAAACUUGUUAUGAGCUAUUGAAUAAAGCAGUUUGUUCAGUGCCAAGUAUAGUCAGGCCAUGAGGCAAAAGUUGGAGGAUUUGGAGGAAGCUCAGCUCGAUGCUUAUAACUUGCUAGUGGUGUAGAAAAAGAUUGCCAAAUGAGCUUAUAAUUGGCAAGUUAGGCAAAAGACGUUUGGUGAAGGUGAGUUAGUGUGGCAAACCGUGUUACCAGUAGGGAUUAAGGAUCCCAGAUUCAGGAAAUGGUGGCCGAAUUGGGAAAGACCAUUCGUCAUCUACAAAGUACUCAGCAAGUGGGCAUACCACCUCAAGGAUCGAACUAGUUUAAUUCAUAAAUUACCGAUCAAUGGGAAAUUCUUAAAGAAAUAUUAUCCGGUCACUUGGGAGAUGCAAGAAUAAAGGAUUUCUUUCAUUAAUUUUCAAAGUGGAUACACACAAAAUUACAAAGAAAUCGAUCGGCCCACAAGUCGGCACCUACAAAAUUCCUAGGGAGUCGAAGGAAGAAAAGCUUCAAGAAUGGCUUUUAGUUCUAGCCACUUCACUUCGCCUAUUGUAACCUCUGCUUGUCGGGUUUUUUUGUCAGCCUUUAGUUGCUGUAUCCACUUGGCCUAAGCCAUGUACUCUGCCAGUUGAGGUUUGUUCGACUCAAAAUCCUUUUCGAGCUUAGAAGCAACGGCCGACAGCUGACAAUGAAGUUCAUCGAUUUGAUGGUUAAGGUUGGCCAACCUUUCAUUCUUUGCCUUUAUUGCCUCGAGCCCUGGUCAGAUAGCUUCAUGAGCGACCAUUGUAGCCUUGAGGUCAUCCUCUAUCCAAAAAGCCUUCUCGAAAAUAGUGAAAUAUUGUCGAGUUCCUUCUAGGACAUUUGACAGAUGAAGAACACUUUCGUUGCUCAAUAGGUCGUCGGCUGCAAGGUUGUUAAAGCACUCUCCCACAGAAUAUAUGCCUUUGCUUUGGAGGAUUUGUGAGGCCAAGAGAGAUUGAAGUUCCUGCAACUUGGCAAGGGCGCUAGAUUCGACCAGGGUUACAGAAGGCCCAACCAUCCCUUAAGUGCUGGAGAGAAAGGUGUCAAGCUCAACUUUUCAUGAAGGCUGCAUAGAGAAAAGUUGUUAAAGAAAAGAGAAUUCCAAAGGAUGGCAGAGAAAUAAGUUGUUUUAGACCUGCCGAGAAGAAACUUCGGCCAUGUCCGCUGGUUCGUUGGUCAAACCCAGAGAGCUUAAUAGCCAAGCCCAGUGUUUAAGGCAACUUUUCAAUUCAUGCGGCCGAUGAAGGUUAUCUACGUUUGAUGGCCACUGGGGUGGCCAAGAAAUAUAAAUAACGCCCUUCGACGCAUAGAAUUUUUGGUGAAAUGAGCGAUUGGACCUGACAUUUAAUGCUUUUCUUGGUUUAGAGUUCUAAGGCAGGAAAUUAAUAAAUGAUAAGUCUUACAAAGUUCAAUGUGACCUCUUGAGGAGGAAUACCGAGGUUCUGGUCCUAGGGAUGAACCCACGUCUCUACCGUUGUUUUUGGCUCAACAAGAGGUGUUGAUUCAUGUCCCGGACCUACUUCAGUCGCAUGGGGGUUGACCUAGCUAGCCGCCUCGACUGCCAGUUGGAAAUUACCCAGAGCUAGGGGACUUGUAGUUGGUGGUUCAACCCGUCGAGGGCACUUCACCAGCAAAUGUACUUCGCUCUCGUUCUCCUAAUUAUAGAAGAUGAUCGUUUAUUAAUCGGAAGAUCCAAUUUAAAAUGAAAGGAGAACAAUAUUAAAGGAAAUUGUCAUACCUCUCCCUCCAAGAUGAUCAUUGGAUUCUUCUUUGGAUUUGGGAAAGGGUUUCUUUCGAUCAUUGUUGCCGCCUUAUCCGGAGUAGCAGUUGUUGGGCUGACAUCAGCAGGGGCAAUAGCCGGUUCUGGAGUUGCAAGUUCCUCGACCAAUAAGGCGACGACCGGUUCGACUUCAAUAGUAGCUUGUGUGGUGGGUCAAACCAUGGUCGCAUGGCCCACGGUUAGGAUCGAAGGGUUUUGCGGUACCGUUGUCGAGGUCCGGAUGACAGGAGAAGAGAGAGGGAUACUAGGAGUGGUUGCUCCUGUGUUUUGACUUGAGAUAACAUGAAUCUCCCGUUCUUCCCUCUUUGCCUUUUUCUUGAUAUGUUUUUGGGGUUGGGCAACGUUACCAGUUAUCUCGGCCUUUGGGCGAUGCCAUUUUCUAUGUAUGGUCGAUGCAGCAGUUGCAACCUUCUUUGGAGGAAGGGCGAGUUUUUUCUUGGCUGCAACCAUUGUAACCACAUCAGCCCAUUUUAUUGCAUGAGCACCUGGAAAAGCUGAGCUUGAGUCAUAAUGAAGUUCGAAUAACCUAACGGAGAAAUAAAAGAUACAUACCUUGAGCCGUUUCUUUGGAUUUUGGAGGAAGAUUCUUCUUAGGUCGAUCGCCAAAAAUUUUCUUUCAAGUUUCCUCGAACGAUACACCGAAGAAAUCCUUAAUAUAAGCAUCCCACCAAUUGGCAAAUGUGCUAGUACUAUAGGUUUCUAGAGUGUUCGGCUGAAGAGUAAUUUGGUGCAUCGCUCUUAAAACUCCCGCUCAGCUUCUUCGCACUCUCUCUUAGAGGAGCCGGAGAGGCAUUCUCUGCUCCAGAGUGAGCGAAAAGUGAGAAGUGGCACAUGACAGCCCUGAAGAUAGCCCAAUUGAUGAGCCAGGAAGUAAGGAUGGUAGACUUCACAGCCAACUUUACAACUGUUGCAACCGAAGGGUAGGUCGCGAGCUAGGGUAAACGACUCUCAGGAUUGUCGAAGGUCAGCUUCUUAUGCUUCAUCCCACGCCGAUGUGGGGAGAUUAAUGGAAGAUGGAUAUUCCUGGCGACAGCAGACCAUAAAUUCGUCGUCUGAUAGAUCUUCAAGGCCUAAGAAAUACUCAAAGAUGUAUUCGAUCUAGUGAGCAGGAAAUGGGCACGAAGCUAGUUGAUGACCCAUCACUUCGAAAAAGUUGAAGCAUGGGAUUUUUGGCCUCAGUAUGGGUAAGUAGACCUGCAGCCAGAGUUGAAAGACCCAGAGUAGGCCAUUCUAGUAUGGAUCAAUUUUCCUAACAGAAGCCUUGGCCAAGCACCGGUUGAGGUUGGCAAUGAUGGUCGGGAUAAGGGCCAGGACAUGGCUGUUGGCUAGAGCUUCGGCCACUGGCAUAUUCUUAGCCAAAUACUUGUUUGACUUAGUACAAAAGAUGAAUUUAUUGUACCAGUAGAACAAAAAGGCCUUGUGUUCUCCUUUAUUGAGAGCUUCCCAUUUUAAGCCAGCAAAGUGGCUGAUCAAGGUGUUAUAGUUGAAGAAAUUUUUGUGCAGUUUGUGCACAUCUUCUUUCGACGGCUCCUGAACGUUCUUUGUCAAAACUUCGACGACGCGUUUGUCGAAGACUAUUUUCAGAUCCAAGUCGAAAUUAUACAGAGAAAGAGCAGUAUCAAUUGGGAAACCAGAGGGAGAAGUGCCAAGUAUGGCUGUGAUACGCAGCACGGUUGGAUCGAUGGGGCUAAGGGGAAAAACAAUAGUGUUGGUGGCCAAACACUAGAAGCUCAGGAUAUUCAUCAAGAGCUAUCGGUCCAUAAUGAUCUCAAAGGUUGAAAGCUUCAUAGCGUUGAAAAUGCCGAUAGUUUUCCACUCAUUACCAAAGUGUGGCUCCAUUCGGGUAACCCAAGCAGCCCAAGUCACGGAGGUCGAGGGCCAGGCUCCCUGAGGUUUGGUUAAGUCCCACUUCGACCAAUCAUACCCUUGGAAUAAGGGUUUUUGGCAAUGGGCCUUCAGUAUUUCGGUGAUGGUUUCGGGGACUUUAUCCUUGAAAAGUGGUCUGAGAAUCUGGUGAGAAGCAUUUGAGUCACCUUCGAAUUGAAAGGUUUUGAUAGCAUUCCGAUCGAUGAAGUCUUGGCAUUUGUUGCACUCCUUGGUGAGCUUGGUAAUGAAGGUAUUGGAAGCCAUUGAAGUAGGUUUGAAGGUUUUUCUGGGUUUCAAAGUUUGGUUUCUUUUUCUGGUAAAGUUUGAAAGCAUGAAAAUCCAAAUGAAGUUGGGCAGAGUAUUUAUAGGCAAUUAAGGGAGAAGAUCAACUGCUUAGUUUUAGAAGAUGAGGGGUAAAUCUGACUGAAGGAUUUCAUAAUCAUAACGGAUCUUUGAAAUCCAGGGGAAGAAGCCGAAAAACACUCAAAUUUAGGGUACACGAUUGAGUGUGACUACGAAGGUUAUGACGAAGAGACAUUUUGACGUCUGCACGCCUUGAACGUGGGGGUAUACAUCAUUGAAGAUGGACAGUCACGAUAAGAGUUGCCACGUAUCAAGUUUUGCAGCGUUUUGAGAAAACUGACAGGGGUGGGAGAUCGUACUUAAUAAAUGUGUCUGAGUGGUUGGAGUGUUCGAGGCUUGCAAUGAUCUUUGGUUUGCUAGAAGGUAUAUGCUAGGUUUUUCUUUGGCAAUAGAUUACUUCUUCAAGGUCGAGGCUCAGCCAAGAAUUGUAAGCCGAAGACCUCAUAAGCGAGGGGGCAAUGUUUGGGCCAAAAAUAAUAUUUUGGGCCGAGCUUUGGUCCAAUAACAUUUAUCUAGAAUUUUGUCAUGGGCCGUUCAGUCAAGGUUGGCCAAAUCCUAGUACGAAGAGGAUUGGUUUAGAUAAGGUUGAGGUAGUCGAACCUUAGUGCAACAAAGAGUCUUAAAGCUAAGGAUGCUUAGGAUUAGGGGAUGAAUUUGGUUCGUUAAGGAGCUUGGUUCAAAGUCUUAUAGGGGUUAGGUUGGUCGAAACCUAAUUAGAUUGGGUUGAGGAGUUCUAAUCCAAGUAAGCUUCUAGUUCGGCCAUAAGGGGAUUCCCUACUAUAAAUAAAGAGGGGAGUGCAACAUUCAAGGCCUCUCCAAAAUCAACACACAAAUUGCCUUGCGCAAAGCUUCUCAACAACCUUGAGAUUUUCUCCUUUUCCCCUUUCUUUUCACCAACACAUCUUAAGUUUGGAUAGACAGCACUGUGAAGGCAACCGGCAACAUCUUCAGUUUGGAUAGACAACACUGGAGCCGUAGAAUUAGCCGAUCGAGAAGCACCUUUAGUUUGGAUAGACAGCACUGCUUCGAGACUAACUGGUUAUUUAUCCAAGUCUCGGUCAACAAGGAUUUUCGAGUCCUUGUUGGUAAAGGUCAUCUCAUCAGCCUUCUCGGUGAAGUGAGGUGUUACGAGGUUACUAGGCUCGGCACAUUGAAAGCUGAGUUUUGUUUAUGAUUGGAUAUUCGCAAGCAUAUUUUAGAGUUCAUCAUUCUGACGGCCGAACCACAAUUACAGUCAAGACAUUUAUCUAUUUCGAGUAUUUGUGUCCAUACAGUUUGGUGCCAGUUUGACAUACUUAUACUCUCACGAACAUAAUUACCGAGACCAAACCCGGUGCCGACGAUUUAUGAACUUCGAAGAAACUAGCAACCUUGUCUUCAGGCUCUAGAACCUGAAGGCCGAGAUGUGUUCCUUCCUCGGCCGCAAUUGCAAGAUCAAGAAGUCAACAGCCCGCCCGACGUCACAUCAACAUAUUUUACUCCCCGGCCGAACUCAGUUGACGAGUUGGCACGCCCCGCACACAACCGAAUGAUGUAGUUAGCUUAUAAAUUACUCGGCAUGCACGCCACGUAGGGUUGGUAGUUUUUUAGGUCAAUAGUUAUUGAGAUAAUAUUUCCAUUGGUAGUGACGAGACUCUCUCUUGGAGGAUGAAUCAUGGAUGAAAGAGAGACUCGUCAUGCGUCAUGUGGUCACGAUCUCUAGAAGCAAUUUAGACUUUUCUCGAAUUUCCUGAAUUAUCACGAUCAACAAAGAAAGAUACUUGAUAAUAAUAAAAAAUAAAUAAAAAUAAAAAAAGACAAUAUUAUCUUCUCUCCCAUGGUUGUAGUAGGCUUAGGUUUAAGAUUCUCAGUGUCGAUUGCCAAGAACAAGUUGCACGAUAAGAAUUAGGAUUAUUGUGCUACUUUAAAAACACAAAGAGGCACCGGGUAAAUUUUGGUUAUGUGUAGGAUUAAUGAUUGUCCGAAACACAAGACAAUCAACAAAGUGUAGGGCGCCAACAUCCAAGUAAGCUAAAAUACAUGAAUAGUAUUUUGGGUUUAGGUUGUUUUUUCUAGGAAAGAGAUAGGCCGAAACCCUUUUUUUUUCUUUUUCUAGAAAACCUCGAUGAUACGAGGGGAAUUUUAUUAAUAACAAAAAAAGAAGUUCCACCUAGUCAGGAGAAACGUAAACCUAACCCUUCAUAAUACAAGAAGAAAAAAAAAGGAUAGAAAACACAAGAAAAGGAAGGGGGACAUAAUCCUUACCUUUCUAGAAACGAAAACAAUAAUGAUACAAGGAAAAUAGGGGGGACCUGAAACCUGACCCCUUUAUAGCCAAAUCUAAAGGUCUUAACCUGCAAAAAAAAUUGAGUAAAGAAAAUAAAAUAAGAAAGUGAGACAAACUUAUAUGUCUGAAAAUAAAGCAGUACGAGCCACCAGCAGAGAGGAACCAUGCCAUACCAAAGUUGGAGAAGACAAACCUAUAUUAGCAAAAUUCUCUACAAUAACAUUCCCUUCGCGAUAUAUGUGAGAGGCGUAGAAAGUCAUCUUCCGAAUCCGAUCUAAACAAAUAGACCAUUGCGUACAAAGAGGCCAAAGAGUGUAAAAAAUAGUCGAUUGGAAGGCAAAAAGUCACUUUCCAACCAAAGACAAUGUCAUCCCCGUUGAUAUGCAAACUCUACACCAAUAAUAAUUGUUGAUAAUUCUGCAUGGUAAGAGUUACAAUGACUAAUUUGAUACCAAGAUAAAAGCGGAAAACUUUUUUUCUUUUUUGACGGUACGAGGAAAAUUUUAUUAAUAACGAAAAAAGAAGUUACACUUAGUCAUUUUCCGAAGUUAAAGUUGGAGAAGAUAAGCCCAUGUUAGCAAAAUUGUCAGCAACAAAAUUUCCUUCAUGAUAUAUGUGAGAUGCGUAGUAAGUCAUUUUCCGAAGGGAGUUUUAACGAAACACUCCAUGUACUUCACUUUUAACGAAAAUCCACAUUCUUACCUUUCCCUAGUACUAUUCACUACACCUUUAUUUGUCCUUUUUCAUUAAAACUAAAGUUUUUUAGGAAACCUAAUGAAAAUAGCCUGAAAACUUUGAGUUUUAACGAAAAUGACAAAAAAAUGUUGUAAGUGAAUAGUACCAGGAGUGUCUUUUUAGAGUAAAAAUGUGGUUUUUUGUUAAAGUGAACAGUACCAGAAGUGUUGCGUUAAAACUCCCAAGUUUUUUUGGACUUUUCGUUAGUUAUCAUUUUUCCGAAUGCGGUCCAAACAAAUACACCAAUAAGGAUUAAAAUCAGACGAUUAAAAAGUGUAAAACUUAUGAGAGUUUUUGGGUUUGGAUUGUUGUAUUGUAUUUUUCUCUCAAGGAGAAAAUAAGUAUACAGUAUAAGGAUAUCUAGGUACAUGAAAUCCCCAAUUAAAAAUCUAUAAUGAAUAGGAAAGUUAACUCACGUAGAACAACAUGCUGGAUGGUGGAUCCACACCUAAGACUAUCGUGCAUGGUUGAAUUGUCCAACACUAACAGAACUAUUGAAAGUGAACGUUGGGAAAAGACUUGGGAGUAUGUGUUGAUAAGCUCAUAUUUAUAUAUAUUUUACAUAAAAUUCACUUAUCUUUUAUUAGUUAGUUCUUUAUAUUUUUGAGCUAUUUACUAUGUUUUUGUGUUUUGUGUGAUUUAUCAAGCAAAGAAAAGAAAAGUAGCACAAGUGGGAUAUUAAGUAACAAAUUCGUCAAAACUGCCUGUGCAGAUUAGCUGACUUUGGAAGCAUGUUACGAACAGCUCAGAAUGAAUGAGAGAAUGAGCCUUAUAUGCUUGGAAAGCUAAGGAUGUCUAUUUUCUGGAGCAAUUCACGGAUUGUCAUGUUUCUAGAAGACGUUAUGGGCAUUGUAACACUGAAAGGUUCAGAAAAGGGCUAAGCAGAUUUGGCUAAUAAAAUAAGAAAGUCAAGGCACUUGUUUUGUGUUUUGCUUUGUCAUAAACACUCAGCAGCAAAUGGGGUUAUGAUUGCACUCAUUUGGCUUUGGAGCAAGUGGAAAUGCACAGCUAGAAAGAGAAGGCACACCCACAUGCAAAGGAAAGGAGAAACAUGGGCAGAAAAUGGGUGGAUUGGUGGUUGAAAUGAUGAAGCAUGUGUGUGCAAAUGAAAGGGGAAACAUGGACAGCACACACCCAUGCAAUCUGCACAUGCAAAGGAAAUGGAGUGGUCAUCUCCCUAGCCUAUAAAUACAUCCACCAUCCCCCUUCCAAAAGAACACCAUCUUGAUCCACAAUUGCUACAUCUCCAUACACUUCCAUUUCCAUGCCGUGAGCAUCAUUCCAUCCAUACAUUCAUAAAUCCCACAUUUCACACACAAAUACAUUUUCCUUCCCUUGGCCGAGGCAUUCACCAAUCCCAAAUACAUUCCUAACCUUUCCAUAUAUCCAUACACAUCCUAGACACUUGAGCUGCAACAAGGUGGUGGAAACGAAGGUCCUUGGCGUUUCAAGCUUGGAACUUUGGAGCGUUUUAGGUGAACUUCGUUCUUGCUUUCAAUGUCUAUUUUGUUAUUUUCUGAUUUUGUUGCAAUUAUGAGUAGCUAAACCCCUAUUUAGUUAGGGGAAGUUUGAAGCCAUGAACAUGCUUGAGAUAUGAAUUGAUUUCCUCCAAUUGUGAUUUGAUAAGUUGUGAUUGCAAUUCAAUUAUCUAUUUUAUUCAUAAUUGAUUCUUGUAUGUUUAUUAAGGAUGCAUACUUAGUUUUCAUGCAUGAAUUAGAUGUUAAAAUAUAAAUGAGUUUCACCUAAUCGUUACAAGUUUAUAUUCAUGAGUAGUGAAUGUUGUUUAUCACAAUCGCAUUAAUUGAAUUCUUGGGAAAUGUAUCAUGCAUUCAUAGUUAUAAUUGCCUCGUCAACACUUAUGAUUUUCAUUGAACGUAAUGAUCUCUGAUUGUAUCUCUAUUAUGCAUUCAUAUAGGGGACUUUUAGAGAAUGAUUUGGGUUGUUGCAUGCAUUCAUCCAACUUAAUGAGUAAAGGAAAAUCUGAGGGUUAAUUUGUGCAUCACAGUUAAUCUGGGGUGUUGAGCAUCAUAGUUAAUUGAAAAGCAAUUGGAAAUCGAUUCAUAUACAAGUGUGUCAUGUGUGAAGAACGAACCUCUAACUAAUCCAUCAUCUCAUUUCUUAAAUUCGUUUUACAAUCUGUCUAAUUUUAUAAGUUGUUUGUUUGUUUCGAAUUCGUAAAAACCAAACCCCCCCCCCUUUUACUUUCUUGUUUCAAAGUGUUUAAUUUCUCUUUUGGUUGUGUUUUAGAGUGUUUUGAGUCAAGUCAAAACCCUAAAUUCGUCCAAAGUUGUGUUAGAGUCAAAAUCUGCCCAUUUUGUGUUUUUAGGCAGUUUUGAGUGUUUUUAAGUUGUUUGAGUCUAGUGAACUUGUUUUGAGUCUAUUCAAACGUCUUUAACUCUGUAUUUAUGUUUUUGAGUUAGUUUAGAGGUUUUAGCAAGCCCUCCUAAUCCCCGGUUUAGAACAAUCCCUACUUGCAUUUAUACUACAAUUUGACAACAAAAGAGUUUAAUUUGAGUGCUUAACUUUCAUCGCAUCAUGUGUCAAUUGACAGGACUUUCAGUGAAGGUUUCCAAGAGUUGGAGCAAUAGUGCAUACUCUUUCACACAAACUAGCCCUCUAUAUUUGGUCACGCCAACCUAAUUCGUAUGUACAUUUUAGUGUACAUAAAAUAUGAACUGGUACAUCACGUGUCAUAAUAUAAAUGGAGGAAUACUUGAAAAAAAUAACUUCUUCCCGCUUCUAUUAUAACAUAUAAUGUAUUGACUUGUGUUAUGGGUACAUGGAAAAAUCUCUCUUCUAAGGACUGUCAAAUUUUAUUGCCAAUAGAUGGCGGCAAAGAGGCACUGUUAUAAAUCGUGUUCGAUUCCCCAUUUAAAGUAGUGGUGAAAUUAGAUUGUUGAUUUGAAUUCAUGCUUUGAACGUGCAAUCAAGACUUAUACAACUAAUUAAUUUGCAAAGUAGGCCAGUAAUACUUGACCUAUGAGAAGCUAUAUAUAUGGUUUUAUCAAAUCAUGAUGUAAAACCCAAGAAAUUAAAUGAUAUCAUCAUUUUCAGAUGAACUAGUUUGGCUAAAACGCAUCCGUUUCCAGCUUUCAACUUGCUUUUUGGAAAAUAUAUAGCACUGGCCUACAACUACUUUAACUAGUGUUGGGAAAUUUCUUCAGCAUAAUUUAGUCCAGUCAAUUAUUGAUGGUCUCUCAGUGUUGGAAAAUGGAUGCGUAGAUAGCUUUCCAUUGCCAACUAUUACAGGCCUACCAAAUUGCUUGCUCCAGUUUUCAAAAAAAAAAAAAAAAACUGCUUACUCAGAAGUCCUACUGGACUUGCCAUCAGUCAAGCACUAGUUUGUGUAUCCAAUGUGAAGCCAAAAAUAAUCAAAAGCCGAUACGUGGAUUUUUAGAUGAAAUGAACAAAAUUACCCUUGAGGCAUACCGAACCAAACCGCAAAAACUUGUUGUUUUGGUUUUGGUUUCGGUUUCACUCAAAACCGCACCAAACCGAACCGCGCCCACCCCUAAUCUCCACCCAAAGGGGCCGGCCACACCUCUAUAUAAACACCCUUAUUCUCUCCAAAACUCAAUUCCAAUUCUCUUGUUAAAUUCUCUAAAUUUUUCAAACACUUUUCCCUCAAAAUUCUAACUUUAGCAUCGGAGGUUCUUCGGCAGCCCCCCCCCCCAAUCAUUGUGGGCAAGUGAGGCUCUUGGCCUUAACCUAAUGUGUUAUUUGUUUUAUAGGUGCAAUUUUGUCCAAGAACAAGGAGGAAGAAAUUUGCAUCCACAUCCAAUAUCUGUUAUUUUCCAACACUAAUGAUGGGUUUAAAUAUUCGAAGAAAUAGUACUCAAGGGAGUCCAUAAUGAUUUUUUUUUUAAGUGCAAGUAACAACUUUGGAAUUUCUUUCAACUCACUCAAUGGUUCGAGAUUACUCAUUUCUUGACUGAAAGCCUUUGUUAAAACCUCAUUAUAGACUUUGUGUUGGUCAACUGUCAAGUAUCGAUUGUCUACCAUUGUUGCAAAAUACUUCACACAAAGCAAAUCGCCAAUGUGAGCAUGCUUAUGGUUUGCAACUUGGUAUAUAUAUGUGCCUCUAUGAGUGUACCCAUUGAUCAUAGACUACAAUAUGGUGUUCUGUGCUCAAAGUGGUAAGCACAAUUAAAAAAAAUUUAUGCCUCUGUUGUAAAAAUUUGGAAAAUUUGGAUAGGAUCCUAUAGGAUCUCCCCCUUUCAAAACCAGAUGUGAAAGUUUCCUUUCAUCCAUCUUAAGUAGUUACACCUUGACCUGGCAUUUUGGACCCGACCGUUAACCCGACCCGACCCAACUCGUUAAUAUUAGUAUUUUGGUGGAUACUUAACGGGUCGGGUCACUAACGGGUGAACCCGUUAAAUAACGGGUCACUUUGGGUCAACCCGUUAGACUCGUUAGCAUCCGCUAGUUGAUGAUAUUUUAGUAAUUUCAGUAAAGUCUUAACAACAAAAAAUAAACUCUAUACAAAAUAAUAAUAAUAAUAAUAAUUGUUAACAGGUGUUAAGGGGUGAAACUGGUGACCCCUUAGUUUAACGGGUCGGGUUCGGGUGACCCGUUAACUUAAUGGGUUAGAUUGAACUCGACCCAAACCCGAUAAACCCGACCCGUUUACAAGUCUAGUUACACCAAAUAAAGAUAAAGAGAGGGGUUCCCACUUUAAAAUUCUAUAAAAACUACAACUACUUCUUACUCAAGUUCCCAAAGAAGAUCAAACAUUUCAUUGAUUCAUUCUUUGUUUUAUUAGAUUUUUUGAAUUCUUUAUUCAAUUUUAAUAGAAAAUAAACGAAAUGUGAAAUUCUUGAGUAGUCUACUUCCCUUCGAAUGAUGAAUCCCCUUACAUUAAAGUAAAGGAGUCCUUUAAAAUUCAUAAGGGUUUUACUUGUCUACGUAUCGUUCCAUUGAAUUUCUGGUAGUAGAUCUAUAAUAAAAAAAGUGUUUGUGAUUUGUUCCAGAAGAAAUGAAACAAACGAUACGGUAAAGCUAAGACAGUUAUUGUAUGAGGUCUACCCAAUGCUAGAUGCAGAGGCACAUAAUAGAUCAAUAUGAAACAUCAUGAGUUGUCCCGUAAUAAAACUAGUUGUUGCUGAUACUUUCUUAUCGGUUCCUUCUUCUCCUUCUUCCAUAACCCGAGCUCGGAACCAACCAGCAAAAAGUAUUAGCAAAGACCAAUGCACCAAUUGUAGUACAAUAUAGUUGUAAUUCAUUAGUUAUUCCAUAAGCUCACCAAAUCUGGAAAAAAAAAAAGAAAAAAAAAAAGCCCAGAAGUUAUUUGUAUUCCUCGGAAAACCCCCGCCUACAUCACCAUUCAAUAUUUCUUGACCCACUAUUGGCCAAACCACCUGGGCACUACGUCCAAUGUGAGUAGGAUCACUUAGCCAUGCUUCAUAAUUGGAAAAACGAGCACCAUAGAAAUACAUACUACUCAGCCAAAGAAAGAUGAUGGAGAGUUGACUGAAAUGGGCAUUAGAUACUUUUCGAGAGAUCUCCUCCAAAUCACUGGUAUGGCUACCAAAAUUGUGAGCAUCAGCGUGUAGGUUCCAGAUCCAAGUAGUGGUAUCAAAUCAUACAAUUGUUAGACCAACAAUUAUAUAUAUAUAUGUGUGCUACUUUGCAUGGCUUCGUGCCCAAUAAUGUGUUUGUGUCCAUUUUUUUUAUAGUGGGCACAAUACAUCGUGUCCUUUAUUGAAUGGACACUGUUCCACCAUUUUAAUGUUCUCAAAGACACAAACUCUUCAUUUGUGUACUUAAAUGUGUACCCAAUGCCCAUAUUUUUCGUAGUGUUUCAGCAACUUUCGGUAGGAACCUCACCAACCCAAAGUCACCUACAUGUGCAAUCAUAUCCUCAUUGAGAAGAAUAUUGCUAGGUUUGAGGUCGCAAUGAACUAUUGGUGUCUCACGAUGACGAUGGAGGUAAUCCUAUGCCAUAGCAACAUCAAAAACAAUAUUCAACCUCUGAGACAUUGUUAAGCUCCUUGGCCUCUCAUUUGUCCCACCAAUUGUAUGAAUUGGAUAUAGCCAUUCCUCCAAGCUCCCCGUUAGCGAUGAACUCAGAAAUUAAGGUCUUGAAGUCAUGACCGCUAUAAUCAAAACCAGAACAUGCUAAGAGUACCUUGGCAAGAUUACGGCGUCUAAUAUUUUGGAAAGCCUCGCACUCGGCAAUAAAACUUUUGUAAGCCCUACGACGAACGAGGUUGAGUACCUUGAUGGCAAUUGUAGUUUAACCUUGCUCAAGUAUUCCCUUAUAAACGGACCCAAAACUGCCCAUAUCGACCUUGGUAAGACAUCUGGGGAAAUUUAUCUAAAUCACUUGCAAUGCAAUCUUUUUUGUCCCUUCGUGAGCAAUAAAGGUACAAAAAGGUUAGUUAAAAAAUAACUCCCAAAAUUCCACAAAUGAGAGAGAGAACCAAUUUCAUGGUUAAGCUCAAUCCUUCCUUUUUUGGAUGCUGGAGAGUUUGCAUUUUGGAGGAGGAUUCUCUACCCUCAUAUUCUCAUCCCCUUCCAUGCCCUCCUCUCACACAUUACUUUUUGUCUUAUUAUCUCUAUAAAAAAAUCAAUAUAAAAUGUUGACGUGGCUUAACCGUGACUGUUCAAAUAGGAGGGCAUGGAAGGGUAGAGAGAUUAGGAGGGUAGAGAAUCCUCCUCCUUGCAUUUUAGCAAAUGGAACUCAGAUAUGACCCCAAAAAGCUUACUAUUUCCUUCAACUGAUGUCGCCAUUGCAUUCUUGAACACUCCCUUGAUCGGCAACAUGCCCUCAAAAUUGUCAUAAGAUAGAUUCAGAGAUUCCUAAAAAUUCACACGUUCUAAGAAUUCUGGAAUUGUUCCUGACAAGUUGUUGUCAAAAAGAUACAAUUCUAUAAGAACUCUUAGUGAACUCAAAGUUGAUGGAAUCGUCCCAUUGAAGAAAUUUCCAUGCAUGUCUAGGUACUCUAAUUUUAUACAACUAACAAGACUUGCCGGAAUUUCACUGAAUAAUAUGUUUCAAAGAUAUCUAUAUACUCAAGAUUUAUUAAAAUUCCAACGUUCUCUGGUAGGGAGCCGAGAAAAUGAUCUUGAUAUUAGGAAAUAUUAUACGGUAUUAUAUGUAAAUAUCUUGUAUUAUAUUUACGUAAGUAGGUUUGAGUCAAAUCUCACUAAAUAUGCAUCACUAUUCCCUAGCCUUUAAUGUAGGGUUGAAUAAUUGACUUGUGAUGUAUAUAUUGUACAACAAUGUAAUAAACGAGGCAUACAAUCUACCAUUCUCAUAGCCUUUUCAGUGUUCAGUCACUUUAACAUGGUAUCAGAGCCUAAAGUUCUGGUGCCUGAUUCCCCACGUUUUCAAUUCUCAUACUAUUUCCAAGCAUCAUGUCAGACGCACUUGCUCAAUCACCACCACACAAAAAUCAAAAUAACAGCAAUGUCGGUAUGGAUUCAUCAAGUUCAUACUAUGUUCACCUUUCAGAUAACCCCGGUCUUAUGAUCGUUUCAGAAAAAUGACUAGACCCAAUUAUCCAUCUUGGAGUAAAUCCAUGAUACAUGCUCUCACAACCAAAAACAAAAUUGGCUUCGUCAAUGGCUCCAUUCAGCCCCCUCAGCAACAAACCAACCAAAAGAGUAUGCUCUCUAGAAUCAAUGUAACAAUAUGAUUUUGUCAUGGCUCUCUGGAAUCAAUGUAACAAUAUGAUUUUGUCAUGGCUUGCUCAAUCAGUCGAAUUUGAUUUAUCUAAAGGAGUUGUUCAUGCCAAAAGUGCCCAAAAGGUGUGGGAAGAUUUCAAAGAUCAGUUUUCACAUAAGAAUGCACCAACAAUCUAUCAAAUUCAGAAGUCAAUCGCAUCUGUUUGGGCAAGAAUUUCGUUGGGAAUGGUCCUUGGCUGGAGCACACACCUCCCCGAGGAGUUGGCACUUUGGUUGGUUAUCGGGCUUUUGUUUGUUGAGAGGCUCCAAGAGGAAGACAAAGAUAGUUCUAAAAUGUGCCUUUGUGGGGCCUUAGGUGUAUGCCUUGAGGCUCACAAUCAAAACUAACUAAGUGAUGAGGCAUGCCACUGUCAUUGCUGUAUGGUAGAUGUAGAACAAGUGUAUUUAAGCCGAUUACUUGCGCCCUAAGUUAUUCUGACUUCUUGUUAUCAAAGGAUUGUCGUGGAUGGGUUAAGUCCACAUUAAGUUCUUUUCUAUGCCUUGAGACCAAGGAAUUUCAGUUCGUUAUCUUGUAUGCUUAAAGGAUAAAGGUCCAGAUCUGAUUAAAUCAUUGGUUUGGUUCCUAUUUAGCCUUUUUAAUUAUGGUAAACCACUAAGUAAACCAGAUAUGAGCACUAAUGGAUAUUUGGAUCAUCAAAAGACUAGAAAUGACUCGAAUAUAUACUAAAGGAUACAUUAUAACACCAGAUCUAUUGAUUUAAAGACAAAACAAAGAGAGUCGGGCAAGGUUUAAACAUCUUAUGGUCUCUUCUCUUUGUGGCUACAAGGGAUUGAGUACUAAAACGGGAUGAAAGGUGAACAAGUUCACAUAAGAGAAUCAAUACUACAUCAUUUGGAAAAGGUAGCAGAGCUUUUACACUAGACAAAAGAUGCCUUUUUAAGGGGAAUUUAUGGCUAAAAGGGGUGUAGAAUUUGGACAAAGCACAGCUUUCUAGGUAUUUGCUUGACUGAGAAGAAAGUUGUAUGUUUGUUUGUUUGAUUGAUUGAGUGUCCUUGUCUAUGGGCCCUCUUCCUCCUUUUAUAUUUGAAUUGGUCCAACUAUGUCGUUUCUGCUCUUGCCCGAAAGUAACUGAAGGGUAAUAAGUCAUCAACCUUUUUACAUGUUCUGCCAUCCAAAAAGUACUUUUAGGCCGAUAGUAGGUGGAUUUCCAUCGGUUGUCACUUCUCUUGUCUUAAGAUGGAUGAUCUGGGCUUGACUCUGGGCUUCGGGCAAAACCUUCUUUAUUGAACUCUUUUCGGCUUUCUUCUCUUGAAGCCCAAUGUUAAAUAUUAACCCAAACAAUGCCCCCUUCAAUCGUUGUUAAGUCUGCAGACCAAGGAGUAAAUAAUGAUUGAAGUGCCGCUUUUCAAUAACCACCGUCGCACGCCUUUACUCAGAACAUGUGUCAUUUCAACGCAACUGUUUGCUUUUCUGUGACCCUUGCACUAACGAAUUCCAAACGUCACCUUAUCCUUCGCUAUAAAACUCCCCUCAAUUUCAUUCUUUGGCUAAAUAAUUUAACCAAAUUGAAUCCUUCUAAAAUUUCAAGACUUUCUCAGAAUUCCCAAAGUCUAUUCCUUCAAAAAACCUUCUUUUGUUCUCCAACUCUUGUCCCCUGACUCCAACUUUCUUCCCAUUUCCCCCUCAAAAUUUCUAAUGGUGCCCAUAGUGGCUUAAGCUUAAUCUUCUUACGAGAUUUGGUGAGGGGAUUGUCACUAUGCUCUAUCUUCUUAACGACCUUCAUUACCCUCGAGCAAGUAUGCACAAUGACUUCUUUUUCGAAUGGGGGAUGUACUCUUUGGGACCCGCAUGGGCUUCUCGAUUGUUGGCUCCUUCAUCAUCCUCAGAAAGUCGUGCAGUACCCAAAUUCAGUUUCAGGAUUUCUAUAGUUUUGUGGAGUAGCCGAGCAAUCUUAAUUGUGUCGGCAGAUCCCUUAUGCAAAUACGAAAUGAAUCCCCCUCACAUCAAUACCUACAAGUCCAUACUUCCCCAUAGCUUUUGCCUCCUUGGUCAAUUAAUCAUCAUAGGUGUAUGCUUCGAGGCCAACGACCAUGAUAAAGUCAAAGGCUUCGGUGGGACUUGUGGAAAGGCUUCUCCCCAAUUCAAUCAUCGAGUUCACUCAUGAGAGGGGGAGUGGUCGUUGGUGACCACUUAGCAUGAUUUUUAGUUGACCAUCUUCACCAGAAUUUUGAAGAGGUCAAGAAAGCAAUCGUUGACCUCUGAAGAUGGUGGAGCAUAGUUAGCUGAUAGUAUCAGCCUAGGAUAGCUUUCAGGGAUGUAGAACUUAUUAAGCCGAUUCUGAUGUAACUUCAAUAUUCAAUGAAAUGAAAAUGAUUUCUUUAAUCGACUUUGGCUUGCAUUUCUUUCUUGAAACUUGAUUGUGAAUAAUGAAAGGAUGACAUCUCGCAACGCUUACACUUCUUCAAUGUAGCAAUCCCUAACAUCCCACAAGGUUGGGUAAUACUUCUUGAGGAAUUUAACAUUGAUUGGAUGCUUUUGUAAGCCUCCAUCCACAUCUGCUAAGUAAUAUCCACCCUUGUUCAAUAUUCUGUUAAUAAUUAAAGGACCUUCUCAAGUCAGGCUCCAUUUUCCAAAGACUCUGAUUUGAACUCUCAAAGGUAAAAUUGCUUUCCAAACCAACUCCCUUUCCUUGAAGGUUUUUAUUUUUACCUUCUUGUUGUAUGAACCCUCUUCACUUCUUGAAUUUUGUCUAAAGCUUCGAUUCGAGCUAUAUCAAGAUCUUCAAUUCCUUGACACAUAGCCUGAAUGUACUUCUCACUAUGCAGCCCAAAUUGGCUUUGGAUCCUGAUAGAACUCACGUUGAUUUCCAUUGGGAGUACAGCCUCUUGCCCGAAGGUUAAGGCAUAAUGAGUAGUUCCAGUUCCUGCUCUUUUGGAAGUUCUCUAAGCCCACAAAGUGUCUCCCAACUUCUUGAUAAUAUUUACCAGGACUUUGUUGCUAGCUUCCGCUUAACCGUUUGACUGGGGGUAGUAAGGACUAGACCGCAUCAUUUUUAUUUUAAACUUUCCUGCGAACUCCUCCACUUCUUUCGAAAUAAAAGAUGGCCCACGAUCUGUGACAAUUGUUUCGGGCACUCCAAACCUAUGUAAAAUCUUGGUUUCAAUGAACUUCUUGACCACAGCCGAGGCGAUUGUCUUUACUGCUACAGCCUUUACCCACUUGGUGAACUAAUAUGUUGCCACGAUUAUGAAUGUGUGUCAUUUUCUAAAAAAUGGGUGAAUUCGCCCGAUGAAGUACAUUGCCACAUCCUCUAAAGGGUCAUAGCUUGACCACAGGGUUUAAGAGCACAAAGGGCACAUGUUGGAGUGGCCCGUGUCUUUGGCAUUCUUCACACCCUCGGGCAUAAGCUUUGCAAUCUUUCUCCAUCUCAGGCCAAAAGUAGCCAUAUCUUCUUAGUAACCACCUCAUCUUAGUUCCAGCCUGAUGAGCCCCACAUAUUCCUUCAUGUACUUCAGCCAUGACUCUUAUAAAUUCUUCUUGGCCUAAGCAUUUUAGCAACAAUUCGUCCAGGGUCUUUCUUAGCAGAUUCUGUUCCCAUAACACAUAUUUAGUCGCUUGCUACCUAUUCUUCUUACUCAUGGGAAAAGAGGGAUUUUCCAAGUAUUGAAUAAUGAGUGAUCUCUAAUCUUCUAUCUUGGGCUCUUCGAUCAUUACUUCUACCUCUACCUCAAAUCUUCUUUCUUGAAUCUGGGCUCCUGAGGCCAGUUGUGCCAUCUCAUUGGCCAUUGUAUUUGAUUCUCUGGGGAUGUGGCUGACUGAGAUUUCAGUGCCCCAAUAACUUAACAACUGAGUGGCCGCCAGGUAAUAACCGACCAUGGUGAUGUGUCUGCAUUUGUACUCCCCAUUUAACUGAUUAAUUACUAAUUCUGAGUCGCCAAACACCUCUACUUCGGUUGCCCCCAACUCUAUUACAAUCUCUAAGCCAAUUAUCGGUGCCUCAUAUUCUACCCGGUUGUUGGUAAUCUCUUGAUAAUCCAAGAGGAAUGAAUAACAAUGGUAAGAGCCUUUGUGAUUGACGAUGACGAUCCCAGCUCCCGCAGUAUUCUGAGUGCAAGAUCCAUCAAAAUAUAGUCUCCAAGGAGUGAUCCAGAGGCUAGUUAUUUUUUUUACCUCUUGCUGGACCCAUUCUUCCUUGCCCAAACAGGCUCUGUUUGGCGGGAUCCAUACACCUGCCACUUCCAGAGUUCUUAAAAUGCUGACAACUUCAUCUUGAGACUCUUGGUGUUCUAUCAAGAAGUCUGCAAUUGUCUGCCCUUUGACCGCCCUUUGGGGCACAUAUUGAAAGCUGAAUUCUGAUAGUGCUAGAAUCCACUUUCCAAUCAUCCCGAUCAGCAUUGGCUUUAAUAACAUAUACUUGAUUACGUCAGUCUUAGCAAUGAUGUGGAUGUGGCAAGGUAACAUGUAAUGCCUUAGCUUGCAAGCAGUGAAGUAUAAAGCCAAACAUAAUUUUUCCACUUGAGUAUAUCUUUUCUACCUUAGUGAGGAUUAUACUGAGGUAAUAUAUGGCUUGUUCCUUCCCUCCUUCAUUGUUUUGGGUCAACAAGCUUCCAAUUGACCUCUCCGAGGCAGAAAUAUAAAGCUUCAACAGCUUCCCUCUCUGAGAUGGCAUGAGCACUGGUGGAGAGGCUAAGUAAGCCUUUAUACUAUUGAAAGUCUCUUGGUGUGGUGAGCCCCACUUAAACUCUUCUUUGUCUUUUAUUUUCAGCAGAGGAGUUAGCGGCUGAAUCUUGCCUGCUAAAUUAGCAAUGAAUCUCAUCAAAAAGUUAAUUUUCCCCAGCAGCCUUUGCAGUUGUACUUUAUUGAUGGGUGAAGGUGACUUCAUUAUUACCCGAGCUUUGUUCUUAUCAAUCCACUCCUCUUCGAUGAACAAGCAAUCCCAAAAAGUUGCCUGAUCUUACCCCAAAAUCACACUUCUUUGGGUUCAUUUUUAGCUUAUGGGGCCUCAUCCUUGUUAAGGCUUGUCUAAGGUCUAUCAAAUGCUGCUUUUUAGACUUGGACUUCACCACUAUGUCAUCAAUAUAUACUUCCAUGCUAUGGCCGAUCAAGUCAUGAAAAAUGGCGUUCAUUGCUCUUUGACAUGACCCGGACAUCUAAAACCUGUUUUAUGUAUAUGUUCUUUAGCCAUUUUUAUUUGAUUGUAUCCCGCAUUCCCAUCCAUGAAAGAUAGAACUUUGUGUUUGGCAACUGCAUCUAUGGAUAGGUCAGCUAUGGGCAUGGGAUAUUCGUCUUUAGGCGUGGCUCCAUUAAUGUUUCUAUAGUCAACACAACAUCUAACUGCUUUAGUUAUGGCUUUUAAUACAGGUACAAUGUUGGCCAACCACUCAACAUAUUUGGCAGGCCUAAUAAACUCGGCUUCACCAGCCUUUCGAUCUCCUCAUUGAGCUUCUCUUCAAUUUCUUUCGACAUCCUCUGUGGUGCUUACUUGACAGGUUUAAACCCCUCCUUAAUAAGCAUCAUGUGUUCUACUAGGUUGGAUCUAAACCUAGCAUCUUGGUGUAAUGCCAAGCAAAAAAAUCUUUAAAUUCAUGCAGAAGGUCAACAAUCCUUGCCCGAUCCUAGGUUUCCAACAGACCACUGAUCUGUAUAGGUCUUGAAUCUUCCUCAGUUCCCAAAUCAAUGGUCUCCAAGGGGUCUUGUACUUCCGGGCUGGUUUGUUAAGCUCUGCAAACAAAAACUCCACUAACUCUGGACUCUCGGGCAAAUCUUAUGGCUCAUCCAGAUUAUAUAUACAUUCAGCCAUUUGUAUAGCUGUUUCUAACUCCUUCCCAAAAACUUCUUCUUCUUUCACUUGGCUGCUUGAAGCAUCUCUGCUCCAAUCUUUUUCCUCCUUGGCUGAGUUCUCACUCUCUUGUUUUUUCUCUCUCCCGUACACCAACAGUCUUUUUAUUAAAGGCCUGACUGCAACUACUUGGUCCUUCCUUUUUUGUUCAGACAUUAAUGGUGUUGGGGAGUUAGGAUGAUAUAGGGCCGAUCUCAUUCUUCCUUUGUAAGAAAUAGCCCUUGUUCUAUAAGUUUUUGGGCCGUCACCUUAGUCGGGCGGCCGUUCUUAUCAGCUCCUGAACAUUAAAGAAUCCCAACAUUAGGAUGGUAGAAGUUGGCUUCUGCAACAUUGGCUAUAGGGAGGAAUGGCUGUGAUUCGGCUUCUACCAUUUCCCAGAACCCUGGUCAUGUUUCCCCUUCUUCAUGGUAAACAGCCACUUGUUGGUGUAAGGUAGAUGGCACAGAGAGACUCUGAUGAAUCCAAUCUCUGCCCAGUAAAGUCCUAUAAGUGGAAGUAUUGUCUACAAUAAAAAAGGCCAGCAUGAUUUGUUUAGAACCCAAGUCAACCUCUAAUGGUAAUAUCUCAUGAGUCCUAGUGAUAACUCCCGAGAAACUAGAAAUUGUAAGAUCUGUAGGGAUAAGAUCUUCCUCAUUCCUACACAUUCUCUUCAUCUGCUUGUAUGGCAGCACAUUGAUCGCAACCCCUCCAUUAAUCAAGACUCUCUUGAAGGGUACUCCAUCCAGGUGAGCAAUUAUGUAUAUGGGCUUAAAAUGGUUGGCCAGGGUCAAACUUGGGCAAACAAAGACCAUUUUGUCUGAGUAUAUUCGCUCAGGCUUCUUCAUUGAUUGCUCGGGUAAGCCUGUCUGACUGCGUUCUUCUUGCCCCGUUCCUUCGACACUAACAUGUGCCAUCGUAGGUUUCGUUGCCAAGUAAUCACCCUCCAUUGUGGAAGGUUGAUCAUGCUCGGCGCAAAAAAUAGCUGAUAAAACAUAUGUCAUGUAGGUCAGGGUAAAUCUCUCUCCUUGCCCCCGAUGUGGUUCAUAAACUCAUCCAACCAAGCAUGUGCUUCUUCUGGCAGCAUUAAUUUAGGUAAUGCCUCUUCUUAAGUUAUGCCAAAGUUCUGUACCUGCACUAGGCCCUCACAAAGAGUGUCAACCAGCAAUAGUGAAGGUAUCUCCUGUUCUGGCGAGAUUGUUCCAAAACAAAUUGGCUUCGGGCUCCACUUAGGUGUCAGUAUCAUCACCAUAUCCUCCUAAACUCUCUUCGGGAUUCUAUACUUUCCAGGAUAGAGGUUCUGUGGUACUUGAUCUUCUUCUCCUUCGAUUUUGCUAUUUGCCUUCUUUACCUCCUUCUUAUUCUUCCAUUGAGGUCGACUUUUCCCUUCAUAAGGUACAUUUUUGAAUUUUACAUUCUCCGAGGUUUAUGAAGUAGUGGAAACUUUCAACGAGUUCAUGUGGGCCUUAUGCUAUCUUUGGACUCUCCUGAUCAUGGAGGCUCCCAUCUUUUUGACAGGUAUCCCGUCAUUUCCGACUAUAUACUAUCUUCGCCCGCAUCGGGCAAGAUUCUUCUUUGUGACCGUGUUCACUAUCCUUCCUUUCAUUCUAACAUCUCCACUGGCAUAACUUGGCUGGGGUGGCCUCACAUCCACCCACCUUGGUGUUUUGGACUCUUUGUCCUCCACCUCUUCCGAAUCUUCAUAGUUUCUGAAUAUUUCUAAUAAGUUUUUAGGCUGAGAAUCUCCUCCCAACCUCUGGAAAACGUUUAUAGAGGUUUCCUUCUCAGCUGCCCACAUGAUGUUCAUACGGGUUUCAUGCUUCCUUAUGCCUUCUCUUGAUCAGCUUCUGAUCAAUGAUGGCUCAUGCCGUUGGUACCUCUAGUUCGCAUUCACAUUGACACCUGCUGUAUAACACUACUCCUUUGAUUAUAGCAGCCUUAGGUUUUUUAGGUAGCUUAAUAACUCUUUCAGUUGGUCUUUCGACUAGCCUUCUUUCUGCUAUCACUUCCCAAGUGGCUUUUCCUUUCCCUUUCUCUGCCCAUGUUUGAUCAUGCUUACUAGGACCGGUAGAAAGGGAUUAGUAUGAAUCGUUGUAUUGAUAGGAGCAUAUUUAUGCGACUUAGCUUAUUUUCUUGCAUUUAUGUUGUUAGUUCCUAGUUAUUUAUGUAUUUUAAGCUAUUUUCCCGUGUUUGUAGGUUUAAAAGGCUAAAGUAGCAAGAAAGUGCAUUUUGGAGCAGUUUUGGGUUUGGAAUGGAUAGCAUACUCAUGGAGCUAGGUGGAUGGAUGAAUUUGAAGACCAAAAGAGGCUAGGAUUAUGCUGAAGUUAUGAAGAAAUUAAUUCAAGAAAAGGAAGUAAAGGGUGCAAGCAAGAAAGAAGGAAUGUUAGCCAAAGUUACCUUAUUUUGUCCUAGACUUUCCUAAUCUUUCACCACUUAAUUUCCAGCUGCAAGGGGGAUCUCUAAUUAUUUUAAGACACUAAAUUAUUGAUCCUAGAAGACCUAAUCCCUGCCACAAAGGGUGCCGCACCAAAUCUGUCCAGAAAUACCUUUUCUUGCCGUGCAAGGUAAUCCUUUGUUUCCUAGGAUCCUGCCGCAACCACCUUUCCCUUUUCCCCUUUGAUUCUAAAUUUAAUUACCAUUUUUCCUUGAGGAUUGGUGUAAAAAUCCUUCUCCAAAUUUAAUUAGGUCGUGGUCCUCUCCCUAGCCUAUAAAUAUAUGUUCCUGCCGCACCAUUUGUUGGAAGUAUGCCCACAAAGCCACUCAUUUGAUGUAAUAGCUUUUGGAAUACUUAUUGUAUUAAACUUUUAUAUGUUUAAUGAAGGGCAAAGCUUAUUGUUAAUCACUAUUUAUUGUAUCAUGUGUUUAAGCAAUAAGGGAAUCCAAGGAAUGUAUUUGUUCUAAGAGAGAAGUGAUCUAAUGAGUUAGAUUAUCGAGACCUCUCUCUUAUGUUCAUUCCUAAAACGUUCCUAGCCAUAGGAUUGCCAAUUGGGCAUUGACAAUCCGCUAAGGUUAGUAUGUGUUAUGUUGACUCAAACGUGAGUGUGAACUAGUCUCAAGUCAUUUGGUGUUGGACACUGAGACAAACACAUAGGUGCUCGAAAAAGUAAUCGAGUACACUGAACGUCGAUCAAAAGAGAGUUCGAACAUACAUGUCAUGUAUGAACUCUAAAGUUGCAAUAUGCAAAGUAGUCCUUUGACCUGAGGCAUCAUAGAUGUCUAAUGGUUAGGUCCUUGAUCUUUGAUCAUGUCAAUGGCAUUCCUUCGGAUUGUCCACGGCAUUGUUGGGGUCAAGCUAUCUAGUCAUGUAGGCAUAUGAAUGCACAACAAGGGAUCUCUAACCUUCCAUGGUGGAAGGAGAAUACUCUAAGAUAUGAUUCUAAAGUCUUUGGCCAAAGCAUAUGAAUAUGACUUAGGAAGUUUGUUCCAAAUCAUAUUCAAAGGAAUCAUAUAGGAAAGUAUCACAUUGGAUAGUAGACAUGAAACAAACUAUCACUUAAACAAUGUGAUUAAGAGUAUUGUAUUAGAGAAGGACCGUAUUGCAUUGUAGUUAUAACUGGAUAGGUUCUCCAACCAAUUCUACUUAGCUUGGGUAACCAUGAUAUGCUGCUAGGUGUCACUCAUGGUUUGUGGAAGCCCUGAAGAUUAGCAAGUACUAAUCUUAAGGGACAAUUGAAAUGUGGUUUCAAUUCACAAUCGAUCGUUAAGAGUAACAUCGCCCACUACCUCGCUAAUUGGAACCUAAUGGAUCGCACACCACAUAAGGAUGUUAGUGAAGAAAUUAUAUGAAAUGGAUAAGCAAUUAAAUGGUUUAAUUGAAGAAUGGUCAAGAUUAAUUAAUUAGUUAAUUAAUUAUACGAAAGGUUCGUAUUGGGCUUAUAUGUUGGUUUUGGGUUUCGGGGCCCAAAAGUGUUUUGGUCCACAAGGCCCAUUAUGUUUAAGUUGUAUGACAACUAAAACAAAAUGGGCAAAUUAGCCCAAUAACAAGGAGAGGCCGGCCAUUAGGGUGAAUGGGCAAGCUUGCUUAAUUACAAGUUUGCCACUCACCAAAGAAAAUGUUAUAAAAGCAACUUUAUAGCAAUUUUCUCAUUUAGGGUUUUCUAAUAGAAAUUGGGUGAAACAUUUUCUCUCUUUUUCUACAUAGAGGCCGGCCACUUAGAGGAUUUUUACUAGCAUCUAAAAUCUCUCUAAGUCAUCCAUAUCAUCUUCACAAUAUACAACCUUGGUGAAGAGACUUAGAGACAUCAAGCUUUUGAUGUUUUUGGAGAACAAAUCCUUUUUCCUCUAAUCAUCAAAGGAGCACUAAAGGGAGGAAAACACAAGGAGGAUUCAAGGAGCUUGGAGGUGACUUGAAGGCCCUCCACUUGGGUGAAUCCCUUUUGUAAACAAGGAUGAGCUUCAAGGGUAAAGAAUCACUAAAUCUUUACUUCUCUUUAAUUUUGUUAAAGAGUUUAUUUUGGUUCACCAUAUACUAGGCUUUGAAAGUCAUGGGUUUUAUGAAUUGUUUUUGGAUGCAUGCCUACUUUAAAGUGUUGAUAGCUUGCAUGUGUAUUCAAAUGUUCAUACUUGUUCUUAGCUAGGACAAAAUUUUUCCUUCACCAUUCAUCAUCCACCCUUCACCAUAACUCACCUAUAUCCAUCCACCACCAUAAUUUACCACUCAUCCAUCAUCCCACACCUUGUGUUGCAGCAAAGAAGACGAAGAAGGACCCUUGGACGUGCUUGCCAUUCAAGAUUGGAUUGCUGGAGCGUUUUUAGGUGUUUUCAUUGUUUAUUUUCAAUGUUUAAGUUUAAUUAUCUUUGUUUCGUGAACAUGAGGAGCUAAACUCGUUUUAGCUAGGGGGAAUUUCGAAACCAUGAUCAUAUUUGCAAUAUGAAUUGAUUACAUCCAGUUGUGAUUUUGAUAAAUCGUGAAUGCAAUUUACUUAACUGUUUGAUUGAUAACUUAUUCUUGUAUGUUGAUUAAGGAUGCAUACUUAGUUUGCAUGCAUGAAUUUGAUGCUAGAAUAUAAGGGAGUUUCACCUAAUAGUUAUGAACUUAUAUUCAUAAGUAGUGGAGGUUGCUAGUCACAAUUGUGUUAAGUGGAUUCCUAGCAGGAGUAUCAUGCUCAUCAUAGUUACGAAUGCUUUGUCAAUGCUUAUGAUUUUUAUAAAGCUUAAUGAUCUUUGAUUGUAUCUCUAUUAUGCUGUUCAUGUAGGGAACUUUUGAAGAAUAAUUUGGGUUGCCGAUGCGUUAUCCGUCCAAAUCAAUAACUUCAGGAAAAUCUGAGGGUUAAUUAGUGUUGUUCAUGGUUAAUCUGGGGUGUUGAGAUUCAUGGUUUAUUGAAAAGCAACUGGAAAUCAAUUUGUAUGCAAGUGUGUCAUGUGUGGAGAAGGACCUUCUAGCUAGCCAAUCACUCAUACUUUUUCCCAAAUUCGUCCAAAAUCUGUCUUAAGUCUUUAGUUACUUGUUUUACUUAAAAUUCUUCCAAAACCCAAUCCCAUUUACUUUAGUGUGUCAAAUUAGUUAGAAUCUGUCUUAGUUUGUGUUUUUAAGUGUUUUGAGUCAAGUUUAACUCAAUUUUCAUCCAAAUCAUUCUAUAGUGUCUAGUUUGAGUCUAUUUGAUUGUUUUGUGCUGUUUUGAGUUGUUUAGUUUGUUUUGAGUCAUAUAAGUCUAGUUAAGAGUCUUUGAGUCUAGUUAAGUGUUUUCUAGCCUAGUUUUGUGUUUUAAAGUCAGUUUUAAAUAGAUUAGCAAUCCUUCAUAAUCCUCGGUCCAGAACGAUCCCUACUUACAUCUUGACUGCAAUUGUCAAUAAGAGGGUUCAAUUUAUGUGUUAAGUUAAUUUUCGCAUCAUGUAUCAGCAUGUGGUUCUUCUAACAACAGCUUUAUUUCUGGCCCGCAUUACCCCUACUGUUUAGUGAAAACAACAAGGGGUCAGGCAACUCUUUUUCUUAGAUUUCUUCCAGCACUAGCUGUUUAGUUCUGGAUUCUUCCUUCCUCUAUCCCUCAAGUAAAGGAAACAGAGGAAUAACUGGCUCCUCCACAAGUCUGGCUUCUCUCAUCAUCUUUCUAAUACAGUUAUUUUUUGGGGUAGGGUACUCCAGAUCUAGCCUUAUUUGCAGAUUCCCUAUUAAAGAACAUAGUAUGCUUACCUCUUCUCUUAUCUCUAAAGAGUUUUUCUCCAUGCUUCUUAUGACAACCAUCAUGGUGGUCUGUAGGUCUUCAUUUGUGACCUUCCCUCCUGACUUCUCCGAAGGAGUCGGGCUUUCUGUCAAAACAGGUCCUUGCAAGUCUUUGGGGAGAUUUGCCAUGCUAGAUCUUAGCAUAAACUGGGGUGGUUUCUACUCUAUUUUGCUCCUGACGGUUUGUUAUUUCCUUCAUUUUCUUAACAUACAAAACUUAUAGUCCUACCGAGCGUGCCAAAACUAUGUUCAGGCAAGAAUUUCGCUGGGAAAUGUCCCUGGCUCGAGCACAUAGCUCCCCAAGGAGUUGGCACUUUGGUUGGUUGUCGGGCUCCUGCUUGUUGAGAGGCUGCAAGAGGAGGACAAAGUUAGUUCUGAAAGGUGCCUUUGUAAGGCCUUAGGUGGAGGCAUUGAGGCUCACAAUCAAAACUAACUAAGUGCUGAGGCGUGCCACUAUCAUCUCUGUAUGGCAGAUGUAGAACAAGUGUAUUUAAGCUGAUUACUUGCGCCCCAAGUUAUUCUGACUUCUUGUUAUCAAAGGAUUGUCGUGGAUGGGUUAAGUCCACAUUAAGUUCUUUUCUAUGCCUUGAGACCAAGGACUUUCAGUUCUUUAUCUUGUAUGCUUAAACGGUGAAGGUCUAGAUCUAAUUAAAUCACUGGUUUAGUUCCCAUUUAGUCUUUUUAAUGAUGGUAAACCACUAAGUAAACCAAAUUUGAGCACUAAUGGAACUUUGGAUCAUCAAAAGACUAGAAAUGACUCCAAUAUAUACUGAGGGAUACAUUAUAACACCAAAUCUAUUGAUUUAAAGACAAAACAAAGAGAGUCGGGCAAGAUUUCACCUUGUCGGGCAAGGUUUAAACAUCUUGCGGUCUCUUCUCUUUGUGGCUACAAGGGAUUGAGUACUAAAACGGGAUGAAAUGUGAACAACUUCACAUAAGAGAAUCAAUACUACAACAUUUGGCAAAUGUAGCAGAGCUUUCACACUAGACAAAAGAUGUCUUUCUAAGGGGAAUCUAUGGCUAAAAAAGGUGUAGAAUUUGGACAAAGCACAAUUUUCUGGGUAUUUGCUUGACUGAGAGGCAAGUUGUAUGUUUGUUUGUUUGAUUGAUUGAGUGUCCUUGUCUCUGGGCCCUUUUCCUCCUUUUAUAGACGAAUUAGUCCAACUGUGUUGUUUCUGCCCUUGCCUGAAAGUAACUAAAAGGUAGUGAGUCAUCAGCCUUUUUACAUGUUCUGCCAUCCAAAAAGUACUUUUGGGAGGAGAGUAGGUGGAUUUCCAUCGGUUGUCACUUCUCUUGUAAGCACAUGGCCUUUGCAUUAAAGGGGAGCCUUCAUAUUGUCUUGAGAUGGAUGAUCUGGGCUUGACUCUGGGCUUCGGGCAAAACCUUCUUUAUUGAACUCUUUUGGGCUUUCUUCUUUUGGAGCCCAAAGUUAAAUAUUAACCUAAACAGCAUUUCUCUCACAAGGCUCUAUGACAGUCUCGGCUUAUUUUACAAAACUUAAAGGCCUUUGGGAUGAAUUAGAGACAUAUCGGCCUAUUCUUAUCUGUGAUUAGACAAAGGUACAUAAUGAGCAAAUAGAAGAAGAUCGGAUGAUGCAAUUUCUUAUGGGUCUCAACGAUGUCUAUAAUGGAGUUCGCAGUAAUAUCCUUAUGAUGACACCAUUGCCUAAAGUUCGUCAAGCAUAUUCACUUGUCAUUCAAGAUGAAACACAACAACAAAUGACAUCGGGACCAACUGAAAAUUUCUCAAUCGCUGCUGCAGUCCAAAGUCAAUCGAACCAUUCCUCUGACAGUUUGAAGAAUCUUCACUGCAAAUACUGUGAUAAAGAUGGGCACACAAUUGAAAAUUGUAGGACUCAAAAAUAUUAUUGCAAGUUACCAAAGAGACCACACUGAAGACAGAUGUCGAAUAAAAAAUGAAACCAAUGGCUCUAGUCAUAGGGGAAACCAAGAUAAGAAAUACAUCAACAAGUCACACUCCAGUGGGUCCCAUAGCAGCAAUUCACGUGCUGCCUUUCAUUCUACAAAUUCAGCUGUUACAUCCUCAUCUCUUGCUGCCAACACAGCACAUGGUCCUCAUCUUGCUGCCAAUACAUCAAUUGCCCAUUCUCAACCACACAUGUCUCAAUCAAAUGCUCUGCAAGGACUUUCAACAGAACAGCUUCAAUACGCCCAAGCUGUAUCCAUGAUAAAUUUAAACCAUGCUUCUGGUAAUAACAGUGUUUAUGCAAACGCUGCAGGUCUGUGCCUUUUUACUGUUUCUUCUGUUAAUUCCAUAUUUACAAAGCCCUAGAUUUUGGAUAAUGGGGCCACAAAUAACAUCACCUCAAACUCCUCACUUUUCAAUAAAACCUAACCUUCACCCAUAUCUACUGUUAAAUUACCCACUCGCUCUUCAGCCAUAAUCACUUCCUCCGGCACCAUACCAUUCAAUCUCGAUAUCAUAUUAGAUAAUGUUUUGUGUGUUCCUUCUUUUCACUUAAAUCUCAUGUCUGCUAGCCAAGUCACUAAUUCUCUAAACUGUUGUGCCAUUUUGUUUCCCACCUUUUGUGUUUUGCAGGACUUGGCUACAGGGAAGAUAAUUGGAUUGGGUAAGCAACGUGAUGGUCUUUACUACAUGUCGUUGUUGCAACGAACACCCAUCUCCUAUCAAGUUUCCCACUCCUCCAAUUUAUGGCAUAUGCGACUUGGCCAUCCUUCACCUACUCGCCUUAAAUUAGUAUUUUCCUCAUUAUUCUCGAAUAAUAUUUCUUUUGAUAAUAAUUGUAACAUUUGUCUCAUAGCCAGACAAACUAGACUUCCGUUUCCUUCAAGUUUUAUAUCAACUCAUAAUCCAUUUGGUUUACUUCAUUGUGAUAUUUGGGGACCUCAUAAAAUUCCCACACAUUCAGGGGCUUGAUUGUUUCUCACCAUUGUGGAUGAUUUUACUAGAUGCACAUGGAUAUUUUUUAUGAAAUAUAAAUCUGAAACUCAAGACCUUUUAAAAUUGUUUAUUACCUUUGCUCAUACUCAUUCAUGCCAAAAUCAAAGCCAUAAGAGUCGACAAUGGGUCUGAAUUUUUGUCCAUGAAAGAUUAUUUCCAAAACAAUGGCAUUGAAUAUCAACGCACUUGUGUCUACACCCCGCAAAAAAAUGGAGUUAGUCGAACGUAAGCAUAGGCACAUCCUCACCGUUCCACGUAGCUUACUGUCCUAAUCUCACUUACCCCUUUCUUUCUGGGGCGAAUGUGUUUCCACCGCUGUCUACCUCAUUAAUCGAUUACCAUCCCCUUUGUUAUCUAAUAAAUCUCAUUUCGAAUUAAUAUACAAGCGUUCACCAUCUUUUGAUUACUUGAAAAUUUUGGGUUGUUUGUGCUUCUCCACUGUUGUUCACCCCACACACAAAUUUGACCCUCGUGUUAGGUGUUGUAUUUUUGUUGGUUACCCAUCUGGUUAGAAAGGUUACAAACUUUAUGAUUUGGAGACUAAAACCUUCUUUGUCAGUCGUGAUGUUAAAUUUUUUUAACACACCUGUCCUAUCCACUCUAUGUCCCCUUCACCCCCCCCCUCGAAGGAUAUCUCUGCCAUACCAUCCAUUCUCAUCUCAACUGACACACUUGACCUCUCCCACACGGCACCCCAUAUCCCCUCCAUUCCACAACUCACGGACCCCACCCACAUUAAUAUUUCACCUCCCAUCACUUCAUCCACUCUAUCUCAUCCUGAAGUCAUCCCAUCUUCUCCUGGACCCCACCACUCCAUCAAUCAUCAUUCACACCCUCAUCACUUUUAUAACCCCCCCAUCAGACUCUCUCCCUCCCUACACCGAACCUACCCACCAUUUCCUCCCCAUUCAGUCAGACACCUCUUCUUCUCUCGCCACAUCAUCCUCUCCACCCAUACGCCAAUCCCAUCAUCCUAAGCAACCUCCGAUUUGGCAUAAAGACUAUCACGUAACUAACCAAGUCAGUCAUUUUCCUUCGCAGCCUCAUCCUCCCUCAAGUACUUGGUAUCCUCUUUCUAAUUUUCUUUCAUACUCACAUCUUUCUCCUACCCACUAUGCUUUUCUAGCUACCAUUACAAGUCUCACCAAUCCCACUUCCUAUGCUCAGGCUAUCCUUGAUCCCAAUUGGCGACAGGCUAUGCAUGAUGAAUUAGAGGCUUUACAACACAAUAAUACCUGAAGCAUGGUUCCCAUGCCUGCUAGUCACAAACUCAUUGGAUGCAAAUGGGUUUAUAAAAUCAAAUACAAGUCUGAUGGUACCAUUGAACGGUACAAGGCUCGUCUUGUUGCAAAUAGAUACACUUAAGUUAAGGGUGUCAACUAUCAGGAAACUUUUUCUCCUACAACCAAACUCACCAAUCUCUGCUAUCUCCUUACGGUAGUUGCUGCCCAUCAUUGGUUUGUCCAUCAAUUAGACGUUCAAAAUGCCUUUUUACAUGGUGAUUUGCAUGAGCUUGUAUUCAUGAAACCUUUUCCUGGUCUUCGCUGACAGAGGGAGAACAUUGUAUGCCAGCUCAACAAAUCUCUUCACGGACUCAAACAGGCUUCUAGAAAUUGGUUUUCCACAUUUUCAGCUACCAUUCAGACAGCUGGCUAUCAACAAUCAAAAGCUGAUUAUUCUCUUUUACCAAGGCUCAAGGUACUUCAUUCAUUGUUGUCCUCAUCUAUGUAGAUGAUAUACUUCUUACAGGAAAUGAUCUUCAAGAGAUGGAACGACUCAAAACAUUUCUUCUCACACGCUUCCGCAUCAAAGACCUUGGUGAUUUAAAAUAUUUUUUGGGGAUUGAAUUCUCUCGUUCUAAGAAAAGCAUUUUCAUGUCUCAAAGAAAAUAUGCACUAGAUAUUUUGCAGGAUUCUGAACUUACGGAGGCACGUUCAGACAAGUUUCCAAUGGACAAAAUUUGAAACUCGCUCCCACUGACAGAGCAUUGUUAGAUGAUCCCACCAAGUACAAAAGACUAGUCGGACGAUUGAUUUAUCUCACUGUCACCAGGCAUGACAUAGUCUUUUUAGUUCGCACAUUGAGUCAAUUUAUGCAUGAGCCUUGCAAACCUCAUUGGGUUGCAUCUUUACGAAUUCUCAAGUAUAUCAAAGGCACUCUUGGUCAAGGCUUGUUAUUCCCUGCCUUUGAUAGUCUUGAAUUAAAGGCCUUUUGUGAUUCUGAUUGAGGAGGUUGUCGUGCCACUAGAAGGUCAGUUAUAGGGUAUUGUGUUUUUCUUGGAAAUUCUCUCAUCUCAUAGAAGUCCAAGAAACAAGACAAUGUUUCCAGAUCGUCUGCAAAAGCCGAAUAUCGGGCUAUGGCGAACAUAUGUUUAGAAUUAACUUGGUUGCACUAUAAUUACAAGAUUUGUAAAAGCUCCUAUACCAUUAUUUUGCGACAAUCAAGUCGCCCUGUAUAUUGCAGCUAAUCCCGUUUUUCAUGAGCAGACAAAGCAUAUUGAAAUUGAUUGUCACAUUGUUCGAGAAAAACUGUAAGCUGGAAUGAUUAGUCCUUCACAUAUACCUACAUGUUUCCAGUUAGCAGAUUUAUUUACUAAGGCCUUGGGGAAAGAUCACUUUGUGACACUACGCGACAAGUUGGGACUUCAUAAUAUUCACUCUCCAACUUGAGAGGGAGUAUUAGGAAAUAUUAUACGGUAUUAUAUGUAAAUAUCUUGUAUUAUAUUUACCUAAAUAGGUUUGAGUCAAAUCCCACUAAAUAUGGGUCACUGUUCCCUAGCCUUUAAAGUAGGGUUGAAUAGUUGACUUAUGAUGUAUAUAUUGUACAACAAUGUAACAAACGAGGUAUACAAUCUGCCAUUCUCAUAGCUUUUUCAGUGUUCAGUCACUUUAACACUUGAGGUAAACUAAAUAUAUACAAUUUCAACAAACCAAUGAUUUCUUGCGAUAUGAUACCGCUAAAACUAUUCUCACCGAGAUAUAAGAGCCUUAAAUUCUGACACUCUAUUAAACUUGGCAGAAUAUUGCCUGGAAGUUGUUGCCUUCUAAGCUUAAUUCAUUUAAUUGACUUAAAUUUCCGAAAUAGGAUGUAAGAUUGCCACACACAGAGAAUGACUAGGGGGAAUGUGACCUGAUAAUUGUUGGAUAUAAGUCAACAAUCUGUGAUAUAAUUAUAUAUGCUAAUAAAUAAUAAAUGCAAAUAGAAAAAUUAACAGAGUAUGAACAAAACAAAAAUAUAAAACAAACAACUUGAAGAUCGAGGCUUGGGAACCGCAAUGUCCUUGAAACAGAAAUUUUGUCCCUACUCAGUGCUUGUAGUUCUACGGACGUCUACUUCACCAGGAUUCAACGAUCUAAGUUAGAAUUCCAACACCAGAAAACUAGACUUCUAGCGAAUUUGUUUCUGGUGUUCUCAGUAUGCUUGGUAUAUGAGGAUUGAUGAUUUUUUGUGAUUUAAAUGAUAUGCAGAUGCAUGUAUUUAUAGUGAACAUAUGUCUGUUCGCAACAGACAUGUUUUUGGGAGGCGACUGUUCAACGUAAAAGGUGUGUUGCUCCAUCUGUUUAUCAGAUACACUCUCAGACUUCAUCUGAAAAGAUGAGUCUUUCCAUAAAAAAUAAUUUAAUUAAAUUCGAAAUUAAUUAAAAAUAAUUAAUUAAAGAAUUUAAUUUUCAGAGCCCAAGAGCCCCAAGACCCAUCUUUUGAUAAUUAAUAAUAUAUUAAUUAUUAAUUAAUUAUCAAUUAAUUUAUUACACCUCAAAGCCCAACCCCAAGAGUGAGCCCAAUUUUAUUCUCCAAGGUCCAUCACUCCAAUCACUUUCUAUAAGAGACAAAGCCUUAUAAAGUGAGGAAACCUUGUGGUGGUGAGCAAUGUAGGACAAUGAAAUUCUACUCAAAAUUUCCAACAAUACAGUUGAAAUUUCAUUCAAACACCACCAAUUUACUUAUAACACCCCACAUUUGAAUGCAAAUGUAUGACUAGGCUACCUAAAACUAAGAGAGAAUAGACAUGAUAUGCAUUGAGUGAAGUGUCUUUUGGACUUGAACUUACCCUAGUGAAAACAUAUCGGGUUUACUUGGUGACGCAGUGGAUGUGGAAGAUCUUGAACUAUUCACCGCAGUAGUAAACCGAGACAAUAUGCUACACACAUAUCAUGUCUGCCACACGUCAAUUCAUACGGUUGUGUUCAUUUUGGCCCUGAACAGAUCCUGGAUUUCAUAGGAGCUUUUGAGAAUUUAGCCAUUUCAAUUCUCAUAAAUGCGGCCCCAUUUACUCCUAUAUAGGUGACAUUAAUUAAGAAUAGUCUGCCAUAUUCCUCUUGAUAACAAGAUAUUAAUGUCAUUAAAUGUAUAAAACAUAACCCCUCAAACUUCAACAGACAACACACAUUUAUCAUAAGAAUGGGUAAGUUAUGUGUUCAACUUUUGAAUCAAACUGAACCAGUUUGCCUAUUGAACCUAGAUCAUGGGAUCUCCAAUCAGCUAGGUUAGGUUCCGCCCAGUUCGAUUCAUUGAAUUGGCUUGAGACCCAUUCUCCUCGAUGUAAAUAAUAUUUGCUCUCUUGGUAGGCCUUUUGUUAAAGGAUCAGCUAUAUUUUCCUUUGACUUCACAUAAUCAAUGGAUAUUAUUCCAUUGGAGAGCAACUUCUUAAGAGUAUUACGUCGACGCCUGAUGUGUCUUGACUUCCCAUUGUAUACAUGACUUUUGGCCCUUGAUUGUGCGGCCAUACUGUCACAAUAUAUAGAUAUAGCAAUUACAGGCUUUGGCCACAUUGGAAUAUCCUCCAGAAAAUUUUUGAGCCACUCGGCUUCUUCGCCAACCAAGUCUAAAGCUAUAAACUCGGACUCCAUGGUGGAACGAGCUAUACAUUUCUGUUUAGAGGAUUUCCAAGAUAUUGUUGCACCUCCCAAGGUAAAAAUAUAUCCAUUUGUCGACUUGGAUUUUGUAGUGUCAGAAAUCUAAUUGGCAUCACUGAAGCCUUCUACAACAGGUAGAGACUUUGUGUAGUGUAAUCCGCAGUCAAGUGUAUUUUUUUCAAAUACCUUAACACUCUUACUAAAGCAUCACAAUGCUUUUGUGCCGGAUUACUUGUAUAUCUACUAAGCCUACUUACUGCAUAAGCUAAGUCGGGCCUAGUUGAAUUCAUCAAGUACAUUAGACUUCCAAUUACUUGAGAAUAUUCAAGUUGAGAUAUGGCAUUGCCUUUAUUUUUCUCCAACUUGCAUCCAGCAUCAAAAGGAGUUGUCGCAGGUUUGCAGUCAAAUUGACCAAACCUUCGUAAUAUUUUUUCUGCAUAAUGGGAUUGUGUAAGGACAUACCCUUCACUAUUUCUCUUAAUUUGAAUUCCUAAAAUGACAUCGGCUUGACCUAAGUCUUUCAUGUCAAAACUUGAAUUCAACAUUUUCUUUGUUUUGUUUAUUACAUCUUUAUCACUUCCCAUUAUGAGCAUAUCAUCCACAUACAAGCAGACAAUAACGCAAGUUUUAUCAUUACUCUUAAUGUAGACACAUUUAUCAGAUUCAUUUAUUUUGAACCCAUAUGUCAACAAAGUAUGAUCAAAUUUCUCGUGCCAUUGUUUUGGUGCUUGUUUAAGUCCAUAUAAUGACUUAACUAAUUUGCACACUUUGCUUUUGUGUCCUUUAAGCAUGAACCCUUCAGGUUGUUCCAUGUAUAUUUCUUCAUCUAGUUCUCCAUUUAAAAAUGCUAUUUUUACAUGGAUUUGAUGUAUAUCAAAGUUGUAUACAGCCGCAAUCGCUAUUAACGUCCUAAUUGACGUUAUGCGAGAAACUGGAGAAUAGGUGUCGAAAUAAUCCAACCCUUCCUUUUGGCGAUAACCUUUGGCUACUAAACGUGCCUUGAACUUAUCAAUGGUUUCAUCCACCUUAAGUUUCUUCUUGAAAAUCCAUUUAUGGCCAAUUGGUUUGCUACCGGGAGGUAAAUCAACCAAUUCCCAUGUGUUAUUUUCCAUAAUGGAUUCCAUUUCACUUUUAAUUGCUUCCUACCAUAAAGAAGUCGGAAGAAGACAUUGCUUCUUUAAAAGUUCUAGGUUCAUUCUGGGACAAGAAAGCAAUGAAAUCUGGUCCAAAGUUUUUAGAAACUUUGAUUCUUUUUCAUCUUCUUGGUUCCACAUCUUGGACACCAAAAGAAGAGGCUUCAUCAUGACUAUGAUCAUGAACCCUCUUUGUAUUAGAACCAGAUUCCUUAUCUUUGUAAGGAAAUAUAUCCUCAAAGAAUUCUACAUCCGCUGAUUCUAAUAUAGUGUUAACAUGUAUGUCAGAAAUCGAUGAUUUUACAACAAGGAACCUAUAAGCAGAACUAUUAUUUGCAUAUCCAAUGAAUACGCAAUCAAUAGUUUUAGGUCCUAGUUUCGUUCUUUUUGGUAACGGAACUUGCACCUUUGCUAAGCAACCCCACACUUCGAGGGUUUUAUAAGUGGGUUUAUGUCCUUUCCAUAGUUCAUAAGGUGACUUGUCAAUUUUCUUUAAAGGAACCUUAUUCAAUAUGGUAUUUGCAGUAAGUAAAGCUUCACCCCACAAACUAUGUGGAAGCCCUGAACUAUUUAACAUGGAAUUAAUCAUAUCUUUGAAUGUUCUAUUUUUUCUUUCGGCUACACCAUUUUGUUGUGGUGUGUAUGGAGUCGUUGCUUAUGUAUAAUUCCAUGUUAUGCACAAAAAUCUGAGAAGGCAGUAGACUCAUACUCUCCUUCUCUAUCAGAUCUAAGUGCUUUGAUUUUUCUCUCAAGUUGAUUUUCAACUUCAGCUUUAUAUGUCUUAAACAUAUUCAAAGCUUCGUCCUUGCUAUGAAUCAAAUAAACAUAGCAAUACUUACUGCAAUCAUCAAUAAAAGUGACAUAAUAAUUCUUUCCUCCACGAGUUCAUGUGGAUUUAAACUCACAAAGAUCACUAUAAAUUAAUCCAAGUAAUUCAUUUGAUCUUUCCAGAAUUGACUUUCUCGUUUGCCUAGCAAAUUUCGAUUUAGUACAUGUUUCACACUUAUGAUUAAAAUCAAUUUCGAAUUUAGGUAGUAAUUCUAAUUUAACCAUUUUUUGCAUGGAAUGAAAAUUAACAUGUCCUAAUCUAGCAUGCCAAAUAUUAGAAGACUCAACAAUAUAAGUAGAAGCAUUUAUUUUAUUAGCAUCAUCAAUGGCAAUUACAUUGAGUUUCACGAGGCCCUCAGCCACAUAACCCUUUCCAACAAACAUCCCACCCUUGGUAAGUACAAAUUUGUUGGAUUCCAUUACAAGUUUAAAGCCCUUAGCAAUCAGAAUAGAUCCAGAAACCAAGUUCCUCCUCAUUUUAGGAACAUGCAGCACAUUCAGCAAGGUGAGACUCUUUCCAGAUGUGAAUUUGAGUACCACUUUGCAUUUGCCCUCCAUCGCAGAUGCGGCAGAAUUACCCAUAUACAACUUUUCUCCAUGGGCAGCAGGAUGGUAUUAGGUGAACAGAUUUUUGUCAGCGUAGAUAUACUUAGUAGCACCAGUAUCCAUCAACCAUUCACUCACAUUUGAGACCAUGUUGACCUCGGACACAACAACAGCCAAUUCUUCAUUGGUGGUUGCCAUGUUAGCAUGGUUGUUGUUGUUUCCGUUGGCAUGAUUUCCAUCAUUGCGAUGAUAAUAAUCUUGUGCCUUGUGACCAGAUUUGCCACACACAUAGCAUGCGCCCUUAAUCUUCUUCAGAUUCUUGCCUUUGGGAGCAAGGGCAGAUUGUACUAAUUGCUUGGUUUUCGGAGCCUUAUUCUCCUUCGGCUUGGCCUUGGAGUUUCCUCCCUCAACAUAAUUUGCAUCGGCUUCAAUGGCAGCAAACCUACUGUUGGAAGUAUGCCCACAAAGCCACUCAUUUGAUGUAAUAGCUUUUUGGAAUACUUAAUGUAUUAAACUUUUAUAUGUUUAAUGAAGGGCAAAGCUUAUUGUCAAUCACUAUUUAUUGUAUCAUGAGUUUAAGCAAUAAGGGAAUCCAAGGGAUGUAUUUGAUCUAAGAGACAAGUGAUCUAAGUGAGUUAGAUUAUCGAGACCAUUCUCUUAUGUUCAUUCCUAAAACGUUCCUAGCUGUAGGAUUGCCAAUUGGGUAUUGACAAUCCGCUAAGGUUAGUAUGUGUUAUGUCAACUCAAGCUUGAGUAUGACUAGUCUCAAGUCAUUUGGUGUUGGACACUAAGACAAACACAUAGGUGCUCGAAAGAGUAAUCGAGUACACUGAAGAACGAUCAAAAGAGAGUUCGAACAUACAUGUCAUGUAAGAACUCGAAAGUUGCAAUAUGCAAAGUAGUCCUUUGACCCGAGGCAUCAUAAAUGUCUAAUGGUUAGGUCCUUGAUCUUUGAUCAUGUCAACGGCAUUCCAUUGGAGUGUCCACGGCAUUGUUGGGGUCAAGCUAUCUAGUCAUGUAGGUAUAUGAAUGCACAACAAGGGAUCUCUAACCUUCCAUGGUGGAAGGAGAAUACUCUAAGAUAUGAUUCUAAAGUCUUUGGCCAAAGCAUAUGAAUAUGACUUAGGAAGUUUGUUCCAAAUCAUAUUCAAGGGAAUCAUAUAGAAAAGUAUCACAUUGGAUAGUAGACAUGAAACAAACUAUCACUUAAACAAUGUGAUUAAGAGUAUUGUAUUAGAGAAGGACCGUAUUGCAUUGUAGUUGUAACUGGAUAGGUUCUCCAACCAAUUCUACUUAGCUUGGGUAACCAUGACAUACUUCUAGGUGUCACUCAUGGUUUGUGGAAGCCCUAAUGAUUAGCAAACACUAAUCAUUAAAGGGAGAACUGAAAUGUGGUUUCAAUUCACAAUCGAUCGUUAAGAGUAACAAUCGCCCACUACCUCGCUAAUUGGAACCUAAUGGAUCGUACACCGAGUAAGGGCGAUAGUGAAGAAAUAAAUGAAAUGGAUAAGCAAUUAAAUUGUUUAAUUGAAGAAUGGUCAAGAUUAAUUAAUUAGUUGAUUAAUUUUACGAAAGGUUCGUAUUGGGCUUUUAAGUUGGUUUUGGGUUUCGGGGCCCAAAAGUGUUUUGGUCCACAAGGCCCAUUAUGUUUAAGUUGUAUGACAACUAAAACAAAAUGGGCAAUAAGCCCAAUCACAACAUAUAGGCCGGCCAUGGUGAGGAGAUGGUGAAAGUUUGCUUAAUUGCAAGUUUGCCACUCACCAAAGAAAAGUGUUAUAAAAGCAACUUUAUAGCUAUUUUUCUAAUUAGGGUUUUUCUUGGUGAAAUGAGGUGAAACCUUUUUCUCUCUUUUUCAACAAGGAGGCCGGCCACUUAGGGGAGAUUAAUCUAGCAAUCUUUUCUUCUCUAAGUCAUCCAUUUCAUCUUCACACUUAACCCUUGGUGUGGAGACUUAGAGACACCAAACCUUUGGUGUUUUGGAGAUCCUUUCCUUUCAUCCUCAAGGACCAAAGGAGCACAAAAGGAGAAGGAAAUCACAAGCAAUAUCCAAGGAGCUUGGAGGUGACUUGAAGGCCCUCCACUUGGGUGAAUCCCUUGUGUAAACAAGGAUGAGCUUCAAGGGUAAAGAAACUCUAAAUCUUUACUUCUCUCUUUAAUGUUGUUAAAGAGUUUAUUGGUUCACCAUAUACUAGGCUUUGAAAGUCAUGGGUUUUAUGAAUUGUUUUGGAUGCAUGCCUACUUUAAAGUGUUAAUAGUUUGCAUAUGUAUUCAAAUGUUUAUACUUGUUCUUAGCUAGGACAAAAUUUUUCCUUCAAGUGGUAUCAGAGCCUAGGCCUAGUUUAUGGUGAAUCCUUUUGGGUUUUGUGAUUUUCAUAUUUUGUGAUUUAAAUGUUGUAAAUGUUACAAGCUUUGUUCUUGCUUUUGAAUAUAAAUUUUGCUAGAAAAUUUAGCAUCUCAAAUGUUGUAGAUGUAUGUCAUUUAAGCAUGAAUAUUGGAACUAAAAUUUGGUGCCAUGUAUGUUGGGAAAUUCGGCCAAAUCCAUAGGGUGAUUUUUUGGGUUCAUGUUUGUCUUGUUAAAAUGGUUUUAAAGUGACUUUUGGAACCCCUAAGUACCCUAGGAUAUUAGCCCUCUUUUGAGUGGUGAAAAAUUGAGUUUUGGUGAGUGAAAACAUUCAUGGAGCUAUUAUGAGUUUUCAUGAGUGUUCUUCAAUGUUCUUGAAGUUCUUGCCAAGAACAAAAAGUUUUGAAGUUUUGAUUCAAAAGUUUUAUGUUUUUCAUAAAGUUUUGGUUUAUUAUUUGAUGGUUGAUGGUUAUUGGUGAGAUGUGAUGAAAUGGUUUUAAUGUUUGUCAUAGACUUUAAGUUUUCUUACAAACCAUCAAUUUCACCUUUACCUCACCCACCAAAAUCAACUUGCAAAAACUUUUUAGAAAAUUUUUUCAUUUCUUCUCAAAUGGCCGGCCACCCCCUAGUGUGGGGGUACUUUUGGGGUCUUUUAUGCAAUUACAUAAAGUUUUGAUACUUUUGUGUAUUUGCACUUUGGCCUAAAAGUUUACGUUUUUACGUUAAGGCCCAAAAACUCUAAAGGACAAAUUGUUUUGCUCCUUUAAUGAUGUUUUUACAUUAUUAAAAUUUUGGGAUCUAGUUGUAUUUACAUGAAGUUGUGGACUUUUGUAUUUUUACAAAGUGACCCCAAAAGUUUAUGUAUUUGCAUUGUGGCCCAAUUGUUGUCGUCAUAGUUUCCUUUUGGCCCAAAAGGAUGAGAACAAAAUUGUUUUGUCUCUUUAAUGAGAAUUGGAUUUUCAUUUCAUUUAGUUCCAUUUAAAUCAAUUCUAUGGAUCCAAAAACCAAUUGUUUAAAGUUGUUUUCUUAGUUAAUGUGAUUGAUUAAGAAAAUGGUGAUUAUGAACCAAAGGCCUCGAUAAUUGAGCUAUGUGAUUGGCCGAUUUACAUUAUGAAUGUUUGGGUUUAGUAGUGUAGAUUUGAAUGUAAUUUGAUUAAUUCAAUUUGUUGUAAAUGGACAUAAGUCCAUCAUUUGUGUUGUAAAAGGGCGUAAGCCCUUCUUAUUAUUUCAUGUAUUCCUUUUUGUUUAUAUGUAUGCAAAUUGGAAUAGUUGGGUCCAACGCCCAAUAGGAAAUAACGGUUUAAUUGGAUUAAACGCGUAACUAAAAUCAAACAACUACCUACCUUAGACCCAAGGUCCAACACAAGGCUCGUGUUGGAUCAAAUUGAACGGUUCAUAAUCAUCCUAAAACCUAAUAUGACUAUAUAGUCCAUAUGAGGAUGCAAAGCAUUCGUUAGUAGUUCCAUAUAGUCUCACUUAUUUCUUCGAAAAUAGUGGGAGUAUUAUAAACUACUAAAUUCAUAUUAAACUUGGACCAAUGGUUGUGAUAGGCCCAAGUUCUUUUAAAAGAUUAAAAUGAUUUUGAUGUAGCCCAACACUACUCCCUCAACAAAACGAAUAUUAAGUUGAUAAGCGAGAGAUGUUUUGAAUAUCUCUUCGUAGGCCUUCCACCGUGGUGGGUUCCAAUCGUUUGUGACUCAUGCACCGGUUUCACCCUAUCAUAGGGAAGUACAAAGUAUGUGCUUACAUCCAGGAGGAGUCCAUAAACAUAUGAUGAGGUGAGUGUAGGCAACGAGGAUAGCCGACAUCGUAUCAUCGUGAGGCUAUUCUUGAACCCCUUCACAAACUAAGCAUGGUGGGAAUAACUUAACUAAGUGCAAUGGAGCCGAUAUCGUAUCAUCAUGAGGCAACAUUCUCUAGAGGCCAAACGAGAUGGGUAAUUACAAAUGUUGUAAAUAAAUAAAGCGUUAUUUUCUCAUCAUUAUUUUUGCUAACCGAUAUCGUAUCAUCGUGAGGUGGGCUUGGUAAUGGUGAGUCUCCCAUACCCCGCUAAGAGUUCAAUAAAAACUCUCGAAUUCCAUUGAGGGAUGUGGAAUUUGCCAAAAAUAGUGGGUGGUACUAUUUGAUUCAAAGACCCAAUCAAAUAGUUUUAAACAAACAAUCUAAUACGAUUUCUGUUAUGUUAUGUAGUUAACGACAUGCCUAAAAUUAUACCCACCAUUAUACUUGACAAAAGGGGCCUUAAGGGCCAACGUUUCCUUGCUUGGUAUCGCCACAUUGAGAAUGUCUCAAAGGUGAAAGACAUAUUGUAUGUGCUUAAGCAAUCCCCUCCUCAUGUACCUCCUACGAAACUAGCUUCAAAGGAGGAGUGUCAAAAUUAUGUUAGACACUAUGAGGAUGACUUACAAGCCAAAUGCUUAAUCCUCACUUCACUUAGUAAGGAGCUUAUGAAGCUACAUAAGCACAUGGACACUUCUUGUGCCAUGGUUGAAAGUUUGCAUAAGAUGCAUGACAUUGAGACUAGUAAUGUACGAUUCUCAAAUGUUUGUAGUCUAAUGAAUGCCAAAAUGGCAAAGGGGACAUUGGUCCAUAAACAUGGACGAAAGAUGGAAAUGAUCUUUCAAGAUCUUCAAAGUUUAGGAACUUCCAUCGAUGGGAAAAUGGCCCAAGAUUUUUUCCUUGCAUCUCUCUCGGAUGAUUUCACUAAGUUUAUUGUAAACUAUAAAGUGAAUAGAUUCGAUCAUUCUUUAAACGAGAUGAUUGACAUGUGCUGUAAAUUUGAAAAAGGUUUCAAAAUGGAUAGUGGGAGUGAGAAUGCAAACACAAGGAAAAGGUUGCAUAAGAAGAAGGCAAAGAAAUCCAAAGGAACAUGCUUUCAUUGUGGAAAGGAUGAACGUUGGAAGAAGAAAUACAGGGUGCGCAUUGCGAGCCUUAUGACACAAACUUUUGAAGAGACUAUUUCUGUCAUAGAGAGUUCUUUUACAGUGAGCUCCAAUUCCUGGAUAUUUGAUUCAGGCACUAGUCAACAUAUCUGUAAUACGAUGCAGGGACUAGAGGGGAGCAAAUCACUGAGCAAUGGGGAGAUGGUUGUGCGAGUUGGGAACGGCACUAAAAUCUCUGCAAAAGCAAUAGGCACCUACAUGCUUAACCUACCCUCUGGGGAAGUCCUGGAACUUAAAAAUUGUUUAUAUUUUCCUUCAUGUAUAAAGAAUUUGAUUUCCAUCUCUAAGCUUUUACGAGAUAGGCACUCAGUAUUGUUUGACAAAAUGAGUUGCACUUUAUACUUGAACGGUCGUAUUAUCUCUCAGGGUAAUAUGAUAGAGGGACUUUUUCACCUAGAGACGAAUAGUGGGAUGCACUAUUUGCAAGCGGGAAUACCUCAAAACCCAAAAGGGCUAGAGAAGAAGUUAACCAAGAAAAGAUGUGGCAUCUUAAACUUGGACAUGUGAACCUUGAUAAGAUUCAUAAGAUGUCGAAAGACGGAUAUAUCCGCCCAUUAGGUAAUGACCAGAUGGGUAUUUGUGAAUGUUGCUUGAAAGGGAAGAUGACCAAAUCUCCAUUUACUGGAAAAGGAGAGCGUGCCACUGAAAUUCUAGGGUUAAUCCACACUGACGUAUGUGGACCUAUGUCUACUACAUUGAGAGGAGGCUUCUCCUACAAUAUCACAUUCACCGACGAUCACUCUCGGUUUGGCUAUGUGUAUCUUAUGAAGUACAAGUCAGAAUCCUUUGAAAGGUUCAAAGAAUUCAAGAAUGAGGUUGAGAAGCAAACUGGGAACAGAUAAAGAUCUAAGAUCGGAUCGAGGGGGUGAAUAUCUGAGUAAUGAGUUCCUAGAUUAUCUCAAAUAGUGUGGAAUAAUAUCACAGUGGACUCCACCGGGGAACUCCACAAACUUAAUGGAGUUUCUGAAAGGAGAAAUCGAACCUUGAUGAACAUGGUUCGUUCUAUGAUGAGUUCCGCUGAUCUACCAGUAACAUUCUGGGGAUACGCUCUAUAUACAGCAGCUUACUUGCUUAAUAGAGUACCUUCCAAGUCAGUUUCACAAACGCCUAUGAGAUAUGGCAUGGAAGAAAGCCAAGUCUUAAUCACAUUAAGAUUUGGGGUUGUGAAGCAUAUGUCAAGAAGCUUGAAGCGAGAUCAGUAAGAUGCUAUUUUGUGGGAUAUCCUAGAGAAACUAUGGGAUAUGAGUUCUACCAUCCUGACGACCAGAAAGUCUUUGUCGCCAGAACUGCUAUGUUUCUAGAGGAACAAUUUGUUCUCAAAGGAACUGUAAGCAAACAGAUGGAAAUUAAUGAGAUUAAUGAUGAACCACAAACAAGCACUCGACGAGUUGACAACCCUGUUCCUGAACCCCUAGCUCCACGUAGAUCUAAACGGGUUAGUAAGCCACCUAAGAGGUAUGGCUUAGACAAUGAAUUUGCGGAAUUGCACCUUCUAGGUGACAAUGACACAAAGGAGGACCCUAGGGACUACAUUGAAGCAAUGUCCGACAUUGAUUCAAAGAUAUGGCAAGAGGCCAUGAAAUCCGAGAUGGAUUCCAUGUAUCAAAAUCAAGUCUGGACUCUUGUAGACCCUCUAGAAGGUAUUGUACAUGUUGGAAACAAAUGGGUCUUUAAGAGGAAGAUAGGCGUUGAUGGGAACGUGGAGACUUAUAAGGCUAGACUCGUAGCCAAGGGUUACAAGCAACGAGAAGGGAUUGACUAUGAAGAAACCUUCUCUCCUGUAGCCAUGAUUAAGUCCAUUCGGAUUUUGCUUGCUAUAGCUGCGUACCAUGAUUAUGAGAUAUGGCAAAUGGACGUGAAGACGGCCUUUCUGAACGGCUACCUAGAGGAAGAGCUCUAUAUGACUCAACCCGAAGGUUUCGUGUCCAAGUCUGAAAAGACUAAGGUAUGCAACCUUCAAAGGUCCAUUUAUGGACUUAAGCAAGCCUCCAGGAGCUGGAACAUUCGUUUCGAUACUGAAAUCAAAACGUUUGGUUUUACUCAAAACGAAGACGACAAUUGUGUUUAUCAAAAGGUCGUUGGGGAAGCAGUUGUAUUCCUAGUGUUAUAUGUAGAUGACAUAUUACUAUUCGGGAAUGACACUGCAAUACUUUCUUCUGUAAAAGUGUGGUUGUCCAAAACCUUCCACAUGAAAGAUUUAGGAGAUGCAUCUUAUGUACUUGGGAUAAAGCUCUAUCGUGAUAGAUCCAGAAAAUUAAUUGGAUUAUCCCAAUCUAUGUACAUUGAUAAAGUGUUAAGUAGGUUCCAGAUGGAACAGUCUACGAAAGGUUUUCUUCCUGUUAGACAUGGAAUUCACCUUUCUAAGUCCAUGGAACCUAAGACUCCUGAAGAGAUACGGCAAAUGAAUAUUAUUCCUUAUGUUUCUGCCAUAGGGACUCUCAUUUAUGCCAUGAUAUGCACAAGGUCUGAUAUCGCAUAUGCUGUGAGCAUUACUAGUCGAUAUCAAUCUAACCCAGGAUUAGAACACUGGGCAGCUGUCAAGACGGUCCUUAAGUACUUAAGAAGAACUAAAGACAUGUUCCUCGUAUAUGGAGGAGCGGCAGAGUUUCGGGUGGAAGCCUAUACAGACGCAGAUUUCCAAUCUGACGUCGAUGAUAGAAGUUCCAACUCUGGAUAUGUAUUCACUCUGAAUGGUGGGGCUGUGGGGCUGUCAGUUGCAAGAGCAAGAAACAAAGUGUAAUUGCUGAUUCCACAACAGAGGCUGAAUAUGUCGCUGCAGCUGAAGCCGGCAAAGAAGCGUUCUGGAUGAAGAAGUUCAUCACUGAACUUGGAGUGGUUACAACCAUUACAUCACCAGUAACUUUGUACUGUGAUAAUAGUGGGGCGAUAGCUCAAGCCAAGGAACCCAGGGCACAUCAAAAGAACAAGCAUUUUGACAGACGCUUUAAUAUCAUUAGAAGAUAUGAUGCCGAGGGGAAAGUCAACAUCCUCAAAGUUGCUUCAGCCGAUAACGUAGCAGAUCCACUGACAAAGCCAAUGUCUCAAAUCCAGCUUGACCGUCAUAUGGAAAAGAUGGGUAUUAGAUACAUGGGAGGAUGGCUUUGAGUGCAAGUGGGAGAUUGUUGGAAGUAUGCCCACAAAGCCACUCAUUUGAUGUAAUAGCUUUUUGGAAUACUUAAUGUAUUAAACUUUUAUAUGUUUAAUGAAGGGCAAAGCUUAUUGUCAAUCACUAUUUAUUGUAUCAUGUGUUUAAGCAAUAAGGGAAUCCAAGGGAUGUAUUUGAUCUAAGAGACAAGUGAUCUAAGUGAGUUAGAUUAUCGAGACCAUUCUCUUAUGUUCAUUCCUAAAACGUUCCUAGCCGUAGGAUUGCCAAUUGGGUAUUGACAAUCCGCUAAGGUUAGUAUGUGUUAUGUCAACUCAAGCUUGAGUAUGACUAGUCUCAAGUCAUUUGGUGUUGGACACUAAGACAAACACAUAGGUGCUCGAAAGAGUAAUCGAGUACACUGAAGAACGAUCAAAAGAGAGUUCGAACAUACAUGUCAUGUAAGAACUCGAAAGUUGCAAUAUGCAAAGUAGUCCUUUGACCCGAGGCAUCAUAGAUGUCUAAUGGUUAGGUCCUUGAUCUUUGAUCAUGUCAACGGCAUUCCAUUGGAGUGUCCACGGCAUUGUUGGGGUCAAGCUAUCUAGUCAUGUAGGCAUAUGAAUGCACAACAAGGGAUCUCUAACCUUCCAUGGUGGAAGGAGCAUACUCUAAGAUAUGAUUCUAAAGUCUUUGGCCAAAGCAUAUGAAUAUGACUUAGGAAGUUUGUUCCAAAUCAUAUUCAAGGGAAUCAUAUAGGAAAGUAUCACAUUGGAUAGUAGACAGGAAACAAACUAUCACUUAAACAAUGUGAUUAAGAGUAUUGUAUUAGAGAAUGACCGUAUUGCAUUGUAGUUGUAACUGGAUAGGUUCUCCAACCAAUUCUACUUAGCUUAGGUAACCAUGACAUACUUCUAGGUGUCACUCAUGGUUUGUGGAAGCCCUAAUGAUUAGCAAACACUAAUCAUUAAAGGGGAGAACUGAAAUGUGGUUUCAAUUCACAAUCGAUCGUUAAGAGUAACAAUCGCCCACUACCUCGCUAAUUGGAACCUAAUGGAUCGUACACCGAGUAAGGGCGAUAGUGAAGAAAUAAAUGAAAUGGAUAAGCAAUUAAAUUGUUUAAUUGAAGAAUGGUCAAGAUUAAUUAAUUAGUUGAUUAAUUUUACGAAAAGGUUCGUAUUGGGCUUUUAAGUUGGUUUUGGGUUUCGGGGCCCAAAAGUGUUUUGGUCCACAAGGCCCAUUAUGUUUAAGUUGUAUGACAACUAAAAACAAAAUGGGCAAUAAGCCCAAUCACAACAUAUAGGCCGGCCAUGGUGAGGAGAUGGGUGAAAGUUUGCUUAAUUGCAAGUUUGCCACUCACCAAAGAAAAGUGUUAUAAAAGCAACUUUAUAGCUAUUUUUCUAAUUAGGGUUUUUCUUGGUGAAAUGAGGUGAAACCUUUUCUCUCUUUUUCAACAAGGAGGCCGGCCACUUAGGGGAGAUUAAUCUAGCAAUCUUUUCUUCUCUAAGUCAUCCAUUUCAUCUUCACACUUAACCCUUGGUGUGGAGACUUAGAGACACCAAACCUUUAGUGUUUUGGAGAUCCUUUCCUUUCAUCCUCAAGGACCAAAGGAGCACCAAAGGAGAAGGAAAUCACAAGCAAUAUCCAAGGAGCUUGGAGGUGACUUGAAGGCCCUCCACUUGGGUGAAUCCCUUGUGUAAACAAGGAUGAGCUUCAAGGGUAAAGAAACUCUAAAUCUUUACUUCUCUUUAAUGUUGUUAAAGAGUUUAUUGGUUCACCAUAUACUAGGCUUUGAAAGUCAUGGGUUUUAUGAAUUGUUUUUUGGAUGCAUGCCUACUUUAAAGUGUUAAUAGUUUGCAUAUGUAUUCAAAUGUUCAUACUUGUUCUUAGCUAGGACAAAAAUUUUCCUUCACCUACCAGAACGGUCUGCCUUUAUGUGGUCUUUUUCCACUCGUAGCCUCAGAAUCAAAUCCUCCAUAUUCAUCUCACGACGCUUGUGCUUGAGAUAAAUUUUGAAGUCAUUCCAGGAAGUUGGCAACUUUUCGAUUAUCGCCCCAACUUGGAAAUGCUCAUUGACCUCGCAUCCCUAGGAGUGCAGUUCAUAGAUCAAUUUCUGGAUUUCUUCGACCUGAGAUACAACAGAUUUCGAAUCCACCAUAGUAUAUUUGAGAAACUUACCGAUAACAAAUUUCUUUGAACCGGCAUCAUCAAUCUUAUACUUUUUCUCCAGGGAUUCCCACAACUCCUUUACUAUCUUGCACAGAGAAUAAAUGUCGUAAAGAUUGUCAUCCAAACUAUUCAGAAUAUAAUUCCUGCAACAAAACUUGGAAUGAUUCCAAGCUUCAAUUGCCAUGACAGUCUCUUUCGUUAUUGGAUUCUCAUUAGACUUCGAAGCUUCUUCCUUGACAACAUGAGCGAGAUUCAUUGUUGUCAGGAAAAACAACAUCUUCUGUUGCCAUCUCUUGAAGUCCAGCCCUUUGAACUUCUCAGGUUUUUCAGAGUAUUUUGGCACAGCGUCAUUCACAUUCACAUAUUAUUGAUCCAUAAAUUUCUGUUUCAAGAUUGUUAGAUAUAAGUCAACAAUCUGUGAUAUAAUUAUAUAUGCUAAUAAAUAAUAAAUGCGAAUAGAAAAAUUAACAGAGUAUGGACAAAACAAAAAUGUAGAACAGACAACUUGAAGAUCGAGGCUUAGGAACCGCAAUGUCCUUGAAACAGAAAUUUCGUCCCUACUCAGUGCUUGUAGUUCUACGGACGUCUACUUCACCAGGAUUCAACGAUCUAAGUUAGAAUUCCAACACCAGAAAACUAGACUUCUGGCGAAUUUGUUUGUGGUGCUCUCAGUAUGCUUGGUAUAUGAAGAUUGAUGAUUUUUUGUGAUUUGAAUGAUAUGCAGAUGCAUGUAUUUAUAGUGAACAUAUGUAUGUUCACAACAGCCCCAAGGCCCAAGGCCCAUCUUUUGAUAAUUAAUAAUAUAUUAAUUAUUAAUUAAUUAUCAAUUAAUUUAUUACACCCCAAAACCCAACCCUAAGGAUGAGGCCAAUUUUAUUCUCCAAGGUUCAUCACUCCAAUCAUUUUCUAUAAGGGACAAAGCCUUAUAAAGUGAGGAAACCUUGUGGUGGUGAGCAAUGUGGGACAAUGAAAUUCUACUCAAAAUUUCCAACAAUAAUUGGUUCUCAGCAUCCCUAAAACCUCUAAGUUAGCCAAAUUUACAAUCUCUUUCGGAAUACUUCCUAAUAUUUUAUUUUGUGCAAUAUGGAAUAUUUGAAGAGAGGAAGACAGGUUUCCUAUGCAUUGAGGUAACGUGCCCCCAAACUUGUUGGUAAACAUUUCGAGAAAUUCUAAAUGGGUGGCAUUGCUUAAAUCACAGAGAAAGGUCGAGUCGUCAAUUCCCCCACUUCUGAGAUGGUUGUCAGCAAGGAUUAACCACUCAAGCAUAUGCAAAUUUGUCAAAUGAGGGACCUUUUCAUGCGAUGAUGGUGGGUCUCUUGGUCCUGCUUGUAGGGUGAGUCUCAUUGACUCUACGUGAUUGUCGUUGUGUGAAUCUUUCACGUGUGACCUACUAAUUGGAUCUCACAUGAUGAAGCGUGUUGAAAUGUCUCACGUCGACCGUAUCAAUGACAAAAGAAGAGUUUAAAUAUCAUAACUUCACUCCAACUAACACCGAGACUUUUUGUGAUAAAACCUCAUACCUGACGGAUUGUGAAUAUGGUAAUUAACAAAUUUGGGAUAAUAUCGAUGUUGUUAGAAGUGAGUCUUUGGCCCGUCUCUCUGAUAAUCAUACAAGACCAACUUUAAGGUGAUCAUGUUAUAAAUAGGCAAAAGUAGAGAAAUAACCUUUGCUAAGAACGAGGACGAAGUGGUGCAAAAUAUCACACUGACAAAAGUAUUGCAGAUAUUAGAAAAUGAGGGAUACUGAGAGUAUUAUAUUUCUUCCUUUUCUCUUCUUGAUAUUCUUCACACUUUGAACNNNNNNNNNNNNNNNNNNNNNNNNNNNNNNNNNNNNNNNNNNNNNNNNNNNNNNNNNNNNNNNNNNNNNNNNNNNNNNNNNNNNNNNNNNNNNNNNNNNNNNNNNNNNNNNNNNNNNNNNNNNNNNNNNNNNNNNNNNNNNNNNNNNNNNNNNNNNNNNNNNNNNNNNNNNNNNNNNNNNNNNNNNNNNNNNNNNNNNNNNNNNNNNNNNNNNNNNNNNNNNNNNNNNNNNNNNNNNNNNNNNNNNNNNNNNNNNNNNNNNNNNNNNNNNNNNNNNNNNNNNNNNNNNNNNNNNNNNNNNNNNNNNNNNNNNNNNNNNNNNNNNNNNNNNNNNNNNNNNNNNNNNNNNNNNNNNNNNNNNNNNNNNNNNNNNNNNNNNNNNNNNNNNNNNNNNNNNNNNNNNNNNNNNNNNNNNNNNNNNNNNNNNNNNNNNNNNNNNNNNNNNNNNNNNNNNNNNNNNNNNNNNNNNNNNNNNNNNNNNNNNNNNNNNNNNNNNNNNNNUUCAUGCUUCCCCAAACUACCUUUCUGUUUCCUGACUUGAGAAGGGUCAACGUCGUAGAAUAUUGGACACACUAUUUUCCCCUCUUGUUCUUUUAGGCACCUCAUGAUUUUCGACAGCUCCCUCAGGCACCACCGGGACUCCGCGUACCCCUUCGAGAAGACGAGGAGGGCGAUUCUCGAUCCUUCGAUUUCUUGGUCAAGUUCACUCUGUAUGGUUUUCCCCCUUGUGAGCUGGUUAUCUAUAAAAGUGUUAAUUCCGGCAUUGCGUAAUGCAAUGAAGAGGUGGUUUGUAAAGGCGUUGCGGGUGUCUUCGCCUCUAAAGCUCAGGAACACCUCGUACUUCCAGCGGUUUGAGCCAGCUUCACUGGCGGAGCUGCUGGUAUCCAUUGCAGCCUGUAGAAGUGCAGCUUGGCGUUCAAAUAACCAACGUCAAGUCUUUUCCCAAGAUUCCCAAGUGUUGGUGGCCCUUUUAAAAUUUUGCAUGGGCCAAUGAUGUCGAUAACACGUGAGUGCUAUUCCCCCAAAGUUUAAUUUGUAUAAAUGUUACCAUCAAAUUUAAAUAUUUUACCAUGCAAUUUCCUCUUUUGUAGUUUUUUGAGAAAUCUGCCGCCCCCCCCCCCCCCACUUUGACCAGUUGACGAGAUUAUUGUAUUUUAAGGGUGGUGCGCAGGUCGGUCCAACUGUUGGAGUCACGCUAAAAUACGCAUUGGAAUUUGGAAGUUAGAAAGUAAAAAAAAUUAUAAUAUUCAGACGUGAAAUUUUAAAAGUGUUCACGAGAGAACAAAAAUGAAAACAUUUACUCGAUUGGGUUAAGGCAUGGUCCAAUAGAACUUAUAGGCUUAAACACCGCAAGUAACCAAAUUGGACAUGGGUCUUAUGACCCAUCAGAGCACAUUAAAUUGUGAAAAUUGCACCUGCGCGUUAUUCACACGUUAGUGUAGUAACUUCAGAAAGAAUAAUACUUGAGUACUUAUUGAAAUUACCGACCCAAUGAAAUAAUUAAUAAAAAAGAACCAAUCCCAGUGACUACCCAAAUUACACGGCGUUAAAUCGUUAACCUUUUGGUUUCUAAAUUACACGUGCCGCUCACUGAAAUGAUCAGAGUUUUGACUUUCAUUUCUUGAAAGCCAGCUGCACCAAUUGGUAAUCGAUGGAUACCAGCAGCUCCGCCCAUGGAACCGCCAUCGCAGCCUCUUCGUAUUCCCCGUGCCGCUCAAACCGCUGGAAGUCCAAGGUGUUCCUGAGCUUUAGAGGCAACGACACACGCACUAACUACACAGACAAUCUCUCCAUGCGUUACGCUAUGCCGGAAGCAACACGUUUAUAGACUACCAGCUCAGAAGGGGGGAUAAUAUACAGAGGGAACUUGACCGAAAAAUCGAAGGGUCCAGAAUCGCCAUCGUCGUCUUCUCCAAGGGGUACGCGGGAGUCCCAGUGGUGCUUGAGGGAGCUGGCCAAGAUCAUGAGGUGCCGAGAAGAUCAAGAGGGCAAAAUAGUCUAUCCAAUGUUCUAUGUCGUUGUGAGGAAACAGAGUGGUGGUUUUGAGGAAGUUCGGAAGCAUGCAAGUGAUGAAAAUCCAAACGAACAAUCAGUGGAGAAAGGAUCUUAAGGCUUCUUUCCGGCGACGGGUAUAAUUCCUUCUUUAACUCCUUCUUUACAAUUUUUUGAUGCUCAAAUUUACUCACUUAUAAUUCAAGGUUAGAAAUCCGGUCGUAUAUAGCUUAGUUAAUCACAUGGAUCAAUCUAAUUUACUCAAAUCUUCUUUGCUCAGAAAAUAUGAAUCUUGCAGUUGCAUGAUGAAUUUCACUUUUGUAUAAUUUUGAAAUUUAAUUGCCAGGCGUGAAGGGUUGUUUAUUGAGGAAAUUGCUAGGGACAUCAGAGGACUACUGAUAACAAACAGACUUAAAACAAGCCAAGUGCCCAGUUGGAAUGGAUUUUCUUGUGCAAUAGUUGAGUACUGAAUGCUUAGAUGUUGGAGAUUUGCUUGAUGUUCAAAAUAAAUGGAAUUUGGGGUUUGUGCAGUAUAGGUGAAACAAUAUACUUGCGAGAGCUAUCUGUAGCAAAUAUCAUCGUUGCUUUGGUGGUCAAUGUUUCCUUCAAAAGGUGAGGAGUAAAAAAGAAAAGUAUGGUUGCUCUGCAAGAACAACUUCUUCGAGGUGUUUUGAAACGGCUGGAGACAUUAAUGUGAGCGGUGUUGCCGAAGGAACCAAAGAGAGAGAGAAAAGAUUUGGAAGCAUGAAGGUGCUUGUCGUCGUUGAUGGCAUAGAUGAUGCUGACCAGUUAGAUGAAUUGGCGAUAAAACAGGAAUCGACUAUGUUUGUUAAGAUUCCAGCCACCCAAAUCUGCAGAAGCCUUAAGAUCCUUUCUCCACUGCUCGACCUCAUUUGGAUCUUCAUCCCUUUCAUGCUUCCAAAAUGCAUUUCCAAAAAAUACCACUAUUUCCUCACUUGAGAAGGGUCGACGUCGUACAAUAUUGGAUAGACUACUUUCCCCUCUUGAUCUUCUUGGCACCUCAUGAUCUUGGCUAGCCUCUUUGAGAAGACAGACAAAGUAUUCCUCGACCCUUUGAUUUCUUGGUCAAGUUCACUCUGUGUGUUUUCCCCUCUUCUGAGCUGGUAGUCAAUGAGCUUGUGGAUUCCAGCAUUGUAUAAUGCAAUGGAGAGUGGUCUGCGAAGGUAGUGUGUGUGUCGUCGCUCUAAAGCUCAGGAACACCUCGUACUUCCAGUGGUUUGAGUGGGCACAGGGAAGACGAAGAGGCUGCGACAUCGGUUACAUGGGCGGAGCUGAUGGUAUCCAUCGAUAAUUUGUACUAGUGUUGGGAGAAUAGAGGAGUGCAGCAGGCUAUGCGGCUUGGCUUUCAGAUAGCCAAAGUCAAGUCAAACUUCAUCUUCUAAGUAUUAUAGAGAAACAAAAUGCGUGGAUUUAUAUGAAUAUGCACGCGUAUGGCAUUGCAUAUAUUUAUUACAAACAUAUGGUAACACUUAAUUUUUUAUGUGUGAAGUAAAAUAUAUGAAUUUCUUACAUUGCCUUGUUUGUUUGUUUAUACAUAUUGUGAAAUUUUUAUGGACUUAGUACUAUCAGUAUUUGUCAUUAUCUGCUAGACAACACAUGAUUAUGCGUGUCAAUCAACGCUUAGGUUAGACUGCAUAAUAUGAAUUUGACCAUAUCAUGAACUCAUAAAGGAGUGAGAAUGAGGAUCAACUAGCCCGCUUAGUUUAUUUGAUUCAUUAUAUUCAUGGAUUGGAUCACGAUCGAAUGUUAAGAUGAUACCCAUGCUUUUUCUGAUUCUACACAAGUUAGUAAUUCAAACGACUUCAAAAGGAGUAUUUUAGUAAAUACGGGAAAAUCAAGAAUCAACAUGACGUAUACGUGGCUCCCCAUAUCGAAGAAAAAAGGGACAUUGCACGUACUUAUAAGUUAUUAAACUCACAAGCAACUGAACAAUCAGAGCCAGAUGUCAAUAACGAGUAAUGGGAUUGUAAUGCUUUCAAUAUUCAAAUCAAUUAACAAGCUCAUAAGAGGAGUUUAGGUUUAGGGUCCCUCAUCAGAUGAGUGAUGGCUGGUUUAGCUCUGUCUGCAACGUCAAUAGUGUCAUCAUCAGUGCAUGUCUUCAUCAGGCAGUAUUCAUGGUAUAGUUUGAUAUCGUCACCAGACUAAUAUGGCUGGUUUAGCUCUGUCUGCGACGUCAUUAGUUUCGAUUUCUCGCGGUCAAGUUCUGUCUUUAUAUUCACACCACCCCCCCCCCCAACUCCCUUUCUGAGCUGGUAGUCUAUAAACAUGUUGAUUCCGGCAUUGCGAAAUGCAAUAUCGAGGUGGUCUAGUGCGUGCGUCGUCACCUCUAAAGCUUAGGAACACACUUCGUACUUCCAGCAGUUUGGGCACCACAAGGAAGACGAAGAGGCCGCUGCGGCAGCUAGGCGGAGUUGCUGGUAUCCAUGCAUGCAGCCUGAAGAAGUGCAGAUUGGCCUUCAAAUAAUCAAAGUCUUUUACCAAGAUUUCCCAGUGCGGGCGGCAUUUUAAAAUUUUUAACCCCAAUAAUUUACGAAUUUAAAUCGUUUAGUUACAGGCAGGGGCGGAUCCACAGUGGGGUCGUCGGGGUCGCACGACCCCUUGGAAAGCAUGGAAACAACCUUGAAGCUCCCAUACGCGACCUCUUGGAGCUGGGGUCGUCGGGGUCGGAGUCACACGCCAAGUGUUCGACAAAAAAUCCUGAACGAAGCUCGGCACUGCAGGAAGAGGAAGAAGAAGAAGCAAGCUAUUACUAUGCCAUACGGAUAUGCUUGAGUUUGCAUCCAUUGAUGAAUUCUGCAAAUACCACAUUUUGAUCCGUCUUUUGUUUCCCUAAGCCGGAUGUUGGAUGCUAUGGCGCUUCUCAUUCCUCACCUUAAAUGCAAUUGUGUGCAGGUGAUGAAGAGACCUGGUUGUAAUUAUAAGACCGCUCGAGUUUGAGGAGGUGAAUCCUCAAGGAAAAGUAGAGGAUCACAAACAGAGUGGAAAGAAACAGAAACAGAAAAAGAGGAAUAAGAGUAACAAGAGUAAAAGCGGUAGUGACAGAAUUGUGACAAAGGUGAAGACUAAGCUCAAGAGUUGAUUAAUACAAAACUGUUUUCGGGUUUUUUUUUUCUUUCCAGUUCCAUUCUUUCCAUGGCGUAAGCGUCAUCAAUUUUCUACGUUUUGGAAGAUGAAAGAGUUAGAAGAGAAGACAGAUCGAGCGGGGAUGCUUAAUCUAUGCGUGCUGGUAGAAAUUCAAUUGCCCCAUAAUUUUUUGUAUCUUUUAAUUCUUUUCUCUUCUCCUGUGUUGCAUGCAGUAGUUUGGUAGAAACUGUAUCAGCUAUGUAUUAAAGCCAUUUAACUUAUCCGACACUGCACCAAACGCCCGACUAAUGGAGUUAGUACUAUCCGACGACUAUUUAUCUUAUCCGACUGAAAUAGUCAGUACAGUCCGAAGUACCAAACGAGGUUAAAAAAAAAUUUUCGCGCUGCGCGCGCUAUGACCCCCACAAACAUUAUUUCCUGGAUCCGCCACUGGUUACAGGUAUGAAGUUCUGUAAUUAAUCUUUUAAAAUUCGUAGACCUUUCGAGGUCAUAAUAAUAAUGAUUUCAAAUAGAGCUCGGUCUCACAAACGGAUAGGCGAAAACCGUUCGUGAAACGGAAUUAUAAUGAGAGAGAUGUAAACGAUUAAAGUCAAGAACAUUUAAGCAAUUUUGAUCUUCAAAUCCCGAAGCCUCCAGCUUUGCUGGAGCAGGAAGGGUGUGGUGAUGAAGCCACGUGUGUGGCUGUGAUGGAAAGAAGAGAAGAGAAAGGCGAGAAAAAGGUGAAGGGGGACUGCCCAAUCAGAAAGAAGAGCAGGAGAGACAUGAGAGAAGUGUGAGGCACUCAACCCGGACCCCCGUUCCUUGACCCGUUCACACCGCGACCCGAACCGCAUCCCGGCUUUUAAAUACAGCGCUUUCUUUUCAAAAAAAAAAAAACCUCAUUGCACGAUAUACUUGACAACGCAUGAUAUACAGUAACUGGUAAUUCAAAUAAACUCCAACUUCCUUAGUAGUAACCAAAUUCGAUCUGGGUCUUACGAUGACCAAUCUCAAACAUCAAUUGUAAUGCUUUCAAUAUUCAAAUCAAUUAACAAACUCAUAAGAUGAGUUUAGGUUUAGGGUACCUCAUCGUUAGAUGAGUGAUGGCUGGCUUAACUCUGUCUGCAACGUCAACAAUCUCUUUCAUCAGUUUAUGUCUGAUAGUCCUCGUCAUCAGUAUCGUCGCCAUACUCAUACGGUACACGCUCAUAGUCCACGCCCUUAAACUCUAUAUAUGAAAGAUCAUAUUCUAGAAUUCCAUCAGACAAAUGACAUUCUGUGAUACCCACUCCAGUUUUCUUCACCUUAAUUUGAUGAUCAUCCUCUGCUCCUUUAAUUAAAGUCUGCUGUUACAAAAACCACGUUGCCGCCUUCGGAUUCAGCUUCUUGUUUGAAAGAUGUCCCAGCCAAAGAUGACAUUCAUGGGAGGCAGUUACGGUGGCCACAAUUGGCGAAAUGACAAAAUGAGUUCGCUGGGAAUGAUUAACAACAUGAAUGCAUAGAGACCCAGUACAGCCGGAGUGGUCCCCGGAAUAAACUAUGCACACAGCCAACCCUCUUAUAUUAACAGCAGUCCUUUGCCGCACUUCAAAAUUUGAUAGUUUCAUCCUCAUUCACGACAUAGGUGAACCAGUAAGGAAUAUCCAUUCCAGAGAGAAAAAGCCCGCCUAAUGCUCUCGUAAUCCAGCCCUUGGACGAGUACAACACCAUUGAGGCUGGUGGAGGAGAUGCUUGCAGAGAUCAGCAGUGGACGAUGAUCUCGACCAAACUCUUGAGCUUUGGCAACAGCCUGAAAAGUUCUCAUUAUUCUCAAUCCAAUUGCCGUUUCCUUGGGGCAUCUCCUCGAUUUUCUUACUUUCUCCUCCAUUUGGAAGCUUCGGGUCAUUAAUUUUUUCAGCUUCAUCACAAGAUGCUCCGAUUUGGACCCUGUAAGGAAUGAAAUUGAAUUUCCUGUUCAGCUAUUUAAAGUUUCGUCAAUAGCAAUUGAGUAAGAAACAAGUAUGUUCAAGCUUAAUAAACAAAUCACAACAACAUUACAAAUCAGAAACAUAUACAGGGUAAUGCAGUUAUAUCCAAGUCUUUUGUGCUUUCUCCACAAAAGUUCCUCCAUGUUAAUGUAACUCUAUAUCAAUAAAUCUAUCAUACAAGACUAUAAAUAAUCAGCAAUUGAAAAAUAUGACAACACAAGCUUCCAUCCGGUGAAUAUUUCAUCCAAAACAGUAAGCCAAACCAAAAAUGUACAAACCUCCAAAGUCGUUCUAUAAUCUCUCCCUUCCCAAUAUGCUGAUCAAAUUCUGGCACAUCAUCAGGAGUGACGUAGCCAUACCUUCAAUUAAUAAUACAUAAUAUUCAAACUCCUUCAUCAAUCGCAAUACGAAAAAAUUUUAAAUUGUUAUGAUCCGGAUAUUACCAAUAGCUUGUUGUACUUCCAUCUGAACCUGGGAUGUAGAUAAUCAAGUUUCCAUUGUGGCCUCCAGUGUGAUAGCAAGCAGUAACAAAUACCUGAUUCGUCCAUCCUCGCAGCUCAGCCUCCUCUUCGAACUUAUCAAUGAGAACACGCGCACUAUCACGAUUCCAUUCUUCUCGACUACAAUGUGCACAUACAAAUACAUGGGAGCCAGUCAACGGAUCUUGCACUCGGGAAGCCCAUGGUUUGUGAUUCACAAGGACAUCAUCAACAAAGUUGUCCACAUCCGACUCUUUCAAGCCCCUUUGAUCAACAAACAAAAACAACCUCAGAAUCACAAAAAGGGAUUUACAAGCAAGGAAUUAGUCAUAAACUGAGCCAUUAAAUUCAAUUUCUAGAACUAAUUUCAGAAGCUAACACGUAUCUAAUUAUCUAUUUAGUUCAGUAAAUUCAUGUUGGUUAUGGAAUGGGCGCUCGAUUAUGAAUUAAUUACGGUUUGCCAGUGUGUGUGUUAGUGUGGGCCGUGCUUAACAGCAGGGUUGGGCUGCUGCAUUUGGGCCUCCGCUGACGUUGGUUGCAGAGAGAGAGAGAUGGGGAAAAGUAUGGGGGUGGGUUAUGUCCACUGCUGUGUAUUGCCUAAUUAGUUAUUUACAUUUGCUUAUUUAUCUCUGUAAAGCUUUCAUGCUUGGAUUUUAAAUGUAUGGUUCAAUUAGAAACCUUUAUAAUGUUGAUGUUAUAGAACAUUCAACAGAUAUACAAGACUAUUGUGAAACAAUUCGUAUAACCUCAAAUUACAAUGCUUAAAAACUAAAAAGUACCGAGUUAUGAAUAAGACUAUUGUGGUAUUUUGUUACCUUAAAAGCAGCUGCAUACGCUGCUUGUAAAUUCGACAUGCCUUCGAAAGGUAGCUUGUUAUGGAUGAGUUCCCACAAUACAAUUACAAAACUGUAAGCAUCCACCUUAUGAUUGUAAUGCUUCUUUUCUCCGUGUCGUAAUGUAACUCUGCUGUAAAGCUGCCACCAAAUACAAAGGUGGAAAAUUAAUUUGCUGAUAUCAAACACACUCACAAGACAUAUGAGAAAACAAAUUUUCAACCUUUGAAUGACCAAUUUAAAGUACCGUAUCUCAGGAGACAUCCACCGGUAUGUCCCAGUUUCAGCGGUCAUCAUCUCUGUCAAUGACUCUUCUCUUGCUAAGCCAAAGUCCGCAAGUUUGACUGUUUUUUGGUCGGCAGUCAAGAUCAAAUUCUCUGGGAAAAGGACAGGACAAAAGUGUAAGAUUGUGGAACAAACCCUGUUUUCGGAAAUAAGCUUCGUCCUAACAAUAGUUCCAUCCCCAAGCCAAAGAAAUGACAGUUAUGUGAACUAAAGCAAUUCGUUUUGUGUUCCUGAAGUUAAUUCUGCUACGGAAGUCUUCAAUCAUGCUGAAUACUAAACUAUCAGCUACCUAAUGCUAAAUAACAAUCCUUCGGAUUUCCAUAUUUGAGACAUGCUCACAGAUAGACUUCACUUUAAUCCUUCUUGGUUCUUCUAUGUAGGCGUUCCCCCCUUGACUCUCCUAACGUCGAGCUAAGUGACUUCGUUCAAAGGUCAACCUUUCUGUUAAACAAAGAACUAAACAACGUACCAGGUUUCAGGUCACGGUGAAUGAUACCGUGGGAGUGUAAGCACUCCAUAGCACGAGCAAUGUCAAGCGCAAACCCAACUGCCACGCAUGUGUCCAAGCACCUUGGCCGCAUACUGAACAAGUAUUUGCGCAAAGUUCCACCUAGAAGAAGCUCAGUCACUAUGACCAUGACAGGUUCUUUGCAGGCACCAAUGAACUGGUAAUACAAAGUUAAAAAUCCCCCAUCAGAUAUCACAAAUACGCCUAUUUAGUAAUCACAAAUACUUAUCGAAAACUAGACAACCUUCACUAAGUUCUUGUGUUGCACUUUCGACAUCAUUGCCACUUCCCUCGCAAACCGCGCUUCUCUCUUGGCAAUCUGCUCUGGGGUUUCUCCUCUAUGAACAAUUUUUACAGCAACAUUUUGAUUCUUAUAUCUAGAACAAACAAAACACAACAAACAAACAGAUUAAGAACACAACAGAACAGAACAUCAUCGUUGUAACUCGACACGAAAAACACAUAUUCGGCAUCAUAAACACCAGAAUUGCACAACACCAAAGCAAGUUUUGAUCUUUGAUUAGUUCUGCUAAAACCCAACUCAAUCUUGCAUUUAUGUUUAACAAGAUCUAAGAGAUAAUAAUAAAUUGCUAAACUUGAGAGACCAGAAAUUCAGAAUCUAAGACAAAACAAACACAGAGGUUGUACUGAGGUUGACUUACUUUCCUUCGUACACUUUGGCAUGCGCGCCUUCCCCAAUCCUCGGACCAACAAAAAGAUGCUUUGGAUCGAUUAGCCACUUGGCAUCCAAAUCGAAAUCCGCAACUGAAUAAACCCCAUUACCAGAUCCCAUAAUUUUCCCUCCCUAAACUUCUAAAACAAGAGCAACAUACACUGACUAAUUAACCAAAACAAAGGGUACCCUUUAUUUGUAGGACUACAUUUGAAGUAAAGAUGGAAGCUUUGGUCUGGAUAAAAAUGGAAAAAAAGUAAUAAAGUAAGGAGACUUAUGUAUGAUUGAAGAGGGAGAAAGAUGAAGACUUUCUAUUUCUAUAAUAAAAGGACAUGCUUGGUACGGUAGGUUUCGGAAAACAGACCCAUCCCCAGGAUCACGGUUGAGGAUCCUACAAAUCUAGGAUGUGCCUUUUGUUUGGGGGGCAAAGAAUAAAAAUCCAGAGGCACCCAACAACAACCCUACAAUAGAAAAAUGGUCACUGAUGAGAGCUCUAUCAGUGGGAGUGGAUUAGAUUUAUUAUUGAGAAUUGGGGAGAGAGAGGAAAUGAGUAGAAGAGCAAGCAGAUAGAGUUGAGCAAGGCAGAGGAGGAUGAAACUGAGAGAAUCCAGGUGGAGAUUUGGGAACUUGGUGGCGGCGACGGUGGCGGUGGGUGGGUGGGAAGUGAGUUCAGUUGAGAUUAAUUUAUUGGCCUUCUCCGCGUCUGGAAUUUUACUGUCUUGUCUUCUGGAUCCAGAGAUAAACUAGUCUCUGUCAGACAAUAGUGUGUUUCCUUUGUUUUUCCCUUAUUUAUAGUUGCAACCGGAAAAAUUUAUAAAAAGAGAAAAUGUAAAGUGAUUUCUAAAUUUUUUUUUUUUACAAUCUUCAAAUUUUGCAUCGCUAAAUGAGACUGUCCAUAUAUCUUUAACUACUAGUUUUGAAUAAAUAUUUCUUUACUAAAAGUUUACAAGGUAACUGAUAUGAUUACUUGGUUAUAAGACUUUUGAAAAAAAAAAUUAAAAGCAUUUUGUGUGUAAUUUACUAUAUUCUACAUAACUUUUCAUUUAUUAAUUUAUUUAAUUUAAUUUGAUAUUUUCACUCUCUUUUGAUUGAUUAAGAGAAUUUCGUUGAUACGUAGUUUAGAUUAUAAUAAAAUAAAAUAAUUACUAAAUAAAUAGUUUUUUUUUUAUUAAUAUGAUAUUAUGUACAUUAAGUGGUGGAGGGAGUGAGUUAAGCUUCACAAUGAGACAGUCAUAAUAAUUUGGUUCGAAUUCACUUUGAUGAAAAUCGAACUUAAAACCUCUCAUUUAUGAGAGAUUUUUCAAUUUACUAGAAACACGUUGUAAUAAUACAAUUGGUUGGAAAUUUAAAAAAAAAAUUCAAACAAUAUUAUUAUGAUACUUGGUGUAUUGAGUCAUGUUCAAUGUUCACAACGCAAUGAAAAUUUUAUCCUCACUUAUAAGUCAAAUGAAUACUAUUAAAUCGUAAUACUAAGUGACUACUAAAUAACUGAUUUAUAUGUUUGAUUUGUAAAAGUUUAGGGGAAAGGAAAGCUAAUCUAUCGGCCAGGACAUACCACAAGUCUCAUCAAGAUUUGAGAACUUACACAAGGGGUCUUAGUCCUUUUUUGGUUUUUACAGAUCGUGCACCAAAAAUGGUUGCUUACAAUAGAACUCAAACAUAGACCUUACAACUCAACUAAUCCUCGUUGAAAAAUACACAUAUAUUUGAGCAAUCUUUAAAUUAGUUUAAACUAAAUUAUUGAAACUUCAUGCAAUAAACACAUAUUUUUAAUCAAAUUAGCUACAUACGAUAAUAGAAUGUCUGUUUAUAUCAUCUAUUCUAAGAUUUGAUAAAGAGAAUAUUUUCAAGAUGUGCAUAAACAUAAAACACAUACACACUACUCUAACUAAAUUAAUCAAGAACAAUUCUGCAAGAAAAUGGAAGAUAUGUGACUUUUAUUUAUUUCCUAGAUUCUAUGAAGGAUAAGAAAAUGUUGUCGGAGAAAAAGAAAGGUAAACGGGCGAUAAGAAGACGAAUACAACACAAUGAUACAAUUAGGGCUUCCAGAAAGUGCCCUUUUGGUAGCCACUAAGGCCAAAAACCCAUCACAAUAAUUAAAUUACCAAUGUCGUAUUAGAAAGUAAAACACAUUACUCUGGCGUUUCUGAAACUUGAAUGUGACAAAUAUGACAUAAACAAUAAGGAUGUGUGACCUAGAUAUCAGGUUGGAGGAAAAUGGACUGUAGUACAGAGGUUAAGGCAAAUAGAUAUGUGAGAGGUAUUGCACGAGUUCGAUGUCAAAUUAUUAUGACAUAUUUUAUCGCGAUUCUUAUGAGAGAUUUUUUAGUGUGCCAAAAACACAAUUCGAUACAUCAAGUGUCACACAAGUAACUGGAUACUUGAAAAAAAUUAAAUUAAACCACUUGUAUGAUGAUACUUGAUGUAGCGGGAUGUAUUCUGGCACACUGAAAAGUUGUCUGUCUCCUAGUUCAGAUCUACUGCUCUUUAUUUUAAACACAUCUUUGGAUUCAUUAAAAGACAAAAAGCUAAUAUUUUGGUCCCAGUAUGCAAGAACCAUACCAUAUACUUAGAAAUAUCAAGCAUCCCGCUGGAAAUCAACUGUAAGGCAAAUAUUAUCAACGAAACAAAAGAAGGAAUGGCACAAUUCAUUUGGUGAUUAGGCGAACUAACAACAAUAAAAAAUAUAAAAAAAAAACGAGUCAAUAAAAUUAGAAUCCCCCAUUCUUUUUUUACAUAAUUUUUAUUAAACAUUUGUUUCUUUUAAAAAUUUGAUUAAGACGCUUUAAAUAGUGUCCACCUAAUCAUUUUUAAAUUUAUUUUAUUUACAUGUCAUUAGUUUAUUUAUUUUUUAAAUAAAAAUGCUAUAUGUUGAUUUCCCACUUUAUCCUUUUAGGGCACGUUUGUUACACCUCCUUAGGAGGGAUUGGCUUGGACUACCUUAAGUAGGACUAUAAUCCUACGUUUGGUAGGUUGUGGGACUAAAAUAAAUGGGACUCGCCUCGACUACGAGUCCCUGCGAGGCAUGCUAGCCGGUCUUCACGAGUCCCCCCAAAAACCAAGGGAUUAGCUAGGAACUUCGCUUCGUUCUGCUUGAUUCACCUCAUCGACCUCGAUUUCGACGGCAUCUCUCUUCGUCCUGCUUGAUUCACCUCCCUGUGAGCCCUUUUGUGAGUUAUGGGCUUCUUCCUCCUCCCUGCGAGGGUUCUUCCACCACCAACAUCAACCACAAAAAAUCCCCCAUCUCAUAUUUCCCACCACCAACCAUCACCCACAAAAAAUCCCCAAUCCCAUAUUUCCUGCCGCCACCAUCGCCAUGGACGAGCCAUCCGAGAAGCUCCAGAACCUCAAGUCGCUGAAUUCUCUGCCAGCAGCAGGUGGAGUCGCUGGUGCAGGGCAAGGCAGAUUUGGAGUCCGAGGAAGAUUUGGGUGGACAAAAAAAAGAGAGAGGAAGAUGAAAUGGUAGAGAAAGAGGAGAGGGGAGGGAUGCAAUGGGCGGAAAAAAAAAGAGAGAGGAAGAUGUUCUAGAAAGGAGAUGAAAUGGCAGAGAAAAGGAGAGGGGAGGGCUGGAGAACAAAACAACGAGAGAAGAUAAAAGGAAAAUGAUAAUUUAAUAAUAAAAUAUUAGUAUAUAUAGAUUAAAUUAAUGAUAAAAUAUUGUAAAUAUAAUUUAAUAAUAAAAUAUAUUAGUCCUGCUUUUUAAUCCGACACUGCACCAAACGCUUCACUAAAUCAGUCCAGCUUAGUCUAGUCUAAGCCAGUCCAGUUUAGUCCCUGAAGCUAAUCCAGUCCAAGAUAGUCCGGUGCAACAAACACACCCUUAGUUGAUAAGGGGAAUUUUUUUGGCUUGUCAGGAUUUAUACCUUUUUUUUAGGGAUAUUAUUAAUGGCUAUUAACUAAAUCACCAAUAUUAUCUAUAAACUUUGAAUUUUGAAUUUUUUUUUUGGCGUCAGGGUUUAUACCCCUUUUGUUGGCUCAUUCACAUCAUAAAAUUAUUAUUGAAAUAUAAAAGUUGUUGAUAAAAAGGAUGAGUUUGGAGUCUUUGAACUGAGAUUAGUGCUAUUCGGCGGCAUGAGAUAUAUAAAUGUGAAUUUUAAAUUGAAAUCAAUUUGAAACAUAUUCAGGUCAAUUUGAAACAUACCAAUAACAACUUGAAACGUACCGAUGCUAAAUUGAAACGUACCCAUUUCACCGUGAAACGUUCAAUAACAACUUGAAACGUACCGAUGCUAAAUUGAAAUGUACCCAUUUCACCUUGAAACACGUUCAAUAACAACUUGAAACGUACCAAUGCUAAAUUGAAACGUACUCAUAUAUAAAUGUGAAUUUAAAAUUGAAAUCAAUUUGAAAUGUAUUCAGGUCAAUUUGAAACGUACCAAUAACAACUUGAAACGUACCAAUGCUAAAUUAAAAACCUUGAAACAUUCAAUAACAACUUGAAACGUACCGAUACUAAAUUGAAACGUACCCAUUCUAACUUAAAACAUACCAAUAUGUCGGUUUGAAACGUACCAAAUUAUCCUUUAAAAGAAAAUGUACCACUAAAUUCUAUUUCCCAAAUGUACCAUGUUACGUGAAAAAGAUGUGAAAGAUGGGUAAAAAGUUUGCAAGAACAAAAAAGCAUACCCUUUGAUAUAGAUACUCAGAUUAAGAGGUGUACAUAAAAUGAAAUAUGAAGGAAAUGAAUAUGACCAACAAGGGAGAACGAAAGAGGGUUUGAUUGGCCAAUCGAGGAAAGCAGUGACAUGAAAAGAAAAAAAUUGCUAAUGGUUGUAGAAGAAGAUAGAACUUUAGUUACUUGUAUGGUAUGGAGUUAGGAGUAAAAUGCAUGUUAGAAAAAUAAUUAGAUCUGGUUUGAUGUGUUAAGAUUUUUAAAACUAAUCUACUACAUUUUAGGAGAUUUGGGAUAUUAACAUGAUAAUUAUUAAUUAAUUAAGGGUACAUCAUAAUGGCAAAUCGUUUAAUAUGGCAUUAAAAGGAUGUUACUUAUAAAAUAAGUGGCACCUUAAUUGUAGGAAGAAUGUUUAAUUAAAUUAUUAAAAGAAGCAGAUGUUUAAUCUAAGAAAUUAAAAAAAGAGGCGCCUAUAUCAAAACUACCCUAAUUUAAACACUGAACUAAAUGAUCUUUACUAAGAUGUGGGUUGUUGAAGAGUUGGAUCAUCACUUUCCUUAACUAUACCAAACAACAUACUCCAAAUGGCUCUUGCAAUCGUUUUUUUACCUAUACCGCCCAGACUACAAAUUCCAAUUAUUUGAACAUCAGGUGAACCUCCAACAUCCAAGUAUUUAGUACUGAAUUAUUGCACUCGAAAAGCUAUUCCAACUGAGUGUUUGGCUUCUUUUAAGUCUGUAGUUUUCAGUAGUCUCCUAAUGUCUCCAACAAUUUUCUCGAUAAACAAUCCUUCAUGUCUCGCAGUUAAAAUUCAAAAUUAUACAAAAGUAAGAUUCAUCAUGCAACUGCAAGAUUUAUAUCAACUAAAUGCCUCAUUCAUCAUGAUUAGAUAUUUUGGUAGCGAAAACGUUUUGAAUAAAUUAGAUUUGAUCAAGAUGACUAGUUAAGUUCAAUUCAGCCGUGUUUCCGAAAUGCAUUGUAACUGUAGUAGUUAAGCUCAGUUAGAUUGCUCAUGAACUAUAAGAAGACGUUUGUUUGCCCUCACUAAACCGUAUUAUAGCUUUUAGUCAUACAAUUAGAAAUCCAUUAGAAUUAGUAAAUGGGUUUGACAUACGGAGGAUUCGUCCUUCACGCAUUACCAAAGCUCCAAAGUUUUUUCCUAUAAACGUAUAAAAUCAAAGUCUGAUAAUAAUCUCCUUAUUUUUGGUGAAUUAGUGAGUUUUAGAAGCUAAUACAAGACGUUGGAAUUAAAUUUAGAGGAAGAAUUAAAAUACCUGUCCGCUGUGGUUUUAAGAUUCCGGCCACACAAAUCUGCAAAAGCCUUAAGAUCCUUCUCCACUGCUCGACCUCAUCUGGAUCUUCAUCCCUUUCAUGCUAACAAAGUUAAAAAGAAUAAGGUAAAGUGAGACACCUAAUAAAAGUUUAGGUGGUAAAGUGAACAAAUCAUCAUAUAGAGUAAAGUAGAAUUUUGUGUACAUAAGUGUCAUAUAAAUGCCUUUAAUAUUUUGUACAUAUAGAAAAUAAAUAGGGUUAAUUACAUCGAUGUUCCCUGAAUUUGUCAUUUAUCUUCAUUUUCAUUCUUAAACAUUUUAUUUGUUUUAUGUGAUCUACAAACUGACUUUUUUUAUAUAUCCUUUUCGUCGACUUCAUCUAUUUUUCUGUUAAGUAGAGAUGAUAAAUUUAAAAUUCAUCCCACAACCUGAAAAAUGGGAAAAAGGAGGUGGGUGUACAAAAUUCUUGCUAUGCCCUCUAUAUUUAACAGAAAAAUAAAUUUUUUUGGGUCAAAAAAUAGAUUUUGUUAGAUUAGAUACCGACAGAGUUUGAACUCACACCGUCAUACAAGAGCUUAACUCCUUUCCACCACUAUAGUAAAAGGCCACUUGCAACAGAAACAUAAAUUGAGUUAACGGAUAUAAUUGAAUUACCACAUGAUAGAGUUUGAGAACCACACUAAGAAAAAAAUAAGAAAAACUAUUCUAGAACGAAAGUAAAAUUCAUGACAACAAUGUUGUAUAUCUGAAAAAUAGUUCAAGCAGAUUAAGAUGUUAGCACAGAGUCAUUUAUCUAGUUUAUUGAACAAACAACGAGGACAUCAAUGCCGUUUUUUCUGUUUCGAAAUUCAUAAACAACAAAAUUAAGAUUUCUUUCACAAAAAUUAUCAUAAAUUUUGACACAAUUGACGUUUGAAUUAUAAUCCAGCAGGCAAAUCGAAAAUAAUCAUAGGAGCUUAGAACACACCACAUCAACAUUUAGCAAGCAGUCUCAUAAGAGAUCCCAAUCAAGAUAAAACCAUUCAACAAUUUAUUACAUUUCAUUCAUUUAAGAGCAUGGUUCAAAGGAUUAUUUAAUUGACGUUAUCAUCUUUCUACAAAGAAAAAAUGAAAAAUAAAAUAGGGCGUUGACACCCGUGGCAAAACCCCGACAUGGAUUUAAGUACGUUUCAACCUGACCUUCUGUAAAAGCUAUAGGCCACAACCACUGUUGCCACUGCUCCAACCACGGCAGCAGCUGCGAGAACGUCACUUUGCUCCCAGUUCCCAAUCAAGCUUGACAGCUUCCGUAAGGCAUCCUUCCUGGCACACGACUUUGUGGUUUCUUUCGGCUUUUUAUCCUCACUUCCACCAUCCUCCUCCAAACUUACUUCUUUGCAGUAUGUAAAUCCAUCACUAUUAGCACCCUGGCAACAGCCUGAAAAGUUCUCAUUAUUCUCAGUUUGAUUGCCCUUUUCUUGGUGAAUCUGAUUGCCAUUUUCUUGUGGCUUAUCCUCGAUUUUCUUAUUUUCUUCUCCAUUUGGAAGUUCCAGGUCAUUAAUUUCUUCAACUUCAUCAGAAGAUGCUCCCAUUUGGCCCCUGUAAGGAAUGAAAUUGAAUUUCGUGUUCAACAAUUUAAAGAUUCAACUCUAAGUUUCGUCAAUAGCAAUUGAGUAAGAAUAGGUAUGAUCAAGCUUAAUAAACAAAUCACAACAACAAUACAAAUCAGAAACAUAUACAUGGUAAUACAAUUAUAUCUAGUUCUUUUAUGCUUUCUCCACAAAAGUUCCUCCAUGUUAAUGCAACGCUAUAUCAAUUAAUCUAUCAUACAAGACAAGACAUAAUCAGCAAUUGAAAAAUAUGACAACACAAGCCGUCCAUUGAAAUUUUCAUCCAAAGAUAGUAGGCAAAACCAAAAAUGUACAAACCUCCAAUGUCGUUCUAUAAUCUCUCCCUUCCCAAUAUGUUCAUCAAGCAAUUCCGGCACAUAACCAGGACUGACAAAUGGAUACCUGCAAUUAAUAAUACAUAAUAUUCAAACUCCUUCAUCGAUCCCAAUACGAUAAAUUUUAAAUUGUUAUGAUCCGGAUAUUACCAAUGGUAUGUCAUGCUUCCAUCUGGGUCGUAGGUCGUGAAUAUUCCAGCAUAGUUGUGGCCUUCAAGGUGAAAGCAAGCAGUAACAAAUACCUGAUUCGUCAAUCCUCGCAUCUCAAACUCCUCUUUCAACUUAUCAAUGCGAACACGUGCACUAUCACGAUUCCAUUCCUCUUGACUCAUAUGUGUGUAUACAAAUAUAAGGGCAAAUACAUGGGGGCUAGUCAAUGACUCUUGCACUCCCGAAGCCCAUGGUCUAUCAUUCACAAGGACAUCAUCAACAAAGCUAUCCACAUUUGACUCUUUCAAGCCCCUUUGAUCAACAAACAAAAACAACCCCAGAAUCAUAAAAAGGGAUUUACAUGAAACAAUAACCUAACACUCUUUAAUUCCUUGUAAGGCAAGGAAUUAGUCGUAAACUAAGUCAUUAAAUUCAAUUUCGAACUAAUUUCAAAAGCUAACACGUAUUUAAUUAUCUAUUUAGUUUAGUACAUUCAGCACAAUCUUGUAAUCAAAAGAGAAGUCGAAACAGAAAUUACUUUAUUCUAAACUAGGAAAAUAAAUUGCACUGCUCAUGUUGGUUAUUGAAUGGGCCCUCGAUUAUGAAUUAAUUACUGUUUGCCAUUGUGUGUGUUAGUGUGGGCCGUGCUUAACAGCUGGGUUGGGCUACUGCAUUUGGGCCCAGGGUGCAGCUUUCACAAGUUUUGGGCUGGGUUUCACCGAAAGAUCAAAUGACUCUUUUGCCCCCUUCACUUUUAAUCCAACGGCCACCAUUUGGGGCGUUUUUGUUCUGCAAUUCGGUGUGGUGCUCGUCAAGGAGAUCGCGCAGAGAGGCAGAGGGUGACAUCGAGUUUAGGGUUUGCACAGUGAGAGACAAGAGGGUUGAUGGGAAGGGUUGGGGGUGGACACAGGGUUGAUGGGAAGGGUAGGAGCUAGAAAGGGGGUUGGGGGUGAGGGUGGGUUCUGUCCACUGACGUUGGUUGCAGAGAGAGAGAAAGAUGGGGAAAAGUAUGGGGGUGGGGUUGAGGGGAACGGGUACAGAGAGAAAGAGUGAGGGAGAAAGAGUGAGUCUUUAUUGAGUUUCAGAACUUUCCUCUCUGAUUUUCUGAUUAUUUUCUCAAUUGGGCUUAUUUCUUACCAAUUUCCUUUGAGAUUUAUGCAUGUGUGUUUGUUAAUGCUCUGUUUCUUCGUUUUUACAGGAAAUGGAAUUGCUCUCUUCCUCUUCUUGGCAACCAUAUAUGCCCUCUCUCUCUCAAAUUCUUUCAUCAGGGGUCUAAGGUGAUGCCUUUUUGCCUAAAAUAUCAUUUUGUUAAAUGACUUAUGAUAUUUUGAUUCUCUGCACAUUCUGCGUAAUUCAAAAAGCAAAAUCUCUCUCUCUCUCUCUCUCUCUCUUUUCCUUUUUGUGGCUAAAGAUCAUGUCUUUUGUGUCAUAAAUUUUUUUUUGUUACAUGGGGUUCUGUAUAUCUUUUGGAUAAUCAAAAAGCUUGAAUGUUAACUAGGUUUCUUUAAAUUUCUUUGAAUUCUACCUUGUGAUUUUGGUUUAGAAAUGUGUAGAAUUACAUUUAUGAGGAUCAUAAGGAAGAGAAGCACAGAUCAGUUCUUAGGCAUUCCAUACGUAAUGACUAUGCUUAACUGCCUACUCCCACUUGGAAUGCUGCUUUGCUUCUCUCUCUCUCUCUCUCUCUCCCCCCCCCCCCCCCCUUUCUCUGCUGUGUAUUGCCUAAUUAGUUAUUUACAUUUGUUUAUUUAUCUCUGUAAAGCUUUCAUGCUUGGAUUUUAAAUGUACGAUUCAAUUAGAAACCUUUAUAAUGUUGAUGUUAUAGAACAUUCAACAGAUAUAUAUUCAACAUUAGGUAGCUCUGGCAAAAUCAUAUAGAUUAAGAUUUGGUAAUAUAUGGAGGUGAGAGUGAAUCUGCCUUGCUUGCCAUGAUAUAGGCUUGCAAUGAUGGCUUUCUCUUUGUAGUACUACAUUCUACUCUUACAUGUUAACAUCAGAAAGCAGACUAAGAUAGAUCCAAACCCAAUCUUAUUAAUUAAAGUUAACAGAAAGAAAAUGAUUUAUGCAUGCCUUUGUUUGUUUGUCACUUGAUUUUGGUUUAGGUUGACCAUAGCUAAAACAUUCAAGACUUGCCUAACACCUAAUUUGACGAAGACCGUAUCCUUUUUAGCCUUUAGUUGUGUGUUUGCUAGCUAGAUGGGUGGUGGGUGAGUCUUGGAUGUUAUCUUGGAUGUCUUGAUUAUUUUGGUGGGCGAGUCUUGGAUGUUUUGGUUAUGUCUUAUUUGACUCUUAUAUCUUCCCUUUUUCUGAAUUUUCUUUAUUUCUCAUCCUUUAAACUUUGUAUUUUUUUUAAAUGUAUAUAUUUUUUGGUGAUGCAGAUAGAUGAACAUGUUCAAGGGAAAAUCAUGAACCACAGAUCACUGCAUCUGAAUAUCGUUUGAUUCCAAGAGGUCAGUGAUCAUAAACUUUUUCAUUUUGUAUUUUAAGAAUGAAUUUGGCAAGUUGUGUUUGAAUUUUUUAUAAGUAUCUGCUGAGGGUGGGUGGAUGAAGACAGAACAUGCUAAAUUUGGCCUUUGGUGUGCUUAAACUGGUAUAGGGGAUGGUUAGAACUUUGAGCCCGGAAUGCAGUAGGACUAAGAGAAAAUGCCCUACCCACCGGGGCAAUCCACCACUUGCAGAAUAGUUGUCCAAAUAACUCUGCUAAAAAUAUGAUCUAUACUUCCUGCACUUUGUUUUACUGUGAAGUGGAAAUAGUCUUUAGAGUGGCUUAUUUGUGAUAAUUGAUAAAUAGGUUUGUGUUUAAGACUUGAGAGUAGUGCGGUGUCUUUCUUGCUGGUUCUGCUCACACCACCUCUGAUUUUAGUGUAGAGUCUCAAAUAUGGGAUCUCUGAAUGUCCCCUGAAAUGGAAUCCAUCUCGAUUUUCGUCUAGUUUCAGAUAGGGAAAGUUAGGUCUGAAGCAUUUUUACAUAAAUAGUCAGUCAUAAUAUAACUAAAACUUACAUACUUUUUCAAUUUAAUUGUUGUUUUGCAUCAGGCAAGGUUUUUCAUCCAGCAGUUGAUAUCCGGAGUUGGUUGCUGUCAUUUGAUUGUAUGUAAAUCCUAUAAUUCGGAUUAAAAUUUACCUGUAUUUGAUCAUUAGUGGGAAAAUCAACACAUCGCCGUCGGAAAAUUCAGUUCCUUCGCGUCCUUCAAUUACUGUCAGCAACGUCUAUCAAAAACCAAGAAAAAAGUGAGUAAUGGGGUUAGCUCAACACCAGAACUCAGUAGCUCCGGGAAAUAAGAAACGGUAAGAAAAAGCAAUCAGAAACCCCGACGAAUUGAGCUGGAAAGGGGACCUUAAAGGUGAUGUCGUUCUUGCGAGCUUUGAGAGCAGAUGCGAAGAUUUUAGGGAGUGGAUCGGACUCAUAGCCUUUGAUGCGCCAUGGCCAGGCCUCUAGGGUCUUGUAGCAGAGGAAAACGUGGCGAUAGUAUGACAGUGUAUCGUCAUCAGUGUCUUCAUCAGACUCAUAUGACACAGUAGUGUCUUCAUCAGACUCAUAUGACAUAGUCUCAUAGUUGUCCCAAUUAGUACGAUCAUCGGACAAAUCCCAUUUUAGAAUAUCCACUCCAGUUUUGUUCACCUUAAUAAUUGUAUUAUCUAGUCCAUAAAAUUGUGCUUGUACAAGAACCAUGUCGCCGCCUUUCAAAUUGAGCUUCUUGUUUGAAAGAUUUCCCAACCAAAGAUAAUAUUCAUGGGAAGCAGUUACGGUGGCCUCAAUUGGCCAGAUACGAAAAUUAGUUUGCUGGGUACGAUUAACAACAUCAAUGGUUAGAAACCCACUAGAGUCGGAGUUGUCCGAAGAAUAAACGAUGCCCAAAGCCAACCCUCCUAUAUAAUCAAUACAUGGCGGCACUUCAAAUUUGACUGUUUCAUCCUCUCUCGCGACAUAGGCUAACCGCUUCGGAAUAUCAUUUCUAGAGAGAAAAUUCCACCAAAUGCAUUUUUCUACAGCAUGGGGUGCAAAGUUAGUAAAAGCAACAAUACAAAAAGCAGAGAGAGAGAGAGAGAGAGAGAGAGAGAGAGAGAGAGAGAGAGUACCAUACCGUUUGGAGGUUCUCCUUAAAAGUAUCAGUGAGACUGGUACACCCUUCCAUAUAAAUUGAAUCCAUGUAGUCCAAUGAGUUCUCCAAGUUUGGAAUAUCUUUGAGUUUGCGGCAGUCUUUCAGUUGCAAGUGUUUCAUUUUCGACAUCUCUGAAAAGUCGGACACUAUUUCCAGUGCAGUGCAGUAAUUCGCUUCCAAUACACAUAAACUGUUGGGCAAAUCUGGGAUUGCCUGAAGGUUUGUGCAAUGAUUUAGACAUAAACUCCAAAGCUGAGAAAGACCACUGAGAAUGGGUAGCCUAUUAAAACCAUUCCCACCUAGAUCUAAAAUUGUUAAAGAAGAUAGACUCCCAAUUAUUUCGAGAAGGGCACCAUCUGUUAUAUUGCAGUCGCUGAGAUGUAAUUCCUCAAUCAUCUUCAGUUGUGCUAAAAAAUGGUAACCCCCACACAAACCCUUACAGUCUCUGAUGGUCAAGUACCGGAGAUGUGGGAGUUUUGAAAAGUUUGGUAAUUCAGUCAGGUUACGGCAGUGUACAAGAACGAGAAACUUCAACUUCUUAGGCAACUGUUACUCAAAAAGAGAAAACAAUAAUAAAAAUCCAAAUAAAUAAAAGAGAUAAUACAUGAUGAUGACUGAUGUUGAUAUUUACAAGGACAUUGAUAUUUAGAUUGUACCAAGUCCGAAUCCUCCCAAACUCGUACGAUCUUGCUGGACCAUAAUUCCAUAUAAACUAGGUUUCGUUGAUCAAAAUCUGCUGGUAUGGCUUCAAGAGGAAAUCCAAUCCAAUACAAUAAUCUUAACUCCUUGGAAAGAUGUUUGUAGCUUCCAGUCAGCUUUACAUUUCCCAGCCAGAGAAUUCUCAGUCGCCACAUCUUCUUAAAUGCUUCUGUACUGAAGCUUUGCUCGUCAUCAGAAUGUUCUGGCAAAAAUAAUUCUAGUCCUUCAACUGCUUCUGUUCCCUGUUAGAGAUAAAAAAAAAAAAACAGAAAAGGAUAAUAUUCACAUGAAGCAAAGCCAUGAAUCGGAUGAAUGAACUACUAACAAGGUAGGGCAUACAACAUAAUUAUGUAUUUUCUCUUUCAAAUUACCCAGUGGAUGAAAGCCUUUUCUUUUCUUCUUUUUCUUCGAAUAUACUAGGUAUGUCAUACAUUAUAUAGAUGCAGGAUAUGCGUAUAUACUUCUCUUUCUUCAUAUGUACUUAACAUCUUUUUUAUUGCAAAAGUACUUACAGAUUCGUUCCAUAGCACACUUUUUGCAUCUUCCAUAUGCCACAAUCGACUACGUUUUCCCAGUUCCACAGGAGAUUCUGCCCGCACAAUUUCUCUUCCCAUAUCUCGAAUCAAAUCAUGCAUCCUCAAUGCUCCCCCUUUAUCAAUAUAUAAGAGACAUCGAUCACAAAGUGUGGUAAUUUCUGCUUCUACAGAAAAAUGACUACAACCAUCCAAUAUUGUCGCGACCACACUUAUAGACACUCCAAUAAAGAAAUUAGAUAUGUCAAGGAACACACCCUUCACAUGAUCGUCACGUAACCCAUCGUAGCUUAAUUUAAGCGUUUGAUGAAUUUUUCCAUCUGGAAUAUUUCUUAAUUUAUUCAAUGUACUUUUCCAUAUGCUUUUACUCUUUUUCGUAGCCAACAAACGGCCAACAACUUCAAGAGCUAGGGGCAAUCCUCCACAAUAAUCAACAACAUCUCUUGCGAGUUCAAUAUAUUCUUCAUCGGGACAAUCAUUUCCAAAGGCAUGCCAACUAAGAAGCUUAAGAGCUUCGUCAUCAGUCAUUCCUUGUGCUUUAUACCUUUUAUCCACCUUUUGUAUAUUCAGCACUUGUUCAUCUCUUGUCGUUAUAAUAAUCCUACUCCCUGGACCAAACGAGUCAUGUGCUAUUGCCAAUUUAUCUAAUUGGUCCGCAUCAUCUAUGUCAUCAACCACGACAAGUACCUUCAUGCUUCCAAGUCUUUUCUCUAUCUCCUUGGUUCCUUCGGCAACAUUGCUUACCUUAAUGUCAGGCCGUUUCAAAAUAUCUCGAAGAAGUUGUUCUUGCAGACUAACCAUAUUUUUCUUGUUACUCCUCACCUCUUCAAGGUAACAUUGACUGCUGAAACUAUGACCAUAUUUGCUACAAAUGGCUUUGGCAAGCGUUGUUUUACCUAUACCGCCUGUACCCCAAAUUCCAAUUAUUUGAACAUCAGGUGAACCUCCAAUGUCUAAGUAUUCAGUGCUGAAUUCUUGCAUGCGAAGAGCUAUUCCAACUGAGUGCUUGGCUUUUAAGUCUAUGGGUUUCAAUAUUCCCUUGAUGUCCCCAGUAAUUUUCUCGAUAAACACUCCUUCACGCCUACAAGUAGAAAUUCCAAAUUACGAGAGCCAUACUAAAUGCCUUAUUCAUCAUGCCUUUAUAUUUACAUAUUGAAACAAAUUGGAAUAAAUUGUGAUUUACUGAGCUCAAUUCAACCACGUAUUUAAUCUUCGAUUAUAAUGUGAAUAACCAAUUGGACUACUACACAAUUGUAGCUUUCAGUUAUAUAAUUAAGAAUCCAUUACAAUUGGUAUUUUAAUUUGAUAAAGUGUGGAACAUUUGUCCUUCACACACCUAUAAAAAACAAUCACUUCCUUAAUUUUGACGGAAAUUCUUAUGCAAAUGCUCUACCUUUUAUAAAAUUCAUAUACCAAUUCUAAUAAAUUUUUAUGUAGUGACCAAAAUUACAGUUCUAUCAUAGUUCACGGACCAACGAUCCAAUUUUUCUUAUAACAUAUAAAAUCAGGAUUCAAUGCCUUAAUUAUAAUAUCUUAAUUUUGGUUGAUUAGUGAAAUAUGGCGAUAUGAAAUUUGAAGUAAACAAAAAAUUAUACCCGUCGGCCGUGGUUUUGAGGUUCCAACCGGCCAAAUAUGCAGAAGCCUUAAGAUCCUCUCUCCACUGCUUGACCACAUUUGGAUCUUCAUCCUUUUCAUGCUUCUGAAAUGCUUCCCCAAAACUAUCUUUCUGUUUCCUGACUUGAGAAGGGUCAACGUCGUAGAAUAUUGGACAGACUAUUUUCCCCUCUUGAUUUUUUAGGCACCUCAUGAUCUUCGACAGCUCCCUCAGGCACCAUCGGGACUCGGCGUACCUCUUUGAGAAGACGAUGACGGCGAUUCUCGACCCUUCGAUUUCUUGGUCAAGUUCACUUUGUAUGUUUUCCCCCCUUCUGAGCUGUGUGUCUAUAAAUGUGUUAAUUCCGGCAUUGCGUAAUGCAAUGAAGAGGUGGUCUGUGAAGGUGUUGCGGGUGUCUUCACCUCUAAAGCUCAGGAACACCUCGUACUUCCAGCGGUUUGAGCUCCGCGAGGAAGACGAAGAGGCGGCAGCGGCGGCUCCAUGAUCGGAGCUGCUGGCAUCCAUUGCAGCCUGUAGAAGUGCAGCUUGACUUUCAAAUAACCAAAAUCAAUCUUUCCCAAGCUUCCCCAGUGUAGGCGACCCUUUUAAAUUUUUUGCAUAGGGCAAUGAUGUCACUGCCGUGUCGAUAACGCGUGAGUGGUAUUCCUCCCACAAUUUAAUUUGUAUAAAUGUUACCAUCAAAUUUCAAAAAAAUAAAUUGUAUAACUGCUUUACGAUGCAAUUUCCUUUCUUUUGUAGUUUUAAGGGUGGUGCGCAGGUAGGUUCAGCUGCGGCUGCUGAUGGACGUCACGACAGCGUUAUAAGAAUCUUCGGUGCAAAACAGGUCCACAAACACCACAUCUAUUAUCUCGACACCAUGUGCACAUACAUUACAUGGGAGCCAGUCAACGCCUCUUGCACUCCGGAAGCCCAUGGUUUGUGAUUCACAAGGACCUCAUCAACAAAGCUGUCCACAUCCGACUCUUUCAAGCCCCUUUGAUUGAGAAACAAAAACAACCACAGAAUCACAAAGUUAAAAAUCCCCAAAUACUUAUCGCUAACACGCCCAUUUAGUGAUCACAAAUACUUAUCGAAAACUAGACAACAACCUUCACUAAGUUUUUGUGCUGCACUUUCGACAUCAUUGCCACUUCCCCCGCAAACCGCGCUUCUCUCUUGGCAAUCUGCUCUGGGGUUUCUCCUCUAUGAACAUUUUUUACAGCAACAUUUUGACUCUUAUAUCUAGAACAAACAAAACGCAACCAACAAACAGAUUAAGAACACAACAGAACAGAACAUCAUCGUUGUAACUCGACACGAAAAACACAUAUUCGGCAUCAUAAACACCAUAAUUGCAGAACACCAAAUCAAGUUUUGAUCUUUGAUUAGUUCUGCUAAAACCCAACUCAAAUUUGCAUUUAUAUUUAACAAGAUCUAAGGCAUCAUAUUAAAUUGCUAAACUUGAGAGACCAGAAAUUCAGAAUUUAAGACAAAACAAACACAGAGGUUGUACCUACUUUCCUUCAUACACUUUGGCAUGUGCGCCUUCCCCAAUCCUCGGACCAACAAAAGAUGUUUUGGAUCAAUCAGCCACUUGGCAUCCAAAUCGAAAUCCCCAACUGAAUAAACCCCAUUACCAGAUCCCAUAAUUUUCUCUCUCUAAAAUUCUAAAACAAGAACAACAUACACUGACUAAUUAACCAAAACAAAGGGUACCCUUUAUUUGUAGGACCACAUUUGAAGUAAAGAUUAAAGCUUUGGUCAGGAUAAAAAUGGAAAAAAGUAAUAAAAUCAGUAGACUUUGUAUGAUUGGAGAGGGAGAAAGAUGAAGACUUUCUAUAAUAAAAGGACUUGCUUGGUACUGUAGGUUUCAGAAAACAGACCCAUCCCCGGAAUCACGGUUGAGUAUCCUACAAAUAUAGGGUGUGCCUUUUGUGUAGGGGGCAAAGAAUAAAAUCCCCGAGGCACCCACCAACAACCCUACAAUAUAAAAAGGAGAUGGAUUGUUUGUCCUCCCAUUUCCAUACUCUCUCAAUUCCUUUCUGUUUGUGUGGUCAUGGUUAAACCACGUAAACAUUUUAUAUUCCUAUUACUUUUUGUUUUAUUAUUUUUAUAAAAAUUAAUAUAAAAUGUUGACGUGACUUAACCAUGACCAUACAUAAAGAGAAUGAAAAAAGUAUGAAAAUAGGAGGACAGACAAUCCACCUCCAUAUAAAAAUGGUCACUGAUGAGAGCUCUAUCAGUGGGAGUGGAUUAGAUUUAUUAUUGGGAAUUAGGGAGAGAGAGGAAUCAGUAGAAGAGCAAGCAGAUAGAGUUGAGCAAGGCAGAGGAGGAUGAAACUGAGAGGAUCCAGGUGGGGAUUUGGGAACUUGGUGGCGGCGACGGAGGCGGUGGGCGGGUGGUAAGUGAGUUCAGUUGAGAUUAAUCUAUUGGCCUUCUCCGCGAGUGGAAUAUUAUUGUCUUGUCUUCUAGAUCCAAAGAUAAACUAGUCUCUGUCAGAGAAUAGUGUGUUUCCUUUGUUUUUCUUCCUUUCUAAUUAAUUUUCCCUUAUUUAUACUAGCAACCGUAAAUAUUUAUAAUAAGAGAAAAUGUAAAUUGAUUUCUAGAUUUUUUUCUUUAUGAACUUCAAAUGAUUUUGCGUCGCUGAAUGAGACUGUUCAUAUAUUUGAUUACUAGUUCUGAAUAAAUAUUUCUUUAACUAAAAGUUUACAAGGCAACUGAUAUGAUUACUUAGUUAUAAGAUUUGGGAAAAAAAAUUAAAAGUAUUUUGUGUGCAAUUUACUAUAUUAUCCAUAACUUUUAAUUUAUUAAUUUAUUUAAGUUAAUUUGGUCUUUGCACUCUCUUUUGAUUGAUUAAGAGAGUUUCGUUGAUAGGUAAUUUAGAUUAUAAUAAAGUAAAAUAAUUACUCAAUAAAUAUUUUUUUUUAAUAAUAUGAUAUUAUGUACAUUAAGUGGUGGAGGGAGUGAGUUAAGCUUCACAAUGAGAUAGUCAUAAUAAUUUGGUUCAAAUUUACCUUGACGAUAAUUGAACUUAAGACUUCUCAUGUAUGAGAGAUUUUUCAAUUUACUAGAAACACGUUGUAAAAAUACAAUUGGUUGGAAACUUAAAAAAUAAAAUUUCAAACUAUUUUAUUAUGACACUUGGUGUAUCGAGUCAUGUUCAGUGUUCGCACCACACUGAAAAAUUUCUCCUCAUUUACUAGUCAAAAUGAAUAUUAUUAAAUCGUAAUAUAAGUGACUACUAAAUAACUGAUUUAUAUAUUUGAUUUUUAAAAGUUUAGGGGAAAGGAAAGCUAAUCCAUCAAGGCCAAGGCAUACCACAAGUAUCCUCGAGAACUUACACAAGGGGUCUUAGUCCUUUUUUUGUUUUUAUAGAUCUUGCACAAAAAAUGGUUGCUUACAAUGGAACUCAAACAUAGACCUUACAACUCAACCAAUCCUCAGUGGAAAAUACACAUGUAUUUGAGCAAUCUUUUAAUUAAUUUAAACUAAAUUAUCGAGUCAAAACUCCAUGCAAUAAACAUAUUGUUUUAAUUAAAUUAUUCAUAUACAAUAAUAAAAUGUCUAUUUAUAUCAUAGAUUCUAAGAUUUGAUAAAGAGAAUAUUUUCAAGAUGUGCAUAGACAUAAAACACAUACACACUACUCUAACUAAAUUAACCAAGAACAAUUCUGCAAGAAAAUGGAAGAUAUGUGACUUUUAUUUAUUUCCUAGAUUCUAUGAAGGAUAAGAAAAUGUUGUCAGAGAAAAAGAAAGGUAAAUGGGCGAUAAGAAGACGAAUACAACACAAUGAUACAAUUGGGGCUUCCAGAAAGUGCCCCUUUGGUAGCCACUAAGGCCAAAAACCCAUCACAAUAAUUGAAUUACCAAUGUCUUAUUAGAAAGUAAAACACAUUACUCUGGCGUUUCCGAAACUUGAAUGUGACAAAUAUGACAUAGACAAUAAGGAUGUGUGACUUAGAUAUCAGGUUGGAGGAAAAUGGACUGUAGUAUAGAGGUUAAGGCAAAUAGAUAUGUGAGAGGUGUUGCACAAGUUCGAUGUCAAAUUAUUAUGACAUAUUUUAUCGCGAUUCUUAUGAGAGAUUUUUCAGUGUGCCGAAAAUACAACUUGAUACAUCAAGUGUCAUCACACAAGUGAUUGGAUACUUGAAAAAAAAAAAAGUCAACCACUUGUAUGAUGAUACUUGAUGUACCGGGUUGUAUUCUGGCACACUGAAAAGUUGUCUGUCUCCUAGUUCAAAUCUACUGCUCUUUAUUUUAAACACAUCUUUGGAUUCAUUAAAAGACAAAAAGACAUGCUAAUAUUUUGGUCCCAGUAUGCAAGAACCAUACCAUAUACUUAGAAAUAUCAAGCAUCCCGCUGGAAAUCAACUGUAAGGCAAAUAUUAUCAACGAAACAAAAGAAGGAAUUGCACAAUUCAUUUGGUGAUUAGGCGAACUAACAACAAAUAAAAAAUAACGAGUCAAUAAUUUAAACACUGAACUAAAUGAUCCUUACAAAGAUGUGGGUUGUUGAAGAGUUGUAUCAUCACUUUCCUUAACUAUACCAAACAACAUACUCCAAAUGGCUCUUGCAAUCGUUAUUUUACCUAUACCGUCCAUACUUCAACUUCCAAUUAUUUGAACAUCAGGUGAACCUCCAACAUCCAAGUAUUUAGUACUGAAUUCUUGCACGCGAAAAGCUAUUCCAACUGAGUGCUUGGCUUUUUUAAGUCUGUAGUUUCAGUAGUCCCCUAAUGUCUCCAACAAUUUUCUCGAUAAAUAAUCAUUCAUGUCUCGCAGUUAAAAUUCAAAAUUAUACAAAAGUAAGAUUCAUCAUGCAACUGCAAGAUUUAUUUCAACUAAAUGCCUCAUUCGUCAUGAUUAGAUAUUUUGGUAGCGAAAACAUUUUGAAUAAAUUAGAUUUGAUCAAGAUGAUUAGUUAAGUUCAAUUCAACUGUGUUUCCGAAAUGCAUUGUAACCGUGUAGUUAAGCCCAGUUAAAUUGCUCCUGAACUAUAACAAGGUGUUUGUUUGCCCUCACUAAACCAUAUUAUAGCUUUUAGUCAUACAAUUAGAAAUCCAUUAGAAUUAGUAUAUGGGUUUGACAUACGAAGGAUUCGUCCUUCACGCAUUACCAAUGCUCCAAAGUUUUUUCCUAUAAACGUAUGAAAUCAAAGUCUGAUCAUAAUCUCCUUAUUUUUGGUGGAUUAAUGAGUCUUAGAAGCUAAUACAAGACGUUGGAAUUAAAUUUAGAGGAAGAAUUAAAACACCUGUCCGCUGUGGUUUUAAGAUUCCGGCCACCCAAAUCUGCAGAAGCCUUUAGAUCCUUUCUCCAUUGCUCGUACUCAUCUGGAUCUUCAUCCCUUUCAUGCUAACAAAGUUAAAAGAAUAAAGUAAAGUGAGAAACCUAAUAAAAGUUUAGGUGGUAAAGUGAACAAAUCAGCAUAUAGGGCAAGUAAAAUUUUGUCUACGUAAGUGUCAUAGAAAUGCCUUUGAUAUUUUGUACAUAUAGAAAACAAAUAGGGUUAAUUACAUCGAUGUUUCCUGAAUUUGUCAUUUAUCUUCAUUUUAUUUGUUUUAUAUGAUCUUCAAACUCGCUAUAGCAUGACUUUUUUUUAUAUCCUUUUUGUCGACUUCAUCUAUUUUUUUGUUAAGUAAAGAUGAUAAAUUUAAAAUUCAUCCCACAACCUAUAAAAUGAAAGAAAAAAAAAAGGAGGUGGAUGUACAAAUCCUUGCAAUGUCAUCUAUAUUUAACAGAAAAAUAAAUUGAGUUAACGGAUAUAAUUGAAGUACCACAUGAGAUUGAGUUUGAGAACCACGAUAAGAAUAAAAGAAAAACUAUUCUAGAAUGAAGGUAAAAUUUGUGACAACAAUGCAGUAUAUCUGAAAAAUAGUUUAAGCAGAUUAAGAUGUUAGCACACAGUCUUGUAUCUCGUUUAUUGAAUAAACGACGAGGACAACAAUGUUGUUUUCUCUCUUUCGAAAUUCAUAAACAACAAAAUUAAGAUUCUUUCACAAAAUUACCAUAAAUUUUGAUAGAAUUAGCAGCUGAAUUAUAAGUCCAACGGGCAAAUCGAAAACAAUCACAAGAACUUAGGACAUACCACGUCAACAUUUAGCAAGUAGUCACAUAACAAAUCCCAAUCAAGAUAAAACCAUUAAACAGUUUAUUCGAUUUCUCCUUUCAUAUGAGUACGGUCCGGAGGGUUAUUUAAUUGACGUUAUAACAUCUUUCUACCAAGAAAAUCCAUCAUGUGCAAAUUAGGUACACCAUUUCCAUAAGUAUACCACAAUAAAACCAAAAAAUAAAAAAGCACACAAUUAAUAAAAAAAUAUUAAAAAAACUGCCUAGGAUUGCCUAGGUGCCGCCUAGCUCUCCGCCUAGGCCCGCUUAGCUUCCAGACGAUUUUUCCAAACGCCUUGCCCAAAAUAAGGGCGGGGCUCCACCGCCCAGCGCCAUAUAGGCGUCGCCUAGGCCAAUUUUUAGAACAAUGGUUCUGCUCCAAACUUACUUCUUUGCAGCAUGUAGAUCCAUUACUAUUAGCACCCUGGUAACAACGCUUCUCCUCGAUUUUCUUUUUUUUUUCUCCAUUUGGAAGCUCUCGAUCAUUAAUUUCUUCAGCUUCAUCGGAAGAUGCUCUAGUUUGGCCCCUGUAAGGAAUGAAAUUGAAUUUCUUGUUCAACUAUUUAAGGAUUCAUCUCUAUGUUUCAUCAAUAGCAGUUGAGCAAGGACAUGGUCAAGCUUUAUAAACAAAACAACAUUAUAAAUCAGAAACAUAUACAGGAUAAUGCAAUUAUAUCCAAUUCUUUUGUGAUUUCUCCACAAAAGUUCCUCCAUGUUAAUGUAACUCUAUAUCAAUUAAUCUAUCAUACAAGACCAGACACAAUCAGCAAUUGAAAAAUAUGACAACACAAGCUUCCGUCCAGUGAAAUUUUCAUCUAAAGAUAGUAGGCAAAACCAAAAAGGGACAAACCUCCGAUGUCGUUCUAUAAUCUCUCCCUUCCCAAGCCGACAUUCUCGCUUCCGCUUCGUCCCCCUCUGAUUGCCAUUUUCUUGGGGCUUCUUGAUUUUCUUAUUUUCUCCUCCAUUUGGAAGCUUCUGGUCAUUAGAUUUUUCAGCUUCAUCAAAAGAUGCUCCGAUUUGGCCCCUAUAAGGAAUGAAAUUGAAUUUCGUGUUCAGCUAUUUAAAGAUUCAACUAUAAGUUUCUUCAAUAGCAAUUGAGUAAGAACAUGUAUGAUCAAGCUUAAUAAACAAUCUAACAACAAUUAAUCAAAAACUUAUACAGGGUAAUGCAGUUACAUCCAAUUCAGAAACAUAUACAGGGUAAUGCAAUUAUAUCCAAUUCUUAUGUGCUUUCUCCACUAAAGUUCCUCGAUGUUAAUGUAACUCUAUAUCAAUAAAUGUAUCAUACAAGACUAGACAUAACCAUCAAUUGAAAAAUAUGACAACACAAGCUUCUGUCCAGUGAAAUUUUCAUCCAAAGGCAGUAGGCAAAACCAAAAACGUACAAACCUCCAAAGUCGUUCUGUAAUCUUUCUCUUCCCAAUAUGCUUAUCAAGUGAUUUCGCCACGUCAAAAGGAGUGACGAAGGGAUACCUGCAAUUAAAAAUACAUAAUAUUCAAACUCCUUCAUCUAUCCCAAUACGAUAAAUUUUAAAUUUUUAUGAUCCGGAUAUUACCAAUGGCAUGUCAUGCUUCCAUCUGAAUCUCGGCUGUAGAUCAUGAGUUUUCCAGCAUACUUGUGGCCUCCAAUGUGAGAGCAAGCAGUAACAAAUACCUGAUCCGUCAAUCCUCGCAGCUCAGCCUCCUCUUUGAACUUAUCAAUGAGAACACGUGCACGAUAACGAUUCCAUUCAUUUUGACUCAUAUGUGCGCAUAUGAAUACAUGGGGGCCAGUCAACGGCUCUUGCACUCCAGAAGCCCAUGGUUUGUCAUUCACAAGGACAUCAUCAAUAAAGUUGUCCACAUUUGACUCUUUCAAGCCCCUUUGAUCAAUAAACAAAAACAACAUCAGAAUCACAAAAAAAUAUUUACAGGAAACAAUAACCUAACACUCUUUAACACUGAGCUAUUAAAUUCAAUUUCUAGAACUAAUUUUAGAAGCUAACACAUAUCUAAUUAUCUAUUUAGUUUGGUAAAUUCAGCGUAAUCAAAUGAGAAGUCGAAACAUAAAUUACUUCAGUCUAAGCUAGGAAAAUAAAUUGCACUGCUCAUGUUGGUUAUGGAAUGGGCCCUCGAUUAUGAAUUAAUUUCGGUUUUCCAUUCUGUGUUAGUGUGGGCGGUGCUUAACAGCUGGGUUGGGCUGCUGCAUUUGGGCCCAGGGUGCAGCUCUCACUUGUUUUGGGCUGGGUUUCACCGAAAGAUCAAAUGACUAUUUUGCCCCUUUAGUCCUAAUCCAACGGCCACCAUUUGGGGCGUUUGUGUUCUGCAAUUCGGUUGGGGGUGUUAGCUUGCUUUCGAUCUCGUCAAGGAGAUCGUGCAGAGAGGCAGAGGGUGUCAUCGAGUUUAGGGUUGAUGGGAAGGGUUGGGGGUGGACAGAGGGUUGAUGGGAAGGGUUGGGGGUGGAGAUAGAGGGUGGGUUCUGUCCGCUGACGUUGGUUGCAGAGAGAGAGAGAGAUGGGGAAAAGUAUGGGGGUGGGGUUGAGGGGAAGGGGUACAGAGAGAAAGAGUGAGGGAGUAAGGGACAUAGGAGCUAGAAAGGCGACUACAUGAUUCUCUUAAGGCUUUUCCUCAACUCGGUUCUCUGCUUUUCUCUUUCGUUUCAAGAUUUGGUUGAAAUUGAUAAAAAACAAUGCAUGCACUCAAGGAUUUGUUCGGAGUCUUUAUUGAGUUUCAGAACUUUCCUCUCUGGUUUUCUGAUUAUUUUCUCAAUUGGGAUUAUCUCUUACCAAUUUCCUUUGAGAAUUGUGCGUGUGGGUUUGUUAAUGCUCUGUUUCUUCGUUUUUACAGGAAAUGGAAUUGCUUUCUUCCUUUUCUUGGCAACCAUGUAUGCCCUCUCUCUCUCUCUCUCUCUCUCUCUCUCUCUCUCUUUCUCUCUUUUCUGUUGUGUAUUGCCUAAUUAGUUAUUUACAUUUGUUUAUUUAUCUAUGUAAAGCUUUCAUGCUCGGAUUUUAAAUGUAUGAUUCAAUUUGAAACCUUUAUAAUGUUGAUGUUAUAGAACAUUCAACAGAUUAGGUAGCUCUGGCAAAAUCAUAUGGACUAAGAUUUGGUAAUAUAUGGAGGUGAGAGUGAGUCUGCCUUGCUUGCCAUGAUAUAGGUUUGCAAUGAUGGCUUUCUCUCUGUAGUACUACAUUCUACUCUUACAUGUUAACGUCAGAAAGCAGACUAAGAUAGAUCCAAACCCAAUCUUAUUAAUUAAAGUUAACGGAAAGAAAAUGAUUUAUGCAUACCUUUGUUUAUUUGUCUCUUGAUUUUGGUUUAGGUUGACCAUAGCUAAAACAUCCAAGACU